rnacentral:lncRNA from 1 species
GCAGAUAAAUUUUCAUUCAGCAGACUCUGUUAGCAUUCAAGAUGCUGGCAGAUUCACUUGAUUCUUAUUAGCUUGUUUAGUGGCAAAGCCUAUAACCUGUAUUUCAAAGCCAAGUUGUGCUAUUGAUUAUGUUAACUUUUUUGUUAACAUAAAAUGAUAUGGAGGAAAUAAUCAGUGUUGGAAAAUUAGGUGAAAAGAUGAUGUCAAAUCUUGAACCUCUUGCGAAACUCUAAGUUCUUUACUUGAAGAGGCUACCAAAUUUGAACAGCGUCUACUCGAAGGCCUUGCCAUUCCCUGAUGCAUGCAGAAUUUUUGUAUUUAAAUGCCCAGAGCUUAAGAAGCUGGCACUGGAUCUUGAAGGGGCAGACCAAGGUAAAAUUCUUAUCAAGGGAAAGGAAGAUUGGUGGAAACAACUUAAUGGGAGGAUCAAGUAACUCAGAAUACAUUGCUUCCAUUUUUUAAAUCGACUGACAAGUGAUUGAACGGGGCAUCAUCAAUAUCAUCAACAGGGAUGGAGAGAUGCCGGAGCAGAUCAGCAGGGUUUGAAUAUGACCUUCGGCGGUUGCUUUUUUUUUUUGUGAUUUUUUUUCAUUUUUUCCUUCCUGUCAUUUUAUCAUUUCUUUGGCUCUGUUUCUAUUGCGGGUGUUACUGCAUGCUUACUGUUGCUUGACAAAGUUUGCUAGCUUUUUGUUUGCAGCGCUGCUAUACGCCCCGAGUCAAGCCCCGAAAAUUUAUUAAACGACGCCGUUUCGACAGUAACAAUUCUUUUCUUUUCCCUUUGCCUGUUUCUUUCAUCUGCUGUUUCUCUAUCACUUUUCAUUUUUGAUUUCCGUGCUUCCCAGCUGCCCCUAAAUUGUUAUUCUAGCAAUAUACUUUCUCAUCUUUGAAUUUUCAUCCUUGAGUACUCCCACAGCCGUAAUUUCAUCAUUAUAGACUUCACUUGGAAUGCUAGAUUUUUUCGAUUCUUGAGCUACUUCAAUUACAUCUUAGUAUAGGAUCCUCAUCUUCCUUUAUUUCUUCAUCUUAUGAGGUAACAAAUGGAUUUCACAACUCAUCUACUUUUAAGCAAUUACAUAUUAUACCCUGAAUGAUUCAACUGUUCCGACAGUUAAAGAUUUUAUGCUCAACCUGCAGUGCUACGAACAUUGUCCAUGAAAGAUGAGUUUCAGCAUAUAAAAUGAAAUAUAGAUGUUUAAUCUAAAAUAACCCUUCACUGCCAGAAACCUAGGUCACAAAAUUCACAGAUAAUGAUAAAGAACUAAAAAAUUUGAAAAACUCUACAGAUCACACAUCAAGCAAGAUAUCAUGUUUUUUUCCCUCAUUCGGUGGUGAUUGAUUCGCUUUUUGAUGAUGGAUAUGGUAUAAAAGUUUUGACCCAAUUUCAAGCAAACACAAAUAGAAACACAAACACAAUCAGGACUAGAGUUGUGGGCGAUUAUCUCAGGUGUACAAGUGAAACGGUGGUGGCUGUCGAUGGUGGUAGUGGGGUGGUUGGGUAUGCGUGAUGGCUAGAUUUUAGGACAAUAAUGGUUGGAGUUGACCUCAAUCAACGAAGGAAAGUGACAACAAUUUUGACAUCAAAUGGUGCAUUUUUUAGCUUAGUAAAAUGGAACCGUUUUGAAUUUGGGGUUUAAUCCGGGGUUUGACUCGGUGCAAGUAUCAUUUUCCUUUUGUUUAUUAAAUUUUUUAUGGUCACAAAGUAUUACUCGUUCUAUUUGAGAGUGAUGUGAAUCAAUUUUUCAAUUUUAUAUUUUGUGGUCAAUGUGAAUUCAAUUUCAUUUGUCUCCUGCAAUUAUGAAAAAAUUGCAGUCAUAAUAUGGAAAAGUACACCGGCAAAGACUUUGUAAAACCUUCGGAGUGAUACGGGGAAUUCACUUACAACUAAGGACAAUUGGUGGCAAGUUAUUCCAUUCAUUUUAUGUCCAUGCAUCUAUUUAGUUAUUGAAGAUUAGUGGUCCAUUUGUAAAUUUCAGAUUGUCUCUCUCUCUCUCUCCCACUUGAAAUAACAAUAUUUAAUAUAUCUCUUAAAUUAUUAUAAAUUUUAAUUUACUCUCGAUUUAAAAUGGAGCAUGUCGAUAAAUUUUUUUUCUUCUUAAUAAAAUUGACGUAAUUUGUGUUUACAGUAGUUUGAAGUUUGAAAUAUUUUAAAGAUUAUUAUUCUAUAAGGGAGUAAUAUGAAAUGAAAUUUACUUUUCAUGUGUGAACUGAAAAAGGACGAAGCAAGUGUCCCUGCUUUUAUUUUAUUUCAAGGAGGAGUCAUCUCGCAUACUUUGGCUCUUAACAUUACAUUUUUUCUGGUUACAUUUUUUAUUUUUUUUUACACAUGCGUGUGGGUUGCUUUUCUGUAAGCUCCUUAAUAUAUAUUUAAGACAAAUCAUGGAAGAGAUGGGAUUAUAUCAAGAUGAUCAAAGCAUGUAAAAAAAGAAAAAAGAAAAAAAAAAUUAAGAAGUAAGACACUGAAAAUGGAGAAGAGAUGGAAGCAAAAGAUAUUCCAAAACAAAGCAAUCUAUCCCCCUUCGAGGGCAGACUUAUCAGGUUUAAAAAAGUACAUGCUUUGGAUUGGUAGUUGCAAUCAAGGGAAAAUAAAUAGGAUCCAAUGAAAUUUAAAUCUCGGAGAAAAUAAAUAAUCAUGCAGAUUUUCAAGAUUUUAAUAAGGGAUACUAAUAUCUUAUUUUGAUUAAUAACAUUCUUUUACUGUGUUAACUCAAAAAAAAUAUUAUAAUGCUUUACAAUAAAUACAAAUGUCCUAUUAAAUGAAUAUAUAAAAAAUUUAGAAAAUUAUAUAAAAUAAUUUUAAUAUAAUGCGUGAGAUAUAUUUUAUUAAUUUAAAAUGUCAUUUUACCUAAAAAAUAUGAUAAAUUAAUAAUUACAUAUUUGAAGUUAUUUCAAAUAUUAAAAAAAUUUAAUAUUAUUAAUCUUUUAGAUAGAUUAAAUUAUUUUUUAAAGAGAUAGAUUAAAUUAUUUUAAAAUACCUUAAUUGUUUUUACUUUAAACAUUACCGGCCUUUCUUUUAUUUUAUUACAAAUUAAUGCUAACAAGAAAAAGUUAGAUCAUAUUCCACAAAAGCAAAAGUGACAAACACAACCAGCUGGAAUCUUUUAUAAAACUACAAAUUAAAAUGGAUUUUUUUUUUAAAAAUUGUUAUAAAUUGGUGGCCCCUACAAUCCUCAAUAAUUGCACCGAUAUUCACAAGUUGGUGGCCCCUACAAUUCUGUUCCGAUAAUUUAACUGUGCAAGUGCUUAAUAAUUGUUUUGUUUUUUUCUGCAUUCCCUUUCAUGCUCUUAAUAAUUGAAGAGCAUACUUUUCAAAUGUGGAGCCGCAGCUAAUGUCGCUAAUUUAAUUUUGGAUUAAAUUAGGGGACCAUUAUAUUGUAGUGUGCACUAAUGAAUAUGUGAGAUAUUCAUAUUUUAUUAAUUUAAAAUACCAUUUAACCUAAAGAUUUAUUUAUGAUAAAUUAAUAAUUAUAUUUUUGAAAUUACUUCAAAUAUUAAAAAAUUAAUAUUACUAAUCUGUUAGAUAGAUUAAAUUAUAUAUAUUAUUUUCUAUUUAUUAAAAAAUUAAAAUUAUUUUUAAUUACUAUUCAAAAAAUAUAAUGAUAAAAAAAAUCUUAACAUCUUUAUUAAAAAUUUAAAAAUUUACAUGAUCAAUUCUCUAAAUAUUUAGGGUAUAUGUGAACCACGGUGGAGAAGCUUUAUUUAAUAUUAUUGAUUUAAAUAAUAUGUCAAUUAAAAAUGUACAGAGAAGGAAAUUUCGGUGGGUAUUUUAGUCUUUUCAGCAAUUAUCAUGAUCAGAUCAGCCUUUAGCCUUGAAACGUCGAUCAGAAAAGUUUUAAAAUGCUUAAUUGUUUUUCACUUUUAAAAAUUAAUGCUAACAAGAAAAAGCUAGGUCAUAUUCCACAAAAUCAAAAGUGACAAAACAACCAGCUGGUUUCUUUUACUAAACUACAAAUUAAAAUAGAUUUUUUCGAUAAAUUAUAAAUUAAAGUGGAUUCUUUUGAAUACAAGUGAGACAGACGAUUAGGCUCUUUUUAUUAAAGGCAAGUAAAAACUAGUCAAGAAUCGAAUAGUCUUUUUCAAAUUCUUGUUUUAUUAUUUUUCAAAACUAGUUUUUGGUAAUUACAAUCGGGUCAUUCAUUAAUCAUUAUUCAAAGUUACUGUUAUCUUCGGGGGCAGUGGGUAAAAGAUAAUUACUAACUGUUUUUCCUUCAAAAGUUACCGGCUCAUGUUUGCAAGUGUGAAUGUGCGAUGCUCUUUUCUUAAAGGCAAUUACAGUGGGGCCCGAAUCAGAGGUGCCUAAAUCUUUUUAAAAUUAAUAAUAAUAUGAGUAAUAAUUAAUAAUUACAGUGGGUCAACUUUUGAAAUUAGAGUCUAGUAUCUCUCUCCCUGUCAUUACUAAAUUUUCUCUUCCACAGCCUACAGCAGCUUCAGUUUAUCAAACUCAAUCAAUUUUCUUUCUUAACAAAAUUCCAAAGAUGUGUAGUAUUUUUCAGAUCACAUGCGAUGGUGCUCUUUUCAAUCGUUGCUUGGAUUGCUUUCUUGGAAAAGCAGCAUACAUACGUAACCUCCAAGAUAAUCUUGUAGCCUUGGAGACUGAACUGGGAAGACUAAUCGCAGCAAAGAACGAUGUGAUGAUGAGGGUUGUCCAUGCUGAACGGCAACAAAUGAGAAGGCUGGACGGAGUGCAAGUGUGGGUUUCGAGGGUGGAUUCUGUUAAAACUGGAGCCGACGAACUUAUCACAGACGGCUCUGAAGAAAUUGGCAAAUUAUGUGUUGGAGGCUACUGUUCCAAGAACUGCAGGUCAAGCUACAAAUUCGGAAAACAAGUGGCUAGAAAGCUACGACAUGUGGAGACUUUAAUCGCCGAGGGAGUUUUUGAGGCGGUGGCUACUGAGGUGGUGCCCGAGAGAGCUCCGGAACCUGUAGCAGAUAAAAGACCCAUUGAGCCAACAAUAGUAGGCUUGCAAUCACAACUUGAACAAGUCUGGAGAUGUCUUGCAGAAGAAUCAGCGGGAAUCAUUGGCUUAUAUGGUAUGGGCGGUGUUGGUAAAACCACACUAUUGACCCGUAUCAACAAUAAAUUUCUUGAGAAUCAAAACAACUUUGAUUGUGUGAUUUGGGUCGUAGUUUCAAAAGACCUGCGGCUUGAAAAAAUUCAAGAAGAUAUUGGGAAGAAGAUAGGUCUGUUUGAUGAUUCAUGGAAGAAUAAAAGUUUUGAAGAGAAAGCUGUGGACAUCCUGCGGAGAUUAGGAGAGAAGAGAUUUGUAUUGUUGUUAGAUGAUAUAUGGGAGCGGGUUGAUUUAACAGAAGUGGGCGUUCCACUUCCCAGCCCACAAAAUACUACAUCAAAAGUCGUAUUCACGACCCGUUUCAUUGAUGUUUGUGGUAGCAUGGAAAGUCACAGGAAGUUUAAAGUGGCAUGCUUAUCAGAAGAGGAUGCUUGGGGGCUGUUUCGAGAAAAAGUACGGCAAGAAACUCUUGAGAGUGAUCAUGAGAUCGUUGAGCUAGCCCAAACUGUGGCCAAAGAGUGUGAUGGUUUGCCACUCGCACUUAUUACUAUUGGUCGAGCUAUGGCCUACAGAAAGAAAGCGGAGCAGUGGAGACGCGCAAUUGAAGCGUUAAGAAGAUCAGCUUCAGAGUUUGCAGGUUUGGGAAAAGAGGUGUAUCCUCUUUUAAAAUUCAGCUAUGAUAGUUUGCAGAAUGAUACGGUUAGAUCUUGUUUCUUGUAUUGUUGUUUAUAUCCUGAAGAUUAUGGCAUUCUUAAACGGGACUUGAUUGACUGUUGGAUUGGUGAGGGAUUUUUGGGGGAAUCUGACAGGUUUGGUGCAGAAAACCGAGGAUAUGACAUUUUGGACACUCUUGUUCGUGCAUGUUUAUUAGAAGAGUUAGAAGAUGAUAAAGUAAAAAUGCAUGACGUUAUUCGUGAUAUGGCUAUAUGGAUAACCUGUGAAAUUGAGAAGGAGAAGAGAAAAUUUUUGGUUUGUGCAGGUGCUGGAUUAAAAGAGGCACCGGAUGUUAAAGGAUGGGAAAAUGUGAGAAGAUUGUCAUUGAUGCAAAACCAAAUUGAAACUCUGUCAGAGAUUCCUACAUGCCCUCAUCUCCUCACUUUAUUUCUUGACUUUAAUGAGAAGUUGGAGAUGAUCGCGGAUGGCUUCUUCCAAUUUAUGCCUUCUCUCAAAGUGUUGAGGAUAUCACACUGUGGGCAAUUAGAAGGUUUUCAAUUACCUAUUGGGAUGUCAGAGUUGGGUUCGUCACUAGAACUUCUUGAUAUUUCAUAUACCAGCAUAAGAGAGUUACCAGAAGAGUUAAAGUUGUUGGUAAAUCUGAAAUGUUUGAAUUUGAGUUGGGCACAUAGGUUAUAUAAAAUUCCACGGCAACUAAUAUCAAAUUCUUCAAGGUUACGUGUGUUGAGAAUGUUCGCUACUGGCUAUGUGUGUCUUCAUGAAGCAUCAGAAGACAGCGUUUUAUUUGGUGGGGGUGAAGUUUUAGUACAGGAAUUGCUCGGUUUGAAAUAUUUAGAGGUAUUGGAGUUGACCUUGGGAAGUUAUCAUGCUCUCCAAAUUCUUUUGAGCUCAAAUAAGUUGAAAAGUUGUAUUCGAUCUCUUUUCCUACAGUUGUUCAGAGAUACAACGUCGAUUAUUGAUGCUACGGCUUUCGCAGAUCUAAACCACCUCAAUGAAUUAUGGAUUUAUAGAGGUAGUGAGUUGGAAGAAUUGAAGAUUGAUUAUACGGAGAUAGUACAAAAAAGGAGGGAACCUUUUGUUUUCCGCAGCCUUCACCAUGUUACCAUAUAUAGUUGCACUAAAUUGAAAGAUUCGACAUUCCUCGUUUUUGCUCCAAACCUCAAGUCUCUUCAGCUACUCGAUUGCUAUGCUAUGGAAGAAAUAAUCAGCGUCGGAAAAAUUGCUGAGACUCCUGAGAUGAUGGGACAUAUAAGCCCUUUUGAAAAUCUCCAAAGUCUUUAUUUAAAUGAUUUGCCAAUUUUGAAGAGCAUCUACUGGAAGCCAUUGCCUUUCGCUCAUCUAAAAGAAAUGACGGUGCAUCGGUGCGAUCAGCUUGAAAAGCUUCCACUCGAUUCCAACAGUGCAAAGGAGCGUAAAUUUGUAAUUCGUGGAGAAGAAGACUGGUGGAACCGACUUCAAUGGGAGGAUGAAGCCACUCAAAUUGCUUUUCGUUCCUGUUUCCAACCUCGUUCCUGAGCGGUGGUCGCAAAAUUUGAUUUCUGGUGAGUGCGUUUGUCUUUUAAAAGAAGAAUUUAAAAGAAAUUUAUUCUUGUCGAUUGUUUUCUUCUCUGUUUUUAUUUGAUUUCUGGUGAGUGCGUUUGUCUUUUAAAAGAUGAAUUUAAAAGAAAUUUAUUCUUGUCGAUUGUUUUCUUCUCUGUUUUUAUUUGAUUUCUGGUGAGUGCGUUUGUCUUUUAAAAGAAGAAUUUAAAAGAAAUUUAUUCUUGUCGUUUGUUUUCUUCUCUGUUUUUAUUUGAUUUCUGUUUUUAAUGGAAUUAAUGCUUCAUAAAUUUGCCGGCACUGCCAUUACUUUUUUUUUUAAUACAAAUUGAUACUUUAUUUAUAUCUUCUUAGCGAUUUAAUUUCCUGUCAAUAGACGAACGAGAAGAACAUAUGACUUAAACCAAUGCUCGCAUAAACUUGCUGUAAAAAGAUAUAAUCUCACUGAAAUGCACACGUCUAGAAUGAAUAGAAUUAAAACAGGGAAAAUCAAUCAAUUCCACCUUUUGCAAUUUCUUCUGUUCUAACAAAAACCAAUUUCUUUGUUCAAGUAUUUUCGUUUGGGUAUUAAUAAUUCUCCACCGAAAGAGUGAACUCUUGCUCAAGGGAUCUCUAAUCAAUUGCCGGAAGGGCGCCGAGACCUGAUCGGACCUAGGCCCAAGUUUGGUCUUAAAGCCUGGGCUUGAGCCUGGCAAUUAAAUUAAAACAUUAAUUGAUUUCUUGGUUGAUUUGUCGUGUAAUUGAUUUAUGGGGGAUGACACAUCAACAUACUUGAAAAUACACUAAUCUCAGCAUCAUCGGUUAAUAACUUUUAGAUUUAUGCGUAAUCAAUAGUUAAGAUUAGUUGUCAUUAAUACUAAAUAUUUUUUACUUUUUUUGUCUCUUCUAGAAAAAUGCAUCCACAAUUAAAUUUAAUACUUUACAUAAUAAACAAAGCAUAAAUGUUAAAUUUAAGAAACUGCAUUGUAUUUCAGCUGAAGUUGACUUUAAUAUUUAGGGUAGAAAAAAAUUAAAUCCUUAAUGUGUUUAAUUUGUAUCACUUGUGUCAUUAAAAUUUUCUAGUCACCCUAACCAAUUACAUCUCAACCCACUUUGUUUUUGGAUGAUUUUAUUUUUAGACUAUUAUUUUCAUCAUUUUUUUUCCUUUUAACACCAACAUUAGUGUAUGUUACGUAACAUAAUUCAUAUUUGGAUCAUUUGAAAUUUGCUUGUGUUUUAUCUAAAAAUAGAGCUUCAAUCAAAUUGUACCUCAUAAAUUCACAAUAUCUAUGAGGGCUAAUGAGACCAAACUCUGGCAUAUUGUCAAAUGUGCUUAUCCUUUUGCUUGACAUGUCAUUUUAAAAUUGUCAUUCAAUGCCAAAAAAUCACAUCAACUGAUGGCCGACUACUUUAAUUUGAAAGCAUGCAUGCGAUCGCCAAUAAUUAUAACUUAAUUGUUAUUUUGAAAUUUUUUUCUUUAUAAUUUUUAAGUUUAAUACUACUACAUGUGCAGCACAUAAGUUGGAAAAUAUAACAUAAAAUUUGAAAAAUGUGUAGCUUUCGUUCCUUUUUUUUCUUAAAAAUGGGAAAAAAGAAUGUAGUUUUGUUUAAAUUACUGUUGUGAUUACAAUUAUUAUUUUAUUGAUUAAUUGGCAGAGAAUCGUAAUGGUUUUGCAUGGUUGUUAAAACAUUGGAAAAUCCACUACAUCAUCCGUUAAUAACUUUCAGAUUUAUGAUUAAUCAAUAGUUGAGAUUUGUUAUCAUUAAUGCUAAAUAUUUUUUUAAUAUUUUCUCUCUCUCUUAGAGGAUCAUCCAAAGUAAAAAUUUAAUAUUAUAAAUAGUAAACAAAGUAUCAACGUUAAAUCGAAGAAACUGCAUUGCAUUUCAACUGAAGCUAACUUUAAUAUUUAAUGGAGAAAAGUAAUUAAGUCCUUAAUGUGCUUUAUUUACCCAUAUAUAUGGCUAAUUUUUCAAGAUAAAGGGGAAGGAUGAUGCUCAAAAAUAUAAAUUAUAGAAUUAAUUGAACUCUCAAGUAAGUUUAAAGUUCAUUAUUUUUAAUUACUUGUUUAUAAUUUAUUUUUAUUUCGUAUUAAUCUAUGGAUCUAAAUCCCCUUUGGAUUCAUAUACAUAUAUAGACAUAAUGUGUAUGUUAAUCUAUAGGUCUGAAUUCACUUUAGGUCUAUAUAGGUAUUUUGACAAAUGUACUCCAAUCAUGCAUAUUGGCAAGUUCUAACUACUCUAUUGAUAUAUCAAUAUUAUUUCUAACUGCACUAUAGGUCCAAAAAUAAGUUAGAAAUACAAAUUAACAUAAAAUAAAAAUAAUUGGUAGAAAAUACAAAUUAUAAACAUAUAAUUGAAAACGAUAAACUUUAAAUUUACUUAAGAGAGUAAUUAAUUUCAUAGUUAAAAUCUUUAAAUUUUACCCCUCAUCUUAACUUAAGAAAAUUAAUCACUUAUUUUAUUUAAUAAAGAAGAGAUUUUUUUCCCCUAUAUUUCCCAAUUAUUUCUCUCCCUCUCGCUCCCGUAAGUUAUACAACUUGAAGUGAAAUAUGAGUGGUCUGAUUCUAGCUUAAAUAAUUUAUUGUGACAUGCUAUCUAAGGACAAUACAUUACCUAGCUCUACAUAUUUUAUUUAACCUCCGGCCCACCCUGUGCAAACUUGCCUUUCCCCUGCAAGACAAGAUUAAUCAAUGUAUCAAGUCUCAAAUUCAAUUUCGAAUAUGACCAUCGUACGCUCUUGUUCUUCCCUCUUUACGAGUGCAUUCCCCCCAACCUCAAGCUCCCUCUCUCGUCUUCAAUGUCACUGCUUAUAUCCUUAUGUUGUUCUAGUUUGAAAUAGUGGCUUCCACUAUUUCAGGGCCCCCAAAAAUCCAGAAACAUACUAUUCAUCACGAUGACAAAAUUUUUGGCAGGCAGGUGCUUCCUGACUUUCACACGGUAAUUCUCAAAUUCUGAUUUCACCAUAUUUUAAUUACUGAUUAGCAUAUAUUCAAGUGCUCUCCAUUAUAACGGAAGCCGCCGCCUCACUCGUGAUUCCAAACUUUUAUCUUUUUUUCCUUUUUUAAAUUAAUGCAAGUAGCCGCUGUCCUUUUUAUUAAUUAAUUAGUUCGGCCGCCCACAUUUCUUUUCCUAAUGUCUUCUACUGUCGAUUUUCUUUUAUUUUCUCUUUUUUCUUAAAAUAUACUUAUAAUAAUAAAAUAUAAAAAUAAAAAUUAACAUAUCAAAAUAUAAUUUAAUAGAAAAUUAAGAUAAAAAAUAAAAAAAUUAUGAGCAUAUCAAUCAAUAAAUGAAAAAUAAUAAUUUUUAUUUUUAUUAAAUAUAUAUUUUUUAAAAUUAAUCAAUUAUCUGAAUAAAUCAAAUCAUUUAAAAAUAAAUAAAUAAAUUAUUCUUAAAUAAAAAAAAGAAACUUUUUAUAACACUCACUAUGCUGGUUGUAGGGUAGACGCUUUGGGGACUGAAGCUGGUAACUUCUACAAGUAGUCUUAAGUUGACUGGCAACAACUAUAUUGGCAUUUAGACAUAAUGUACUGCAACCAUAUUGGUAUGUUCAAAUGUUCUUACUAUUGUAUUGGUGUAUCAAUAUUAUCUCUAACUGCCUUAUAGAUUAAAAAAAAUCUAAAUUUACAAUUUAACAUAAAUAAAAUAAUUGGUAAAAAAACAAUUAUGGUUUAUUUACUUAUCAGUAAUCAGAAUAGACUGAAAUCGAAAUGAGCUGUAUUACCGUUAAUGUGUUUAUGUUGUCCUUGAAUCGGAAUGAAUUAUUUUAAGUUACUAAAAUAUCAUUGGUUUGUUAUUCUAAUUAUUAUUAUUUAAUAUUUAUUAUAAUAUUUGUCAUAUCAUUAAAAAGAAAUAAUAAUGAUGAUAAUAUUAUCAUUAUUGUUUGUUACAUUAUUAUUAUUCAAAAAAAUUAUUGUUAAUAACAAUAAUUACUUUAUUUCAAUAAUAAUAAUGAUGAAAUUAAUAAUAACAAACAUGACAACAACAAUAAUUAUUUAUUAUGCCAAAAAUAACAAUAAUAAUAAGAAUAAUAAUCAUCAUCAUUUUUUUCCCAAAGAAGCAUUAUCAUCAUCAUUUAAAAAAAAAAUCAUCAUCAUCAUUUUUGUAGUUACUGUUUCAAUUUAGGAAGAAGCUGUUUCGUUGUGCUAACGAUGGGAGAUGUUGUGGCUGCGAUUCGGGGAGCUACUAGUUUAUUGCACUAAUGACGACAGGUGCGGCUGCUUGAUGCGAGGUCCAUGGCCAGUUGUCAGCAGUUCGACUUUGGUAUGGGCGUUGCUGGUUCGAUUUUAGGUGUUGUCUAAUUUCAUUUUCAGGAUUUUAAUUUUAAUUUUUUUUUAUAUUUUCAUUAAUUAAUCAGUGCAAAGUUUGAUUUUAGAAUUUGGAAUGAAGGUAAUUUUGUUAAUCAUGGAAAUGAGAUUCUGAUUGUCGAGAAUGAACUUACAAAAUUGCUGCAAAUUAAGUGAAAACAAAACGCUUUUUCUCUUUGUGUGAUUAAAACAUGAAAUGUACCAUAAAUAAAUAGGUAAAAAAUAAAUCAACACAAUUCAAAAUAGUAAACCAAUUACAAGAGGCACAAAUUUUUAUGUGAAAUACCGAAAAUGAAAAAAAACUAUAGCAUCCUAGUCUAAUAUAAUCUUCUACUAUAUUAAUGGGAUUACAGCACAAAUUCUUCCCUAUCUAACACUAGAGAUUAACAAUAUCAAAAAUCUCAAUAAUCUUAACUUACAAUACAACCUAAUAUAUGUCUCUCUAAUAAGUAGAUAUCUAAAAUAACAGUCUCUAAUAAGUAGGUAUCUCAAAUAAUAGUUAAUAAGAGGAUAAAACAAAAAUUAAGAUUAGUAGAAUGUGUAUAAGGCGAUGCUAUCAACUUAUCUUCUAAAUUUGAGAAAAAUAGUUAAAUUCACUUUUUCGAUUGUACGACCAAAGAUGGAAACCCUUGCCCCAAAACCAAAGGAAUCACCAUUGUGUUUUUUUUCUCUCUUUCUCUUUCUCGUUCUUCUCUUCUACUUUUCUUAAUGUUAGCCGCCACUUGCUUUUAUUCUUUAUAGCAUUUAAAAAGCUACUUUUAAUGGUAAAUUCAUCUAAGUCCAAAACUUAGUGAUAAUUGCACACCAAACAAUCCUUUUUGGACUAUGGACUUUUGGGCCUCCAAAUGAGAUGAAUACAACAAAUCUCCCCCUUCAGAUUAUGUGGGGGGCACUACAAGCCCGCUCUCUGCAUAUAGCUUUUCAGCUUCUCCUUGAAUAAUGACUUUGUCAUCAUACAUAACCCAUUCUUCGUUGUGUAAAUCUUCUCAAGCUAUAACUGUUCUUUCUCAAGCACGUCUCAUAUCUAAUGAUAUCUCACAUCAAUUUACUUAGAUUUCGAAUGGUAUAUCAAAUUCUUUGAACGGCACUCUGACUGUCGCAGUACAUAACAUAGUUGUCUCAUUUUAUAUCCAGCUCUUGUAGGAAAUUCUUCGUCCACAAUAUUUUUUUGCAACCUUCAAUAAUUGUAAUAUCAUUUGCUUUAGUGGUAGAAAAGGCAACUUAUUACUAAAGUUUAGAUUGCGAUGAGCUCCCCCUGCAAAAGUGAGCAAACAUCCUAGUACGAAUUUUUCGGAAUCAACAUCUCCUGCCAUAUCUAUACACUUGUAACACAGGUUUGUCACCACCAAAAUAUAAACAUGCUCUGGAAAUGCCUUUAAGAUAUCUGAGAAAUUUUCACUGUUGUCCAGUGCUCUUUACCGGGAUUGAAGAGAAACCACUGACUACACUAGCUGUAUAAGCAAUAUCUGGUCUUGUACAAAUUAUGGCGUACAAUAAACUGCCAACUGCUGAAGCAUAAGGAACUCCUCUCAUGGAGAAAUGGGUUUUGCUCUUGAGAAUUUUGGGAACAUAAAGAAUAAAGAUGUAAUUUCUUGGACUGCCAUUGUUUCGAGGUAUAUAAACAGAAGACAAGUCGAUAUAGCUUGACAAUGUUUUGAUCAGAUGCCAGAACGAGAUUAUGUCUUAUGGACUGCCAUGAUUGAUGGGUACCUUCGAGUGAAUAGGUUCAAAGAGGCUUUGACGCUUUUUCAGGAGAUGCAAACUUCAAAUAUAAUGGGAGACAAGUUUACCAUUGUUAGCAUUCUUACAGCUCGUGCCAAUCUGGGGGCACUAGAUCUGGGAGAAUGGAUAAAGACUUAUAUUGACAAAAACAAAGUCAAGAAUGAUAUAUUUGCGGGGAAUGCUUUGAUAGACAUGUACUGUAAAAGAGGAGAUGUUGAGAAAGCUCAAAAGGUAUUCAGGAAGAUGCUUUGAAAGGACAAAUUCUCAUGGACGACCAUGACUGUUGGCCUUGCCAUCAGUGGCAAUGGUGAUAAAGCUCUUGAUAUGUUUUCCCAAAUGCUUAGGGCUUCGAUCAAACCGGAUGAGGUAGCUUAUGUUGGUGUUCUGUCUGCCUGUUCUCACAAUGGUAACGAAACUUUUGUGAUAAAUAGUUGCAACUUAAGGUGAGAAUUGGAGGAAAGGAAAUAGACUGAAGUUGUUCAAUCAUCAGUGGUUGCUAUUUGGUUUUAAGUUGUUCAAUUAUCGGUCGUCUCUAUUUGGUUUUCUCCAAUAUCUCAUCUUCAGUUUUGACUCAGAUUCUAUCUUACCACUAUUGUUCUGUUCAUUCUAUUUGUUUCCUACAAAAUAUUUCUCCUGCCUAAAAUUUUUUGAAUCAGUAAGUUUUUAUCUUAUGCAAGAAUUGUGCUGAGAGUAAUUCCAUUUCUCAGUCUCGUUAUGUUUCAAUGAAGACGUAAAACUUGUGUUCUAGUGCACCAAUGUUUAUGCUUCUUACAAUUUGACUUUAAUUUACUUUGUAAAAUUUUUGUCAAAAAGUACUAAAAAGUAGUGCACCAAACACCAACUUUAUUAUAGAGAGGACUUUAGUUAAAUUUUAAGAAAACACUCAAAAGAAAGAGUUAUAAUUUAUUAUAGAAAUAUUUCACAUAAAUAAAAGCCAUCCCAUGCUGCAAAGAUCUUGCUAUAAUCACCAAAAACUAUCGGGAGCUUUUAGGGUUUCCAUAAAAAUGUCAUUUCGUUCCAAAAGUCAAUGGUGGGUAGAAAGUGGUGCAAAUGAGACUCAUUCUUAAUGGUAUAAGUUUUUGCUUAAUUAUGUCUUCCCCAAGAUGAUGAUUUAAUUUCCAUUCUCAAUUAAUUUUCAAGUUUCAACACUUUUCUAUGUAGCAUGACAUUGGAAAGAUCUUGUACAGUUGUACUACUAAAAGCUAGCAUCACACGUUAGUUAUUGUUAAGUUCUGUUUCAACGUGAAAUAAAGGAAGUAGUCCUUCAUUAAAACCAUUAUAGCCAAAUUUCACCUAAUUGGACACUUACAGACUUUCAUUUCAAGUUGGAUUUUGGUCCAACGUUUCAAAGUUUGGCCCAAUUAUUUUUGUCCGGUCAAGUCCUACGCAGCUAAGCCUCUCAAUGAAUGAGGGUGAGAUUGCUAAAAAUUACGACAGGUGAUAUUUUAUUAUUAUUAUUAUUAUUAUUUUUGGGGGAUAAAUCCUCACCAAAGUGAGGAGAUUUUAUCCAAAUCAAAAUAAAAAUAUAACAAGAACUGAAAGUCGGGCAGCCUAAAAGCUAGAUGAACUAAAAGUCAGGCGCCUAAAAACAACCUUAUGCAAAAGAGAAGCAAUAUGAGACCGAUCAAGUAAAAGAAUCCACCGCAACACCUAAAUUGGCCAAAUUAUCUGUUGGUAUUACAAGUUUCUUGUUAUAAAAGUGUAGAAUGAAGUAGGUGACGUAGUUUUAAGUUACAGCUGCAUGCCCAAUCGCAAUAUCAAAUAAUGCUUAAAUAUCAAAUAAUGCUUAAAGUAGUUGCCUAGGCCCGCCACAACUUAUAUUAACUCUUAAAUUUAUAAAUAAUUAAAUUUUUAAAAGUUUGGAUUUAUAUUAAAAAAUCUUCAUAUAAAUAAAUAAUAUAUGCACUUUUACAACAGUCUUUAAAUUUAAAUUUUUCAAAAAAAAUCUUCUGUAUAUCUUUUCUAUUAAAAAAAUUUCCAUAUAAAUAAAUAAUAUACCUAAUUUAAUUGGACCGAGCACAACGCACAUGCAUAGAACACAUUCCGAAAAGCCAUGCUAUUCAGAAAUUGACGAAUGAAAAGUGAGGAGGCAGCAGUCAAUGCUAUUUCGGCUUGGCCCAAAAUUGAUUUAUCAGUUUGACGUGUGCCAGGAAUGAAGAACUGGAAUAUCACCGUCAAGCAGCACCCUGUGGAGCAAUACCAUAGAAUGCACAAUCUGGCUUUGCCAGGUGACACUGGAGGCUUUUUGAAAAGUGCUUCAAAAAGCCUUUUCUGAUCGAGUCUGAGCACUCAAAUUUUGGUCCUCAGAUGGAGCUACAGCUUUCUCUCCAAUAACCAACAAUUUUCUAAACUCAGCUCCUAGUGUGAUGAGAGUUGUUGAUAUUUGUAAAUGGAGAUCCCCGUAUUUGCAAAUGGAGACAUUUACCAAAUCACCAACAUGCUUCAUCCAGUCUACGAAAUUCUGCAGCUGAUUCAAAUCCGGAACCUGAACCAGAGUCGGAGGUAAAUCUUGAGCCAUAUCUAAAGCAGUCUGAAGUUCAAGUACUUGAGCCCUUGACAAUGGUUUUGAAAUUGGAACAUCUUGGAUUACUGCAGACUUGUACCCCUUGGUUUCAAAGGUAAGGAAAGGCAUUGCUUGAGUACAAUUUGGAGGCAGCUUCUUCACCAAUUUUAUUUGGAGGCAAUUGGCAGCGGAUCCAGCUGCACCAAUUUCAGAGCAAAUACUGACACUACUUCAAACAGCACGCUGAAGAAGAGAUAUGUCUAUGGCAAAGACAAUGCAGUCCUCAUUUUGACUUGAGAUGCGGUAAUCAUCAAAGAGAGUUUCCUUGUGAAACUGGGCAACACAUUGAAUCCCUUCACCACUGAGAAGGUUGUGGAGGAAGCAAGCUUUCUCUCUAGUAAGGAAGAGGUGGCAUACCUUCCCCAUUUUGUCUAGGACAGGUAGGAAUCUUUUUUCUAAGAGAUUUACUCCAUUCUCUGUGAGAAAUGCUUUGAACUUCAUCCCUCUGUCUCUAUCCUCACUUAUCAGUAAAAUAGUUGAAAGCACUACAAGGAGAGAAAAGAAGAGUAUUAAGAUAUAUAUAGACAAGAAAAACAUUAGAUGUCGAUCUUACAAGCUAAUACUUCAAACAGUAUCCUAGAAAGCUAAAAACUGCAAAAUGGCUUGAAAUUUGAAAAGAACACAUGCUUUUCCUCCUUAACUUGAGAAAAUGUUUAAUAUAGUGCACCUUACAGAAACAUUUAAGCAAUUAGAACUUUGCACAAAAACAUUCAAGAAGACUAAACAAAUCAGAUGCAGUGUAUUUCUCCAAGCACAAAUGGCAUUGCAUUUUCUCCUCAACUGUAAUAUUUAUUGAUGAAAAUCAGUACAGGUCCCUCAUUUGUUAUGGAAAGCUUUCUUGUAGUCUGACCGGUUAAUUCACGGGUCUAUAAUCAUCUUGCAAAGUUACAGGCAUUUCUUUCGAUUUAAAGUCUUUGCAUCACCACCUCAUCACACACCAAGCCAAUAUUCCGUCUACCUCUACAACAAAAAGUUUUAAGUAAACGAUCCUAAUGCAUGCAGCCAAAUAAAAUGCAGUAAGAAUAUUCAACUUAAAACUCUGAAAGCCAUCUUGGUGAAUUGCCUCCUUAGGGGAAGUUCCAUGCUUUACUAUACUUGACAGGACUGAGCAAAAGCUUCCAUACGACAGAUUUUGACAAUAAUGAUGCCAACAGAUCCUCAUUAAAUCCAUUAAAACUCCAAAGGUUCAUUGUUCAUGGAUGUUUACAGAGUUUUGGUCAUCAAAUAGCUCAGACCACAAUCCCAAACAAAAAAGGAGUGAAAAUUAGAUCACCAGCAGCUAAUUGUAAAUUCUAACUUAACUCUUCAUCUCCUUUGUAAACAGGAGACAAAAUGGAGACACGCAAAAUGAAUAAGGAGAACAUUUGAACUCAAAUGAAAUGAGGGCACGAAAUCAAACAAAUGGCAUGCGCAAACAAACCAAGCCUCAAUCAAAAACUAAAUAACCAUUAAGAAAAAAAAACUGGUCAGAGAAUGAACUCCAAAUUCGGGAGUGAAGCAAGAAGCUUUCAUUAUUUCAGAAGCUCCUGUACAAAUUAAUAAGUUAUGCUCUUUGGAAACAAACCUAAAUUCCAAGAGAAACAGAACUCAAAAAAUUUGCAAUUAUACGCAAAGGAAGCGAAGCACAGCAUUCUAUCACACGUACAAAUUGUAUAACAAGAGAUCGACACAUCGAAUCAGAAGAAUUCAAUUCAAAUUUGUCUCAAAAAUCAAAAUUAGAAGAUUUCACAUUUCGAGAGGAACAAGCGACAGGUCAGAUGCACAAUUUUCAACCACAACAUGCCACAAUUAACGGUUUAUUUCCAUGGAUUUAGAGAGCUGACUGACCUUUUGGCUUUUGGAAUUGAGAAGAACGCGCGCCAAAAUGGAAGAGGGAAAGCGAAAGUGCGGGUUUCAAUAGGGUAUUGGAUUAGCAAAUUUUAUUAGUUUGCGAGGGUAAAAUAGGAAAGAGAUAUCACUAUUAACUUUUUUUUUUAUAAGAAAAAAGAAUAAUAAAGAAUAUUUUAUUGUCAUUUGCAGCAUUUAAUUUUUUUUAAAUGCUAUUAGAAAAAAACGACAAUAAAGAAAUGCUCUUUUUUUAUUUUUUUCUCGAAGGUAAAAUCAAUUAUUUAGCGUCUUAUAUGUAAUCUAACUCCAUUUCUUACUUUAAGUCAUAUCCAACUGACCAAUAAAGUAAUUGUUUUUUUUUUCAUUCAUUUUUACAGAAAAUUAAUAUUGAAAGCUAUUGUAAAAAUUUUUAUUAUCAACCUCAUAGUUUAAUUUUUUUGGGGAAGAAUUGAAUUUUUUUUUUUAAUUUCCAAGAAUUUCAUUCUCUAGUUUUUCCAUUAAUAUUACUUAUCUUGAUACCCAUCUUAAUUAAAAUCUGUAGUUUUAUUCAGGAGUCAUGCUAUUCAUUCACUCACAGACCAAAGGCUUUCCGCAGCAAUAUUAUUAUUUAAAUUACAACAAAGGGGAAAUCAAAUACGUCAUACAGAAGCUUAAAGCUGAAUCUACAAAAUCUAGAGCUCUCAACUACAAAAAUUACACUUGAUGAUCCUCUACAAGAUGAAACUUGUUCAAUAUCUCAUCCAAAGCUUGUAAAGUAACCUUGUAACGAUCUUGAGAUUGCCUGCCUUCCUCGACGACCUGCACGAUGCGUUUGUACAAAUCAUCAUACCUGUGCACCGGAUUUUUAAUAUCAACGCCACUGCAGCUGUGAUCAAGAACAUAAGAGCGUUUAACAUCUUUUCUCCAUCGAGAAAGAAUGUAGUGAGGUGGGAUCUCCUGCAUGCCACUCUGGUUUAGAACACAAAGAAUGUGUCUGCAUAAAUAUCCUCUGAAAUUGAACAACCCACAAACACAAAGCACCUCCUGCAUAAAUAUCUUUCUCGUUGCUACCAAUCUCAAAUUCUUCCUUCACUAUCUAUGUUAUAGGUCCAUCAGCACUGACAUGUUUUGUGCUAUAGCAAGAGUACAUAGCCUCCACCUCCGUCUGAAACUUCCUUAACAUUUCAUUUGUGUACAGUUUUGAGAGUUGAAAUUCAUAGUAACAUCUUGGUUUCUGGAUACAACUUGAAUUUCUUGAAUCCAUAUCUGCCAAGGCUUCCAGUUGAUAAUUCGCCUGCAGUGCUUGAUCAUACUUGUCUAAGAAUUCUUUCAAAGGAGUACUCUUAUCAAGAUAUCCUUCAAAGUAUGAAGUAGAAACCUCAUUCUGCAGGAAUGAAAACACUCCUGAUAAAAAUGCUUCCUUCAAAUAAACAGGAGCCCACCUUUUACGAUCUUCAUAUAAAGUUUGAAUCCAUCCAUGAUCCUUUAUUCCAUGACGUUGAAUCGUGUCCUCCCAAGCUGUCUCAAAUUCCUCAGGCCUAAGAGAGUGAUAAAUUGCUCUAUGCAAUGCAGCUCUAACAGCUUCAUAUUCAAACAAUCCUUGGAGUUUCUCUGAAAUUUUUUGCAUGACGCAUGACAAUGAAAAGCAAUGAUAAGCUCUUGGGAAAGCAUUGCUGACGGCAGUUUUCAAGAUUCUACAUUGGUCAGUGAUGAUUGUUUGUGGACAGCGUCCUAACAUACAUGUAAGCCACGCCCUAAACAACCAUGUAUAUGAUUCUAUAGUCUCACUGGCGAGUAAACCACAGCCCAACAGCACUGAUUGUCCAUGAUGAUUCACCCCAAUGAACGAAACCAGUGGUACAUCAUAUCUUUCUGUCAAGCAUGUAGUAUCAAUUAAGACUACAUCACCAAAGUACCUAUAUGCAACUCUUGACCUGGUAUCAGUCCAGAAGAGGUUUCUCAGGCAUCCCUUUUCAUUUAGAUCCACCACAUUAAAAAAGUUUGGAUCUGUCAACUGCAAACGACAAAAGAAACUCUGGACAGCUUGUGCAUCUCCUGGUUUAAGCUUCAAUUGAUUUGAGCUAUUAACAUCAUUUCCAAAUACUCCAUUAACAUCUAUAUUACCAUUUCCCUCGGUAUCAAGGAUAAGAGUUCGAAACAGUCUAAUUUUUUGAACUUCUUCAGCACCAUCUAAGAGCAAUGUUCUUUUGGUUCCAAUACCCAUGUGCUUAUGAGACUUGUAAAACUUUCCGCUUCUUGGGCUUAACAAACGGUUAUGCUCAAGCUUGACUUCAAUGAUUCUCCACCUUUUGGUUUCCAUCAACCUAAACUUUAUCAUUGCUGGACAGCCAGUUCUUGUUUCUGGUCUUGGGCGGUUUGCCUCGCUUUUCUUCUUUAAGCCUGCACUACUACAGCUCAGCUUUCCUCUAUACUUUUCUCUACUCUUUCGGUACCAUGUAUUGCUAACUCUAACACCAAAACCCUGUUCCUUGGCAUAGCAAUUAUAAAAGUAAUAUACGUCAUCAUACGUCUCAAACUCCAUCCCAACAGCAGGAGGCAAUGGAUUUUGGAUUAUCCCAGUUUGUCCAACAUAUUCAGUCAUCGCACAAUCUCCUAUUCAAAAUCAUCAGCGUCAUCAUCACCUACGGGUUCAGUAUUCAGAGAAACUUCAUCCAUCUACAAUAGAUGUUUAAUGAAGUGAGCUUUAAGGAGAAAAGGCAAAAUCAGUUCAAGGAAUGAUAAUAAAACCGUACAGUUACUUUCACAAAGCUUCGUAUUUCAUCACUACUUUAACAACAUGCAACUGCCUGAGAACAUACAGACAUGUCAUAGAUGCUUGAAUUAAGUAUUGAUACAAAUUAGCACACAUCAUGUGGGACACAAUUUCAGUCACUAAACCCAAUACCUUUUUUUUACAUCAUACCAAGAAACAGAUUAAACCCAAUACCUUCUUUUACGCCAUACCAAAGAACAGAUUAAAUCAUCAAUGAAAAAUUAAUCACAUAAUAAUUUAACUAGACAAUUGAAGAGCUCAAAACAGCACAAUACUUGAAUCUGAUUAUGAUAAUUGUUGAGUCCUUGUAUCGACAGCUUUCCUUCAAUGAGAAGAUUAUGAACAUAAACUACACACAAAAAAAAAAAUUAUUUAAACUGACAGCCCAUGAUAUAAAUCAAACAAAAUUAACUCCUUUUACAAAUCACAUCUUGUAUUCAUUUACAUCGAAACAUAAAAAGGAAGCAGGAGCCAAAAAAAACAACAGCACAGAAACUUCUUUCCAUAAGGUUUACGAAAUAAGGAAUUUAUUAAGACACAAAAUUUGAGGUCACCUAUAAUAAUUUGGUUCUCAUUCUCUUUUUCUUCAUUUUUCACUUAUUGAUGGAGUUAGCAUACAAUCCUAAAUGAUAAAACCCCAUCUCCAUUUUUGAACUAGAGCUAAAGCAAAGCAUUUUAGGAUUCAUCAUUUUUUUUUCUAAAAGACUCAAUAGUACAAUGUUUUUCAAUAUUAAAUACACAACUCAAUCUUCUCCUAAUUUACUCUAAUAAUCUCUUAACUUAGGAAGAUUAAGCUCCACUUGUAAGCUAAAACAAUUUUCUUAAAUCAAGCCCCAAUGCUCUAUACUAUUCAACAAGGCCUCAUAAAUGAUAAAACUACCUCUACAAAGAUACCCAUUUUAGUUUCGCAAACUAAAAUCAAACUCCUGAAACGUAACGAGCAUUAAAACAAACAAGUCCGAACAAGAACUGAAAAAUCAUACAUAAACUCGUUUACACGCUUCGAAAAACACUUUGAAAUUCAAACGAAACAUACCUUAGGUUGAUAAAUUAGUAGCGCAAAAGAAAUUUUAGUGAGAUAUGGGAUCAGGGUUUUUGCCACGGUGAUGUUAAUUGCGACAUUGGGGUGACUCAGCAGCCUUCGAGGCUGAAACUUUGAUUGACCAAAAGCUUCCCGUUCGUUGAUUAUCUAAUUGCAGAAACGAAACUCGCAGUGUACAGAAGAAGUACGCUGAUUUGAUAAUUCUGUGAAAAUCAUUGUUUUUUUGAGAUUUUUAAUGUGUUCGGUAAAUAUCAAAAUCUCAAAAACUUGUCUUUCAUUUUGGGGGGAAAAACCCAUUGAGAUCCUUAUGUUUUUUCUUAUAUAAUCUGGCUUAAUAAUUUGCAAAGUCUAUUACUUUGCACCCAUGCAUGCUGCGUUUCAAUUUUACAAAAUUGUACGUGAGUGCAUCCAGCUAAAAUUUGUAAAAAGAAAAUAACAAUAACAUGUUAAAAAUGUGAUGAUUAUGAAGAAAUUUUAAUUUAGUUAAAUAGGUGACGAUGGAUAGGUAUAAAAUCUGAGAUCUUUUAUGAGAUUAAUAAGUAUGUUGAGUUUGGAUUAGUUCAAUUUUGACAUAAUACAGAAUAAACACAAUCUGCUAAUCUAAGUUAUCAUCUUUUCUCGUCAUCAGGUACCUGUUUGAAAAAUAAUUAUAUACAAUUUUAUUUGCGUUGUCUCUCCAAAAAUUUUGGACUCGAAUGUUAUUUUUAAUUGCUAAAAGUACGAAAAUGCCCCCUUUCUCUUCAGCUAAAGGAGUGCAAAGUCAUCUGUAUAAUUGAAUCUGCAUCAUCAGUUUCUAUUGCUGGCUGGUGUUACUGCAUGCUUACAGUUGCUUGACAAAGUGAGCCAGUUUUUUGUUUAUUAAUUUUUUUUCUUGUCGAGACAGUCACAAAGUAUUACUUGUUCCAUAUGAGAAUGAUGUGAAUCAAUUUUUCAAUUAUGCAUUCUGUGGUAAUUAUUGUGAAUUUAGUUUCAUUUGUCUUGUCUCCUGCAAAUUUUGAAGAAAAUGCAGACAUACAAACUUACAAUAUGGAAGAGUUCACUGGAAAAAACUUUGUGAAAGCUUCCAAGUGAAACAGGGAAUGGGCUUACUAGUAAAGGACAAAUUGGUGGCCAGCUAAUGCAUUCAUUCUAUGUCCAUUCAUCUUUUCGAAUUAUUGAAGACAAGUGGCUCACCACUUUUAGUAUUGGUAAAAUUCAGAUAAUCUCUAUUCCGAAAUAAUAAUAUUCAAAAUAUCUCUUAAAUCAUUAUAAACCUGAAAUCUAUUUUAAUUUUAUUUAAAAGAUAAAAGAAAAAUAGGUUAUGUUGGUGAUUUUUUAUUAUCUUUUUAAUAAAAAUGAAAUAAAUUGAUGUUUAUAAUUAUUUAAAGUAUUUUAAAGAUUGCUAUUUUAUGAGAGAAUAAUAUUUCACUUUUUUAGUGUGAAAGAUUGAAAAAGGACAAACCAAGUUUCCCUAAUUUUUAUUUUAUUUGAAAUUGGUCAUCUCACAUACUUCACCCUUCAACAUUAUAAUUUUUUUGGUUAUAAUUUUAUUAUUUUUUCUCUUUUACACAUGCAUGUGAAUUACUUUUCUUUAAGCUCCUGAAUAUUUAAGACAAAUCAUGGAAGAGAUGAGAGUAUAACAAGAUGAUCAAAAUAUGUAACAAAAAAAUUUUAGAAGUGAAAAAUAUGUUAGAGUCGAAGUAAAACUCUGAGGUGAUGUUUGAUUUGAAGAAAAUGGAGGAGAGGAAAAGAGUGGAAUGGAGAGGAAAAUAGAGAAAAGGAGAGGAGAGGAGAGUGAAAUUUUUUUCUAAUGUUUGGUUUGUCACAUAAUUAUACAAAGAAAAGAAAUCUCUAAUUUUUUAUUUAGACAAUUUUAACCUUAAUAAGUAUUAAGCUUUCAAUAUUUAUCAUGUGUAUAAUUUAAAAAAAGUAAAUGGUAGAAAGCGGUUUCUGAUUCCGGCCACAUCGCCGGCAAUGGAAGGUACUUAUCAGAACAUCAAGAGCCGACCAUCAUUCCCUAGCCAUCACUGCUGUCAGAACACUGCCAGAAAGCUGCCGAUUGAACCGCAAAAAGUCGUGGAAAUCGCUGCCUCAAAUCGGUGAGUUUCGCCUUUUUCUGGUCACGCCGUCACCUUGGCUUUGUCCAUCAAGGCUGCCACUUCCAUUUUCAACCAUCCAUAGCCACUAUUAACGGCCAAAUCGCCGCCGAUCAGCGGGAUAUGUGGAAGUUAAAAAGUUUCUAAAUUUUUUUGACUGGAUUUGAACAACAUACGACCAUUUUUUGAUCUCGAUAACGACGUAGUAAUGUUGAUCAUUGAUCGGCAAGUCGAAUGGUAGUGGCGGUGAGUAACAUGCGCCAAUGACAUCGGCGGCGGCACUAUCCGGCGACUGUUAAAAUUAAUAUUUUAUAUUUUUAGAUUAAAUAAAUUUAUUUUAUUAAACUUUUUAAAUCAUUAUUUAAAUUUAAUUAAUUUAAAAUUAUCUAUAAUGUUGAAUUGAUAAAAUAAAUUUAUAAAUAAUAAUUAUGUGAUUACAUUAAAUAAGUUAAAAAGUUGAAAGGUUAUUUUUGGAAGAUUUAGUUUCCAACACAAAGGGAAUUUGAAUUCUUCACUUCUUAGUGUGGAAUUCAAAUUCUAUAUUGUAAUGGAUAUUAAAUUCCAAUAGAAAUUAAAUUCUUAUAAAUUAUGUCAAACCAAACAACGGAAAUAAAAAAGGAAUUUAAAUUACUUUCCUUUCCUCCAUUGUCUCCUUCCAACCAAAUACAUCCUGAAAAUAGAGAUAUUGAUUAAUUUAGAAGAGAUGCAAGCAAAAGAUAUUCCAAAAAAAAAAAAAGCAAUAUGUCCCUUUGGAGGGCAAACUUGUCAGUUUUAAAAAAGUACAUGCUUUGGAUUGAUAGUUGUAGGAUAUUUGUUUUGUCACUAUGUAUUAGUUGGAGAAGUCAAGCCUUGUGAAGAAUGUUAUGAAAGAGCAAAAGAUAUUCCUGAUAGCUGAUAGAGCUAUAUUUGAUUAUGUAUCCAACGAAUGGAUGUGUUGUUGGAAGAUAUCUGAGUGCAUUAGUUCAUAUGUGUAUGUCAAUGUGCUUUUAAUGAUUUUUCCACUUGUUUGUUGUAAAAGAUUAUUGUAAAUUGAAAUGAACUUGAUGUUGUAAUAUUUUUUCCUUAGUGGAAUUUCACCUAGUAUGUAUUCAGUUGUGUUCUCUAUAAUUUUGCAUUCGAAUAGUUUCACCUAAAUAUAUUAGCAUGAGUAGUGGCCCUUGAAACUUUGGUCAAAAUUAUUGUUAUUAUUUCCGACUAGAUGUAAAUUUUUUAUUAAAUCUCGUUAACACAAUUCUUAAUUAAAAGUAUAGGUUAGUGUUGGUGCAAGAUUUGCCACACCAAAUUCUGCCUAGCUGUCAAAAGUGCAAAAUAAAUGAAGAGAAAGCACAAAUACACGACUUGAAUAAGGAUACAACGAAACUUAAAUUCAAGAGAAAAUGAUAGCUAUAUCUCAAGAUUUGAAAAAAUGAUCAUGUAGAUUUUUAAGAUUUCAAUAAGCGACUGAGAUUCAAAUAAUAUCCUUUAAUUCUAUUAACAAAAAACAAAGACUCAAAUAUUUUAUGAUAAAUAAAAAUAUAAUAUUAAAAUAUAUGUGAUAAUAUACACAUUUUAAAUACUUUCAAUCCAAAAAAAUAGUUAUGUUUUACAAUCUAUUAGACAUAUUUUAUUAAAUUAAUAUAAAUUUUCUAUAAAAUAAGAAUAUAAUAUUAAAAUAAAUUCACUAAACUUUAAAGAAUUUUGAAUGUAAAAUAAUUUUAAUAUAUUAAUACGUGAGUUUUUUUAUUAAUAUAAAAAUUAUUUAACUUUAAGAUUUUUUAAAAUCUUUACAAUAAGUAUAACUAUAUUAUUUACAUUUAAAAAUAUUUAAAUAUUAUUAACCUACAAUUAUAUUUGCAUUUGUUAGAAAUUUUUUAAGUAAAAUAUUUUGCACUUCUAUAUUAUUAGAAUUAUUGCACACAAAGAAAGAAACAUAUACCUUUAGAAAUUGUUUUCUUUUAAAAUAGAGAUGAUGAUUAGUAUAAGGAUGAAAAAAAGGAUAUUAACGAAAUCUCUAUACAAAUUGAUUUUAGUAGGAAAAGAGUGAGAUGAAUGAUUCUUUUACAAUUAGAAACAUAGAUGAUGAUUAUUAUAACGAAGAAAAAAAGAUAAAGAAUAUUAAUUAUUAAUGGAAUCUCUAUGCAAAUUGAUUUUAGUAGGAAAAAAAUGAGUUAAAUGAUUUAGAGUGCGUUUGGAAUUGAGAUUGGGCAGCCAUAGAUUUUAAGUUACAACACUGAAGUGUUUGGUAAAUACUAGCUGCUGCAGAUUGAAAGUUAUGUUGAUAUGAUUUUUCACAUGUAUCAUAGAAAAUAUAUUACAUCUUUAAUAAUUUUUUUAAAAUUUAUAUUUGCUAUAUAUUAUUAUUAUUUUUUUUAUAGUUAUAACUUUUUUUCCACAGCAGCUGUAGCUUAAAAGCCACAGCACCUCAAUUUCAAACAAGUCCUUAGACAUUCAUAGUGUGUUUAUUUUUUGGAUUGGUGAAUAAAAAUUAUUGACAACGCUAACUUCAUCUUCACCGUUCGCAAUCCAACAGCAGCAAUUGUCACCAAUAAUGAUAUCUCCAAUGAUGAUGACAAUUAUUAUUAUUAUUAUUAUUAUUAUUAUUAUUAUUAUUAUUAUUAUUAUUAUUAUUAUUAUUAAUAAUUAAUUAAUUAAUUAAUAUAUUAAUGUUAAGAUUAUUAUUGUUAAGAUUAACAAUAAUUAUUAGUAAUACAAUUUUUUGAAUAAAAAUAAUCACAAUAAUUAAAAUACAAAUUAAUAAUUAUGACAAUAGUUAAUUAAUGUCUUUUUAGUGAAUCAAAAUUAUUGACAACGCUAACUUCAUCUUCACCGUUCGCAAUCCAACAGCAGCAAUUGUCACCAAUAAUGAUAUCUCCAAUGAUGAUGACAAUUAUUAUUAUUAUUAUUAAUUAAUUAAUUAAUUAAUGUUAAGAUUAUUAUUGUUAAGAUUAACAAUAAUUAUUAGUAAUACAAUUUUUUGAAUAAAAAUAAUCACAAUAAUUAAAAUAAAAAUUAAUAAUUAUGACAAUAGUUAAUUAAUGUCUUUUUAGUCAUUUAUAGUAAACAAAUUAUUAUGAUUCCUAUUCUCCUUUCCCAUUUUAGCUCACUUUGAUUUCAGUCUAUUCCGAUUUCUAUCUAAUAAAUGCACCAUUAGUGCUAAAGUAAUAUUUCAUACAUAGAAAAGUAAAAACUACACCUAAGGUUAAGGGAAAGGACUUCAAAACUCUCUUUUGAUUAUAAUACUAGGAAAUAAAACCGCGCUUCGCGCGGCUUUAGAAAAUAAAUUUAGUAUUAUCAAUUUUCUUUCUUUACACUCGACAAAACUGAUAAAAAAUAUAAAUUAAUUUUUUUUAAAUGAGCCAGCGUUAUAAAACUAAUAUUAUUUAUGAAAGUUAACUAUUUUUUUGUUAACUUUAAAAAUAUAUAUUAACGUGUAUAGUUUAAGUGUACAGACUUUAUACCUUUUGUAGUUGAUAAGUUCCAAAUUAAAUUUUGUAAUUGAGGAUCCUUAGCAUUGAAGUAUAAAAGAAAUAAGUAAAAUACAUGUAAAGACUUUUGUAAUUUAUUUCGCAUCGUUUGUAGCUGCGUAGGUGAGCAGUUGUUUAUAUCAAGCUUGCAGCUAUGGCAAGUUCCAAUGGGGAUCAGCAACACCUAGUGCCAAAAUGUUCUUUAUCUGUAUAUAAACCAUGUCUCCAUGGAUUAGAGAGAAUGAAAGGAGAAACAGUUGAUGUAAAAAAGAAUGCUUCUUCACGUACUAUGUUCUUUGGCGAUUAAAUCCUCCAUAACAGCUUGGAAAACUCAGCCAAAUUACCAUUUUGUUGUCUCGAUAGUUCCUUUGAUUUAUCCAUUUGUCUACUGAAUAAUUAAAACACAUAAUAAAAAUCAUUAUUAUAGGGUGAAGUAAGAGCUUGCAAUGUAUAAAUUAAAUUUUAAAAUAUAAUCUAAAAAUGUGAUACCUUGAUUUUGUGAGCUAAUGUGUGAAUAUUUUGAAAUACUUCUUUGUAGACAAUGUUUUUUAUGAAGGUUCGGUCUUCUACCUCUUGAUCGGCAUUUAGUAUGGUCAAUCCUUCUCUUGAGGUAACUCGAGACACGGCGACAUAUAAUUGACCAUGUGUGAAUACUUGCUUAGGGAGAUACAAGCCAACAUGUUUAAGAGAUUGUCCUUGGCUUUUGUUGAUCGUCAUGGCAAAACAUGGUGCUAAAGGAAGUUGUCGUCUGUUAAGCUUGAAUGGCCAUCUUGAUUCAUUAGGAGACAUAAUAAUUCUUGGAAUUGUGACAUUUUGUCCAAUAUUUGUUCCAGAAAUGAUGUCACCUCUAAUGGACCAUUUACCAAGAUGAGUGACAAUUAAUCUUGUGCCGUUGCAUAGGCCUUCUAUUUGAUUUAGAUUUCUGAGAAGCAUUACGGGAGCACCUUCCUUAAGUCGUAUGUCAUGAUUAGGGAUGCCAUUGAAUUUCAAACUAUUCAAAAAUUCAGUUGGAUAUAGAACAUCUUCAUCAUUUGUGUUUGCGCUUGCUUUGCAUAUACUGUCUGAGCUAAAAUAGGUUCUCCCUUGACCAGGUAUUAUAUUCAUAAUCAUCUCGUUCAAUUCAUGCACCAUUUCAUUUUUUGGGGUUAAUAUUGCUCUUUCUUUCAAAUAUGUUGGAUCACUGUAGUUAUGCUGAAUUGAUGGGUAGAUAGUGUCGACUAUUGAUUUUAUCAGAUUUUCUGAUGGUUUCUUACAGAUAUCAGAAGGUAGUUUAACUAAAUCUCUAUCAAUGUCAUCAUAUAAUGAACCAUCUCCAAUCUGCAAUAACCAUUUGUCAAAAGAAGCUAUUUUAGCAGCCUAAGAGCCACUCACACUUCCAUUAUAGAGCCUCAUAUUUUUUUUGAGGUCAUAAAUUUUGAAAAAUGGCCACAAGUAGGAUGAGUUAAGUGAAGCAUCAACAAUGUCUGCUCUUGUCCUCUUUGGCACAACUGGCAAUAUUUGUCGGAAAUCGCCACCACAUACUAUUGUAAGUCCUCCAAAAGGUUUGAUAGAACUAUUUUCAUACAUUGUUCUUAGAAUAUCUCUCAAGGUCCUAUCCAAAGCUUCAAAGCAGAACUUAUGUGUCAUAGGCGCUUCAUCCCAAAUGAUCAAAGAAGUUUUCAUAAGAAGUCCAGCUAAUAAGGUGCCUUGUCGGAUUUCACAAGUGGACUCUGCUGUCACAUCCAAAGGAAUAUGAAAUCGCGAAUGAGCUGUCCUACCAUUAGGCAAUAACAAAGCUGCUAUACCUGAAGUUGCAACAGGCAAGACUAUUUUAGAAUGUGAUCUGAGCUUUGCAAUAAUUGUAUUCCACAAAAAUGUUUUACCAGUACCACUGUGUCCAUUGAUAAAAAAUAAACGCCCUUCUUCAUUGUCAACAGAAUGCAUUAUUGCUUCAUAGGCUGAUUUUUGGCAAGCAUUUAGAGCAGCAAACGAUUUCUCAUGCAACUUCUUUAAUUGAUCACGAUCAUAAUCAAGCUCUUCAUUGACCAAUCGGUUACCUGAAUCUCUUAUCAAAGAAGAAUUAGGAAGUGGCAUUCCAUCUAUGUCUCUCAAACUUUUUCCCAUUUUCAACAUGAUAGUUUAAAUCUCCAACAAUGUGUAUGCUUCAACUUGUUGCUCGGUUAACUGAAGAUCUUUCAAUCUGAAUUUUUUCCUUUGCAAUGAAGUUAUGUCUUCUGAUAAAGUAGUAUAAUUAGAUUUCCAAAGUUGGGGUGCAUCAGAAACCUGACAAUGAAUGAGUAUCGUGACAAAAAGAUGUCUUAAUUCAUUUCCAGUCGCCCAUAUUGCAGCUUCAGUCAAGCAGUCGAUCCAUUCUUUAUCAUCGUCUAAUAAUCCCAAAGCAUAGCACGCAGCUUUAAAAGUUGGAUAUGUCACUCCAUUUACUGUUCUAAUACUUUCAAAUGAAGUGCUUCCUUUUACAAAAUUGAGCAACAUUCUCAUAUAAAAUCGUUCUCCACUUGAAGGAUGUGCAAAGUAAAUUCUUCCGAUUGCUAAGCCAUUUUUUCUCCUAGUCCAAGUUUUGUCUUUUGAAUUCCAUACCCAACAUGUAGGGAAAUCAGAAUAAGUUAACUCUCGUGCAUCAUCAUAAUUCUUGUUUGCCUCCAACCAUUCUGUGAACUUUGUUUUUUCUAUUCCAGGUAUGGUAAGCACAUUUUCUAAGCACUUAGAUUCUUCGAAUAUUACUGUAUGCUCUCCCGGUAAAUGGAACGGCAAUCUUUCAACUGCUGGCUUUCUGUAAUGUAUGUCAAAUUGGAAGAUUCGCCAGCAAGCUUCGGUUGCUGAUAUAUAUCUGCAGUCCAAAUAUGUUUUGAUCUCGUCCAUUUCUUGGGUAGUGUCAAUAGAUUCCAUUGUUGCAGUUGUUCUAUCAGACCCUUUAUGGACAUACUUGAAAAGAUAUUUAACUGAUCUCGAGUAAUUACAAAUCUCAACAUUAAUAUGUGCAUCAAAUUUGACAAUUAAAUUCCUGUGAUAAGGGACCACAUAUCGAUUAUCCAAGAAGACACCUUUCUUUUCGACAUGAAUACCUGUAUUUCUCCUUUUAUAGAUUGGAAAACCAUUUGUAUCCACUGUUGUCUGAUCAUUAAAUUUUUUUGGAAAAUGUUUUGUGCACUUGUCUUGCAUCAUGCAUGGAGAGUGAGAAUUGUGUUUUCCACACGGUCCAUGAAUCAUAAAUUUGUUAACUGCAUUAUAACCAUCAGGAUCAACAUUUAAGUCAGGGAUUUCUGCACUUAUUAUUUUAUCAAUAUGGUCUGCAGAAGGAUUUUUCAUUGUUGGAUGCAAAAAAAGCAGUAUGUGUGCAUAGGGCAAGCCUCUUUUUUUAAACUCAAUUGUAUAUAGACCUGCCACAAAAUAGAGUAAAAUUUAAAAGUUAGAAAUAUUGAUUUUAAUUGUGAAAUUAUUGUUUUUCCCUACACUUUUCAAUAACAAAUGAGUUGAAUUUGUUAUGGAUACGAAUUUGAAGUGAACUUACAUGCAAUUAUUUUUCCAAACGGUUGAUCUUUUUUCAAAUCUUGCAUUAGUUGGAAUAAUUUUAUCUCGAAAACUCUGCAUAUGAUAUCGACUCGAUUGUCAUCAUUAUUUUGUCCAACUAAUCGGAGCAUGUUAUUUAUUUCUUGCCACUUUGGGUUGCAAGUGAAAGUAAGAAAUAAAUCAGGAUAUCCUGCCCAUUUACAAAUUGCCAUAGCAUCUUGAUAAUUUUGUAUUCUAUAUCGUGGUCCCCCCGUGUGUGAUGAAGGUAGAAUAAUCGAUUUUCCAACUUUCGAACAAUCAGAAUCACCUCGAUGAACAGCAUCCAUCAAACCAGAGAAAAGGUCUGAUCGAAGUUUUUGUUGAUUAUUCCGGAUCCAACGAAAUCUUUCUUCUUCAACUGCCAUGUAACAAUCAACUAUAUAUUGUUGGAAUAGUCUACCAGUUUGAAGUAGAGUGUGUCCCUCAUUCAAUCUUUGUUGCAACCUAAAGCAAUAAUAUUGCCUCAUUGUCAGCUUUUGCCUCUUAAAAGGGCUAUCAGUUAUGUCUCUUAAAGAUAUGUCAGGUCUAUAUCCAUCUUCGCCAUAAGGAUAUAUUAACGGGUAUGUCAUGGGCAUGAAGCUUGGAUGCAAAUCUGUGAUUCUCCGAAGUCCCUUUGUGCGAUGCUCUAUAAUAACAUCGCGUUGAAAGUUUGCUUCACUGAAAUCACCAACUAUUAAGCCUGCAACUUCUGAAACUGUUGGUAUAUUGUAUCGACGACCAUCUCUUGUUCUACUAUUAAGGAGUCGUAAACGGAAUGUAGAUUCUGGUUGUGUUUUGUAUCUAUCCCUCGCCAUUCUAAAAGAUUUGACCAAAUUAUUAUGUUGGUCCAACAUUUUAGAUAGUUCAUGAAGAAUUUCGUGAUCAAUUUCUGUCUUCAUUCCAUGUUUUAAUAGAGUGUUGAUUCUAUUGUCUAUCUCAUUUUCAGUAUCAUAGAUAUAGAGCUGAGCAAACUGUGGUUUUUUCCCAACUUCUGGCAACAAAGAACCAAUGUGAUGAUAAUUCUGACCGCUCAUCCUGAAAACAUAAGGACCUUUUGAUCGAUUGAUUGAUGCAUCAACUCGACCUCCCAUAGAUGUGAAAGCAAACAUGGAGUUAUAAGCCCUGAUAUUUUUUCGAAAUUUGGAACCCUUUUGUCCAGACUCUGCCCCGAGAAGAUAUUUGAGUAAAGGAGGUGUUUCUUUCAUGAAUGGAAUCUGCACACGACCUUCCAUACAACAAAAUGUGAAUUUGGGAUGUGAGACCUUUUUGGUUUUCUUGUUCCGUUCCUCGUACCAUAAAAUGGCACCACAAUAUUGACAUGUGUAUGUAGGGGGUCCAAAAUUCCAAGGCGUUGUGUAAUGAACUGUCAAAUUCAACCAAUAAUAAUAUUGUAACAAAGUAUCUUAUUUCGUCUAAGUGAAUAUGGUAAGAAAAAAUAUUACUAAAUAUAUUAAUAUUUUCAUUGUACAUGUAGUUUCAUGCAAAUAUGUACCAUUAUUUGAUGUUACACCAUCCAAUGGAAAGCUUGUGGACUGAUCUAUAUUCUCAUCAAAAGAGAGACACGCUCUUUUUAGUUGUCCAUGUUCAACUGUAUAUUUUUAAAGUUCCAAAAGCAAUGAAUAAGUUAUUAGUUUCAAGUAUUACAAGCAUGAUGAAUAACUAAUAAAGCUCGAUAAAUUUAAAUAUAUAUACGUACAUGUGUGAAGAAGGCGCUUUCCUCUGUUUGUUUGACUCUUUGGAUUUAUAUGUAAUGAUGUUUUAUUAUUAUCAUAUCCAGCUUUACCAGGAGAUUGAAGGAAAUUCCCAAUUGAAAUAUGUUAGAAAUAUAUAUAUUUGUUAAUAUAUAUUAACAUAAAUAAUUUAAAUUAUAUAGGGAUAAUUUUUGUAAUUUGUAUAGUAGGAAUAAAAAUCAUAUUUUCAAGAAUCACAUACCGUUUGAGUGAAGCAAUUUAUUGUCACUUCUAAUGACUUCCAACUUCAUAAAUUUUGUGUAAAAAUUCACAAUUUGUAGCAUCAAAAUGAUUCUCUUUUUUAAAUCAUGUUUGUAUCUAUUAUGAAUAAUCAUAAUUUUCCGCUUAAAUCUUGCAUGCUUGAAUAUGGCCUUCUGCACGACAACAUAUCCAUUGUUUAUUGUGUCACACUGGAAAUUUGAUGCAUAUUUCCUAAGUUUUAAUUUCAUAAUCCUUUCGUGCCGAGCUAAAGAUGAAAGUUGAUGCCGCAAGAGACAAACUUCUGGCGGAAUAUUCCUUGAGUCACCGAAAUCAUUAAUAGUUGCAGAAAUCAAUUCCAUUUACUCUGGUGAACAAUAAAGUGAAUUCAAUAUCACAAAAUAUUCUAAAAUUAACAAAACGUUUUAUUACAAAUCAUAACAAGAGAAACCGAAAAUAUAAAAUGUUUUUUUUCAAAAGAGAGAAUUUUUUUUUCAAUUAUUGAAAUAAGAAUUGCAAUGAAUUUUUCGAACGAAUAUAUACCAUAUGUUAGAAAGAACAAAAAAAAAAUCACUAAAAACAAAACAAAAUAAAAUGGGAUUUAAUUUAACCAAUUCAAUUUAAUUUUAAACUCAUGCCAGUGUCACACUGGCAUUAAUUUUUGUUGUGCUUAUAGCCACGAACAGAGGCUUUUAGAUUACUUCUUUAUUAGGUUAUUAUUCUUCGAAUUUGGUGGGUAAAUUGUGAGCUUUUUCUGUUGUGAUAUUAUCAAAUCAAUCCAUGCAAAAUAAUCAUUAAUGUAAUGUUUUUGUUAUUUUCAAACUGAUAAAUAAUUAUGAAUUGUUUCCAUAAUUGUGUAUUUAGAAACAACGUUAACACAUUUUUUCGGAACAAACUUCUAAGUUUGAUUGAUUUUACGUCUAAUUACGAUACCCUAAAUUAAUAUAGAAAGUCAACAAAAAUCCACUUUAACAGUUCUAAUGUAAAUUUAAAGGCAAUUAAUUUUGAGUAAAUAUGAACUAAAACAAAACUUGAACAAAAUCUGAAUUUAUAUAUAAUAUUAAGGUAGCCACAUUGCAUUUGAAAAUGUCAAUUAGUGGGAUCUAAAUAAAUAAUCACCUUGGAAUUUUUUAAUGGUUGUAGGAGUUAAUAUUACAUACACGGACUAUCAUCUUUGUUGUACAAAUUUCGAUCAAACAUCUCCCCCAACUUUUUUCAUAAAGUAAUCUUUGAUAUCACCGAGCUAUCCAUAAAAAUUGCCACAAGUGAAUAAUGUAAAGAGAAAAACUCAUUAUAAGGAUAUCAUAUUAUCAUUAAAUUCGAAAGUUUCGAAUUACGUUAUUAUACAAUUGGUUACUUUUUAAUUCUAAAUCACCAAUAUUAUUAUUCCCUAUCUCAAUAUGAAUAUUACCACUUGACUUUUUUAUUUGUGUUUAUGAAGAGGUGGGGUGUGAGGAAAAGGAAAAAAUGUUUUUCUUAAGAAUUAGAACAAAUAAUUAGGCAAUAAUUCAAGGAAUUGAGGUUGUUCAUUCUACAUUCCAUUUGGAUUUACAGUGAUUUUCAUAAAUUUUUUCUUUUAUUAAUUAUGCUAACUGCCAUGUACUGUUGUUUAUUCUACUGCGUUUGGGAGAAGAUGCUUGGGCUGCCUAGAACAUAUUUUCUAAUUAAUUUUUCUUGUGAAUACAUUGAAUAAUCUCUAAGGGCUAUAUCCUUUUUCAUUUUACUUUAACGGUUUUUCUUCAACAAAUAUUGGAUGUAUUUAGUGAAAAAGAAAAUUAAAAAUUAGGAAAGAAUUAAUAAAAUUAGUGAAGUCAAAUUGUCAAUCAAUUCUUAUGAUAAAACAAUAAUUAAAAAAUAUAGUCAUAGUUUUCUUGAUUAUAUUCGACUUAUUAAUCUGUUAAAACUUUUUAUAUCUUUUUUUCCAACUUCCCCAUUUGGUGAACUAUAAAAAUGAUAUGUUUUUUUUCCACUCUUUGUCUCUAUCUUUUUUCACUCACAAAGAGUUAAUAGUUAUUAAUCAAUUAAUUUUUUUUGUUUGCAUAAGAAUUAAUAAUGUUGCACACAUGUAUUGUGAAAUAAUUGUUUGUUCAUAAUUAUUUUUUGCAUUUUUUUAGAAGUCAAUAGUCAAAUUAAUGAUAUUGAAUUAAGACAUUUCGAAGUUUGCUAUUUUGUACUUCUAAUAGAAAUGCUUGCAAAUGGGAGGCAUUAAUUUUUCUGUUUACUUUAUCGAAUUUCAUAAAAUUCAAUUCAAACAAAAAAUUGAAGGUUAGAAAAGCAGUUGGAUAGUUUCAUAAAAUUAUUAUUUUAUCAUUUAAAAGAUAUGUACCACAUCAAUUAGGACUAAAUAUUAGAAUCAUUAGCAUUGUUCCAAUCACACAUGCAAAAUCUAUCACUCAAUAGUCAAGUACAUUGUACAAUGCAGUCGAGAACAACUUCAACAUUUAGUUAAACCUUUUCUAUCUGUUUAUUUCCACAAAACACCAAAUAUCCAGAUUGAUACUGGAUCCUCCGAGUCAAAUAUAGCUAGUUCACGUUCAGAAAAGACCCGCCUCUUUUAAUUGUACCUCCUGCAUGCGAAUUAUAUAACAAUUAAAUAAAACUACACCAGAGAUUAAUUAGUCAAUAAAUAUAAACACGAGCUAAAACAUGUGUUUACUAAUAAUUCUUAAACAGGUCUAAGCUUUCAAAGUUUGCAUUGAAAAAUUAAAGUGAAAAUCUUCAAUACCUCCAUGUGUAAAUCGCAUAAAUUAGACAACCAAAGAUUAUUCAAAGAUUUUUCUUUCUUACCUUAUGCUUUUUCGCAAACAAGUAGAUAACAACAAUUGUAAAGACAAGUGAGCAGUAAUCUGUUAAAACAAAGUAAUCCAGUGUUAAUGAAAAUAAGAACAACAUAUUAUAUUUAAAACUAAGUUUUCAUAAUAAUGAAAUCGAGUAAACUUAUUCGAUAAGGAUAAACAAAUAGAACGCAUUGACAAAUUGACAUCAAAUUAAAUUGAUCCAAAGAAAUUGAGAUGCUCAAAUUUGAUUACGUACACAUUAAUUUUCAAAUAAUUAAUCCACACAUUGUUUUAUUCUUCAAACAUCUUUAAACACAGGAGCCAACACUUUCACUCUUAUAUAUUACUGCCAUAGUAACUUGAACUUGGUGAUCAGCUUUUUAAUUGAUUUGCAGUAGCUCACAAUUAAUUAAGCUUGAUCAUCAGUAGCUAUUAUUGAUCAUAAAAAUAUUUGUUUAAUUUACAAUCUAAAGUUACGCUCCAUACUCUAUAUAUGUGAAUUAUAUAUUUGCAUCAUCAACAUUAACAUUAUAAAAUAAUCUGUGCAAUAGGAUGCUCUUGGAGUAUUUUAUUUUCAUCACAAAAUAUAUUAAAAUUAUAUUAGUCAGAGAAUAUAUCUAACACUUUCUAAACACUAAUAUAUAAUAGUUUCUACAAAAUUAUGAAAUAUUUGUACUAAAAUACCAAAAUAUAAAUAUAUAUAACCUAAUUGGAAUCAAUAAUCAAACUUCAAACAUGUCAUACUCUAAAGAAAUUAAAGCAUGAUAGUCUGUGUGUUUGACAUAUUCAACUAAAUGUUUGAUGAGAAUCUGUGAUUGUUAACAGCCAAUAAUGGUUUCUUUAGCAACUCAACUCAACUCAGCAAAACCGCAACCAAUUACAUUUACCAACUCAACUCUUCGCUUCCCCAAUUUCCAACAUUCUCUUCACAUUUACAAAUGGUAGGUGGUCCUAUAAAUCCCAUUCAAGAAUGAACAAUUUUUUUCAGUUCCUAGUAGGUGAAGUUUCUUCCACAUUUACAGAAAUUUCGACAGCAUCUCCCCAUAGUUCUCCAAGUACACGACCUAGAUUUAUGCAUUCAUCUAGUAUGUACCCAGAGAACAUGAGGAGCAGCUAUCGAAAUUUCCUUUUACGUGAAACAAAACUUCACCUACUUGGAACUAAAAAAAAUUAUGCAUUCCCAAACUGUCCAAGUUGGGACAAUUCAAGAAUUAUUAAUAGACAUAUCAUCCUCUUGUCAUCCUAAGAUGACACUGAUAAAACAUGUGUCUACUAAUAAUUCUUAAACGGGUCUUAGCUUUCAAAGCAUGCAUUGAAAAAAAAAACGUAAAUCAAUAUAUAUAUAUAUAUAUAUAUAUAGUUGAGUUUAUUAACAUUACCUAGGUUUGGCGGAGAAAAUAUGAAGAAGAAGAAGUAGUUUGGGCAAAAAUCAAAGGGUUUUGAUUUUCAUUAUUGAUCAAUUGAAAUAGUAGAGUAGUGGACCUUCUCAGCUAGUUCCAUGGAUGUUAAUAAAUCUAAAAUUUGUUAGCACUUAACAUUUGCUAAAGAAACCGUCUUAAGUUUCAAUUCUUUAAAUUAAUGUUAAUUAGAUUUGACAUUGAAGAUUAAUUAUUCACUAAGGCUUAUCAUAUUUUAAAAAAACGAAUAUAAAAGGUUGCAUAUUAAAUAUGGGAUUAUGCAAUUAAAAUUAAACCCUAGUAAUGGCAUUGGUGAGGGAAGAUGAAAGAAUUCCUUCCUAUAUUAAUUAGUUGAUAUAUUUUAAGCCACUAAAGUUUAAUUGUUGGCUUAAUAAAAUAAAUGAAUGUUUCAAGACUUAUAAUUAAUUAUUAUUAAUGGUUAUAUAUUGUUGAAUUUAAAUAGAAAUAGGAAAAGACAUGUAAUCUUUUGUAAUCUAAUAAUCAUUUUCUAUUUAUUUUCUAUUUUUAAUAUUUUGUAAUGUAAUUAUUUUUUAAUUUAAGCUAAUAUAUUAGAUAUUAGAGAAUAUAAAGAGAUGAGAAAUAAUGAUGUCACAAAUCUUAAAUACUUAAUAUUUAUAGAAUUUGAAGAAGCCAAAAAGCACUAAACAAAAGGUUGAAUAAUUAAAUAUGAAAUUAUGACAUUAAAAUUAGGCCCUAGUGGCAUUGUUGAGGGAAGAUGAAGGAACCUUCCUUUCUAUAUUAAUUAAUUGAUGCUUUUUAAAGCCAUUAAAGUUUAAUUAUUGGCAUAAUAAAAUAAAUGAAUGUUUCAAGACUUGUUGAAUUUAAAUAGGAAGAGGAAAAGACAUGUAAUCUUUUGUAACCUAAUAAUUAUAUUCUAUUUUUACUAUUUUAUAAUGUAAUUAUGUUUUAAUCUCAACUAAUAUACUAGAUAAUAAAGAAUAUAAGAAGAUGUAAAAUAGUGAUGCCACAUCACCUCUUGUAGUCAAGGCUUAUAAUUAAUUAAGAGACAUGGAUAGGGAUGGCAAUUUCCGGGUCCGGGUCCGGGUCCGGGUUUGGCUGUUCCGGAUCCGGACCCGGACAUCAAAUUCUCAUAACCGGACCCGCAUUAAACCCGGAUUUUUUAAAUCCGGAUCCGGUCCGGGUUCAACCCGGAAAAAUCCGGGUUUCCGGAUUCCGGGUUUGGAACCCGGAUUGCUUUAUUAUUAUUUUUUUUAGAGACCAUAUGGCUUACUUUAACAAGGCACAGGGGAUGGUGGUUUAAUGUUUUAAUGUUUUCCCCAACAACACAUUACAGAAUACUUCCUAGAAUUGGUUCAAUAAAAUUUGAUGGAUAUUGUUGUUGAGUUCGAAUUUUCCGUCUCUUUUGGUGGAGGUUUCACAUAUUUUCCUAUUACUUUUUGGCAUCUCUUUCUCUUUUGUCUGGUUUGUUUGUCUUUACUUUGCUGCUUCCUUUUCUCCUUUAGCUUAUUCCGAAGAUGCCUUUCUUUCUCAAAUACACCUUGCCAAACGACCUCACCUGUUGACGGCCAUAACCACCGUCUUCUAGGGUGAUCAGAAUCUGCCUCCUCGGCCAUGUCCUCAUCCAUGCUUUUUAAAGUGCUGUAUGAGAACCAUCUGACCCACAUUUGACCUCUCCGACUCUUAAAGUGCCACGCCGCGAAGGAUCUGAUCUGAUCUGAAGAAGAGAUUACAGGAGAGUUGCAGAGAGAGUGAGAGAUUAAGUGACGACGGAGGACUGAGGUGAGGAAUGAGUCACGGCUCACGGGUGAUUUUCCUUGAGAGAGGAACGGAUUACGGUUUACGAAUGAGACUUGAGAGAUUGAAAGGAGAAAUUAUAGAUUUACAGUAAUUUUUAGGUUGAAGGAGAAAUUUCGAGAGAGGAUCAGACGAACGAGACGAGAGAGAUCUAGAUUCUAGGGUUCACUUUUGUUUUUGUUUUUUUUUUAAUUUUUCUAUUUAUAUUUACGGAUUUACGGAUCAAAAUUAAUAUUAAAAUAAAUAAUAUCCGGGUCCGGGUUCCGGGUUUGCGGGUUCAUCUGAAACCGGAUCCGGACCGGAAAAAUGCGGGUUGUCAAAAACUGAUCCGGAUUCCGGAUAAAAACUAUGCCGGUGCGGGUUGAACCCGGACCGGAUUUUCCGGGUUCAAUCCGGGUCCGAUCCGGGUCCGGGUUUGGUUGCCAUCCCUAGACAUGGAUGAAACUAAUGUUAUUUAAGUAACACAUAGUUGAUUUAUAAGCUUAAUGUGUCAAAAUUGUUUAAACCUUUCCAAGAUUAACUAUUGUUUUCUUAUUAUUUCUUUUAUCUAGGUUUAAAUUUUAGGAGAAAUUUGUCAAUUUUCAAUUAUUGGGUGAUAUUGGUAUGCAAAUGAUGUGUUUUAUAGCAAUUUGAAUCUUUCUCAUCUUCAAGACUAUCAUUAGUCGAUAAUGUUGCUAUUACCUCAGGCUCUCGUGAGUCUAAACAUUUUCUAAUUAAUUGAAAAUGAUAUAAUGAUUAAUUAAUUGUUGAUAAUAAAACCAAUUUAAUACGACGUCUCCCCAUUUCUUUCUUUAUUUCUUUUAAACCUCAAUCAUUGUCAAAACCGUUAAUGGGUUGCAAUUAAACACUUAACAAAUCUUAAACUUGUUGUUAGCAAUUAACAUUUGCUAAAGGAAUCGUCUUAAGUUUCAAUUCUUUAAAUUAAUGUUAAUUAGAUUUAAGACGAAAAUUAAUUAUUCACUAAGACUUAUCUAUAAAUAAAAAGUAGAUACAAAUGUUGUAUAAUUAAAUAUGAGAUUAUGACACUAAAAUUAGGCCUUGGUAGUGGCAUUGUUGAGGGAAGAUAAAAGAACCUUCAUUCCUAUUUUAAUUAAAUUAUAUGUUAUGACGUGAAAAAAUAAACAAUCCAUUUUUGUAUUUUGUAGUUUGUGAAGAUUUGAAACAAUGUGCUUUCUUUUCAGAGUGAUAACAAUUGGAUCCAUUGCUUUUUCCUUUUAAUGUUUUAUAAACAUAUAUUGUCUAUUUGCAUCAAAUAAGUCCCAAUCUCUUUUACAAUCACUAAUAAAACACCUUUCAAUUAUUAAACUAUAAAUAUGUGUCAUUCAAAAUUAUGAUGGAAGAUAGAGAAUUUAGGGUGGGUUUCUUCACUGAAGAGUUAAAAAAAAUUGAAAUUUAAAAUUUUUCAAUAAAUACAAAUAUAAGAUGAAUAGUUUCAUUUGUUCAAUAGACUAAUCAUAUUAAAAUAAUGUUAGUAAGGAAAAUAAUUUAAAAAAUAUUCUUAAUUAAAAUAAUUUAAAAAAUGUAAAUUACCUCUCUCACCUCAUUUUUUAAGCAAAAAUAAAAAUAACUUGAAGUUUUAAAAAAUAAUUGAAGUAAUUUAAAAAUAAUCAAUUUGGAAUAAUUCAAAAUUUACCCAAGAGAUUAUUCACAAUAUCAAUCAAUGAAUUAGAAACAUUAAAUGGUAUAACAUAUAACUAUUAUUUUUAACUUAUUGAUCUCAAUCUUGAGCGUUCGGAUUAGAUCUUUGGGGUUUCAUUUUUUAGAUUUCAGUGAUUGAAAGUAUGAAACUCAAAGUAACAAAAAUUAAAUUUAUAUUUUAUCGCAAGUGAAGUGUAGGGAUUAAUCCAAUUAUUUGCGUCUAGCGUUUCUUUUUGUUGCUAUCACUCUUGUUGAUGAUGAUAAGCCUUUUUUUUUUUGCAUUGUCACUACCAAUUUAUUAUCUACAUUCAUCUAUAGAACGAAGCAAGAUGCCAAGAAAGAAAUAUAACACAAGAAAAAUAAGUUAUCCCAAUCGUUCAAAACAAAUACAUACAUAGCCAGAAAAAUAAGACAUAUCAUAUCACACUUAAAUAUUACCACUCUAAAAAGAAAAAAAGGUCAAAAGACUAACACACAUGUAAAAAGAUGACCAACAACAACACUAAACAUGUUUUGUGUAUUGAUUACUUCCACCAUCACUAACUUCAUCAUCAUCAAUAAUUUGGUUUUUUCUCUUUCUAUUCUUACUGGCAUUAGUAACAUGAAAAUCUCCCACAGAAUCUUCCAAAUUAUUUGAUAAGAUAUCAUGAGGAUCCUGUAAUUUUUUAAUCAAGGAAAUUAAAAUUAUGAGUAAACUGAACAUGCUAAUUUUAAUCAUAAAGGAAAACAACUGGGAAAUAAGAGUAAAUAAAAUUACCAUUUCUUGGGAAUGUUCUUCCUUUCUUUCAUAUAUUUCCACAUUUUCAUGAUCUGUAUUGUUUUUUUUCCUACAAAAAACAACAAUUAAAUAAUUUUUUUAACAUUACAUAUAUUGCCUACAAAUUGAACCUAGCACAGGUAGAUAAUACCUUCUUCAAUUCUUGUUCGAGCUCCAAUUUCUCAUCAGGGGUGAAAAGCUUUGACACAGUAAAAUUCUCAAGUCCCUCUUUCAAAUUGUAAUCAUUCAAUUUCAGUUUGUAAUCAUUCAAUUUCAGUUUGUAAUCAUUCAAUUUCAGUUUGUAAACAAAAUCUUUUCCACAAAGGCUUUGAAUUUCUGCAGGGACAUCCUUACUAUAUAAAGGUAGUCUAUUAAACAACUUGUGGGCUGAUGUAUCAAGUAACUUCUCAGCUACAUGAUUGAAUAAGACAAAAGUUGUCUCUGCCGUUUUAUCCAUGACUUUUAUAUGUAUUUUGUACCUACAUUAGAAUAAUGAAUUAGAAUGAAAAACUAACAACAUAAUGAGCAAUUUUUUUUAAAAAUAAUAUUAUUUUUCUUACAUCACAAGAGGAUAGUCACAUUCCUUUUUGCAAGUGCCACACAUAUAAAUACCAUUUGUAGGUAUGACCUUUUUUAUGCAUGUUUUGCACGAAACAUAGUACCAUCCAAAGGAGUUGUCUAUUUCACUAAUCUUGCCCCGCACAGUAACAAUAUAUUCCUACAAUUAAACAAUAAACAUUUAAAAAAAUAAUAAGGACAUUCCAAUAUUUAGGAACAAAUAACACAAAUGGAUGAGCAGGAAAAAAAUAGAAAAAUCACCUUCACUUGAGAACUCCAAUCAGCCUCCAAUAGUUCUUUAAUGCUCAUCCUGUUAAGGAACAUCUCUUCCUCAAAAGUAAUCUUAUUCACAUUCGAACUUUCAAUAACUUGCACAACGUUGGAGACGGUGGAAAAUCUUUCAAUUAAUGAUGCUACAUAAUCUAUUUGAAGAUUUAUAUAGAUUUUUCUUGCACUUGUGGUAGAGAAAUUAACCUCACCUGUUUAGAGCAAAUGUAACGUAAAACGAAACUUGAACAAAAUCUAAAUUUGUGUAUAAUAUUAAAAUAGCCACAUUGCAUUUGAAAAUGUUAAUUAGUGGGAUCUAAAUAAAAUAAUCACCUUGGAAUUUUUUAAUGGUUGUAGAAGUUACUAUCACAAUACAAGGACCCUCGUCUUUCUUGUACAAAUUUGAAUCAAACAUCUCCCCUAACUUUCCCCAUAAAGUAAUCUUCAUUGUUACUGAACUAUCCAUAAAAAUUAACAAAAAUUAAUAAUGUAAAGAGAACCAAUAACUAAAAAAUAACAUAAAUAACUAAAAAAAUAUAAAGUCAUAGUUUUCUUGAUUAUAUUCAACUUACUAAUCCAUUAGAAUUUUUAUAUCUCUUUUUUUCCAACCAGCUCCAACGAUCUCAAUAUCACCCACACCACAUAAACUUCCAAUAACAUCUGUAAUAUUAUGGAAAAAUAACAUAAACAUGUUAAAACAUAAGGAUUAAUAAUUUCUAAUAUACACUUAAAGAUUAACAAACAUUAAUAAUUAAAAAAAUACCUGAGAGGAUUGUGUUAUCAUUCACACGUAAAUCAAUCAAAUUCGAAGAUACGAAUUGAAAUCCAUUAAUCGGAAUCUUGACAGUUCCUUCUUCUAACCUCUUAAGAGAAGUUAUACCAAGAAAAUAAUCUUAUACUGAUUUGAAAGUGGUCUGUACUCGCCUGUAGUUGAAACAACUUUCAAAUUCUUGACAUUGUACAAAGAACCCUCACUCAACAUGUGCUUAAACCUUGUCACUAAGGUUUUCCUGAUUGUUGCAUGCAUUAGAUUUUCCUACGAAAAAAAAAAAACACAUACUACAUUCAGUGUGAAACAAUUGGGAAAAAAAAUUAGAGAAAACAAUGGGAGAAUAAAUUUUUUAUACAACCUUUUCAUCAAUAAAAAUCAUAUCAACACUAAUCAAUUCUCCAUUUUUUUUAGUAUUAGUAGACUCCCACAUCCUACAAAGCCUAACCCUUAUCAUCCAACUAUCUUUAUCAUUGUUCAACUCAUGAAGAAAAGAGUACUCCAUGAAGCACACAAUAUCAAAAAUUCAAAUAAAUCAAACAAUAAAAAUAUAAGUAUUUUUCUAAAGAGGGCGUUGAUUAAAUAAAUAAAAAAACCCUAAACAUAACAAAUCUUAAAUAUUUAGUGUUUAGAGAGCUUGAAGAAGCCAAAAGGCACUAAACAAAAGGUUGCAUAAUUAAAUAUGAGAUAAUGUCAUUAAAAUUAGGAUCUAGUGGCAUUGUUGAGGGAAGAUGAAAGAACCUCUCUUCCUAUGUUAAUUUAUUGAUUAUUUUAAGCCACUAAAGUUUAAUUGCUAGCAUAAUAAAAUUUGAAGGAGCCAAAAGACACUCAACAAAAGGUUCCAUAAUUAAAUAUAUGAUUAUGACAUUGAAAUUAGGCUCUAGUGGCAUUAUUGAGGGAAGAUGAAAGAACCUCUCUUCCUAUAUUAAUAAAUUCAUGUAUUUUAAGCCACUAAAGUUUAAUUGCUAGCAUAAUAAAAUAAAUGAAUGCUUCAAAAUACUUAUAAUUAAUUAUUAUUAAUGGUUACAUAUUGUUGGAUUUAAAUAGAAAGAGGAAGAAACAUGUACAAAGAAUAUCCACUAAUAUUUUAGAUAUUUUAGAUAAUAGAAAAUAUAAAACGAUGAGGUUGAGAGAAUGUGAAAGAACCUCUCUUCCUAUGUUAAUUAGUUGAUGUAUUUUAAGGCACUAAAGUUUAAUUGCUAGCAUAAUAAAAUUUAAAGAAGCCAAAAGGCACUCAACAAAAGGUUGCAUAAUUAAAUAUGAGAUUAUGGCAUUAAAAUUAGGCCCUAGUGGCAUUGUUGAGGGAAGAUGAAAGAACCUCUCUUCCUAUAUUAAUAAAUUCAUGUAUUUUAAGCCACUAAAGUUUAAUUGCUAGCAUAAUAAAAUAAAUGAAUGCUUCAAAAUACUUAUAAUUAAUUAUUAUUAAUGGUUACAUAUUGUUGGAUUUAAAUAAAAAGAGGAAGAAACAUGUACAAAGAAUAUCCACUAAUAUUUUAGAUAUUUUAGAUAAUAGAAAAUAUAAAACGAUGAGGUUGAGAGAAUGUGAAAGAACCUCUCUUCCUAUGUUAAUUAGUUGAUGUAUUUUAAGGCACUAAAGUUUAAUUGCUAGCAUAAUAAAAUUUAAAGAAGCCAAAAGGCACUCAACAAAAGGUUGCAUAAUUAAAUAUGAGAUUAUGGCAUUAAAAUUAGGCCCUAGUGGCAUUGUUGAGGGAAGAUGAAAGAACCUCUCUUCCUAUGUUAAUAAAUUCAUGUAUUUUAAGCCACUAAAGUUUAAUUGCUAGCAUAAUAAAACAAAUGAAUGUUUCAAAAGACUUAUAAUUAAUUAUUAUUAAUGGUUACAUAUUGUUGGAUUUAAAUAGAAAGAGGAAGAAAUAUGUACAAAGAAUAUUCAUCAAUAUUUUAGAUAUUUUAGAUAAUAGAGAAUAUAAAAAGAUGAGGUUGAGGGAAGAUGAAAUAACCUCUCUUCCUAUGUUAAUUAGGUGAUGUAUUUUAAGGCACUAAAGUUUAAUUGAUAGCAUAAUAAAUUUUGAAGAAGCCAAAAGACACUCAACAAAAUGUUGCAUAAUUAAAUAUGAGAUUAUGGCAUUAAAAUUAGGCUUUAGUGGCAUUGUUGAGGAAAAAUGAAAGAACCUCUCUUCCUAUGUUAAUUAAUUCAUGUAUUUUAUGCCACUAAAGUUUAAUUGCUAGCAUAAUAAAAGAAAUAAAUGUUUCAAAAGACUUAUAAUUAAUUAUUAUUAUUAAUUACAUAUUGUUAAAUUUAAAUAGAAAGAGAAAAAAAGUACAAAGAAUAUCCACAAUAUUUUAGAUAUUUUAGAUAAUAGAAAAUAUAAAAAGAUGAGGAAUGAUAUAUAUUAAUAAAGUUACUAUCUAUUAAAUGAGUUAAAUACAAUCAAAUUAAUUAUGAGAAGAUGAAAAGCCAAAUUUAAAAAAAAAAUAUCUAUUUAUUAGAUAAUAGAGAAUAUACAAAGAAGCAAAAUGGUGAUGCCACAUCAUCUCCUCAAGUCCUAGCUUUAUAUAGAUACUAGGAAAUAGAACCGCACUUUGUGCGGCUUUAAAAAAAGAAUUUAGUAUUAUUUUUUUUAUUACUUUACACUUGAUAAAACUGAUAAAAAAAUAUGAAUUGAUUUUCUUUUAAAGAUGACGCAGCCUUAUAAAACUAAUGUUAUUUAUGAAAGUUAAUUAUUUUUUUGUUAACUUUAAAAAUAUAUAUUAAUGUGUAUAGUUAAAUGUAAACAACCUUUUCAUCAAUAAAAAUUAUGUUCACACUAAUCAACUCUCAAUUCUUCUUGGUAUUAACAGACUCCUACAUUUUACAAAGUCUAACCCUUAUUAUCCAACUAUCUUUAUCAUUGUUUAACUCAUGAAGAAAAGAAUACUCUAUGAAGCACACAAUACAAAAAAAUUAAAUAAGUCAAAAAAUAAAAACACAAGAACAUUUCUAAAGAGGAUGUUGGUUAAAUUAAAAAAAAAUCCAAACAUAACAAAUCUUAAAUACUUAAUAUUUAUAUAGUUUGAAGAAGCCAAAAGACACUAAAUAAAGGUUGCAUAAUUAAAUAUGAAAUUAUGACAUUGAAAUUAGGUCCUAGUGGUAUUGGUGAGGGAAGAUGAAAGAACCUUCCUUCCUAUAUUAAUUAGUUGAUGUAUUUUAAACCACUAAAGUUUAGUUGUUGGCUUAAUAAAAUAAAUGAAUGUUUCAAAACUAUAAUUAAUUUAUUAUUAAUGGUUACAUAUUGUUGAAUUUAAAUAGAAAGAAGAAGAGACAUGUAAUCUUUUAUAAUCUACUAAUUAAUUUCUAUUUUUAAUAUUUUGUAAUAUAAUUAUUUUUUAAUCUCAACCAAUAUAUUAGAUUAUAGAGAAUAUAAAAAGAUGAGAAAUAAUAAUGGCACAAAUCUUAACUACUUAAUAUUUAUAGAGUUUGAAGAAACCAAAAGGCACUAAACAAAAUGUUACAUAUUAAAUAUGAGAUUAUAGCAUUAAAAUUAGACCCUAAUGGUAUUAUUGAGGGAAGAUGAAAGAACAUUCCUUCCUAUAUUAAUUAAUUGAUAUAUUUAAGCCACUAAAGUUUAAUUAUUGGCAUAAUAAAAUAAAUUAAUGUUUGAAAAUUUAUAAUUAAUUAUUAUUAAUGGUUACAUAUUAUUGAAUUUAAAUAGAAAGAGGAAGAGACAUAAUCUUUUAUAAUCUAAUAAUUAUUUUUUUAUUUUUAAUAUUUUGUAAUGUAAUUAUUUUUUUUAUAUCAACUAAUUUAUUAGAUAAUAGAGAAUACAAGAAGAUGAGAAAUAGUGAUGCCACAUCACCUCCUCUAGUCCCAACUUUAUAUAUAUAUAUAUCAACUAUAUAUAUAUAUAUAGAUAUAGAUUUUUAAUAUUUUGUAAUGUAAUUAGUUUUUAAUCUCAACCAAUAUAUUAGAUAAUAGAGAAUAUAAAAAGAUAAGAAAUAAUGAUGCCACAAAUCUUAAAUAUUUAAUGUUUAUGGAGUUUGAAGAAGCCAAAAUACACUAAACAAAAGAUUGAAUAAUUAAAUAUGGGAUUAUGACAUUAAAAUUAGGCUCUAAUAGCAUUGUUGAGGGAAGAUGAAGGAACAUUCCUUCAUAUAUUAAUAUUAAUUAAUUGAUGUAUUUUAAGCCACUAAAGUUUAAUUGUUGGCAUAAUAAAAUAAAUUAAUGUUUGAAGACUUAUAAUUAAUUAUUAUUAAUGGUUACAUAUUGUUGAAUUUAAAUAGAAAGAGGAAAAGACAUGUAAUCAUUUAUAAUCUAAUAAUUAUUUUCUAUUUUAAUAUUUUGUAAUGUAAUUAUUUUUUUAAUUUCAACCAAUUUAUUAGAUAAUAGAGAAUAUGAGAUGAAGAGAAAUGGUGAUGCCACAUCACCUCCUCAAGUCCUACCUUUAUAUAUAUACUAGAAAAUAGAACCGCGUUUCACGCGGCUUUGAAAAAGAAUUUAGCAUUAUCCUUUUUUCUUACUUUACACUUGAUAAAACUGAUAAAAAAUAUGAAUUGAUUUUUUUUUUUAAGAUGAGGCAGUCUUAUAAAAAAAUAAAAAAAGUUAUUAACCAGUAAUACAAAUAAAGAAGCAACGCAAGAUAAAGAAUAAAAUGAGAGAAUAUUGUAUAAUGAUUUUAUUCAUUACAAUUGUGUGUGUACAAAACAAAAAGAUGAGCUCUCCUUUGAUAGUUACAUAAUCACUCCAUGAAAUUAAUGAAAAAUUAUGGAUCAUAAUUCCUUGUGAGAUAGUGGGAGUUAUAGGGAAGCUAAAGGUUGCUAAUGAGAGAUAGUGGGGAGACUAAGAGAUAUAUGUUAUGAACAUCUACAUUUAUUUUAAUAAAUUCAUAACACUCCUCCUUGAAUGUUUAUUACAAAGAAUAUGUCUCAUUAAAAUCUUUACAUAAUUGUUAUUGUGUAAUAACAAUCAAAUUAAUUAUGAGAAGAUGAAAAAUCAAAUAUAAAAGAAAAUUUCUCUAUUUAUUAGAUAAUAGAGAAUAUACAAAGAUGAGAAAUGAUGAUACCACAUCACCUUCUCAAGUCCCAGCUUUAUAUAUAUAUAUAGAUAUAUAGAUAGAUAGAUAGAUAGAUUAAUUCAUGUAUUUUAUGCCACUAAAGUUUAAUUGCUAGCAUAAUAAAAUAAAUAAAUGUUUCAAAAGACUUAUAAUUAAUUAUUAUUAAUGAUUACAUAUUGUUGAAUUUAAAUAGAAAGAGAAAAAAAAGUACAAAGAAUAUCCACCAAUAGUUUAGAUAUUUUAUAUAAUAAAAAAUAUAAAAAGAUGAGGAAUGAUAUAUAUUAAUAAAGUUACUAUUUAUUAAAUGAGUUAAAUACAAUCAAAUUAAUUAUGAGAAGAUGAAAAGGCAAAUCUAAAAAACAAAAAUCUCUAUUUAUUAGAUAAUAGAGAAUAUAUAAAGAAGCAAAAUGGUGAUGCCACAUCACCUCCUCAAGUCCUAGCUUUAUAUAUAUAUAUAGAUAUAGAUAUAGAUAUAGAUAUUUUGUCCUAAUUAACUUAAAGAUUUUGAAUCUAAUAUUUUAUAAUAAAUAAAAAUAUAUUCCUAAAAUAAAUAUAAUAUCAAUAUUUAAAAUAUGUUUUAAUAUUUUACAAUCUAUCAUACACAUUUUAUUAUAGUAAAGUAGAUUUUAUAAUAAAUAUAUAAAAAAUUUAGAAUAUGUAGAAUAUUAUAUAAAAUAAUUUUAAUAUAAUGUGUGAGAUAUAUUUUAUUAAUUUAAAAUGUCAUUUUACCUAAAAAAUAUGAUAAAUUAAUAAUUACAUAUUUGAAGUUACUUCAAAUAUUAAAAAAAAUUAAUAUUAUUAAUCUUUUAGAUAGAUUAAAUUAUUUUUUAUAAGAGAGAUUAAAUUAUUUUAAAAUGCCUUAAUUGUUUUUACUUUUAACGUUACCGGCCUUUCUUUUAUUUUAUUGCAAAUUAAUACUAAUAAGAAAAAGCUAGAUCAUAUUCCACAAAAGCAAAUGUGACAAACACAACCAGCUGGAAUCUUUUAAUUACUAUUCAAUAAUUCGAGACGAUUAGGGUCUUUUAUUAAACUACAAUCCUCAAUAAUUGUUUUAAAUUGGUGGCACCUACAAUCCUCAAUAAUUGUACCGAUAUUCACAAGUUCGUGGCCCCUACAAUUCUGUUCGCAAGUGCUCAUUCACAGUCUUCCAGGCCCCUACAAUUCUGUUCCGAUAAUUUAACUGUGCAAGUGCUUAAUAAUUGUUUUGUUUUUUUCUGCAUUCCCUUUCAUGCUCUUAAUAAUUGAAGAGCAUACUUUUCAAAUGUGGAGCCGCAGCUAAUGUCGUUAAUUUAAUUUGGGAUUAAAUUAGGGGACCAUUAUAUUGCAGUGUGCACUAAUUUUUGUGUUUAUCUAAACUCCUUAAAUUUAAGACAUAUUACGGCAUAAAUAAGAAUAUAACAAUAACAAAAGAGUUAGAAAGUGUAGAGAAGAUCUUGCAGAAAUAUAAAUAAUAUCAAUUUUAAAAUAAUUUUUAAUAUUUUAUGAUCCAUUAAAUAUAUUUUAUUAUAUUAAAAUAAAUUUUAUAAUAAAUAAAAACAUCCUAUUAAAAUGAAUAUAUAGAAAAUUUAGAGUAUUUUAAGUAUUAUAUAAAAUAAAUUUAAUAAAAUAUGUGAGAUAUUCAUAGUUUAUUAAUUUAAAAUACCAUUUUAAAAUUAAAGAUUUAUUUAUGAUAAAUUAAUAAUUAUAUUUUUGAAAUUACUUCAAAUAUUAAAAAAUUAAUAUUACUAAUCUAUUAGAUAGAUUAAAUUAUAUAUAUUAUUUUCUAUUUAUUAAAAAAUUAAAAUUAUUUUUAAUUACUAUUCAAAAAAUAUAAUGAUAAAAAAAAUCUUAACAUCUUUAUUAAAAAUUUAAAAAUUUACGUGAUCAAUUCUCUAAAUAUUUAGGGUAUAUGUGAACCACGGUGGAGAAGCUUUAUUUAAUAUUAUUGAUUUAAAUAAUAUGUCAAUUAAAAAUGUGCGGAGAAGAAAUUUCGGUGGAUAUUUUAGUCUUUUCAGCAAUUAUCAUGAUCAGAUCUAGGGAUGGCAAUGGAGAGGGGAGGGGAGGGGACCGAUCUCCCCGUACCCAUCCCCGAUAUUUUGCGUAUGUCCCCGUCCCCUCCCCGUCCCCAUCAGAAUUACUUGAGAGAAUCACCAUCCCCUCCCCGAAUAAUAACAGGGGAUCCCCGAUGGUCCCCGAUCCCCGAAUAACUAAUACAUUUUUUUUCAAUUUUGAGUUAAUCAUAUUAAAAUAAAAAAUUCAAAUAAAAAUAAAGUUCGAAAUAUAUCUUACAUUAAUAUCUAUUACAAAAGUCACAUACAUUAAAUUAGUAAGUAACGCAACAUGCAAGGAAUACAAACUUCUUUUACAAACUAUCAUGAACAAAUUAAUAGUUUAAUACAAAAUUGUUACAAAUAAAAUCGAAUUUAGAUUCAAAAUUAACUUUUUCAAUGGUGGCGUGGGCACUUUAUAAAUGUGGAUUAUUCCCUUUACAACACAAUAGUUAAAUCGGAGCAAAUCAAAAGUAAAUAUUAGAUUGGAUUAGAUUAGAUUAGAUUAGAUUAGAUUAGAUAUUAAAAUUGUGAUUCGCUGUGGACAAUUAUAACAUCUAAAAAUAAAUAAAAAAUAGAUUUAAGUUUAAAAUAUUUAAAGAAUAUUAAAAUUAAAAAAAAAUGUUUGGCUAAUAGAAUCUACUUGGUCUUUUUAAUGUCGUAAAUAAAAAUUUAAGACUUUAAUUAGUUAAUUAGGCCUAAAAAUUUAAUAAUAUAAAUAUUUUGAUAUUUUUUAUUUUUACCAAUAUUUAUAAGUGGAUUCUUUUACUAAACUAUAAAUUAAAAGUGGAUUCUUUUGAAUACAAGUGGGACAGACGAUUAGGCUCUUUUUAUUAAACGCAAGUAAAAAGUAGUCGAAUAGUCUUUUUCAAAUUAUUGUUUUAUUAUUUUUCCUUCAAAAGUUAGCGUGGCUCAUGUUUGCAGGUGCGAAUGUGCGAUGCUCUUUUUUUAAAGGCAAUUACAGUGGGUCCCGAAUCAUUACUAAAAUUUCUCUUCCUCAGCCCACCGCAGCUUCAGUUAAUCAAACUCAAUCAAUUUUCUUUCUUAACAAAAUUCUAAAGAUGUGUAGCAUUUUUCAGAUCACAUGCGAUGGUGCUUUUUUCAAUCGUUGCUUGGAUUGCUUUCUUGGAAAAGCAGCAUACAUACGUAACCUCCAAGAUAAUCUUGAUGCCUUGGAGACUGAAUUGGGAAAUCUGAUCGCUAGAAAGAACGAUGUGAUGAGGAGGGUUGUCGAUGCUGAACGGCAACAAAUGAGAAGGCUGGACGGAGUGCAAGUGUGGGUUUCGAGGGUGGAUUCUGUUAAAACUGAAGCCGAUGAACUUAUCACAGACGGCUCUCGAGAAAUUGAAAAAUUAUGUGUUGGAGGCUACUGUUCCAAGAACUGCAGGUCAAGCUACAAAUUCGGGAAAAAAGUGGCUAAAAAGCUACGGGAUGCGCGGACUUUAAUCAGUGAAGGAGUUUUUGAGGUGGUGGCUGACAGAGCUCCAGAGUCUGUAGCAGAUGAAAGACCUACUGAGCGAACAGUAGUAGGCUUGCAAUCACAACUUGAACAAGUCUGGAGAUGUCUUGUAGAAGAAUCAGCGGGAAUCAUUGGCCUAUAUGGUAUGGGCGGUGUUGGUAAAACUACACUACUGACCCAUAUCAACAACAAAUUUCUCGAGAGUCCAACCAACUUUGAUUGUGUGAUUUGGGUUGUAGUUUCAAAAGACCUGCGACUCGAAAAAAUUCAAGAAGAUAUUGGGAAAAAGAUAGGUUUGGUUGGUGAUUCAUGGAAGAGUAAAAGUGUAGAGGAGAAAGCUGUCGACAUCUUCCGGAGUUUAAGAGAGAAGAGAUUUGUAUUGUUGUUAGAUGAUAUAUGGGAGCGGGUUGAUUUAACAAACGUGGGCGUUCCACUUCCCGGACCAAAAAAUACUACCUCAAAAGUCGUAUUCACAACCCGUUUCAUCGAUGUUUGUGGUAGCAUGGAAGUUGACAGGAAGUUUCAAGUAGCAUGCUUAUCAGAAAAGGAUGCUUGGGAACUGUUUCGAGAAAAAGUUGGGGAAGAAACUCUUGAGAGUCAUCAUGAUAUCGAUGAGCUAGCCCAAAUUGUGGUCAAAGAGUGUGGUGGUUUGCCACUCGCACUUAUUACUAUUGGUCGAGCUAUGGCCUACAGAAAGAAAGCGGAGCAGUGGAGACGUGCAAUUGAAGAGUUAAGGAGAUCAGCUUCAGAGUUUGCAGGUUUGGGAAAAGAGGUGUAUCCUCUUUUAAAAUUCAGCUACGAUAGUUUGCAGAAUGAUAGUUUGCAGAAUGAUACGGUUAGAUCUUGUUUCUUGUACUGUUGUUUAUAUCCUGAAGAUUAUGUCAUUCCUAAAUGGGACUUGAUUGAUUGUUGGAUUGGUGAGGGAUUUUUUGGGGAAUCUGACAGGUCUGGUGCAGAAAACCAAGGAUAUGACAUUUUGGACACUCUUGUUCGUGCAUGUUUAUUAGAAGAGGUGGAAGAUGAUAAAGUAAAAAUGCAUGACGUUAUUCGUGAUAUGGCUAUAUGGAUAACUUGUGAAAUUGAGAAGGAGAAUAGAAAAUUUUUGGUUUGUGCAGGUGCUGGAUUAAAAGAGGCACCGGGUGUUAAAGGAUGGGAAAAUGUGAGAAGAUUGUCAUUGAUGCAAAACCAAAUUGAAACUCUGUCAGAGGUUCCCACAUGCCCUCAUCUCCUCACUUUAUUUCUUGACUUUAAUUAUAAUUUGAGGAUGAUCGCGGAUGGCUUCUUCCAACUUAUGCCUUCUCUCAAAGUUUUGAAGAUGUCACUCUGCCGGAAUUUAACUUUGAAAUUACCUUUGGGGAUGUCAAAGUUAGGUUCACUGGAACUUCUCGAUAUUUCAUAUACCUACAUACAAGAGUUACCACAAGAGUUAAAGUUGUUGGUAAAUCUGAAAUGUUUGAAUUUGAGGUGUACACACAGGUUAAAUAAAAUUCCACGGCAACUAAUAUCAAAUUAUUCAAGGUUACGUGUGUUGAGAAUGUUCGCUAGUGGCUGGUUCAAUUUUCAUGAAGCAUCAGAAGAAAGCGUUUUAUUUGGUGGGGGUAAAGUUUUGAUACAGGAAUUGCUCGGUUUGAAAUAUUUAGAGGUAUUGGAGUUGACCUUGGGAAGUUAUCAUGCUCUCCAAAUUCUUUUGAGCUCAAAUAAGUUAAAAAGUUGUAUUCGAUCUCUUUACCUCCAUUUGACCGGAGAUACAGCGUCAAUUAUUGAUGCUACGGCUUUCGCAGAUCUAAACCACCUCAAUGAAUUAUGGAUUGAUAAUGGUAUUGAGUUGGAAGAAUUGAAGAUUGAUUAUACGGAGAUAGUACGAAAAAGGCGGGAACCUUUUGUUUUCCGCAGCCUUCACCGUGUUACCAUAUAUAGUUGCAGUAAAUUGAAAGAUGUGACAUUCCUCGUUUUCGCUCCAAACCUCAAGUCUCUUACGCUAUUCAAUUGCGGUGCUAUGGAAGAAAUAAUCAGCGUCGGAAAAAUUGCUGAGACUCCUGAGAUGAUGGGACAUAUAAGCCCUUUUGAAAAUCUCCAAAGGCUUAAUUUAAAAGAUUUGCCAAAUUUGAAGAGCAUCUACUGGAAGCCAUUGCCUUUUACUCGUCUGAAAGAAAUGGCGGUACUUGGGUGCGAUCAGCUUGAAAAGCUUCCGGUCGAUUCCAACAGUGCAAAAGAGCGUAAAUUUGUAAUUCGUGGAGAAGAAGACUGGUGGAACCGACUUCAAUGGGAGGAUGAAGCCACUCAAAUUGCUUUUCGUUCCUGUUUCCAACCUUAUUCCUGAGCGGUGGUCGCAAAAUUUGAUUUCUGGUGAGUGCGUUUUUCUUUGAACUCUUGUACAUAUUCUUGUCGUUUGCUUCACGCAAAACACUAGGUCUUUUCUUCAGUCCGUUACCUACACGCAAAACACUGGUUCUUUUCUCUGUUUUUAUUUCAGUUAGUUUCUCUCUCUCUCUCUCUCUCUGUGUCUUCUGUAAAUCACAAUUAAAUGUUGAAUUAAUGGAAUUAAUGCUUCAUAAAUUUGCCGGCACUGCCGUUACUUUAUUUUAGGGGGGUCGAAUUGGUGCUCUGGUUUUUUACUUUUUGCUGUCAAAUUUUGGCCUUUUUUUUUUUUUUAACAAGUUGAUACUUUAUUUAUAUCUUCUUAGCGAUUUAAUUUCCUGUCAAAAGAGGAACGAGAAGAACAUAUGACUUAAACCAAUGCUCGCAUAAACUUGCUGUAAAAAGAUGUAAUCUCACUGAAAUGCACACGUCUAGAAUGAAUAGAAUUAAAACAGGGAAAAUAUUAAGUAUAUUAGCCCUCUUUACCGAAAAUCAAAUGACAAUAAAUUUUUGGAAGUUUUGAUUUUCUACGGUCAAUUCGACCUUUUGCAAUUUCUUCUGUUCUAACAAAAACCAAAUUCUUUGUUCAAGUAUUUUCGUUUGGGUAUCAAGGAUCUCUAAUCAAUAGCUGGAAGCAAUUCAGAGGGCGCCGAGACCCGAUCCGACCUAGGCCCAAGUUUGGUCUUAAAGCCUGGGCUUGAGCCUGACAAUUAAAUUAAAACAUUAAUUGAUUUAUUGAUUGAAUUGUCGUGCAAUUGAUUUAUGGGGGAUGAAAAUUCAACAUACUUGAAAAUACACUAAUCUUAGCAUCAUCGGUUAAUAACUUUUAGAUUUAUGGGUAAUCAAUAGUUAAGAUCAGUUGUCAUUUAUUUUUUGAAAUGUCCAUAUUCAGUGUACAUUUGAAAAAGACCCAAUAAUUUCUCAUAAAUUUCAAUUAAAAAUAUUCAAUUUGUUAUUUCAGUUCUUUUAUUUUUUAUUUUUUCCAACAUGAAAGCGACUUAAUGUUACUAAAUUGAAGCCGCUGCCCCGCCUGUGGUUCCAAACUUUUAUCUUCCUCCUCCUUUAAAUUAAUGCGAGCAGCCUCCGUCCUUGACUAGUUGACUUCUUUUCUUCUUUUUUAAUUAAUUAAUUAAUUAAUUCAGCCGCCCACCUUUCUUUUCCCAAUGUCUUCUACUUUCGAUUUCCUUUUAUUUUCUCUUUAUUUUUAAAAUAUGCUUAUAGUAAUAAUAAAAAAUAAAAAUAAAAAUAAAAAUAAAAAUGAACAUAUUAAAAUAUAAUUUAUCAGAAAACCAAGAUAAAGAAAUAUUAUAAGCACAUCAAUCAAAAAGUGAAAAAAAAAACAAUUUUAAUUUACAUUAAAUAUAAACUUUCAGUGUUAAUCAACUUUUCUAAAUAACUGAAAUUAUUUAAAAUAAAAAUAAAUUAUUCUUCCCAAAAAAACAAAAAUUACACCCACUCUUGGCUGUAUGUCAAGAUUCGCUUUAAGGACUGAAGUUGGUAACUUUUGCAAGCAGUCUUAAAUUGAAUGGCAGCAACCCACGCUUUCAGAUUUAUGGUUAAUCAAUAGCUGAGAGUUGUUAUCGCUAAUGCCGUGUAUUUUUUUUAAUGUUUUUUCUCUCUCCUACAGCAUCUUCUAGGAAAGUGCAUCCGUUGCUAAAAUUUAGUAUUGUAAAUAAUAAACCAAGAAUAAAUAUUAAAUUUAAGAAACUGUAUUGCAUUUAAUAUUUAAGGGAGAAAAAUAAUUGUAGUGUCUUUAUUAAUCAGUAAAAAGAAAAGAUUAGAAUCAUAAUAAAUUGUAUUGUUAUUGAUGUAUUUAUUUUAUUUUAUACUCAAAAUAAAUUAUUUUAAAUUAUUAAAAUAUUAUUAUUGUUAUUCUAAUAAUAAUUAUUAUUUAAUAUUUAUUAAAAUAUUUGUCAUAUUACUAAAAAAGCAAUAAUAAUAAUGAUAAUAUUGGAAUUGUUGUUUUUUAUCUUAUUAUUAAUCAAAACACUUCUGGUUAGCCCAUUCAUACGUGAAGACCAAAACCAAAUCUCUUCUUCUCCUUCUUUUCUUAAAAUACGGGAUGUGUGUGCUCGGACUGCUCUCUCAUUCUUAAAACAAGACUUUUUGAAUUAUCCAAUUAAGUUAAAUUCUGUGGCAUCUGGUAUUUUCAUUUCUUGUUUAUUUCGCAAGUUAUUAUUGCCUAAUGCUAUGUCAACUCUAACAUUAGCAUAUAUAUUUUUUUUUUGGUCGUCUUUUAACACCAAACAUUAGUGUAGGUUAAGUAACAUAAUCAGUACUGGGACAAUUUGAAAUCCCUUUGUGUUUUAUUCACAGUAUCUAUGAGGGUUUAUCCUUUUGCUAGAACAAACUCUAGCAAAUUGUCAAAUGUACUUAUCCUUUCGCUUGAUGACUCAUUUUAAAAUUGUCUUUCAAUGUACACACACAGAGAUAACCACCGACAUCAAGCACCAAGUUUGGAAUUUAAUUGAUAAGCAUACAUUUGAUAAAUUAAUGAAAAGUUUGGGAGAAUAGUUUUGAUCACCCUCGAUUAGGAUGGUAUCACGAAAAAGAUCAAAAAGAAAACAUCGUCUCUUCUUCAACAAAAAUAAAUAUUUUCCGUUAGAAUUUAAAUAAAAUAAUUAUUUUUUUAUUUUUUGAAUUAAAAUUUAAUUAAAUACACAAAUAAAUUAUAUAUUUUUAAAAAAAAAUUUACACCCAGUCACAAGGCUGGCUAUUAAACUUAAAGGGAAGCUUCGGAGACUAAAGUUGGUAACAUCUCCAAGUGGUCUUAAGUUGACCGGAACUACCCCGACUUUAUGUUUGGUAGCCUAGACCUGAUCGGACCUAGGCCCAAGUUUGGUCUUAAAGUCCACAAUUAAAUUGAUUUGUUAAUUUAAUUGUUGUGUAAUUGAUUUAUGGGGAAUGAAUCAGCAUCCCUAAAAUUACACUAAUCUUGACAUAAUGACAUCAUCGGUUAAAAACGUUCAGAUUUAUGGCUAAUCAAUGGUUUGAGAUUUGUUAUCAUUAAUGCUAAAUAUUUUUUAACAUUUUUUCUAUCUCUCUCUCCUGAAGGAAUUUUCUAAGAAAAUGCAUCCACAACACAAAUUUUAAGGAUCACACUAUGUUACGUUAAACGUAACGUACACACACUCACAGCAACAGUAACAGGUCACGUCUUGUUACUGUUGCUGUGAGUGUGUGUAUAUUACGUUUAACAUAACAUAGCAUAGGCCAAAUUUUAAAUUGUAAACAAUAAACAAAAUAUAAACGUUAAAUUUAAGGAACUGCGUUGCAUUUCAGCUGAAGCUAACUUUAAUAUUUUACGAAAAAAAAUAAUUAAAUCUUUAAUGUGAUUUAUUUAUUAAUAUAUAUGACUAAUUUUUUAAAAUAAGAUGCAGGAUGAAACUUAAAAAUAUAAAUUAUAGAAUUAAUUUCUCUCUUCAAUAAAUCUAAAGUUUAUUUUUUUUAUUACAUGCUUCUAUUUUAUUUUUAUUCCAUGUUAAUGAUUGGAGAUUUAAAUCCAUUUCGGAUUUAUAAAUAUGUUUAGAUAUCUAAAUCCACGUGUGAUUCCAAACUAUAACCUUUUUUUUUUUCUAAUUAAUGCAAACAGCCGCCUCUUUGGACUGCUUUUCUUCUUUGAUUAUUAAUUAAUUAAUUCAGCUGCCCACCUUUCUUUUCCUAAUGUUUUCUACUCUCAAAUUUUUUUAAGGACAAGGCUACGUUGCAGACGCUGUACCUAACAGCUGCACCUUAGCCAGCUUCACAAAGGGUGCAUUUGGUAAGCAAUUUUUCUUUCCUGUGCAUAUGUGUCCUUCCACCAUUGGGUGUACGUAACAGAUAAUGUACCGUAACAAGCUCCUAUUUUUAAAUAUGUUUAUAAUGAUAAAAUAUAAAAAUUAAGAUUAAAAUGUAAUGUAAUAUAAAAUUAAAGGUGGAAGAGUAUUAAAAUAAUGUAUAAGAUAUGAAUAAACAAGUCAAUAAGAAAACAAACAAACGGCAAGAGAAAAGGAAUGGUCAUGCAGAUUUUAAGGUGGCAGUGACAAUGAGAUCUCAUUUUAACCGAUAAAGUCUUUUGAAUUUGUCAACUCAAAAAAAUAGAUUCAAAUGUUUUGUAAUAAAUGAAAAUAUAAUAUUAAAAUAAAUGUGAUAAUAUAUAUUUUAAAUAAUUUCAAUACAAAAAACAUUUGAAUGUUUUAUAAUUUAUUAGACAUAUUUUAUUAUAUUAAUAUAAAUUUUCUAAGAAAUAUGGACAUAAUAUUAAAAUAAAUUUAUGAAAAAUUUAAAUUAUUUUGAAUGUAAAAACAUUUGAAUGUUUUAUAAUUUAUUAGACAUAUUUUAUUAUAUUAAUAUAAAUUUUUCUAAAAAAUAUGGACAUAAUAUUAAAAUAAAUUUAUGAAAAAUUUAAGUUAUUUUGAAUGUAAAAACAUUUUAAUGUUUUAUAAUUUAUUAGAAAUAUUUUAUUAUAUUAAUAUAAAUUUUCUAAGAAAUAUGGACAUAAUAUUAAAAUAAAUUUAUGAAAAAUUAAAUUAUUUUGAAUGUAAAAUAAUUUUAAUAUUAUUAAUCCAUUAAGUAUUAAUUAUAAAAAUUAUUUAACCCAAAGAUUAUUUAUAUCCUUACAAUAAAUAUAAAUAUAUUAUUUGCAUUUAAAAAUUUAAAAAUAUUUAAAUAAUAUUAAUCUACAAUUAUAUUUUCAUUUAUUAUAAAUAUUUAAAGUCAAAUCUUUUGCACUUGUAUUUUAUUACAAUUAUGGCGCACAAAGAAAGAGCCAUAUAUGCUUUAUAGCGUUAGAAAUUGGUUUCUUUUAAAGCUGGAAACAGAGAGGAUGAUUAUUAUAAGGAGAAAAGAAAAAGGGAUAAAGAAUAUUAAUGAUUAACAAAAUCUCUCUGCAAAUUGAUUGCAGUAGAAAAAAAGUGAGCUGAGCAAUCUAAUUUAGUGGUAGAGUGAUAUUUCAUUUGUAGCAAAUUACAUCUCAAGGUUAAAGGAAAGACUUAAGAUCUCAGCUUUUGAUCAUAAUACUUUUUUUAAAGAAAAAAAUUAAUUUUAAUAUUUUAUAAUAAAUAAAAAUAUAAUCUUAAAAUAAAUACAAACACACUAUUAAUAGUACAUAUUUUAAAAUAAUCUCAUUAUUUAAAAUUGUUUUAAUAUUUUGUAAUUUGCCAGACAAAUUUUAUUAUUUUCAAGUAAAUUUUAUAAUAAAUACAAACACACUAUUAAGAUAAAUAUAUGAAAAAUUUAAAGUAAUUUGAAUCUUAUACAAAAUAAUUUUAAUAUUGUUAAUAGUGAGAUAAUUCUAUUAAUUUAAAAUGCUACUUAACCUUAAGAUUUAUUUAAGAUAAAUUAAUAAUUACAUUUUUAAAUUAUUUCAAAUAUUAAAAAUAUUUUAAUAUUAUUUAUCUAUUAGAUAGACUAAAUUAUUUAAAUUAUUUUGUAUAAAUUAAUUCUAUUUAAAGGAUAUUAUGAUAAAAAGAUCUUAGUGUUUUUAUUAAAAAUUUAAAAUUUAUAUGACUAUUUCUUUAAAUAUUUAGGGUAUAUAUGAACCACCGAGGAGAAAAGCUUUAUUUAAUAUUUUUGAAUAGUUUUUGAUCAGUACAAUUGCGUCCUUAUUCAGAAUUAUUGUUCUCUUCCGCAACAGUUUUUGUUUAUCAAAGUCAUCAAUUAAAAUUUUAGAAUUCUUAUCAUCAGAAGUAGUCGUUUUAGAAGUUGGGUCUUGGAUCAAAUUUCUACGAGUGCAUGAAUUAACAAUAAAAAAAAUUUCAUUACACACGGUUUAAGCUACAAAACUACUAUUUGCACAGUUGACUAUAAAACUUACCUCCAAUUACACUAAACCUCUCUAUUUGGUAACGUUGAGACUAAAUUAAUUUUAUUAGCAUGAAAAGAUAAUAGAAAUAUUAUCAUAAAUAUAAUUGUUGUUAAUCAAUUAGUACAUGUGAUAUAAAGGUUAAAUGUGCACUAUAUUUAAUAAAUAAUUAAUGGAACAUGUUAAACAAAAUGUUAAUGUAUAUUUAUAUAGUGUUAGGAAUAUGCAAAGUCAAGUCCUCAAUUUGCAUUAUCCUGUAUAGAAUAUUACUCUAAAAAUGUUUUACUAUAAUUGGCUUAGAACAUUUGUAAAGAAAAUAAUAAUCGUAAUAAUAAAUAACAUACACCGUCACAUAGCAUCUAGACAAUGAUAGAAAAUUAUUAAAGGGAGUGCAAACAAUUAAUUAGAAAUUUUUAUGAUAACUUUUAAUAUUCAUGAUAAUAACAAAUAAAUACAUGUACCACUUUUUAAAAAUAUUAAAUUUGACGUGCUCCAUUAAUAAAUUAUUAUUGUAAUUCAGACUCUAUCUAUAUAUCCUUGCAUUAAGAAUAAUUAAGUCAUAAUAAAAAUUUUCGUAACUACAUCUCAUUUCUUCCUCAUAAUAAUAAUUAGAUUGGUUCGAAUAUUAUAACUAUAUAGAUUUAGGGCGUGUUUGGUGCAUGGGAUUAUGUGGUAUUACACUACUAUUCACAUUAGCUUAUUUCCAAGAAGAUGUUUGGCAAACUUUGACACCUCAUUAUGCUGCAUUAUAAUGCAGCAUAAUGAGGCAUGGGGCCGCAUUACGCAAACCCGAGGGAACCUCGGGUUUGCGUAAUGCAGAAGCUUUUUGCCUCAAUUGAGGCAACAGUUAAUGCCUCAAUUGAGGCAAAUUUAUUUUAUUAAAAUAUUAUAAAAAUAAAUUAUUUUAUUAUUAAAUACUAAUAUAAUGAAUAAAAUAUAAAAAUAAAUUAUAUGAUAAUAUUAUUUUAUUUAUUAAUGAUUCAUAUAAAAAUAAUAUAUUAAUAUUAUAAUAUUAUUUACAUUAAUAUUAAUUUUAAAAUUAAUAUUAUUUAAAUUUAUAAUUAUUUAUGUUAAAUUAUAAAUUUAUUAAUAUAUUAAAAUGUAAAAAUAAUAAUAUAUUGUAAAUUAAAAUAUAAUUGAAUAUUAUUGAAUAAUAAUUUAUUAAUUUAUAUUAACAAUUAUAAUAUUAAUUAUAAUCUAAAUUUAUUAUUUACAUAUAAUAUUAAAUUUUAUAAAUUUAUUUUAUCAUAAUUAUAAUACAAAUUUUAGAAAUUUAAUCAUUAAUUUUUAAUAUUUACUAAAAAAAUUGUUAAAUUUCUACAAUUAAGAUUUCUAUAUUUAUUAUUUUUCUAAGUAUUAAUAAAUAUUAAUUUUUAAUUAUUUAAUUUAAUUAAUUAUAAAAAUUAAUACAAUACAAUGUAACACCAAAUAUAGUUUAAUUAAAAAUUAAUACAGUACAGUGUAGCACCAAACAUUGUACAGCAUUAUUAUAAUACAAUACUAACGCAAUACAGCAUAAUACAAUACACCAGCAUUAAAAUAAUGCAAUACAACAUAAUACAAUACAAUGUACCAAACGCACCCUUAGUGUAUAGCCACAUCCAAUUUAAAUAUUGACCCAAUUGGGAUGGUCCCCAAAAAAAAAAUUCGUUAAAGGAUAAUUCUAAUUAUUUUUACUUCUCAAACGUUAGUGGGACGUUUCUAUUAGCGCACUCGUAAGCCAAGUUGUCAAAUAUUUAUAUUAAACUACAAUUGCUGACAAGAAAAAUCAAGAUCGUGUUGCGCAAGUGGGUCCCGAAUAGGACGUGCCUAAAUCUCUCGUAAGCCAAGUUGUCAAAUGUUUAUAUUAAACUAACAAUUGCUGACUAGAAAAAUCAAGAUCGUAUUACAAGUGGGUCCCGAAUUGGACGUGCCUAAAUCUUUUUAUAAUUUUCCCAGUGUAGCGGACAGAGGUCAUUACUAAAUUUCUCUUCCACACGCCACAGCAGCUUCGGUUAAUCAAACUCAAUCAAUUUUCUUGGCUUCUCCGCUUAUCAAUAUUACAAGGUAUGGGUAGCAUUUUUCAAAUCACAUGCGAUGGUACUAUUUUCAAUCGUUGCUUAGAUUGCUUUCUUGGAAAAGCAGCAUACAUAAGUAACCUCCAAGAUAAUCUCGUUGCCUUGGAGACUGAACUAAGGAAACUAAUCGCAGCAAAGAACGAUGUGAUGACGGCGGUUGUCAAUGCUGAACGGCAACAAAUGAGAAGGCUGGACCAAGUGCAAGUGUGGGUUUCGAGGGCGGAAGCUGUUAAAACUGAAGCUGAUGAACUUAUCAGAGGCGGCUCUCAAGAAAUUGAAAAAUUAUGUCUUAGAGGGUUCUGUUCCAGGAACUGCACGUCAAGCUACAAGUUCGGAAAACAAGUGGCUAAAAAGCUACGAGCUGUGGAGACUUUAAUCGCCGAAGGAGUUUUUGAGGCGGUGGCUGCCGAGGUGGUGCCUGAGAGAGCUCCAGAGCCUGUAGCAGAUGAAAGACCUACCGAGCGAACAGUAGUAGGCUUGCAAUCACAACUUGAACAAGUCUGGAGAUGUCUUGCAGAAGAAUCAGCGGGAAUCAUUGGCCUAUAUGGUAUGGGCGGUGUUGGUAAAACUACACUAUUGACCCAUAUCAACAAUAAAUUUCUCGAGAGUCCAACCAACUUUGAUUGUGUGAUUUGGGUAGUAGUUUCAAAAGACCUGCGACUUGAAAAAGUUCAAGAAAAUAUUGGGAAAAAGAUAGGUUUGGUUGAUGAUUCAUGGAAGAGUAAAAGUGUAGAGGAGAAAGCUCUCGACAUCUUCCGGAGUUUAAGAGAGAAGAGAAUUGUAUUGCUGUUAGAUGAUAUAUGGGAGCGGGUUGAUUUAACAAAAGUGGGCGUUCCACUUCCAGGACCACAAAAUACUACCUCAAAAGUCGUAUUCACAACCCGUUUCAUCGAUGUUUGUGGUAGCAUGGAAGCUGACAGGAAGUUCCAAGUAGCAUGCUUAUCAGAAAAGGAUGCUUGGGAACUGUUUCGAGAAAAAGUUGGGGAAGAAACUCUUCAGAGUCAUCAUGAUAUCGUUGAGCUAGCCCAAAUUGUGGUCAAAGAGUGUGGUGGUUUGCCACUCGCACUUAUUACUAUUGGUCGAGCUAUGGCCUACAGAAAGAAAGCGGAGCAGUGGAGACGUGCAAUUGAAGAGUUAAGGAGAUCAGCCUCAGAGUUUGCAGGUUUGGGAAAAGAGGUGUAUACUCUUUUGAAAUUCAGCUAUGAUAGUUUGCAGAAUGAUACGGUUAGAUCUUGUUUCUUGUAUUGUUGUUUAUAUCCUGAAGAUUAUGGCAUUCUUAAAUGGGACUUGAUUGAUUGUUGGAUUGGCGAGGGAUUUUUUGGGGAAUCUGACAGGUCUGGUGCAGAAAACCAAGGAUAUGACAUUUUGGACACUCUUGUUCGUGCAUGUUUAUUAGAAGAGGUGGAAGAUGAUAAAGUAAAAAUGCAUGACGUUGUUCGUGAUAUGGCUGUAUGGAUAACCAGUGAAAUUGAGAAAGGGAAGAGAAACUUUUUGGUUCGUGCAGGUGCUGGAUUAAAAGAGGCACCGGAUGUUAAAGGAUGGGAAAAUGUGAGAAGAUUGUCAUUGAUGCAAAACCAAAUUGAAACUCUGUCCGAGGUUCCUACAUGCCCUCAUCUCCUCACUUUAUUUCUUGACUUUAAUGAGAAGUUGAAGAUGAUCACGGAUGGCUUCUUCCAAUUUAUGCCUUCUCUCAAAGUUUUGAAGAUUUCACACUGUGGUAGGAAUUGGAAAGAUUUGAAAUUACCUGUUGGGAUGUCAAAGUUGGGUUCACUAGAACUUCUUGAUAUUUCACAUACGCUGAUAACAGAGUUACCAGAAGAGUUAAAGUUGUUGGUAAAUCUGAAAUGUUUGAAUUUGAGGUCGACAGAAUUGUUAAUUAGAAUUCCACGGCAACUGGUAUCAAAUUCUUCAAGGUUACGUGUGUUGAGAAUGUUCGCUACUGGCUGGUUAAAUUUUCAUGAAGCACCAGAAGACAGCGUUUUAUUUGGUGGGGGUGAAGUUUUGAUACAGGAAUUGCUCGGUUUGAAAUAUUUAGAGGUAUUGGAGUUGACCUUGCGAAGUUAUCAUGCUCUCCAAAUUCUUUUGAGCUCAAAUAAGUUAAAAAGUUGUAUUCCAUCUCUUUUCCUCCAGUUGGCCGGAGAUACAACGUCGAUUAUUGAUGCUGCGGCUUUCGCAGAUCUAAACCACCUCAACGAUUUAUUUAUUUAUAAAGGCAUUCAGUUGGAAGAAUUGAAGAUUGAUUAUACAGAGAUAGUACAAAAAAGGCGGGAACCUUUUGUUUUCCGCAGCCUUCACCGUGUUUCUAUUGGGGGGUGCGAUAAAUUGAAAGAUGUGACAUUCCUCGUUUUUGCUCCAAACCUCAAGUCUCUUUGGCUAUUCGAUUGCGGUGCUAUGGAAGAAAUAAUCAGCGUCGGAAAAUUUGCUGAGACUCCUGAGAUGAUGGGACAUAUAAGCCCUUUUGAAAAUCUCCAAAGGCUUGAAUUAUGGGAUUUGCCAGCUUUGAAGAGCUUCUACUGGAAGCCAUUGCCUUUCACUCAUCUGAAAGAAAUGGUGGUACAUGGGUGUCAUCAGCUUAGAAAGCUUCCACUCGAUUCCAACAGAGCAAAAGAGCGUAAAUUUGUUAUUCGUGGAAAAGCAGACUGGUGGAACCGACUUCAAUGGGAGGAUGAAGCCACUCAAAUUGCUUUUCGUUCCUGUUUCCAACCUCGUUCCUGAGCGGUGGUCGCAAAAUUUGAUUUCUGGUGAGUGCAUUCGUCUUUUAAAAGAAGAAUUUAAAAGAAAUUUAUUCUUGUCGUUUUCUUCUCUGUUUUUAUUUCAGUUUCUUUCUCUCUCUCUCUCAAGGAUCUCUAAUCAAUAGCUGGAAGCAAUUGAGAGGCGCCGAGACCCGAUCGGAUCUAGGCCCAAGUUUGGUCUUAAAGCCUGGGCUUGAGCCUGACAAUUAAAUUAAAACAUUAAUUGAUUUAUUGAUUGAAUUGUUGUGUAAUUGAUUUAUGGGGGAUGAAACAUCAACAUACUUGAAAAUACACUAAUCUUAGCAUCAUCGGUUAAUAACUGUUAGAUUUAUGGGUAAUCGUAAUCAAUAGUUAAGAUUAGUUGUCAUUAAUACUAAAUAUUUUUUACUAUUUUUGUCUCUACUAGAGGAUCUUCUAGAAAAAUGCAUCCACAACAAAAUUUAAUAUUUUACAUAAUAAACAAAAUAUAAAUGUUAAAUUUAAGAAACUGCAUUGCAUUUCAGCUGAAGCUGACUUUAAUAUUUAGGGUAGAAAAACAAUUAAAUCCUUAAUGUGUUUAAUUUCUAUCACUUGUGUCAUUAAAAUUUUCUAGCCACCUUAACCAAUUACAUCUCAACCCACUUUUUUUGGAUGAUUUUAUUUUUACACAAUUAUUUUCAACAUAUCAUGAUGUAUUCGUCAAAAGCUGGAAAUGACUGUUGCCCGUCAAAAUUCACAUUUUUUCCUUAACGAUAAAGUUUUAAUAUAAUUUUGAAGUUAUAACGUCAUAAAUAUAUUGCAUAAUAAUAAGAAAAAGGACCUAAAUGGUAAAAGUGAUAAAUAAUAAGAUCGAAGUAUCAUUUUCCAAUGUUAAAUGAGGCAAUGCCAUUCUCCGGUUCUCUUCUUUAAAUGCGUGAUGUGUGUGCUCUGUUUUCUCUAUUAUUCUUUUUCUCUUUUAGAUUUUGAGAACGUAAAGGGUGCAGGAGUCUUUAUCUUGUUAAAACAAGUCUUUUCGAAGUAUUCAACUAAAUUAAAUCAUGGCCUAAUGCUGUGUCAAUUCCAUCAUCAGCAUUUUUUUUUUCCUUUUUAACACCAACAUCAGUGUAUGUUUGGAUAAUUUGAAAUCUGUUUGUGUUUUAUCUCAAAGUAGAGCUUCAAUCAAUUUGUACCUCACAAAUUCACAAUAUCUAUUAAGGAUAAUAAGACCGAACUCUGGCAUAUUGUCAAAUGUGCUUAUCCAAUUCCAAAUUAAAAUGUUGACAGUGUUUCAUCAACCAAGAACUUGUCUUCGAUAGUUAAUCGGAUUAAAGGGAAUAAUUAAUGAGAGCAAUUAAUUAAUAUUAGCCGGCAUCGUCUGUUUCAUAGGUACUCGUGGUUCACUAACAUAAGCGUUGAAUUUGUAUAGUAGCUUGUUCCUUUCCUUCGGUUUUACUUAAUGAAAACCUUGGCUAGAUCGUACACCAAUGUAAAAUCGAAAACCCUUAUGCCACGAAGAGUUCUUAGUGCAAUUGAGAUCAAUGAUAAUCAGCUGAUAGGGAAAACAUUGUCUGAUUGUCAUAAACAAACUUCUUGAAAAUGCCAUCAGUAACAUGGAAGAUUUGGAGGUUAUUCAAAUGCUGACUUCAGGAAUGCAGAUUAAUAUAUUAUGGAGACAGAUUGAGUGCAAUGGCUAAUUGUAACAGGGAAUUUUUAUUGUACAAACAGACCAGCCAGCAAAGAAUAUUCCAAAUCUAGGACUAAACAAGUCAAUAAUAAAAUAAACAAACGGCAAGAGAGAGUGAUUAUAUCUACAACACCAUCGGCUACUACAAAUUCAACUUUUCAACAGUUGUUACUCACCAUGAACAGAAAAAAGAAAAUUACAACAAAAAAUUGGUUGCUAAAAGACGUCUAUUCAUGGUAAUGCCUCUCAAAUGGGUUCAAAACAUGGAAGAAAAGCAUUUAGUGUGGCUUCAUCGUCCCAUUUCAGCUCACUCCACCAGUGUUGCAGGGGCUUAGUCAAAGUGGCUUUCAAGAAGUUUUAUUACCACCUCAGUUCAAAUCCUAAGAGAGGUAGGAGGAUAAAAGAAUUAAUUUGGACUUUACCUAGCCCUCUACCUUUGUUAAAUUUAUGUUAAAAAAAAAAAUAGAUUUGAGAUUGGUAAUAUCCUUAUUUUUUGUUUUCAAAGGAAACUGAUUUAGGACCAAUGAGACUUUGAUCCAAUGGGAGAAGCCUUUCACUUAUAAUGUUAAGUAUAAGGGUUCGAUCCUCCAUAAGAGCUUUAUGAAGGUUAAUUUCAGUACUUCCUUAGUUAUCAGUUAAUUGAGUGGAGACAGUCUCUCCCUUACGAAAUGUGAGUGGAGUAGGCACCCCUCGAAUAUUAGAGAAGGUUUAAAGUAUCUGAGCAAGUGCUUUAGUGGGUUAAUAUAUGGCGGUAGUUCCAGUUGUUUAGUAUGAUUGUAGUACGAUUGUAUAUAUUAAUUGUAAUAUCUAAUGUAAUAUCAAUAACAAUCUGUGCAUAACAGAAUUCAAAAAAAGAAAAGAAAAAAGAAAACUGAUUUAGGUGGUUUCUUGGUUAAGACUUUUUCUUUAGCAUACUUAGUUCCACGUGCUAUUUAGAUAUUUUUCGACAUACUUAUUACUUAGUUCCACAUGCUAUUUAGAUAUAUUUCGACCAAAUGAACAAGCGCAAGCCAUUGACACUUAGCUUAAUUUCAGGGUCAAGCUAUAUUUGAAACUCAAAUAUUAACCUAUUAAUAUUUUCAAUUCAUUCAAUUAUAAAUUAGAGAUGAUAGAAAUUCUCAUAGGAACAGGGGCCCUAGGGGAUUUUAGAGGAUUUUUCCCAUUCGGGAAGGGUAGGAGACAAUUUUAUAUCAAGUUUCUUAUUCCCAGAGACUAUAAUAUUUUUUUACCUAAUUUCUUAUUCAGGGAAGAUAUGGAGAUGAUGUGGACUUUCCAUCCCCUCCCAAUUCUCCAUUUUUAUUUUUAAUUUUUAUAUUAUUUUUCUAGAAUUAUUAGUGAAAAUAAUAAAAUUUAAAUUGUAAAAAUUUUAUUAAUGAAUAAAUAAAAAUAAAAAUUUUAGACACCUUUUUCCCAAACUUGUAGCUUGACUUGCAGUUCUUGGAGCAGUAGCCUCCAAGACAGUUUUUCAAUUUCUCGAGAGCCGUCCCUUGUCAAUUCACCAACUUCAGCUUCCACAGCCGCCACCCUUGAGGUGAUGUUUGGUUGGGAGGAGAGAAUGGGGGAGAGGAAAGUAAUUUAAAUUCUACUUUUAUUUUUAUUGUUUGGUUGCACGAAAUAUAUAAGAAUUUAAUUUCCAUUAGAAUUUAAUAUCCUUUAUAAUCUAGAAUUUGAAUUCCACACCAAAGAGUGAAGAAUUCAAAUUCCUCUUAGGUUGAAAACCCAAGUUUCCAAAUUUGUCCUUCAACAUUUUAACUUGUUUAAUGCUAUUAAUAAUUAUUAUUUAUAAUUUUAUUUUAUCAAUUUAAUAUUAUAAAUAAUUUAAUAUUAAUUAAAUUUAAUGAAUGAUUUAAGACAUUUAAUAAAAUAAAUAAACUUAUUUAUUUAUUUAAUAUGCAAAUAUAUAAAUAUAAAUUAACUAUCGCCGGAACUUCGCUGGACCGUCGCCGGAAGCUGUCGAAAUUUCACCGAAAAGUCACCAACCACUGUUGAUCGGCGUUGGCUUAUGUUGACCGCUACUGUUGACCGGCUUUUAUUUAUAUUAAAUUAUAUUAAAUAGUUUAGUAUAUUAAAUUAUUUUAUAUUUUAUAUUAAAUAUAAAUCAUGAAUUGUUUCAUAACUUUUUGAAAUUAAAAAAAAUUGGUAUUAAUAUUAAAUUAUAUUUUAUUACUAAUAUAGAUAAUUUAGUAUUUAAGGUAAAGGAUAAAUUUGUCCAAAGAAAAAAAUUAUAAUUUCUUUCCUUAUCAAAUUUGAUGUCAAACCAAACAUUGAAAUUUAAUUUUAUUAAUCUCUUCCACUCAUUUCUCCUCCAUUCCACUUUUUUCUUCUCCUCUCCUUUUUUAAAACCAAACACCACCUGAAAGCCAACCUUGCACUUUGUUCAGCCGUCUCAGUUGUUGCUGCUCAGGAUUGGCGACCCUCAUCAUCACAUCGUUCUUUGGUUCAAUUAAUUUCUGCAAUUCGGUCUGGAUGGCAACCAGGUUAUCUUCAAGCUGGCUUAAAUAUCAUGCUUUUCUGCGGGUACAAUUUAUGAAGCCAGUGAAAAUUACGCAUACAAUAGGAGUGCAACACAGUGUGUAUUCGGUUGUGGUGUCUAUGAUUUUGCAGUCGCAGAAGCUUAUUCACCUUAUGAAGACUGAUCAGGUGGGCACCGUCGCUCUCCUUACAUUCUUAUGGAGAGCGAUAGUCCAUGUAGUCAGAUCUCACUGAGAGAACUAGCCGAGUGGGCAAUCGCUCCGCCUGAUCAAAAUUUGUCAUCUUAUAAUAAUAUCUUGAGUAGGUCUUGAAUUUUUUUUCCAAUUUUAAUCUUUAAAAGGUAGAAGAGGUGAAAAAAACCUAAAUAGUAUUUGUGUCCUCCUAAAUAACAUUUCUUGAACAUCAAUGGAUCUUAAAACUUAAUUAAGAAAAUAUUAUAGAUUUAUAAAUUAGUGGCCCUUAAAAUUUAUUUGCAAGUAACAAUUAGAGAAAAGUCGUCAGGCCCAAAAGACUUAGAGCAUCACCAAAAGACUCUUCAAAUAAGAUUUUAUUAAUUAUUUGAAGAGCCAUCUCAAUAUUUAAGACUCCAAAAGACACUCCAAUUAAGAUUCUUCAAAUAAGAAAUAAUUCUCUCUCUUCAAAUUUGGAGAGUUGAUUUCUCCCUCUUCAAUUUAUACUUUAUUACUUUCCAUUGGAGAAAAAGAGAGAAGUGCUUUAAUUGCUAUUGACUUUUUCUUUAAAAAAAUAAUUAUUUGAUUAAAAUAAUAUUAAGUUAUUUCUAUUUGAAGAGUCUUUUGGAGAAUAUUAUUUUUUUUUACUCUUCUAUUUGCCACAUAGAUAAGCAAAUAGAUAUUUGAAGAGUAAAAUUUAUAGAGUCUUUUGGAGAUGCUCUUACUAAAAGUCGGCAACUCGUCAUGACCAAAAUUCUUCCGAGUGUGAAAUACGGCAUGCGCAGAUGCAUUAAAAACAAAAGCCAGCUAAGAUAUUCUUUGUAUACUUGCAUUCCCUAUCAUCUUAUUAAUAAUUUCAGACACGUCGUUCGUUCCCUGUGACUUUUCAUAUGCAACAGCACAGUCAGUGUUACAAUUUACAUUUCGAAUUGGGUGUCAUCUAUAUACUCUACCUAGAUCUAACAUGAUAUUGCAGUAUUGCACUGAUUUUUUUGUCGCAGCGUUUCUCUAUGAAUUCCUUAAACUUUAAACACAUCAUGGAAUAAUUAUUUUCUUAAAGACCAAAUUAACAUAAUUCUUAAAUCAUUUAUAAAACAACAUUUAUCAUAUAACAGAUCGUACACGAAUCAAUUUUCCUUGAACAGUAGCAAACAAACAAGAAUCUCAACCACAUCACGAGAUCGCCCACGUCAAACCAAGUAUUCUUAAUGAGUGGACCAGCUAAUAUAUUCAAAAUUGGAAUUAAUUGAGGAUAAUGAUUAGUGCUAAUACAUUUGCAAAGAAAAAUCAUGCCUAUUGAAAAACUCAUCUUAUUAGCAGCAGCGUUAUAAGUAGCAUCCAAUCAUAGUUUCACGCAAGAUUUUGAGAUUAUUCAAAUGCUGAUCCCGGGAAUGGAGAUUAAUAGAUAAUGGAGACAGGUUGACUGCAAUGGCUAAUUGUAAGAGGGAUUUUUAGCCGUAAAAACAGAUCAACUAGCAAAGCAAAUUCCAAAUCUUGGAAUGCAGUAGCAAAAAAACGAAACAAACAAAUGGCAAGAGGAAGUGACUAUACAACAAUAACAUCGACUUGCAAUUCAACAUUUAUACAGUUUUACACACCAAGAAAAGAAAAAAUUACAAUAGAAAUUUGGCCACUAAAAGAUGCUCGUUCAUGCUUAUGCCUGUCAUAUGGAUUUGAAACAUGGAGUAAAAGCAUUUAGAGUGGCCUCAUCCUUCCACUGCAGCUCAUUCCACCAGUAUUGCUCUCCCCUAAUAACAAGUUUUCGUUCCUUGGCGCUGUUGUAAUCGAGUGGAAGCUUCUUGAGAUUCGGGCAGCCAGAUACAAACAAUUCCAAGAGAUUUGGAAAGGGCAAUGCAUUCAAACAGAUCUUCUUCAGAUUUCUUACAACUUGCAACCGAAGAUAUUGGAGUUUCGAAAAAGUUUUUUGCACUGGAACUUCUGGAACUUCUUCCAAUUUCCAAACACUGAUUAUUUCUUCCAUCUCAUAACAACGUUCUACAUGGACCAUCUUGAGAUUUGGGGCAAAAACAAGCCAUGUCAUCUCCCUCAAUUUACUGCAAUAGUCUAUGGUAACACUUUGAAGGCUGUUGAAACCAUAAAGUUCUCUUGUUGUUUGAAUUUCUGCAUAGUCAACCUUUAGCUCUUCCAAACUUGUACAAUACACAAAAUCUAGUUUGUCAAGAUACUUGAGAUCUGCUAUGGACAAAAUAUUCCAUGACCUUGAAUCCUCACAGCGGCGAAGCUCUAAAGCAUAUUUACAACUCUUGUACUGUUGGCAGCUCAAAAGUCUUCGUAGAGCAUAAAAACUUCUUAACGUGACGCUUAAUACAUUUAAAUGUUCCAAAGUAAUCAACUCCUCUACCAAAAUUUCACUACCACCAAAUAGAACGCUAUCUUCUGGUACUGUAUUAGCAGAGCCACAAUCUAGCAUCCUCAACACCUUUAACCCAGAAAAAUUACAAAGCAGUUGCCGUGGAAUCGUAUGGAGAUAACGCAUGUACUCCAAGUUCAAACACUUUAGAUUUUUCAAGGCUUUUAAUUCAUGUGGCAACUCUUUGAUGAAAGUUUCUGAAAGAUUAAGAUAUUGUAGUGAAACCAAUUUUGAAAUUCCUGAAGGCAAUUGACUCAAGGAGCGAUUCUUUGAUAGGUUUAAAACUUUAAGAGAAGGCAUAAAAUCGAAGAAAUCACUAGGGAUAGUAUCUAACAUAUUAAUGCCGAGGAACAAAGUUAUAAGAUGAGGGCAUAUUGGAGUUAUUGGUAAAAUCACAAUUUUAUUUCUCAUCAACGAUAUCCUUCUCUUAUCUUCCCAUUGUUUAACUUCGGGUGGUUCAGUUAAUUCAAUACCGGCAGAAACCAAAAAGUUUUCAUUCUCCACUUCACAGGCUAUCCACAAGGUCAUAUCACGAAUCACAUCAUGCAGUUUUACAUAAUCUGAUCCUGCUUCUUCCAAUAGGCAUGCAUGAACAAGAACACCAAUAAUGUAGUAUCCUUGGUUAUGUACUCCAUUAAUUCCUUCAUAUUCCUUCAGAAAACCCUCACCAAUCCAACACCCUAUCAAUUCAAUUUUGCUAAUUUGAUAAUCCUCAGGAAAUAAACUACAGUAUAACAGACAAGAUCUAAGGACGUCACUAGACAAACUAUCAUAACUGAAUUUUAAAAGACGAAACACCUCUUUCUCCAUACCUGGAAAUUCAUAAGCUGAUCUCCUUAACAUCUGAAUUGCAUAGCUCCAUUCUUCGGGUGUCUUCUUGCUGCUCAUGGCACGACCGGUGGUAAUAAGUGCAAGUGGCAAACCACUACACUCCUUUGCCACAGUUUGGGCUAACUCCGGAAUAUCGGGAUGACUUUCAAGAGUCUCUUCUCCGACCUUCUUUAGGAACAAUUCCCAAGCAUCUUGAUCUGCCAAACACUCCACCUUGAACUUUUUUUGAGCUUCCAUGAGGCCACAGACGUCCACAAGACGAGUUGUAAAGACUAUCUUUGAUGCAUUUCUUGAACUCGCAGGAAAAGGGACACCCACUUUGGCUAAAUCAAUUCUUUCCCAUAUAUCAUCUAACAAUAGCAGAAAUUUCAUUUUGCUCAAUAAAUUGAAUAUGCCUGAUGCUUUCUCUUCAAAGCUUCUAUUCUGAAGCCAUCCUAUUCUUUCUCCGAUUUUCUGUUGUAUUCUCUCAAGUUGCAUGUCUUUUGACACCACCACCCAAAUCACAAUAUCAAAAUAAUUUGGUGUAUUAAGGAACCUGUUGUUGAUUUGGGUUAAUAGUGUAGUCUUGCCGACUCCCCCCAUGCCAUAAAGUCCGAUGAUUCCAAAUUGUCCUUCUACAAGACAUCUCCAAACUUUAUCAAAUGUUGAUUCUAGGCCGAUUAUUGUUGGCUGAAGAGGCCUUUCAUCCACUGCUGGUUGUGGUACCUUUUCAGCUACCACUGCAAAAGCUCCAUCAUCUAUUAAAGUAGCCACAAGCUGCAGCUUUUUAGACACCUUUUUCCCAAACUUGUAGCUUGACUUGCAGUUCUUGGAGCAGUAGCCUCCAAGACAUAGUUUUUCAAUUUCUUGAGAGCUGUCCCUUGUCAAUUCACCUACUUCAGCUUCCACAGCCUCCACCCUUGAAAGCCAACCUUGCACUCUGUUCAGCCGUCUUAGUUGUUGUUGCUCAGCAUUAGCGACCCUCAUCAUCGCAUCGUUCUUUGUUUCGAUUAGUUUCUGCAAUUCGGUCUGGACGGCAACCAGGUUAUUUUCAAGCUGGCUUAGAUAUGCUGCUUUUCUGCGGGUACAAUUUAUGAAGCCAGCGGAAAGGGCAUCACAUAUAAGUUGGAUUCCCAAAAUAUUACCCAUAGUUUGUAUGAGAUUCAGAGUACAAUAGAAGGAAUGCAACACAGUAUGUAUUCGGUUGUGGUGUUUAUGAUUUUACAGUCGCAGAAGCUUAUUCACCUUGUGAGGGCUGGUCAGGUGGGCACCAUCACUCUCCUUACGCUUUAUAGAGAGCGAUAGUCCAUGUGGUCAGAUCUCAUUCAGAUAACUAGCCAAGUGGGCAAUCGCUCCACCUUAUCAAAAUUCUUCAUCUUAUAAUAAUAUCAUGAGUAGGCCUUGAAUUUUUCUUUUAAUUUUAACAUUUAAAAGGUGGUGGUGAAAAAGUCUAAAUAGUAUUUUUGUCCUCGUACUUUAAUAACAUUUCUUGAAAGUCACUCGAUCUCAAAAUUUAAUUAAGAAGAUAUUAUAGAUUUAUAAGCCCUUAAAAUUUAUUUGCAAGUAAGCCCAUAAGACUUACUAAAAGUCGUCAACUCGUCAUGACCAAAAUUGAAAAUUCUUCCGCGUGUGAAAUACGGCAUGCACAGACGUAUUAAAAGCAAAGGCCAGCUAUGAUAUUCUUCGUAUACUUGCAUUCCCUAUCAUCUUAUUAAUAAUUUCAGACACGUAGUUCGUUGCUUGUGAUUUUUCAUAUGCAAAAGCACAGUCAGUGUUACAAUUUACAAUUACAAUUGGGUGCCAUCUAUAUACUCCUUCCUUGUUUUCAAAAUAUGUUGUAGGAUGGGUAAUUGUAACAAAAGUGAUUUUUAAAAAGAUUUAUUAUAAUAUUAAAAUUAACUUUUAAUUUUUUUAAAUUAUUUUUGAGCUUUCUGAAAAAAAAAUCCUAAACCGGUCUCAGAAGUAUAAUUAGAACCACGAAUUUAUAAAAUGAUCAAAGGAAUCCAUCGCCUAAUAUUAUAGUACGCAAUGGAUUGCUAUAAACUAAAUUGCUAUGAUCUCACUUCAUAAUAAUUUAUUUUCAAUCUCCAUCAUGGUAGAAAAAUUUCAUCAAUCAACAUACCCUACCACCACCCAAUAGUCGACCAUUUAUCAUCUUCUAUCCGUAAAAAAACGAAAAAAAAAAAAGAGAAAAGGAAAAAUUUAGUCCACAAAAGAAAAUAUCGCAAGACCAAACAGAGAGAGAAAAUAGAAAAAGCAAAGAGCUGUACUGAAUACCGGCGGUGAUGGCUCGGUACUUGACCAUUUAGGUUUGAUUCUGCAUUAACAUAAUAUUUUUUCUGCACUGCAUUCACAUCACAACCAUUGAAUAGUCGUGAUCUAUUUUUCUAAAGCGAAUAAUAUUAUCUUCUCGUGUCGGUGGCUUGAUCAUAUAACAAAAUAGACUAAUAAUGUUUCAAUAGACAUUUUGGUAAAUGGAAGAAGUUAUGAUCUGUCCAUUUUUAUGUUACUUUAUUUUAAUUUGUUAAUUACUAUUAAUAUCUUUGAGUGGGGCAGAAUCUUGACCUAAGAUAUAGGGAUGGCAAUGGGGCAUAUAUGGGUUGGAUUUACUCUGCUCCAUAUCCAAAUCCAUAAUAAAAAUUAAGAUCCGUAUCUGCUCCAGAUCCGUCAUGAAUCCAUAUUUUUCGGUCCAUAUUCAGAUCCAAAAAAGAAAUAAAUAUCUAUAUCUACUCCAAAUCUGAAAAAAAUUAAAAUCCAAAUCUGCUCUAAAUCUGUCAUGAAUUCUAAAAUUCAGUAAUAAAAAAUUAAUAAUUUUUUAGAUUGAAAAUUGAAGGCUAAAAUGUAUUGAUAACAAAUAAAUUAUAUAAUUUUUCUCAAAAAUAUAAUAAAUAUUGUAUCUUAUACUUUUUCACCAAAACAACAAAUAAGAAAGAUAAUAAAAUAUCAUUUAGAAGUAAUUGCAGGAGUAAGAUCAAUCUAAUAUUAUAUUGUCUCCUUCAUCAUUCUAAUAUCCACGAUACACCUACCCUCAUUCCUACAACAUUAGAUAAUGACAUAUAAAUUAAAUAUGAUUUAUAUUCAGUCCUUUAUUAUUUUUAUUAUGACCAUAUUUGACUAAAUAUAUGAAUAACUAUAUUUCUUAAAAAUUAUUUGGCCAAUAUAAUAAAAUAAAUUGCCAAGUUAUAUUACUUGGCUUACAAUUUAAAUAUUGCAUGUACAUGCUUUGGGGUUGGCUGGCCUUUAAAUUUACAAAACUAACUUUUAAGUUUUAAGAGUUUAAAUGCAUGGUAAAUACUACUAAUAUGCUAUGAAUAAAAUUUAUUAUCAUUAUAAUUCCACAAUUGUUAAGAAACUUUUAAAAUAAAAUAAAAUUAAAAGAUGAGUGGAUAUGGAUAUGGAUUUAGAUAUUAAGAUAGAUCCAAAUCUGCUCCAGAUCCGUCUUAGAUCCGCACAUCGAUAUCCAAAUCCGAUCCAAAUCUAUUUUAAACCGAUCCAAAUCCGAUCCGAUUGGAUUUGGAUCACGUGGAUCUUGGAUCAGAUCCAAUCCAUUGCCAUCCCUACUAAGAUAUGACUAGGCUCCACAUGUUAUAUAUUAAUUUGAUUAAGCCCAGCUAAUUGUUAAUUAUUAAUUUGAUUGCGGCUUUUUAUUUUACCCACAUUUUUUACGCGUGAAAUCUUUCUUAGUGAAAAACUACACGUAUUUGCAAAUAUUCGGAAUGGACAUUUUCGAAAAAACAAGUAAAAGAAAAUGACUAAAAAGUAAAAGAAAAUAGACACCCAAUUGUAAUUACGAGUACAAUAGAAGGAAUGCAACACAAUACCGAUUUUGCAGUCGCUGAAGCUUAUUCACCCUAUGAGGGCUGAUCAGGUGGGGGCCGUCGCUCUCCUUACACUCUUAUAGAGAGUUAUAGUCCAUGAUCUCAUUGAGAGAACCAGCCAAGUGGGCAAUCGCUCCACCUGAUCAAAAUUCUUCAUCUUAUAAUAAUACCUUGAGUAGGCCUUCAAUUUUUUUUUUCAAUUUUAAUCUUUAAAAGGUAGAAGAGGUGAAAAAGUUAAAUAAUAUUUUUGUCCUCCUAUAUAACAUUUUUUGAAAAUCACUCGUUCUUAAAACUUAAUUAAGAAAAUAUUAUAGAUUUUUAAGUUAGUGGCCCUUAAAAUUUAUUUGCAAGUAACAAUUAGAGAAAAGUCGUCAUGCCCAAAUGACUUACUAAAAGUCUGCAACUCGUCAUGACCAAACAUCUUCCGAGUGUCAAAUACGGCAUGCGCAGAUGCACUAAAAACAAAGGCCAGCUAUGAUAAUCUUUGUAGUAUUAAUAAUUUCAGACGCGUCGUUCGUUGCCUGUGACUUUUCAUAUGCAAAAGCGGAGUCAGUGUUACUUGCAUUCACUGUCACCUUAUUAAUAAUUUCAGACACAUCGUUGGUUGCCUGUGAUUUUCAUAUUCAAAAGCACAGUCAGAAUUACAAUUUACAUUUGGAAUUGAGUGCCAUCUAUUUAUUCCAGCUAAAUCUAAAAUGAUGUUGCAGUAUUGCACUGAUUUUUUAGUCACAGCGUUUCUCUAUGAAUUCCUUAAACUUUAGACCCAUCAUAGAAUAAUUAUUUUCUUAAAGACCAAAUUAACAUAAUUCUUAAAUCAUUUAUAAAACAACAUUUAUCAGAUAACAGAUUGUACAUGAAUAAAUUUACCUUGAACCGUAGCAAACAAACAAGAAUCUCAACAACAUCAAUAUCAUAAUCCCUUCUGACCUUAACAGUAAUUUUAUUCGUCCUUAAUUCAUAGGUAUAAGUAUCCCAAUAUAUACUUGAUGUCAACCUUUACAAUUCUUUACAGAAUUGCAGCAGACCAAAUUUGUAUGCAAAACUGAAAUCAUACAGUAAUUGAAUACAGUGAAAAUAGACAUGAUGGGAAUUAGUAUAUAUAAAUAUCUUAAUAAUUUAAAAGUUUCUUAAACUGAUUUUACAUAUCUGAAAAAUUAUAGAAAUCGGAACUGCUGCAGAAAUCAUAAUUUUCCAGCGAAUGUGUUACAACUUCAGAAACUCAUAAGAAAUUAAAUUCUUGGGAUCACAAAAUAAUUCAUCAAUUUAAGAGAUUCAGCAGUACUUUUAUUACAUCAAUUCUUCAAACAAUCACCAAUCUAACAUUCAUCAAAAUUAAGUCAUAAAAGUCAUGUGGUUUAUAAAAAGAAUUACCUGAAAAAGAUUAGCCUUCCCCUUUCAAAAGCAACGAGAAACUCCAAAAACUCUUCUUCCAUUGCCUAUUCAAACAUGAAAAAAAAAAAUUAGUAUCUCUUCUUUAAACGCGCGAUGAGUGUGCUCUGUUUUCUCUGUUCUUUUUCUUUUUUAGAUUUCGAAAACGUAAAGAGUGUUGGAGUCUUUAUUUUCUAAAAACAAGACUUUUCCAUGUAUUCAGUUAAAUUAAAUUAUGUCCUAAUGCUAUGUCAGUUCCAUCAUUAGCAUUUUUUUUUUCCUUUUAACACCAACAUUAGCGUAUGUUAAGUAUCAUAAUCCAUAGUUGGACAAUUUGAAAUCUCUUCGUGUAGUUGACUGGCAACAACUAUAUUGGCAUUUAGACAUAAUGUACUGCAACCAUAUUGACAUGUUCAAAUGUUCUCACUAUUGUAUUGGUGUGUCGAUAUUAUCUCUAUCAGUCCUAUAGAUCCAAAAAUAAUCUAAAUUUACAAUUUAACUUAAAAUAAAAUAAUUGGUAGAAAACAAUUAUGGUUCAUUUACUUAUCAGUAAUUAAAAUAGACUGAAAUUAGAAUGAGUUGUAUUGACGUUGAUGUGUUUCUGUUGUCCUCGAAUCGGAAUGAAUUAUUUUAACUUACUAAAAUACCCUUUGUUUGUUAUUCUAAUUAUUAUUAUUUAAUAUUUAUUAUAAUAUUUGUCAUAUUAUUAAAAAGAAAUAAUAAUGAUGAUAAUAUUAUCAUUAUUGUUUGUUAUAUUAUUAUUAUUCAAAAAAAUUGUUGUUAAUAACUAUAAUAACUUUAUUUCAAUAAUAAAAAUGAUAAAAUUAAUAAUAACAAACAUGACAACAACAAUAAUUAUUUAUUAUGCCAAAAAAUAACAAUAAUGAUAAGAAUAAUAAUCAUCAUCAUUUUUUUCCCAAAGAAGCAUUAUCAUCAUCAUUUCAAAAAAAAAAAUCAUCAUCAUCAGCAUUUUUGUAGUGGCUGCCUAUCGGCUGCUGCUUUCAUGUGAGAUUGACUUGCGACGCUUCAACUACUAUUAUUUCUGGCAAUGUCAGGUGUUGUUGUUUCAAUCUGGGGAGAAGCUGUUUCGGUGAGCUAACAAUGGGAGGUGUUGCUGCUCGAUGCGAGGUCCAUGGCCAGCUGUCUUGUUUUACACCCAGCUCUUGUAGGAAAUUAUUCAUCCACAAUAUUUCUUUGUAACCUUCAAUAAUUGUAAUAUCAUUUGCUUCCGUGGUAGAAAAGACAACUCAUUACUAAAGUCUAGAUUGCGAUGAGACUGCCUUCCCUACAAAAGUGAGCAAAUAUCCUCAUAGGAAUCUUUCAGAAUCAACAUCUCUUGCCAUAUCUGUUAAGAAUAACAUAUGCUGAGUCAGCUACUGAGUCAUCAAGCCACGCUGGAAGUCAGUUUUGCAGUUAGUUAGAGAGCUUAUCAGCUUCUCUCCAAAAGUUUGUUAUGUGUAUUAGAAUAUGUGCUCACGAGUUUUGUGAGUUUGUAACCUUGAAAAGAUUCUCACACUACUAUAAAUUGUAUUGUGACUCAAUUAAUAAAAGUUGUUGAAGCUUUGCAUUUUCUCUCAGUCAAAAUUUUCUCUCUAUUUUUCUAAGUAACCAAACAAAAUCUACAGAGCAUUUUGUAUUUUAACUUGGUAUCAGAGCUUGAAUCCAAUGGCCUUAAUCGGUUCCAAUCAACAGUCGAGCAACACUUCCAUAACUUCUUUCACCUUCACAAAUCCAAUUAAGCUUGAUCGUGCAAACUAUACGAUCUGGAAACAGCAAGUACUUUCUUCAAUUCGUGGCAAUGGUCUUGAAGGCUAUAUUGAUGGAUCAAGGAUCUGUCCUAGUCAAUUUCUUUCUCCAGAGGCUAGAUCUGAAGGUUCUUCUUCUUCUAACAUCGAAGGUCAAGAGAAUCCAGAGUAUGCAGCCUGGAGACGUCAAGAUCAGCUCCUGCUCAGCUGGAUUCUGUCGUCCAUGAAUGUAGAUAUUCUCAGUCUUGUGGUAAGCUCUAAGACUUCUUUUGAGUUGUGGAAAAAUCUAGAAAAACAAUUUGGAUAUGAAUUUAUGGCUAAGAAGGUUCAUCUGAAAAUGCUUUUGAGUAACCUGCGAAAAGGAUCUCUAACCAUGUCUGAGUAUUUUACAAAGCUUAAGUCAGUUACAGAUGGUCUUGCUUUAGUUGGUAGCCCUGUGCAUGAUUUGGAUUUAAUCACUCAUCUUAUUACUGGUCUAGAUCAGUCAUAUUAUCCUGUAGUAGUCUAUAUUGAGGCAAACAUGUUGAAAAUGGAUCUUAGUGAGGCUUAUGCUAUGCUUCUCACACAUGAGGCUAGACUUGAGAAUAAUAAGCUUCAUGAUAGUAAAGAAACCAAGAACAAUUAUGCAACAAAUGUAGCUCAGGUUGGAAAUUUUUCAAAGAAAGGUAAUAACAAUAAUCAAAACAACUGGAAGGAUGGAGGAAACAAUUGGAAUAAUAACUCUGGUGGAAGAGGUGGUUACCAAGGGUUCAAUCCAGGAAGAGGAAACUGGAAUAAUAAUAAUUUCAGAGGUGUUGCUGGUGGAUUUAACAGUGGAUUUCCUGGUCUCGUGGCUUCAAUAACAAUUAUGGCAGAGGUGGUUUCAACUCAGGCCAAAAUUUGGUGGUUGUUGAAGCCAACAAAAAUAAAUUCCUACUCUAAAUAAAUUGUGUAUAGUGAUUGAGCAGGGUCGUGUCCACAGAGAUCGGUAAUUAUUUAAAUCCUUUUGAAACGUAAAACGCAAAAUGGGGGAAUUGUUGACAAUAAUAAAAAUCAAAUUAAAGUAACAAGAAUGCAAAUUAAAGUUGUAAUUCAAAUUGGAGAAAGCUCUGGUUGAAGGAAUUAACUCAGCUUGAUUCGACUACUGAUCAUUGAUUCAAAUAUAGAUUAUUAUUACUCAUGAAUAGACCGGUUAUAGCUACUGAGACCCUCUAAUAGCCAAUCUCUCCUUAACUAGUCGAUAACCAAGGUACGACCGUUGGUUAUUUCCCUAAUCAAUAGACAACCCUAGAUACGAUCAUAGAAUUUAAUCAAUUGACAGCCUGAAAAACCAGAGAGACCCAAAUCCUAAUCAACACAUAUGAUGAUUCAUUUAAAUUAGAUUGUUUAUUCUCACAACACAACUCUCUGCUAUGUUAUUUGUCACAAGCAUUAAAUUCUUCAUACGAUGAAUCCUUUAAUUGACAAUAGAUUAAGUUGAUAAUUAAAUAGUGGCCAAUUACCUAAUUAACAAACAUAAUCAUGAAACUAAUUCAGAGAAUAAACAAAUACCCAAAAAGCAAUAAAACAAUUAAAGCACAAGAAAGAUCUCAUAGUAGUGAUGAAUCAAAGCUUCAUUAACCUUCAACCAGAAAAAUAAGUUUAGUUCUUCAUAGAGAGAAGAGAAAAAUUAAAUCUAGGGUUUCUUUCUUUUUUUUUUUUCCAAUCCAAAAAAUCCCCCUUUUUCACAAUAGAUUCCUCCCUUAAAUACUCUCUCUCUCUUCUCCUCUAGAAUUUUAUUUAAAAUAAAAUACUAAUAUCUGAAAUAUUAAAUUCGUAAUUACAAAAAUAACCAAAAAUACAAAACACGUUAAACUAAAAACUGCAGGUCCGCAGUUGACAGCACGCGCCCACGCCUUAUCAAUAAAGUUCUUCUGACGCUCAUAAUUUCUCCAAGAGAACAAUCAUCCUUAAACAUCAUCUUAUAGCUCAAUUUUAUCACCAACCAAUAGAAUUGCACCUACAAAAGUAAAUCACUAUUAUUAAGUGCAAAACAUCGAUAUUAAAAGAAGUAAACAAUGCAAAACUAGUGCAUAAAUUGCACUCUAACAGAGGUGCUGGAAAGAAUUUUGCUCAGGGAACUGGUGCUGCUUGUCAGAUAUGCUUCAGGUUUAAUCACACAGCAGCUGAUUGCAGAAACAGGUUCAACAGAAAUUUUAUCCCAAAUUUUCCAGCUCCAGCUCCAAAUUACUUCUCUAAUCAGCACCAAGGACCAAGAGCAGCCUUCAUAACAACAUCUGAAGGAGCUGCUGAUCAGGGAUGGUUUCUGGAUAGUGGUGCAACUCACCACUUAACCAACACAGUUCAGAAUCUGAGUGAUGGUAAGAUCUAUUUUGACUCAAACUUACUUACUGUUGGUAAUGGCCAAGGUUUUAGAAUUACUCACAUAGGUUAUACACAACUUCACACUUCUUUUGGCACCUGCUUACAACUACAGAAUAUUUUGUGUGUUCCUCAAAUUACCAAGAACCUCAUUAGUAUUUCCAAACUCCUCACUGAUAAUGAUAUAAUCAUUGAAUUUUUCUCUGAUGUUUGCUUUCUAAAGGACAAGGUGAAGGGCACUCUGUUGGCUUAGGGGAUUGCUAGAGAUGGCCUAUACAAGCUACUGUCAAAAAAGGAAUCUCUCUCUUCUUCCACUUCUGUUCUGCCAGUGUCUCAUCCUAGUUCUAUGAUGUCAACUCUUUCCUGCAAUAAUGUAAUUACUUCUGUUCAAAGUUCAAAUAAUGACUUCUGUUUUAAGUUUACAUUUCCUGUAAGCUUUCAAACUUCAAUUUCUGUGUCAGCAAAUAUAUUGCACAAUAGACUUGGUCAUCCAAGUAAGCAUGUCAUACAAACUAUUCUCAGAAACAAUUGUUUAAUGUCAGCCAAUGUUAAUAAAUCAAAUUUUCUUUUCUGUGAUGCCUGUCAACUUGGAAAGUUACAUCAAUUACACUUUCCCGCUACUAAAAUCAAAACAAAAUAUCCCUUAGAAUUAAUACACACAUACUUAUGGGGACCAGCUCCAGUUUUAUCACUAGAUGGUUAUAGAUACUAUAUUUCCUUUGUUGAUGACUUCACCCGAUAUUGUUGGAUCUUUCCCUUAGUUUUAAAAUCUGAUGCCCUUACUACUUUCAAAAACUUCAAGAGCUUAGUUGAGAAACAAUUCAAUCUGCCCAUCAGAAUUUUACAGUCUGAUAUGGGAGGUGAAUUCAAAGCUUUUCAGUCAUUUCUUCAACAAUAAGGUAUCCAAGCUAGAUUUAGUUGUCCCUAUACUCACCAUCAAAAUGGUGUUGUUGAGAGAAAACAUAGACACUUAGUAGAAACUGGAUUAACACUCCUUGCUCAAGCAAAAAUGCCUAUUUCUUUCUGGUGGGAGGCUUUCCAUACAACCUCUUAUCUCAUUAAUAGAAUGCCUACCACUACACUGAACAACUUAUCUCCCUAUCAAAAGCUUCAUAAUCAGCCACCAAACUAUCAACUUCUCAGAGUUUUUGGUUGUGCUUGCUAUCCUUUUCCCAGGCCUUAUAAUGACCACAAGCUUGAUUUUCAUUCCCAAAAAUGCUUGUUUUUAGGUUACAGCCCUCUUCACAAAGGAUAUAAGUGUCUAACAAAGUCAAGCAAAGUAUAUGUUGCUGUUCAUAUUAUUUUUAAUGAGUCUGAUUUUCCCUAUUCAGAGUUGUUCGCUUCAUCUGAAUCUUCUUCCAAUUCUCUGUCAUCAUACUCUCCAUCUAUUUGUAUCCUCAAUGACAGUGGCUUGCAUCAGUCAUCAGCUAUAUCUCCUGCUUUAGCAGAGUUACCAACUCACAUUCACCUCAACAUCCUCACCAAGCCCCACACUCUCCUUGUCCCUCUCCAGUCUCAAAUUCCUACGGCUCAUCAUCACCACAUUCUUCAUCACAUAAUGCUUUAGCCAAUCCCUCUGAUGAAUUACAACCAUCAUCUCAACCUGUCAUUUCAACUCAUCAGAUGGUUACUCGAGCCAAAUCUAGUAUUUUUAAACCAAAGACCUACCUUACAGCUACCGAAGACCUUGAACCAGUGAGUGUUAAAGCAGCCCUGAUUGAUACAAAGUGGAAAAUGGCUAUGCAAGAAGAGUAUAAUGCUUUGCAGAAGAAUGACACCUGGACAUUAGUUCCAGCUGAAACCGCUACAAAACUCGUUGGAAAUAAGUGGGUUUUUAGAGUUAAAUAUAACCCAGAUGGUAGCAUUUCCAAGUAUAAGGCUCGGUUGGUUGCAAAAGGUUUUCAUCAAACUUAUGGAGUAGAUUUCUUUGAAACCUUUAGUCUAGUUGUUAAACCCUACACUGUUCGUAUUGUUCUCAGCUUAGCAGUCAUGCAUUGUUGGCCAGUUCGGCAAUUGGAUGUUAACAAUGCCUUUCUUAAUGGCAUGCUUACUGAAAAUGUGUUUAUGCCUCAGCCAGAAGGCUUUAUCAGCUCUCAGUUUCUCAAUCAUGUCUGCAAAUUACAAAAAGCCAUUUAUGGUCUUAAGCAGGCUCCAAGGGCUUUGUAUGAUAGAUUGAAAGGGUCUUUAGUUCGGUGGGGUUUCAGAUCUUCAAAGUCAGAUACUUCACUGUUUUUCAAGCAUAUUGGCAAUAAUGUUCUCAUCAUCCUUGUUUAUGUAGAUGAUAUCCUGAUAACAGGCUCUAGUGCUGUUUAUAUUUCAGAGGUUAUCAGUCUACUUAGCUCAGAAUUUGCACUUAAAGAUUUAGGAGAUUUUAACUACUUUCUUGGGGUAGAAGUGACUCCAUCUGCUGAAGGAUUACAUCUAUCUCAAACUAAGUAUGUUGGUGACAUCUUAAGAAAAGCUCAUAUGCUUGAGAGUAAAGGCUGCAAUACACCUAUCAGUAUUGUUGAUAAGUUGCAGAAGGACAAAGGUUGCUCAUUUACAAAUCCCUCACUUUACAAAAGCAUCAUUGGUUCUCUGCAGUAUCUGACACUGACCAGACCAGAUAUCGCAUUCACUGUAAACAAAUUGAGUCAGUUUUUAGCUGCUCCAACUAUCUUGCAUUGGCAGGCUUGCAAGAGGGUAUUACGAUAUCUACAAAGCACAACACAUUUUGGACUGCAGUUCUUCAAGUCAGGUCCUCCAAGUCUCAUAGCAUAUUCUGAUGCAGAUUGGGGGUCUGAUCCAGAUGAUAGAAGAUCUGUUGGAGGGUAUUGUGUUUAUCUUGGAUCCAAUCUUGUGUCUUGGUCAUCUAAGAAACAGAACAUUGUUUCCAGGUCAUCUGCUGAAUCUGAGUAUAGAGCUUUGGCCUUAGCUACAUCUGAGGUUUUGUGGAUUACAUAUCUGUUGAAAGAGCUCAAAGUAUCACUUCCCAAACCUCUUGUUCUUUACUGUGACAACAACAGUGCAGAAGCUUUGGCUAGCAAUCCUAAGUAUCAUUCCAGAACUAAACAUAUAGAACUGGAUUUACAUUUUGUCAGAGAACACAUUGCCAACAAGGAUCUCUUCAUUGAACAUGUGUCUAGUUCUGAUAAGUUAGCUGAUGUGCUUACCAAACCUCUGAGUUUUGAUAAUUUUGCCUAUAUGCGAACUAAGCUCAAUGUCUGCCCACGACCUUGAGCUUACGGGGGCAUGUUAAGAAUAACAUAUGCUGAGUCAGCUGCUGAGUCAUCAAGCCACGCUGGAAGUCAGUUUUGCAGUUAGUUAGAGAGCUUAUCAGCUUCUCUCCAAAAGUUUGUUAUGUGUAUUAGAAUCUGUGCUCAUGAGUUUUGUGAGUUUGUAACCUUGAAAAGAUUCUCACACUACUAUAAAUUGUAUUGUGACUCAAUUAAUAAAAGUUGUUGAAGCGUUGCAUUUUCUCUCAGUCAAAAUUUUCUCUCUGUUUUUCUAAGUAACCAAACAAAAUCUACAGAGCAUUUUGUAUUUUAACUAUAUCUACACACUUAUAACACAAGUUUGUCACCACUAAAAUAUAAACAUGUUCUGUAAAUGCCUCUAAGAUAUCUGAGAAUUCAUUUCACUACUGUCCAGUGCUCUUUGUCCAGAUUGGAGAGAAACCGACUGACUACACUAACUGCGUAAACAAUACCUGGUCUUGUACAAAUCACGGCGUACACCAAACUGCCAACUGCUGAAGCAUAAGGAACUCCUCUCACGGAGAAAUGGGUUUUGCUCUUGAGAUCUUUGGGAACAUGAAGAAUAAAGAUGUAAUUUCUUGGACUGACAUUGUUUCGGGGUAUAUAAAUAGAGGACAAGUGGAUAUAGCUCGACAGUAUUUUGCUCAGAUACCAGAACGAGAUUAUGUCUUAUAGACUGCCAUGAUUGAUGGGUACCUUCGAGUGAAUAGGUUCAGAGAGGCUUUGACACUUUUCCGGGAGAUGCAAACUUCAAAUAUAAGGCCAGACGAGUUUACCAUUGUUAGGAUUCUUACAGUUUGUGCGAAUCUGGGGGCACUAGAACCGGGAGAAUGGAUAAAGACUUACAUUGACAAAAACAAGGUCAAGAAUGAUAUAUUUGUGGGGAAUGCUUUGAUAGACAUGUACUGUAAAUGCGGAGAUGUUGAGAAAGCUCAAAGGGUACUCAGGAAGAUGCUUCGAAAGGACAAAUUCACAUGGACGGCCAUGAUUGUUGGCCUUGCCAUCAGUGACCCAUUUCCUACGAUCAGACCGGAUAAGGUAACUUAUGUUGGUGUUCUGUCUGCCUGUACUCACAAUGGUAACGAAACUUUUGUGAUAAAUAGUUGCGACUUAAGGUGAGAAUUGGAGGAAACGAAAUAGACUGAAGUUGUUCAAUCAUCGGUGGUUGCUAUUUGAUUUUAAGUUGUUCAAUCAUCGGUCAUCUCUAUUUGGUUUUCUCCAAUAUCUCAUCUCCAGUUUUGACUCAGAUUCUGUCUUACCACUAGUAAUUAAAAGUGAGGAGGCAGCAGUCAAUGCUAUUUCGGCUUGGCCCAAAAUUUCACCAGUUUGUUAGUGUUCUGCAGCUCUUGCUGCUUUCCUAGAGAUUCUGCAUCUUUUGCAAUUUGAUUGAUUAAAAAAAAAAAAAUUAGUGGCCAUUUAGAAUGAAGGAGAGAUUUGUGUGAAUGGUAUAGGUGAAAAAUUGGAUGAAAAUAAACAGGCAACCGUCCGUAUAAAACAACAAUAACAAUAUACAAAAAGAUAAGUAGACACUUCUGUAAUUCACGAAAGGAAAUUUAUGGUUGUUUCUGAAAAACAUACAUAUUAAUUUCACUUAUACUCUAAGGUGGGAUAGAUGUCAACUAGCUAUGCUAAUGAUACCUUGCCAUCAUGACUGGACUUGUGAGGAAUUUGGAAACAUGUAUGAUGAUUGUUACUUACACAAUUGUAGAAAGAAAUGCUGAGGUGGCUUGAACCAGAUGGUGAAAUCGUCUAACACACUUAAUUGUUAGAUGUGUUUUGGAUAUUCACAGUUAGGUUGAAAUUUGUAGUUUUCACUUGAAAGAAUUCAGUUAAAAAUUGAUUGGUAGAAUUGUAAAAUAGUCUAAAUUUUUAGUUCAAACCCAUUGCAUAUUUAAGAACAUCUUAAAUGAAUUGCUUAUUGCUAUCAUCAUCAUUAUUGUCCAUAUAAUAAUAAUAAUAAUAAUAAUAAUAAUAAUAAUAAUAAUAAUAAUCAAUAGAAAUGUUAUCUUAUCCACUAUUUUAUAUAUGUUUCCACUAAAAUCUAUUUAAUUAUUCUUUAUUUUUUUUCAACUGUUGCAUGUUAGAUUUAUUCGAUUUCCUAAGUUAUAUCAAUAGAAAUGUUAUCUUAUCCAUAAAAAGUUAGAUCUAACAAUUAUGAAAAUUACUAUAGUGCUGCUUUGAAUAAUUUUUUAAAAAUACCACAAGUAAAUAAUAAUUAGUUUAAAUAGUGGAGACUAAAAAGCAUUCACCCUUAUUUUUUAUCUGUUAUUAGUUUUUUUUAAUCUGUUAUACAUUUGAAACAUUCCAUUAAUUGCCAAUUAUGUAAGCGAGAUAGUAAUUAAUUUUUUUUAUUUAAAAAAAGUGAAAAUUAAUCCUAUGCAAUGUGAAUAAAUUUCUUUCCUUUUUCCUUCACUCUUUUUAUUUGAUAAUUAAGUUUCAAUCUAUGUACGCAAAAUUUCUGCAACAGCUGCAAAACAUAAAAAUAUAUGAUUGUUAAGGGAAACACGCAGAAGUUCAUCACUUCAAUGUUCAGUAUUUCCAAUUUUGGCAUUAAGCUCUUACGAAUAUAUUCCACUUAGAAAGCAAAAUAUUAGAAUUGUGAUUUUAAUUCAUUCAUCAUAUCUCAUUUCAAUCCCAAAAUAUUCAAGUGGAUCCAAGUUACCAUAAGGCUUCAGAGGCUCGAGCCUUAGCCAGAGAUGGUUAAUUGAUAGACUAGGUAAGAGAAACCAAGGUUGAAGUAUGUAGAAAUGUUAUUUCAUUUAUUUUUAUUUAUGAUUUUUUGUAAAAUGUAAGAAAUAUGUAGAAAUGUUGCCAGCAAUGAUUUUGGAACUUUGCAUAAAAUUUUUAUCAUUAUUGUUUUUGGUAUUAAGAAAUCCGAGGCGGUGAUUAGACGUAUGUUGCAACAAUUAAGAAAUUUCUUAUUGGAGAUAAUUUGGUAGGUUGCAACAAUUAGAGAAUCAUUUUCCUGUCAGUUAAUCAAUCAAUAAUAAAUUUCAAAUUGCAGAAAAUAAAAUAAUACUGUCGCACUUAGAAUCAUCUUUUCUAUCUCUUUCAAUUGUGACAAUCAUUUGUAACAAAUAAAUCAAUUUGAUGCACAUCAUUUCCCCAAUUCAAAGUUCAAGUCACUGCUCAAUUGCAGAGUAGUUAGUAGACAUGCAUGCAUGUUUAAUUAAGUACUGCAUUGUAGUAUCGAAAAUCAUAACAUCUCACCAAGCCCGGAAGCAUAGCUCUUUAUCUUGUAAAUGUUGAAAUCUUAUGCAAACUAUGGGAACCAUGAGCUCACUCUCAGUGUCACUUGAUUCCAUUUUCUGUUCUUGCCUUGAUUUCGAUGUUGGGAAUGUGACGUCUGAGUCUAAGGUUGAAGAUAAUCUCGAUGCCUUGCGGACUGCAAUGGAAAUAAAAUAUUUGUGUGUUGAGAAAUGAUGAAAUGAUGCAAUGGAAAUAAAAUCUCAAUCUCUUGAGAAAUGAUGUGAUAAGAAGAGUUACUGUUGCUGAAGGACAACAUCAAAUGCAACGAAUGGAUCGAGUGCAGGGCUGGCUUUCAAGGGUAAAAUCUGUGGAAAAUAAAGCUGAUGAUUUGAUGAGACACAGCUCUCAAGAGAUUGAGAAGUUAUGCCUUGGAGGCUUCUGUUCCAGGAACUGCAAAUGAAGCUACAGCCGUGGGAUAGAAUUUGCAACAAUGCUACGAUUGUGGAGAGUUUAAUGGGUGAAGGAUCAUUUGAAUAGGUGGCUGAGAGGGUGCCAGAAGAUGCAGCAGAGGAGAUAAAUUGUGAGCCAACAAUAGUGGGCAUGUUGUCGACUUUUGAGAAAGCCUGGAGAUGCCUUGAAGAAGAAUCAGUUGGAAUUAUUGGCCUAUAUGUCAAUGGGGGAGUUGGAAAAUAUUUACUCAAAUCAACAACAAGUUCCUUGAUAGUCCAAAUAAUUUUGAUGUUGCGAUCUGGGUAAUGGUCUGCCAAGAUUUGCAACCCCAGAAGUUUCGGGAAAAGAUUGGGAAAAAGAAAGUCUUGUUCGAUGAGUACCGGAUUGAACUAUAUUAGAUUAUAUUUAAAUAAUAUUAAAUAGUAUUUAAGUUGGUAUUCUAAUAUAAAUAUCAAUUAUCCAUGAAAUUUUAUAAUCAUAAUUAAAAUAAAUUUAAAAAGCAAUUACUAGGAAAAUUAAAUAUAUUGCAAAAAGUUAUUGGGUAGUCAUAAUAUAAUAGGCAAAUAAAAUUAAAUAAAACAAAUUACAUAUUUAAUUAUAUUUAUCAAAUAUUUAAAAAUAUUAUAUAAAAUAUUAUAUAAAAUCAAUUAAUUAAUGAUAUUAUUAAUUUUCAUGAUUAUUUUUAAUAUUAUAUUACUGAUUAUUAAAUUUAAUACAAUCAAAUAAUGCAAUAAAUAAUUAAACAUUCAAUUUUAUUGAUUAAUUAUUAAAUAUACAAGUAAUGAAAAUUUUAUCUCAAGAGUUGGUAGAAGCGAAAGUACUAAUUUAAUUAGAUCAUAGAUAAUAAAUAAAAAUAAAUUUUAAGUAAAUCAUAAUAAAAAAUUAAUUAAUUAAUUCAAUCAAUCAAUAUUAGGUGUAAAUAAAAAAAUGAUAUAAAUAAAAAUCUCAUAAAUGUACAACUUUUAUCUUUAAUCUUAUCCUAAAAGAACAAAAAGCAGAAUAUAUAUUGAAGUGUUUUUCACACCUUUUCAUUAACUGGAAUGCAUGUAUUUAUAUACAUCAUUUGUAACUAAUAAAGAGAAAAUAAAGGAAACUAUACAUGAGAGUAUCAAGGAGAAUAAUGGAAGAGAUUGUUGUCCGUAACUUGUGGAGAGUAUCAUGGAGCUUGAGAUUAUCUGAUAUGCCCCCGCAAGAGGGUGUUGCCAUUGGCGACACCCAUCUUGAACCUUAAUUCAGAAAAUGGUCGCUUAGAGAGGGGCUUGGUUAGGCUAUCAGCAAGUUGAUCUGCUGUAGAUACAUAAGAUACGCGCAAUAGCCCUUUGUUGACCCAAUCACGAACAAAAUGAUAAGCAAGAUCAAUGUGUUUUACCCUUGAAUGAAAGACUGGAUUGCGACACAAAUAGGUAGUUCCAAUAUUAUCACAAUAGAUGGUAGGAGUUUGACUCAAUUGAAGGCCAAGUUCUUGAAGUAGAUUCUGAACCCAUCGAACUUCAGAGGCUGCAUUUGCGACAGCCAAGUACUCAGCUUCUGUUGUGGAACGAGCUAUUGAUUUUUGUUUGUUCGAGCGCCAUGAGAUAGGAUUGCCGCCUAGAUAAAGCAUAUAGGCUGAUGUAGAAGUAAUGAAAAUUUAAUCUCAAGAGUUGGUAGAAGCGAAAGUACUAAUUUAAUUAGAUCAUAGAUAAUAAAUAAAAAUAAAUUUUAAGUAAAUCAUAAUAAAAAAAUUAAUUAAUUGAUUCAUCAAUCAAUAUUAGGUGUAAAUAAAAAAAAUGAUACAAAUAAAAAUCUCAUAAAUGGACAACUUUUAUUUUUAAUCUUAUCCCAACUAAACACAUGUGUAAAUUAGGAUUAUUAAUUCCAUAAUUUUCGGAUUAAAUUCAAAUUUAUUCCCCCUUAAUCCAAUUCAACUAAACUUGUCAAACAUGGGAUAAAAAUUUAAUUAUAAAAUUAGUCCAAUUCCAUACUUAAUCCUAGCAUCCAAAUAUAGCUCAAGUUCUUUGCUUAAAGAAGCUACCAAAUUUGAAGAGCGUUUACGGGAAGGCCUUGCGUUUCCCAGAUGUAUGCAGAAUUUUUGUAUCUAAAUGCCCAGAACUUAAGAAGCUGACGCUGGAUUUUGAAAGGGCGGGCCAAGGUAAAAUUCUUAUCAAAUGAAAGGAAAAUCGAUGGAAACAACUUCAAUGGGAGGAUCAAGCAACUCAGGAUGCAUUGCUUCUGUUUUUCAAAUCAACUGACAAGUGAUUGAAGGGGGCAUCAUCAGCCUGGAUGGGGAGAUCCUGGAGCAGAUCAGCAGGGUUUGAAUCUGCAUCAUCAACAUCAUCAGGAUCUCUAUUUCUAUUGCUGGUCGUAAUGCCUGCCGACUGUUGCUUGAAAAAGUGAUUAAGUGAGCCAGUUUUUUGUUUAUUAAAUUUUGUUUUGUAGAGACAGUCACAAAGUAUUUUUCUUAGUUGUUCUAUAUGAGAGUGAUGUGAACCAAUUUUUCAAUUAUAUAUUCUGUGGGAAAUUGCAAGUAUUUUUAAAAUAUGAUCGUUAUUAAAGGAAACAAAGGAAUCAACACAGCAUACUGAACCUCAGCAGUAUGAAGCUAAUGAUUAAACUCCUCACACAAUUCAUAACAUGCAAAACCAUUCACAAAAUCAUCCACAGCAACCAUAAUUGGCGUCCAAUAGAAAUUUACAAGAAUUACUUUUCUGUUCAUGCAAUCGGCGUCUGAACGCGGCUGAUCGGUCACCGGUGUUGGCGUUUACUGUGAUUAGACAAAUUGUAGCACUUCAAAAAUAACUUCUAUAGGGGUAAUUUCGAUUUCACAUAAUUAAUUUUAUUUACAAUAUUUUAUUCCUGCAAGGUCAACUGAGAUUCUUUCCACCGGGCACACCCUUCAUGUUCUUUUAUUUUCUGUCUUUUAUUAGCCGUUGGAUUUUACUACUCUUAUAUCCAACGGCUUGCCACAACAAGACAAAUGAGGUGGUACCUUUCAACCGCUGAAAGGUAGUUUUGGCCCCAAGUGAAAGAGGGAAAUAGGGAAUUGAUGCUAUAUUUUAUAUUUUCUAUUUUACUACUCUUGUAUCCACCGGCCUUUCUUAUAUUUUAUUGCAAAUUGAUGCUAACAAGAAAAAGCUAGAUCAUAUUCCACAGAAAAGUGAGAAAACAACCAGAUGGAUUCUUUUAUUAAACUACAAAUUAAAAUGGUAUCACAAAUUCUCAUCAAUUUAUUUAAAUAUAUUCUUUUAACCCUCUUUUUAAUUUCACAAAUUCUCAUCAAUUUAUUUAAAUAUAUUCUUUUAACCGGAAACAAUUGAUAUCACUUAUUAAGAAUAACAAAAUUUACUAUUUAAAAAUGAAGAUCAAUAAAUUUUUAUCAAUCAUGAAAGUUAAUGAGUGUCAAGAAAUUAAUUUUUGCUAAACAUACAAGCUAAUAACUAUUAAAAAAAUCUUAUAUUAUAGAGAUCAUAUAUAUUAAGAAAGACCAAAAAAAAAAUUAAAAAAAUAGUUAAAUUCAGUGUAUAGUUUAUAGGAUGUGAGAGUGGUAAAAGAAUAUAUAAUUGUAAAAUAGAGAAAAAGAAAAAGAGAUUAGUAGAGAAUAAUUUUGAGAUUUUUUAAUUUUUAAUUUUUAAUAAUAAAUUUAUUUUAAAAAAUAGGUGUGGAGAAAAAUUUGAUGGGUUCAAGCAAUUCCACCUAAUUUUAUAUUAUCAAUACGCAAAUGAAAGUACAAAAAUACCUCUAAUAGAGUGAAAUAAAGAGUUCUCUAAUCUCUAGGGUUUCUCAUUCCAAUUUUGAAAUUUCCCUACUUUAUUUUGAAUUAACCCUCUUUGUUACCAUUGAAUUGUAACAUUCAAAAUUUGAAUAUGUUUUUACAAAUAGAAGAUUAUUGGGACAAAAACAAUAAGAAAUAGAAAACCUAGUUGAAAAAGGAUAUUACAAAAAAAGAAAUUGCCAUUACCAUUCAAACAUUUACACAGUAAAGGCAUUAACAGCAUAAGGCGGCAAUAAAACUUACUCAUAAUUAGGGGUGGCAAAAAAGUCCGAGCCGGCUUAGGCCCGGCCAAGCCCAGUCUAGAUCCGUGGACUUAAAGUCCGACCCGUAAGGAUGUGGGCUUAGAUAUAGACCUAAAAAUUACAAAACCCACAUAUAUUAGACCUAAACAAGAACUUAGCAAAAAAACCCAAACUUUCUAAAUUUAUGAAUAAAAAAUAAAUUUAAUUUAAAUAAAAAAAAUUAAAAUAUUAAAUUAAUUGAAUUUUUUAUAUUAAUAUUUAUUAUUUUAUUAAAUUAUAUUGUUAAUAUUUAAUGUAUUUGACUAUUAUUCUAUUUAUAUAUUAUAUUAUUAUUUUUAAUUUAAAUAUUUUUCUUAAUUUAAAAAAUUUUUAUAAUUAAUUUAAAAAGUUCAGGCCCAGCCCGAGUUCGGUCCAUCCAAAUUUAACGGAUUUUUGAAGAACCUGAACUUCGUUUGAAUGAUAUGGGUCCGGCCCAAGCCCGCAAAUUGCCAUCCCGUGAUAAUAACAAACAGAUAUGGCCCAGCCCGAGUUCGGUCCAUCCAAAUUUAACGGAUUUUUGAAGAACCUGAACUUCGUUUGAAUGAUAUGGGUCCGGCCCAAGCCCGCAAAUUGCCAUCCCGUGAUAAUAACAAACAGAUAUAGAUAGAUCGAUGGAUGGCAUUUUUUAAAUGUACCUUAAAAACCAAAACAAAAGCAAAAAUAUUAAAAUAUUACACCAACUGCUAACUAAUUAAUCUAAUAAAACGCCUCGCUUAAUCAUUUCCAGUCCACUAAACACGCUGAACGGAUUCCAGCCUCUGAAGUCUCAUCUCAUUGUUAAAUUCAUUGAUGAAAGCUUCAACUCGCCGAUUCAACUCAUCUUGACUCAUCGAUUCCUCCCUCCUCAGCGACGUUCUGUCACUGAACGUCUCAGAUUUCCUCAGCUCACGUUUCGCCCAAGCCGUCGGAUCAUUCUCAUCAUUAUCACUACCACAGGCGAUGGUGAUGAUGUGGAAGGUGGAAGAAGCGGCGAUGGUGAUGAUGAUGAUGAUGAUGAUGAUGAUGAUGAAGUUGACUAUGAUGUAAUUGUACGGCGGCGACAGCCAGAACCUCAAAGAAAUGAAGAGGCUAGGGAUUGUCGAUACCGUGAAACAAAUGUACGGGAUUAUUGCUACCUUAAACAGCAUGAAAGUUGAAACAAACCCGGCUGACAAAAAUAACAACUUUGCUACCCGCGUUACUGUCUCUAAUCUGCUUGAUUUUGGGUCGAAAUUUUGAAAAAGAUCCCCCAUUUUUCAAUUUUCACACACAAUAAAGAAGGAAAAAGAAAGGUAGCUAGAUUUUUUUUUUGUUUUUCAACAAGGGAAGAAAUAAGAAAAGAACAUUAAAAGGAUUUUUCAGGCUUUGAUGGUCAUUAAAAUGAGACCCAGGAAACCAUUGAAGCUAAAAAAAAAACGAGAAGCCAUGUAUUUAUAUAUGCUGCUUUGCUUUACAAAAUCUGACUGGCAUCAGGGUGAAAAAAAAGUGCCAUUUGUUGGUACAGAGAGACAGAGGAGAGUAGAGAGGCAGAUGCAGGGGCAGGGGCGAAGUCAAGGGACCAUUGAAUGGGCAAGCGAGGUUUCAAUUUAUGUAACGAGGGACGAUUAAAGUUCUUGCAACUUUCCUGCCGUCUGAUGAAAUCUUGACCGUUCGAUGGUACAAUAAUGGUUAUAAUGAUCUUGAAAGUGUUGGAGAGAUAAGUUUGUACAGAUUAUGUACGCUAAAUAAAAUCACAUUUAAAAUGGUUUUUGAUUUUAUUCUAUUACAGAUUACUUUUAUUAAAUAAAUGAAGGUACAUUGAGUGAGUGAGUGAGUGACUUCACGAUUUUGCACUAACGCCGCUGUGUUAUCCUCCGCGGCACUUGUCCUCAUCAUUUGUAAUUGAAAAGCUGAUUUAAGAUUUUAGAAUAGUGCCUUUUGGAAAAAAAAUAUAUAUAUAUAUCAACGGCCGAUUGAGAUUUCUUUUUUGAAGAUUUAAAAUUAAUUUUUUAAAAAAUUAAAAAUUAAUUUUAAUAUUUUAUAAGUUUUAAAAAAAUUAUUUUUAAUAAAAUCACUUCAUAGUAGAUUCCGGAAAGUAGAUAUCUAUGCUUUUUAAAUUUUAAUUUUAAGAAUUAAUUUUUUACUUAAUAUAAUCCUUGCAUAUAUUAUAAAAUUUUAAAAUCAUCUUCAUUAAUUACAAAAUAAGAUCAUUAAUUUUAAGGAGAUUAUAAUCAUUAUCAAUUAUAGGGAGAUUAAAUGCUUAAAGUGACAAGUGCAAAACUAUUUAAAAAUAGUCAGUAAAAGUAUAGGUGGGCAAUUAGUUCAAUUCUAUUUGAAUCAACUAAAUUAAAUUAUAUCGUGUUUCAUAAAUUUUUAAAGCAACUGAUUUUUUGUUUGGUUUAGAUAAAAAUUAAACUAAACCGAAAAAUCAAACGGUUCAAAGAAAAAAAAGUUAAAAACAAAUUUUAUAAACUGAUCGGUUUCCGUUAGAUUCAAUUCCAAAUCUAAACAAACCAAUCCAAAGUGAAAAUAAACAUUUUUGUUGAAUGCACUUUUAAUUUGUUUGGAUACGUCUCGACCCUCCAGUCUCUUGAUUAAAGUUCAUUUAUUAGGGUCCGCUUGUAAUACAGCGUCUGUAUCUCAUACAGUCAAAUUUAAUAUUUUAUUAAGAAAAAGGGCAACCGUUAGAUAGAAGUAGAUACAUCCAAUGGUUAAUAUCUGUGAUUACUCAUUUUGGUGACCGGAUAUGCCAAUUAUUAUUUCAUCAAUUAACUUACCUAAAAAAUCAUAGCCGUUGGAUUGAGAUGCCUCUCUCUCCCUCAAAAUAACAGCCUUCGUAUUCUCUCUGCUAUUGUUUUGUCCUACAUCUAGAAUUUUGGAUGAAUGAACUUGGUAUUCAAGAACAUUCACCACCCAUCACAGCAAAGAGCAAAGAUAUAGUCGAAGGAGUGCCAUUUAUUCAGGCUUACUUGAUCUGUCAGUCUCGCUUCAAUUCGUCACUCAUUUUCUUGCGCUCAGCUUCAAUCUAUCACUCUCAGCUUCAGUUCGUCACUCAUAGCUUCAAUUUUUUCACUGUCGUGAAUCAUCUCUCUUGCUGUAUCUCUCUCUUAUGUCUUCCAAUAAUUUCGGUGAGCUCUCUCUCUAAUUUAAUAUAUGAUUAAAAAUCUUAUCAUCUUAUCAUGUCAUUUAAAUAUGCUUGAAGUUUCAAUUUAGUUUAUGAAUAUUACUUGAAAUUUUAGAUUCAAUAAUUUUAGUUUUUUUUUUCUCUAUCAUCAAUCAUAUAUUUUUUCUUGCUCUUUAACUUCUUAUCUUCAACUAAAUGUGACCUUACAUUUAUUUAGUGUAUGAUCAAUUUUUAAAUGCACAAUAAGCAUUGCAAAGUUGGCGUUAUGCAAAGGCUAUCACAAUGUGAGCGUUCAAUUGGACAGAGUGUCAUGAUCAUACAUCCUUGAACCCAAUAUUUAUUCCAAUAACAAAUGUAGAUACGUAAACUACUUUUUUUUUUUAAAUAAAAAUAAAAAACUUCAAUGAAUCAAUCAAUUAUUUUCUGAAAUGUUAUGCGAAUUGUGAUUGUGAGAUUAAAAAAAAAUAUCCAUGCAAAUCAAAUUGUAACCGCCCUCUCAAGAUAAACCAAGUAACACAAAGCAUCAUUAACUCUUUCUUGUUUCAGCCACAGUACUAUUUUUUGCUUGAUGAGAAUAUAUUUAAAUAGUAUUUAAGUUGGUAUUUUAAUAUAAAUAUCAAUUAUCCAUGAAAUUUUAUAAUCAUAAUUAAAAUAAAUUUAAAAAGCAAUUACUAGGAAAAUUAAAUAUAUUGCAAAAAGUCAUUGGGUAGUCAUAAUAUAAUAAGCAAAACAAAUUAAAUAUUUAAUUAUUUUUAUCAAAUAUUUAAAAAUAUUAUAUAAAAUCAAUUAAUUAAUGGUAUUAUUAAUUUUCAUGAUUAUUUUUAAUAUUAUAUUAGUGAUUAUUAAAUUUAAUACAAUCAAAUAAUGGAAUAAAUAAUUAAAUGUUUAAUUUUAUUGAUUAAUUAUUAAAUAUACAAGUAAUGAAAAUUUAAUCUCAAGAGUUGGUAGAAGCGAAAGUACUAAUUUAAUUAGAUUAUAGAUAAUAAAUAUAAAUAAAUUUUAGGUAAAUCAUAAUAAAAAAAUUAAUUAAUUGAUUCAAUCAAUCAAUAUUAGGUGUAAAUAAAAAAAUACAAAUAAAAAUCUCAUAAAUGUACAAUUUUUAUUUUUAAUUUUAUUCAAACUAAAUACAUGUGCAAAUUAAGAUUAUUACAUCCUUGAACCCAAUAUUUAUUCCAAUAACAAAUGUAGAUACGUAAACUACUGGGAAGCAGCACACGUGUCCUGAAGAGAGAAAAAAAUCGAGCAAAUGCAGACAAUGGGAGUUGGCUAAAAGUUGGAUCUGCAAUUUACAAAAUCUGUAACUUAUUAGCCAGCUCCCAAAUUGUGUAGUCUUUUUUCAAAUUGUACAGACAUUUAUAAAUUGGUGGCCCCUUGAAAAUUUAAUGCCAAGCAGAUAAAAGUCAUCAAGCACAGUCCUCAAUAGUUGUUUCGUGUAUAUUUAUAAAUUGGUGGCCCCUACAUCUUUAAUAAUUGGGAUUGAAUUACGGUAUAAUUGUAGAAUCAUGUCUCAAUUACAUUCAAUUGUUAGAUAUAUUUACGUUGGUAAAAUUUACUGAUAUCUAAUAAUUAAACGUAACUAUAACACAAUAUUAUAAUUACACCACAAAUUUUCUCUAAUAAUUAUUCCGAUACUUAUAAAUUGGUGGCCCCUUAGUAAUUUAACAGCAGCCUGCAAGUGUCAACUAAUGAAAAGUCAUCAUUCACAAUCUUCCAAGUGAAACAGGAAAUAUACAAAAAUUAAAACAUGUCAUUCUUUUUUUUUCAUUCCCUGUCAUGUAACUUACACCCAAAUACAUAAAUAAUAUAAAAUGAAUGGAGAGAUGCCAGGAGCAGAUCAGCAGGGUUUGAAUAUGACCUUUGGCGCUUGCUUUUUUUUUUUUUUGUGAUUUUUUUUUCAUUUUUUCCUUCCUGUCAUUUUAUCAUUUCUUUGGCUUUGUCUCUAUUGCGGGUGUUACUGCAUGCUUACUGUUUCUUGACAAAGUUUGCUAGCUUUUCCUUUUGUUUAUUAAAUAUUUUUAUCGUCACAAAGUAUUACUCGUUCUAUUUGACAGUGAUGUAAAUUAAUUUUUCAAUUUUAUAUUUUAUCGUCGAUGUGAAUUCAAUUUCAUUUGUCAUCAUGCACAAUCCUCAAUAAUUGUUUCGAUAUUUAUAAAUUGGUGGCCCCUACGUCCUCAAUAAUUGUUCCGAUACUUAUAAAUUGGUGGCCCCUUAAUAAUUGGUGUUUGAGGAAUUAAAUAGAGCGAUCAUGAUCUUUUCCAAAUGAAAGUGAGCAAAUGGUUGAGCAGGUCACCUUGAUCAGGUGGUAUGAGUUUGAUCAAAUCACCUCGACCAGGUACAAUGAGGUUGAGCAGAUCAUCUUGAUCAGGUGGUGUGAGCUUGAGCAGAUGACCAUGUGGUAUGAGCUUGAGCAAAUCACAUCGACUAGGUGCUAUGAGGUGGAGCAGAUCACCUCGACUAGGUACUAUGAGGUGGAGCAGAUCACCUCGACCAGGUGCUAUGAGCUCGAGCAGAUCACUUCGACCAUGUGCUAUGAGCUUGACCAGAUCACCUCGACCAGGUGGUCUAAACUUGAGCAGAUCACCUCGGCCAAGUGAUGACUAGGAAUAAAGACUCAGUUAAAAUAAACCACCACAAAGCUCCUCCGAAAAAUCAGGGCACGAAUCUGAUUAAUCAAUGGUUAUUGUCACGAUCUAAGGUCGUGGGUGUGGGGUGUUUUAUAAAAAUCCCGAGAAAAUCACACCAAGGGAAGGCUCUUUUUCUCUGGAUCUGACGGAGAAAUCCUUUCUGGAUACUCUAUUUUACUUUUCUGCAAAUUAUUCAAAAAGCUUUUGGUUUUAAAAUAAUGUUUAUUUAGCCAUAUGAAAAAUGACAUAUUUGGUUUUUCCUGUAAACCCCAUAACUGACUUGAGCGUUGGAGGGUUUACGCCAGAAAAACUUCCGGCACCUCUGACCAUUCUCUGUAAUUUCAGGUACUUAUUGAUCGUCAGCUUGAAGAUUAUAUGCUCAUGAAUGUUCUGCUCAUAGUCAGAGAAUAUUCUGACUAUAUUAGCCAUGACAUUUUAGUAAUUUCAGGUACUAAAAAAAAAUUAAAAUUGUUGGCGUGAAAAGCACAAAUCCUAUUUUUUGACAAUUUUAUCUUUGUCAAUUUCAAAGAUUUACAAUAUCAUAGGUAAAGAUUAUAACUAUUUCAUCUUCAAGUUUUUAAUUUUAUAUUUUUUGUAGGAACUUUAAGAAAAUAUCAAUAAUUUAAAGAGAAUUUUUGAAAUUUUUAAUUUUAUCUUUCUUGUAGGAAUUUUAAGAAAAUAUCAAUAAUUUAAAGAAGGUAAAAUAACCAAUAAUUUUAUUUUUUUUUUAGUUAUUUCCGUUUAAAAACUGUUCUUUUAUUAGCCGUUGGAUUUUACUACUCUUAUAUCCAACGGCUUGCCACAACAAGACAAAUGAGGUGGCACCUUCCAACAGCUGAAAGGUCGUUUUGGCCCCAAGUGAAACAGGGGAUGCACUUACUAUUAAGGACAGUUGGUGGCCAGCUAAUGCACUCAUUUUAUGUCCUUUUAUCUUUUUGAAUUCCUGAAGACAAGUGCAUUCAUUUUGUGUCCUUUCAUCUUUUUGAAUUACUGAAGACAAGUGGCCAGCUAAUGCAUUCAUUUUUUGUCCUUUCGUCUUUUUGAAUUAUUGAAGACAAGUGGCUCAUCGCUUUUACUGUAGGUAAGAUCUUGAUAAUCUCGAUUAUCAAAAUAAUAAUAUUCAAAAUAUUUCUUAAUUUUAUUUAAAAGAUAAAAGAAAAAUAAGUUAUGCUGGUAAAUUUUUUUAUUUUUUUAAUAAAAAUAAAAUAAAUUGAUGUUUAUAAUUGUUUCAAAUACUUUAAAGAUUGUAAUUUUAUGAGAGAGUAAUAUUUCACAUUUUUAAUGUGAAAAGUUGAAAAGGGACAAAGCAAGUUUCUCUGUUUUUCUUUUUCUUUUUUUAAAUUUGGUCAUCUCAAAUACUUCACCCUUCAACACUACAAUAUUUUGGUUAUAUAUAUAUAUAUAUAUAUAUAUAUAUAUAUUUUACACAUGCAUAUGAAUUACUUUUCUUUUAAGCUCCUGAAUAUUUAAGACAAAUCAUGAAAGAGAUGAGAAUAUAAUAAGAUGAUCAAAAUAUGUAACAAAAUUUUUUUAGAAGUGAAACAUCGUUAGAGUUGAAGUAAAACUCUGAAAAUAGAGAUACUGAUUAAUUUAGAAGAGAUGCAAGCAAAAGAUAUGCCAAAAAAAAAAAAAAGCAAUAUGUCACUUUGGAGGGCAAACUUGUCAGUUUCACAAAAAUACAUGCUUUGUAUUGAUAGUUGUCACUAUGUAUUAGGGUGCGUUUGAAAUUAUAGUGCUGUACCUUUUAAACUACAGUUGUUGUAGAAAAAAAUAAAAAAUAAAAACUACACCUAAGAUUAAGGAAAAGUACUUCAAAACUCUCUUUUGAUCAUAAAACCUUUUGUCUUAAUUAACUUAAAGAUUUUGAAUCUAAUAUUUUAUAACAAAUAAAAAUAUAUUACCAAAAUAAAUAUAAUAAUAUCUAUUUUAAAAUAAUAUCAAUAUUUAAAAUAUGUUUUAAUAUUUGACGAUCUAUUAGACACAUUUUAUUAUGUUAAAGUAAAUUUUAUAAUAAAUACAAACAUACUAAUAAAAUGAAUAUAUACAACAUUUAGAGUAUUUUGAAUAUUAUAUAAAAUAAAUUUAAUACAAUGCAUGAGAUAUAUUUUAUUAAUUUAAAAUGCUAUUUAACCUAAAGAUUUAUUUAUGAAAAAUUAAUGAUUAUAUUUUUGAAAUUAUUUAAAAUAUUAAAAAAAUUAAUAUUAUUAAUCUAUCAGGUAGAUUAAAUUAUUUAUAUUAUUUUGCAUUUAUUAAAAAAUUUUAAAAUCAAUCUUUUUAAUUACUAUUCUAAGGAUAUAAUAAUAGAGGCAACUCCGUUGCGUCAUGGUUUUGGUACCCCGUCGUUUGUCUUUUAGCACAGUCAUCGUUGGAUUUUAUCUCACGGCUGCAGAAGAGACACAGAGACGCUAGGGAGCAACCUGACAAAAAGGUCAUGGGCCGGUAAGCUGCAGGGAAAAUAUUUAAAAUACAAAAUCUUCCCUUAAAUUUUUUUUAAUAUUUAACAUGUUAUAGUUUCUAAUCUCAUGAAUAGUAGAGGAUAAAGUUUUAUCUUAAAAAAAGUAAUCCCAAGGGUCUCCUUGGGAUGAAAUUUUGCCUCUAUUAGAAUUAAGUGGUGGGCUCAUUAUUGUUACUUUUAUUUUUUUUAUACCAAACAUGAUAUAGGAUUAUUUUAUACUAAAAUUAUCCAAUCCUAUGAUAUAUAACUAAAACUAAACAGGCACUUAGGGUAUAUAUGAGCCACGGUGGAGAAGCUUUAUUUAAUAUUAUUGAUUUAAAUAAUAUCUCAUUAAAAAUGUACUGAGAAGAAAUUUCGGUGGGUAUUUUAGUCAAUCACAUGAUCAGCCUUUGGACUUGAAACGUCGGUCAGAAUGAUUUAUUCUAACAAGAAAAAACUAGGUAAUAUUCCACAAAAGUAAAAGUGACAAAACAACCAGCUGGAUUCUUUUAGGAAAUUACAAAGAGUAAUGAUACAGUCAUAAAUUUUUAUAUAAAUUUAUUUUAUAUAAAUUGAUGUGGUAUUAAUUCAUUAGUUGAAUGAAAAUAUAAAUUAAUAAAAAUAAAUUAUAUGGACCAAGUAAUAUUUAAUUCAAUCAAUCUUAUUAUGUCACAUCAAUUUAUAUAAAAUAAAUUUAUAUUUGUAUUAUUACUCAACUAUAAAUUAAAAUAAAUUUUUUCGAUAAACUACAAAUUAAAGUGGAUUCUUUUGAAUGCAAGUGGGACAGACGAUAAGGCUAAAAAUUAGUCAAGAAUCGAAUAGUCUUUUUCAAAUUCUUGUUUUAUUAUUUUUCAAAACCAGUUUUUGGUAAUUACAAUCGGGUCAUUAAUCAUUAUUCAGAGUUAUUGUUUCCUUCAGAAGUUAGUGGCUCAUGUUUGCAAGUGUGAAUAUGCGAUGCUCUUUUUCGAAAGCGCAAUGACAGUGGGUCCCGAAUCGGACGUCCCUAAAUCUUUUUAAAAUUUUUGCCGUAUAACGAACAGAGGUCAUUACUAAAAUUUCUCUUCCACAGCCUACAGCAGCUUCAGUUUAUCAAACUCAAUCAAUUUUCUUUCUUAACAAAAUUCCAAAGAUGUGUAGCAUUUUUCAGAUCACAUGCGAUGGUGCUCUUUUCAAUCGUUGCUUGGAUUGCUUUCUUGGAAAAGCAGCAUACAUACGUAACCUCCAAGAUAAUCUUGUAGCCUUGGAGACUGAACUGGGAAGACUAAUCGCAGCAAAGAACGAUGUGAUGAUGAGGGUUGUCAAUGCUGAACGGCAACAAAUGAGAAGGCUGGACGGAGUGCAAGUGUGGGUUUCGAGGGUGGACGCUGUUAAAACUGGAGCCGAUGAACUUAUCACAGACGGCUCUGAAGAAAUUGGCAAAUUAUGUGUUGGAGGCUACUGUUCCAAGAACUGCAGGUCAAGCUACAAAUUCGGAAAACAAGUGGGUAAAAAGCUACAAGAUGUGAAGACUUUAAUCGCCGAGGGAGUUUUUGAGGCGGUGGCCACUGAGGUGGUGCCCGAGAGAGCUCCGGAACCUGUAGCAGAUAAAAGACCCACUGAGCCAACAAUAGUAGGCCUGCAAUCACAGCUUGAACCAGUUUGGAGAUGUCUUGUAGAAGAAUCAGUGGGAAUCAUUGGCCUAUAUGGUAUGGGCGGUUUUGGUAAAACCACACUAUUGACCCAUAUCAACAAUAAAUUUCUUGAGAGUCCCACAAACUUUGAUUGUGUGAUUUGGGUCGUAGUUUCAAAAGACCUGCGACUUGAAAAAAUUCAAGAAGAUAUUGGGAAGAAGAUAGGUCUAUCUGAUGAUUCAUGGAAGAAUAAAAGUUUUGAAGAGAAAGCUGUGGACAUCCUGCUGAGAUUAGGAGAGAAGAGAUUUGUAUUGUUGUUAGAUGAUUUAUGGGAGCGGGUUGAUUUAACAAAAGUGGGCGUUCCACUUCCCAGCGCACAAAAUACUACCUCAAAAGUCGUAUUCACAACCCGUUCCAUUGGUGUUUGUGGCAGCAUGAGAGCUAGGCCGGUUAAAGUGGCAUGCCUAUCAGAAAAGCAAGCUUGGGAACUGUUCCGCGAAAAUGUUGGGGAAGAAACUCUUGAGAGUGAUCAUGAGAUCGUUGAGCUAGCCCAAACUGUGGCCAAAGAGUGUGGUGGUUUGCCACUCGCACUUAUUACUAUUGGUCGAGCUAUGGCCUACAGAAAGAAAGCGGAGCAGUGGAGACGUGCAAUUGAAGAGUUAAGAAGAUCAGCUUCAGAGUUUGCAGGUUUGGGAAAAGAGGUGUAUCCUCUUUUAAAGUUUAGCUAUGAUAGUUUGCAGAAUGAGACAAUUAGAUCUUGUUUCUUGUAUUGUUGUUUAUAUCCUGAAGAUUAUGGCAUUCUUAAAUGGGACUUGAUUGAUUGUUGGAUUGGUGAGGGAUUUUUUGGGGAAUCUGACAGGUUUGGUGCAGAAAACCAAGGAUAUGACAUUUUGGACACUCUUGUUCGUGCAUGUUUAUUAGAAGAGGUGGAAGAUGAUGAAGUAAAAAUGCAUGACGUUGUUCGUGAUAUGGCUAUAUGGAUAACUUGUGAAAUUGAGAAGGAGAAGAGAAACUUUUUGGUUUGUGCAGGUGCGGGACUAAAGGAGGCACCGGAGGUUAAAAGAUGGGAAAAUGUGAGAAGAUUGUCACUGAUGCAAAACCAAAUUAAAACUCUGUCAGAGGUUCCCACAUGCCCUCAUCUCCAUACUUUAUUUCUUGACUUCAAUGACAAUUUGAAUAUGAUCGCGGAUGGCUUCUUCCAACUUAUGCCUUCUCUCAAAGUUUUGAAGAUGUCAAACUGCGUGAAUUUAACUUUGAAAUUACCUUUGGGGAUGUCAAAGUUAGGUUCACUAGAACUUCUUGAUGUUUCGAAUACCGGCAUAAGAGAGUUACCAGAAGAGUUAAAGUUGUUGGUAAAUCUGAAAUGUUUGACUUUGAGGUGGACAUUUGAGUUAAAUAAAAUUCCACGGCAACUAAUAUCAAAUUCUUCAAGGUUACGUGUGUUGAGAAUGUUGGGUACUGGCCUUUUGAAUUUUCAUGAAGCGUCAGAAGAAAGCGUUUUAUUUGGUGGGGGUGAAGUUUUGAUACAGGAAUUGCUCGGUUUGAAAUAUUUAGAGGUAUUGGAGUUGACCUUGCGAAGUUAUCAUGCUCUCCAAAUUCUUUUGAGCUCAAAUAAGUUAAAAAGUUGUAUUCGAUCUCUUUUCCUCCAGUUGGCCGGAGAUGCAACGUCGAUUGUUGAUGCUACGGCUUUCGCAGAUCUAAACCACCUCAAUGAAUUAUAUAUUAAUAAAGGUUUUGAGUUGGAAGAAUUGAAGAUUGAUUAUACGGAGAUAGUACGAAAAAGGCGGGAACCUUUUGUUUUCCGCAGCCUUCACCAUGUUACUAUAUGGCGGUGCGCUAAAUUGAAAGAUUCGACAUUCCUCGUUUUUGCUCCAAACCUCAAGUCUCUUGUGCUAGGUAAUUGCCAUGCUAUGGAAGAAAUAAUCAGCGUUGGAAAAUUUUCCGAGGUUCCUGAGAUCAUGGGACAUAUGAGCCCUUUUGAAAAUCUCCAAAGGCUUCAUGUAGAAGAUUUGCCAGAUUUGAAGAGCAUCCACUGGAAGCCAUUGCCUUUCACUCAUCUGAAAGAAAUGGGGGUAAGAGCAUGUGAUCAGCUUGAAAAGCUUCCACUCGAUUCCAGCAGUGCAAAAGAGCGUAAAUUUGUUAUUCGUGGAGAAGAAGACUGGUGGAACCGACUUCAAUGGGAGGAUGAAGCCACUCAAAUUGCUUUUCGUUCCUGUUUCCAACCUUAUUCCUGAGCCGUGGUCGCAAAAUUUGAUUUCUGGUGAGUGCGUUUUUGUUAACGCUUAUGUUUUAUUCCAGUGUAUUUUUCUUCUGUCUUCUGCAAAUCACAAUUAAAUGUGUGAUACAUGUUACGGGUAAUAUACAUGCAGUAUUUUUGGUACACUGCAAAUCACAAUUAAAUGUGUGAUACAUGUUUACGGGAAAUUUAUAGACAUGCAGUAUUUUUGGUGGGGUCGAAUUGAUGCUCUGGUUUUUUUUUGUUGUCAAAAUUUUCUCUGUUUUUUCAAAUUGAUGCUUUAUUUAUAUCUUCUUCGUGAAAAGUGAUUUAAUUUCCUGCCAAAAGACGAACGAGAAGAACAUUAGAGUCAAACUAAUGCUCACAUAAAUUUCCCGUAAGAAUAUAUAUAUAAUUAGACUGGAAUAGUAGCCCUCUUUACAGAAAAUGACGCGAAAGUUAAUUUAGAAAGAUAUAUUCUUGAUUAAUCCAUUUUCUGAAGCUUUUAUUUUGUAUGGUCAAUUAUACCUUCAUACUAAAAAUUUCUGAAUUUAUAAAUUAGUGCAACUUGACAAUUUUUACUGAUGAUAUCUUCUAUUUUUCCUUUCUUUCUUUUUUUUUUUUACUCUCAUUGAAUGUUACUGUCAUUUUACUUACAAAUAGGUUUGAAUUUUAUUUAGUUUUCUCAUAGUAUUUGUGCAAGUACUAGAAGGUCAAACCCCGCAUACUUUGAUUGCCAAACCACCGUCCAAUUUAAAAAAAGAAAAAAAGAAAAAAAAUGUGUAAUCCAUGAAUCUGGUUAAUUUUGUUUGUUUGUUUUUUUUUUUUUAAAUAUCAUUCUUUUUCGGCCACCCAAAAUAUCAUUGAUGACUUUUCUGGUCUAAUGCUAUGUAAAUAGUAUGUUAAGUAAAACAUAAUCAAUUAUUUGUGUUUUAUCUCUAAUUAGAACAUCAAUCAGUUCAGUACCUCACAAAUAAUUCGCAAUAUCUACAAAAUACUAUAAUGGCUACAAAACAAAUCCUGCUUGCAAAUUGUCAAGGAUACCUAUCCGUUCGCUUGACAAGUCAUUUGAAUAAAUAUUGUUCACAUUCCUUACUCUGUCAAUUAUCCAAAGCACCAUCAACUUUAGUUUGAAUAGUAUACAUGCCAUCACCAUUACCAAGAAUCAAGCAUGAAAGAGUCAUUCUAUAGAGUGCAGAACAUGACUCUAUGCGGUAGUCAAUUUGACACACGACGAACAACAUAUGCUGCAUAACAUACAAAUUAAUUUCCCAUAUGUGAUGCAAUUUUCUCCUCAACAUAUGCGCAAUUCUUUCCAUUCCGGCCGUUGAUUGAACCCUUUGGCAACAAGACGAGCUUUAAGCCUGUCAGCAGAACCGUUGGAAUGUCUUUUAAUACAAAAAUCCAUUUGCAGCCAACAAUAUUGGAAGGGAUGGGAGGUGGAACAAGCUUCCAUGUCCCGUUACGAACAAGAGCAUCAUACUCUUCUGACAUAGCUUGACGCCAGUGAGGAUUUUUGAUAGCUUGCGUCACAGUUGUAGGUUCACAAUCAGAAGAAGGGCUAAAAUGAGCACGGAGGUUAAGUUUUUGUAACGGCUUGUGAAUCUUAUUUUUAGCUCGGGUAGUCAUAUCAUGAUGAUUUGUGGGGCAAUGAUGUAGUGGAGUUUGGGAAGAUGAUUGAAGAGGAAGUGAAGAAGUGCUUUGUGUAGAGGUAGAAGUAGGUUGGGAGGAUUGCUGCGGAGAUGUUACCGGUAGAGAAGAAGGAGCAGUACACGGUGGCAACUCCAGAGGGCCCAUAGUGAAACACUUGCGUAAUUAGGAGUGGUAGAAGAGCUUGUAAUGAUUUGUAUGGAAAAACAAACUCUACAAAUUUAACGAGACGUGAAAUGAAAAUUUGAAAGGUGGAUGGGUCAAAACAUAAAUAAGCACUUUGAGAUAAAGGAAUAUCCUAUAAAAACACAAGGCUUAGAGGGUGGUUCGAGUUUAUAUGAUGAAACACAAACAUUCAAAAAUUUUAAGUUUAUAUUAAUUAGGAGUGGUACCAAAAAUUAAUUAGGAGUGGUCCGCGGGACAUGUAGCUAUGGGGUUGUUGGAUGUGUUUUGGAUAUUUACAGACAUGCUGAGUUUGAGUUUAUAUCUCAACUUAAAAUUUGUAGUUUUCACUUGAAAAAAUUCAGUUAAAAAUUGAUUGGUAGAAUUGUGAAAAAAGUUUAAAUUUUUAGUUCAACCCGAUUGCAUAUUUAAGAACAUCUCAAAUGAAUUGCUUACUGCUAUCAUCAUCAUUAUUGUCCAUAUAAUAAUGGAUCUUUAUUAUAUAUAUAUGUUUCCACUAAAAUAUAUUUAAUUAUUCUUUAUUUUUCCAUUGUUGCGUGUAAGAUUUAUUUGAGUUCUAAGUUAUAUCAAUACAAAUGUUAUCUUAUCCAUUAAAAGUUAGAUCCAACAAUUAUGAAAAUUACCAUAGAGUUGCUUUCAACUAUUUUUUAAAAAUACCAGGAGUAAAAAAUAAUUAGUUCAAAUGGUGGAGACUAAAAAGCGUUCACCUUUAUUUUUUAUCUGUUAUUUAUUUUUUUCAUUAAUGCACAUGCUAUACAUUUGAGACAUUCCAUUAAUUGCCAAUUAUGUAUGUGAGAUAGUAAUUUAAAUUAAAAAAAUAAAAGUGAAAGUUAAUCCUAUGCAAUGUGAAUAAAUUUCUUUCCUUUUUCCUUUACUCUUUUUAUUUGACAAUAAAGUUUCCAUCUAUCAUCUAUCAUCUAUGUACGCAAAAUUUCUGCAACAGGUACAAAACAUAAAAAUAUAUGAUUGUUAAGGGAAACGCGCAGGAGUUCAUCAUUUCAAUGUUCAGCAUUACCAAUUUUGGCAUUAAGCUGAAUAUAUUCCACUUAGAAAGCAAAAUAUUAGACUCGUGAUUUUAAUUCAUUCAUUAUCUCUCAUUUUAAUCCCAAAAUAUUCAAGAGCAUCCAAGUUACCAUAAGACUUCAGAGGCUCAAGCCUUAGCCAGAGAUGGUUAAUUGAUAGACUAUGUGCCUGGGUCGAGCACUGGAAGCCUGCAAUGCAGACUGAUUGAUUUAUCAGUUUAACGUGUGCCAGGAAUGAAGAACUGGAAUAUCACCGUCAAGCAAGCACCCUGUGGAGCAAUACCGAAGAAUGCACAAUCCAGCUUUGCUAGGUGACACUGGAGGCUUUUUGAAAAGUGCUUCACGCUCACUUGCACAGAUUGAGCAUCCCCUCUGGAUAUUGCCCUCUCUGAUCGAGUCUGAGCACUCAAAUUUUGGUCCUCAGAGGGAGCUACAGUUUCUCUCCACUAACCAACAAUUUUCUAAACUCAGCACCUAGUGUGAUCAGAGUUGUUGAUAUUUGCAAAUGGAGAUCCCCAUAUUUGCAAAUGGAGACAUUUAACAAAUCACCAACAUGCUUCAUCCGGUCCACGAAAUUCUGCAACUGAUUCAAAUCUGGAACCUGAACCAGAGUCGGAGGUAUAUCUUGAGCCAUAUCUAAAGCAGUUUGAAGUUCAAGACCUUGAGCCCUUGACAAUGGUUUUGAAAUUGGAACAUCUUGGAUUACUGCAGACUUGUACCCCUUGGUUUCAAAGGUAAGGAAAGGCAUUGCUUGAGUACAAUUUGGAGGCAGCUUCUUCACCAAUUUUAUUUGGAGGCGAUUGGUAGCGGAUCCAGCUGCACCAAUUUCAGAGCAACUACUGACACUACUUCGAACAGCACACUGAAGAAGUGAUAUGUCUACGGCGAAGGCAAUGCAGUCCUCAUUUUGGCUUGAGACACAGUAAUCAUCGUAGAGAGUUUCCUUGUGAAACUGGGCAACACAUUGAAUCCCUUCGCCACUGAGAAGGUUGUGGAGGAAGUAAGCUUUCUCUCUAGUGAGGAAGAGGUGGCAUACCUUCCCCAUUUUGUCUAGGGCAGGUAGGAAUCUUUUUUCUAAGAGAUUUACUUCAUUCUCUGUGAGAAAUGCUUUGAACUUCAUCCCUCUGUCUCUAUCCUCACUUAUCAGGAAAUAAGUUGAAAGCACUACGAAGAGAGAGAGAGAGAGAGAGAGAGAGAGAAUUAAGAUAUAUAGACAAGAAAAAUAUUAGAUGUUGAUCUUACAAACUAAUACUUCAAGCAGUAUCCUAGAAAGCUAAAAACUGCAAGAUGGCUUGAAAUUUGAGAAGAGCACGUGCUUUUCCUCCUUAACUUGAGAAAAUGUUUUAUAUAGUGCACCUUACAGAAGCAUUUAAGCAAUUAGAACUUUGCACAAAAACAUCAAGAAGACUAAACAAAUCAGAUGCAGUGCAUUUGUCCAAGCACAAAUUGCAUUUUGUCCUCAACUUUAAUAUUUAUUGAUGAGAAUCAAUACAGGUCCCUCAUUUGUUAUAGAAAGCUUUCUUGUAGUCUCACCAGUUAAUAUGGAUAUUAGAUAAGGAAACUUUAUUAGGUUGCGAGGGUAAAAAAGGAAAGAGAUAUCAUUAUUUUAUUAUCGAUAAUUAUUAAAUUUUUUUCCAAAAAAAAGAACAAGCAAUGAUAUUUUAUUGUCAAUUGCAACCUUUAAUUUUUUUAAAUGCUAUUAGAAACACAAGAUAACAAAGAAAUACUUAUUUUUUCCUAAAACUAAAAUCAAUUGUUUAACUUCUUAUUUCAUAAUCCAACUCCAUUACUAAGUUAAAAAAAAUUGUUUCAAAAUUACUUGAGUCAUAUUCAAUGGACCAACAAAGUAACCGUUUUUAUUUUUAUUGAUUUUUGCAGGAAAUUAAUAAGUUAAAAAUAAUGAAAGCUAUUGUAAAAAAAUUUAUUAUCAACCUCAUAAUUUUUUUUUUUUUGGGGAAGAGAAUUCAAACAUUUUUUUUUUUUAAUUUCCAAGAAUUCUUGACACCCAUCUUAAUUAAAAGCUAUAUUUUUAUUCAAGAGUCAUGCUAUUCAUUCACUCACAGACCAAAGGCUUUCCGCAGCAAUAUUAUUAUUUAAAUUACAACAAAGGGGAAAUCAAACACGUCAUACAGAAGCUUAAAGGUGAAUCUACAAAAUCUAGAGCUCUCAACUACAAAAAUUACACUUGAUGAUCCUCUACAAGAUGAAGGUUGUUCAAUAUCUUGAGAUUGCCUGCCUUCCUCGACGACCUGCACGAUGUGUUUGUACAAAUCAUCAUACCUGUGCACCGGAUUUUUAAUAUCAACGCCACUGCAGCUGUGAUCAAGAACAUAAGAGCAUUUAACAUCUUUUCUCCAUCGAGAAAGAAUGUAGUGAGAUGGGAUCUCCUGCAUGCCACUCUGGUUUAGAACACAAAGAAUGUGUCUGCAUAAAUAUCCUCUGAAAUUGAACAACCCACAAACACAAAGCACCUCCAAGUCGGAGGCAUUGUACAAAACAUCGAAAGCCCUUGAAUCUUUCUCGUUGCUACCAACCUUAAAUUCUUCCUUCACUAUGUAUGUUACAGGUCCAUCAGCACUGACAUGUUUUGUGCUAUAGCAAUACAUAGCCUCCACCUCCGUCUGAAACUUCCUUAACAUUUCAUUUGUGUACAGUUUUGAGAGUUGAAAUUCAUAGUAUCAUCUUGGUUUCUGGAUACAACUUGAAUUUCUUGAAUCCAUAUCUGCCAAGGCUACCAGUUGAUAAUUCGCCUGCAGUGCUUGAUCAUACUUGUCUAAGAAUUCUUUCAAAGGAGUAUUCUUAUCAAGAUAUCCUUCAAAGUAUGAAGUAGAAACCUCAUUCUGCAGGAACGAAAACACUCCUGAUAAAAAAGCUUCCUUCAAAUAAAUAGGAGCCCACCUUUUAUGAUCUUCAUAUAAAGUUUGAAUCUAUCCGUGAUCCUUUAUUCCAUGACAUUGAAUCAUGUCUUCCCAAGCUGCUUCAAAUUUCUCAGGCCUGAGAGAGUGAUAAAUUGCUCUAUGUAAUGCAGCUUUAAUAGCUUCAUAUUCAAACAAUCCUUGGAGUUUCUCUGGAAUUUUUUUGCAUGAUGCAUGACAAUGAAAAGCAAUGAUAAGCUCUUGGGAAAACAUCACCAACAGCAAUUUGCAAGAUUCUACAUUGGUCAGUGAUGAUUGUUUGUGGAGAGCUCCCUAACAUACAUGUAAGCCACGCCGUAAACAACCAUGUAUAUGAUUCUAUGGUCUCACUGGCAAGUAAAUCACAAGUCCACAACCCAACAACACUGAUUGUCCAUGAUGAUUCACCCCAAUGAAUGAAACCAGUGGUACAUCAUAUCUUUCAGUCAGGCACGUAGUAUCAAUUAAGACCACAUCACCAAAGUACCUAUAUGCAACUCUUGACCUGGUAUCAGUCCAGAAUAGGUUUCUCAAGCAUCCCUUUUCAUUUAGAUCCACUACAUUAAAAAAGUUUGGAUCUGUCAACUGCAAAUGACAAAAGAAACUCUGGACAGCUUGUGCAUCUCCUGGUUUAAGCUUCAAUUGAUUUGAGCUAUUAACAUUAUUUCCAAAUACUCCAUUAACAUCUACCAUUUCCCUUGGUAUCAAUGAUAAGAGUUCGAAACAGUUUAAUUUUUUGAACUUCUUCAGCACUAUCUAAAUGCAAUGUUCUUUUGGUUCCAAUACCUAUGUGCUUAUGUGACUUGUAAAACUUUCCGCUUCUUGGGCUUAACAAGUGGUUAUGCUCAAGCUCGACUUCAAUGAUUCUCCACCUUUUGGUUUCCAUCAACCUAAACUUUAUCAUUGCUGGACAGCCAGUUCUUGUUUCUGGUCUUGGGCGGUUUGCCUCGCUUUUCUUCUUGAAGCCUGCACUACUACAGCUCAGCUUUCCUCUAUACUUUUCUCUACUCUUUCGGUACCAUGGAUUGCUAACUCUAACACCAAAACCCUGUUCCUUGGCAUAGCAAUUGUAAAAGUAAUAUACAUCAUCAUACAUCUCAAACUCCAUUCCAACAGUAGGAGGCAAGGGAUUUUGGAUUAUCCCAGUUUGUCCAACAUAUUCAGUCAUCGCACAAUCUCCUACGACCUCAAAAUCAUCAGUGUCAUCAUCACCUACUGGUUCGGUGUUGAGAGAAACUUCAUCCAUCUACAAUGGAUGUUCAAUGAAGUGAGCUUUAAGGAGAAAAAGCAAAAUCAGUUCAAGGAAUGAUAAUAUAAUCAUACAGUUACUUUCACAAAGCUUCAUAUUUCAUCACUGCUUUACCAACAUGCAACUGCCAGAGAACAAACAGACAUGUCAUAGACGCUUGAAUUAAGUAUUGGUACAAAUGAGCACACAUCAUGUGGGACAAAAUUUCAGUCACUAAACCCAAUACCACUUUUUACAUCAUACCAAGGAACAGAUUAAACCCGACACCUUCUUUUAAACCAUACCAAGGAGCAGAUUAAAUCAUCAAUGAAAAAUUAAUCACAUAAUAACUUAACCAGACAAAUGAAGAGCCUGAAACAGCACAAAACUUGAAUCUGAUUAUGAUAAUUGUUGAGUCCUUGUAUCUACAGCUUUCCUUCAAUGAUAAGACAAUGAACAUAAACGAGACACAAAAAAAUUAUUUUAAACUGACAGCCCAUGAUAUAAAUCAAACAAAAUCAACUCCUUUUUUUACACAUUACAUCUCAUAUUCAUUUACAUUGAAACACAAAAAGGAAGCAGGAGUGGGAAAAAAACAACAGCAGAGGAACUUAUUUCCAUAAGGUUUACGAAAUAAGGAAUCUAUUAAAACCCAAAACUUGAGGUCACCACUAAGAAUUUGGUUCUCAUUAUUUUUUUCUUCAUUUUUCACCAAUUGAUGAACUUAAAAUACAAUCAUAAAUGAUAAAACCCCAUCUCCAUCUUUUUGAACUAGAGCUAAAGCAAAGCAUUUUAAGAUGUUUCAUCAUUUUUUAAAAAAAAAAAAAACUCAAUAGUACAAUGUUUUUCAAUGUUAAAUGCACAAUUCAAUCUUCUCCUAAUUUACUCUAAUAAUCUCUUAAUUAAGGAAGAUUAAGCUUCAGUUGUAAGCUAAAACAAAUUUCUUAAAUCAAGCCCCAAUGCUUUAUGCUAUUCAACAAGGGCUCAUAAAUGAUAAAACUACUUCUAUAAAGAUACCCAUUUUCUAAAUUAAUUUCACAAACUGAAAUCAAACUCCUGAAACGUAACGAGCAUUAAUAUAAUCAAGCCCGAACAAGAAUUGAUAAAUGAUACAUAAACUCGUUUACACAUUUCGACAGACACUUUGCAAUCAAUGAGCAAAAAAUUAAUGGAGAAGAUAAAAUUCAAACGAAACAUGCCUUACAUUGAUAAAUUAGAAGGGCAAAAGAAAUUUUAGUACGAUAUGGGAUCAGGGUCUUGCCACGGUGAUGUUAUUUGUGAAGUUCGAGCGACUCAGCAGCCUUCGAGGUUGAAAAUUUGAUUGACCAAAAGCUUCCCGUUCGUUGAUUCUCUAAUAGUAGAAACGAGACUGGCAGUAUACACAACAAGUUCGCCGAUUUUAAAUUCCGUUGUUUGAGAUGGAAAAUUUUUUGAAAAAAUUAAUGUGUUCGAUGAAAAUCAAAAUCUCAAAAACCUUUUGUUUUUCAUUUUUUUGGAAAAAACCAUUGAGAUCCUUACUAUUUUUUCUUAUAUCAUCUUGCUUAAUAAUUUGCAAAGUCUAUCGCAUAGCACCCAUGCAUGAUGUAUGCUGCGUUGUAAUUUACAAUAUUGUACAUGAAUAAAUCCAGCUAAUAUUUGUUAAAAGAAAAUAAUAAUAACAUGUUAAAACUUUAAAAUUUGAUUAUUAGAAGAAAUUUUAAUUUAGCUAAGUAGGUGACAUGAUAAUAAAUAGAUACGUAUAAUGUCCGAGAUUUUUUAUAAGAUUAAUAAAUAUGAUAAAUUUGGAUUAGUUCAAUUUUGACAUAAUUGCAAACAAUUUAAUUUGUGUUGUUUCUCUAAAAGUUUGAGACACAAAUGUUAUUUCAAAUUGAUAAAAGUACAAUUUAAUCCCACUUGCUCUUCAACUAAAAAUUAAACAUGCAAAUACACACACUAAUUUAAAGUCAUCUGUAUAAUUGAAACGCCAUGCACUAGUAGUAGGUCAGAGAAACCAAGGUUGAAAUGUGUAGAAAUGUUGAAACGCCAAUAAUAAUUGAAACGCCAUGCACUGUUCGUUUAUUUUUAUUCAUGAUUUUUUGUAAAACGUAAGAAAUGUGUAGAAAUGUUGCCAGCAAUGAUUUUGGAACUUUGCAUAAAAUUUUUAUCGUUAUUGUUUUUGGUAUUAAGAAAUCCGAGGCGGUGAUUAGACGUAUGUUGCAACAAUUAAGAAAUUUCUUAUUGGAGAUAAUUCGGUAGGUUGCAACAAUUAGAGAAUCAUUUUCCUGUCAGUUAAACGGUUCAUUUUCAGCCAUAACAUGCUAAAAAUGCUACACUUAACGGUUCAUUUUCAUGGAUUUUCUCGGGAAACAAACAGAAAAUUACGGUUUAGAGAGUUGACUGACGUUUUGGCUUUUGAAAUUGAGAAGAUCGCGCGCCAAAUUGGAAGAGGGAAAGUGAAAGUGCGAGUUUUAAUAUGGGCAUUAGAUAAGGAAAUUUUAUUAGGUUGCGAGGGUAAAAAAGGAAAGAGAUAUCAUUAUUUUAUUAUCGAUAAUUAUUAAAUUUUUUUCCAAAAAAAGAACAAGCAUGGAUAUUUUAUUGUCAUUUGCAACCUUUAAUUUUUUAAAUGCUAUUAGAAACACAAGACAACAAAGAAAUACUUAUUUUUUUCCUAAAACUAAAAUCAAUUGUUUAACUUCUUAUUUCAUAAUCCAACUCCAUUACUUCGUGCUGGUUUUUUCAGGUGAAUAACAGCUAAAAAUAAUUUUAAAAGCUGUUACCAAUUCUCAUGAACUGUUACAAUUAAAAAAAUCAAGCAUGCAUGGAUGGUUAAGUGUGUAGAGAGAACCUCCAUCCUUAUAAUUCUUACUUAUGCAUGGUUAAGUGUUUAUAUUUAAACACUAAUUUCUAGGCUUCUUUUUCCCAUGUGGGAUAAGCCUCAUUUCCUUUCAAAUUUCCAACUUCAAGGGUGAACUUUGAGAGACAAUUUCUCAUUCACCCAAGCACCAUUUUGAGAAAAUAAAAUUAUACUUUUGAAGUAUGAACGGAAUAGAAUCCGAAUCUCACAAUAUUUCCCACUUUAGUUAAAUAGGACCCACUCAAAAUGUGCUCUCAAAAUAACAUGUUAUGCUAUUUUUUCAACAAAAUUGUGGGCCAACAAUAGUGGGCAUGGUGUCGACUUUUGAGAAAGCCUGGAGAUGCGUUGAAGAAGAAUCAAUUGGAAUUAUUGGCCUAUAUGUCAAUGGGGGAGUUAGAAAAUAUUUACUCAAAUCAACAACAAGUUCCUUGAUAGUCCAAAUAAUUUUGAUGUUGCGAUCUGGGUAGUGGUCUGCCAAGAUUUGCAACCCCAGAAGUUUCGGGAAAAGAUUGGGAAAAAGAAAGGCUUCUUCGAUGAGUCAUGGAAGAUAUGAAGUUUUGAAGAGAAAGCACUCGACAUAUUCAAGAAUUUAAGCAAGAUGAAGUUUGUAUUACUGUUGGAUGAUAGAUGGGAGCAUGUUGAUUUAAUUAAAAUUGGUGUCCCUCUUCCAAGCAGAAAAAUUACAUUCAAGAUAGUCUUCACAACUCGUUCUAUUGACAUUUGUGGCCUCAUGGAAGCUCACAACAAGAUUAAAGUGGAGUGUUUAAAUGACAAAGAAGCAUGGGAAUUAUUCUGCAAGAAGGUUGGAGAAGAUGUGGCGACUCUGUCCAAGUGCUAAGGAGAUCAGCCUCUAGGUAUGUAAAAACAAGUAUAUCCUCUUUUGAAAUUCAGUUAUGAUAAUUUACCAAGCGAUAAAAUUAGAUCGAGUCUGUUAUACUGUAGUUUGUUUCCAGAAGACUUUCCAAUUAGCAAAAUGGAAUUGAUACUGAGAUACGAAAUCAAGGAUACUACAUUAUUGGUGUUCUUGUUCCUUUAUGUUUAUUGGAAGAAGAGGCUCCACUGUUUGUAAAAGUGCAUGAGGUGAUACGCGAUAUGCUUCUGUGGAUAGCUGUGAAGGUUUUUUUUUUUUUUUUUUUUUUUUUUUAUAGGGAUAGCAUGUGAAGUUGAGAAGGAGAGAGAGAAUUUUGCAAGGAUUAACUGAAGUACCAGACAUUUGGAAAUGGGAAGGGUUGAGAAGGGUGUCUUUGAUGAUCAACAAAACUGAGAAGGUAUCAGAAAUUCCUUCAUCUCACGAUCCACUAACUUUGUUGCUUCAACAUAAUUAUUUAGAGGUGAUCAAUAAUGACUUCUUCCAAUCUAUGCAUUCCCUUAGAGUUUUGAACUUAUCAUGUAAUCAUUCUCUAACUGAUAAUUUCAAAGUUAGUUUCCCUACAUACGAGAGUUGCCGAAUGAGUUAACGUUCGUAGUGAAUCUUAAGUUUUUGAAUGUGGAGUAUGCACGGUUUCUUCAUUCAAUUCCAGGGCAAGUGAUAUCCAGUUUUACGAUGUUACAAGUUUUGAAGAUGUUUGGUUGUGGCAGGUCAUCUUCUGAUCGUGAGCCACACCAGAAGAUAGCGUUUUAUUUGGAGGCAGUAAAUUUUUGAUUGCGGAGUUGUUUGGUUUGAGAGACAUUUAGAUGUGUUGACCAUCAUCCUAAGAAGCUCCCAUGCUCUGAAAAGAUUUUUGAGCUCCAACAAACUUCAAAGUUGUUGAUGCCGAAAUCCGGAUGAGUUGAUCGAAUCUCAGAUCCCUGCAUCAGCAUUGAAUUUGUUUGGUGGGAAGCUGAUGAUUAGUUAGCACCAUGAGCAGAUUUUCUAUGAGCAGAUGUUCUGUGAGCAGAUCAGAUGUUCUCCUCGUUCUACGACCAGGGUCUCUGCUCGAUCAACUUCACCACGACCAGGAUCUCUCCUCGUAAAGCUUCUUCUCCAGAGGUUCCUGCGCACACAGACAAGUCAGAGUACGCCGGUUGUUUUCCCGGCGCAAACCCUCCGACGCUCAAGUCAGAUAUGAAGGUUCGGGGAACGCUUGCCACAGAUCUUAUGGCUUUUGUGUAGUUUUCUUUAGAAUUGCUUUUAUCUCUCUUCUAAUCUCAAAAUUGCUAACCCUUUUACCUUCGUUGGCUACCUUUUUAUAGGCUUCCUCUCAAUCCCAGUUUUCCGCAGUCUAUGCCGUUAUCCCACGUUCUCCUUCAAUUUUCAUCCCUCCUUUUUCGGGUAGUGGCCUUUAAAUGCUUUUAAAUGCUACAUCAUGGGAAACGUGGGGUAUCGCAUCUCUCGUAACGGUUCUGGGAAGAAUGUAAACGCCAUAAUUCUGUGGGAUCGUGUUCCUGCUUUUCCAGGAGAUGGGUAUCAGCUCGGGAUACACCUUUUGUCAGUAUCCGUCUCUGAUCGGUUCAUGUUGCCCUCUGCUCUGCUCGUACAGUUACACUUGGCUGAGGUGAUUCAUGCCGGGGGUGAUUCAUGCCGAGGUGAAAACAGUACUAUGGCCGACCUGGUAUCAUUAUUGGCUCAACACCAGUCCCCCAGUUUCUGGUCUUGUGAGUGAAAUGAGUCAAGAGUAGAAACUGAUAUUCAAAUCUUACCAAUCCGGGGGCUUCUCCUCUGGUCUUUCAUCUAUCGGGAUGGUCCUGAGGUAUCAUUUUUCUUCAAGGGAGAUUUUGACCUGAGUAUGGAAUAGGAAGUCAUCUGCUCAAGUUUAGACCACGUGGUCGAGGUGAUCUGGUCAAGCUCAUAGCACAUGGUCGAGGUGAUCUGCUCCACCUCAUAGCACCUGGUCGAGGUGAUCUGCUCCACCUCAUAGCACAUGGUCGAGAUGAUCUGAUCCACCUCAUAGCACCUGGUCGAGGCGAUCUGCUGAAGCUCAUACCAUCUGGCCAAGGUGACCUGCUCAACCAUUUGCUCACUUUCACUUGGAGGAGAUCAUGGUCGCUCUAUUUAAUUCCUCAAACACCAGUCCCCCAGUUUCUAGUGUUGAGAGUGAAACAAAUCAAGACUGGAAACUUUAGUGGUCUGCUCGUCUUCGCUUGGUUGAGCAGAUCCUGGCACGCUUGGCUUCUGUCUCGCCAUAAAACAGGCUUUGAGACUUUGUCGAGCCUUUGCAUGCCUUCGAUUCUUCAAGGAUUGGGAUUCUGCUCGCCUUCUCGUGGCCGAGCAGAUCCUAGCACGCUUGGCUUCUGUCUCGCCAUAAAACAGGCUUUGAGACUUUGGUGAGCCUUUGCGUGCCUUUGAUUCUUCAAGGAUUGGGAUUCUACUCGCCUUCUCGUGGCCGAGCAGAUCCUGGCACGCUUGGCUUCUGUCUCGCCAUAAAACAGGCUUUGAGACUUUGGUGAGCCUUUGCGUGCCUUUGAUUCUUCAAGGAUUGGGAUUCUGCUCGCCUUCUCGUGGCCGGUGGCCGAGCAGAUCCUGGCACGCUUGGCUUCUGUCUCGCCAUAAAACAGGCUUUAAGACUUUGGUGAGCCUUUGCGUGCCUUUGAUUCUUCAAGGAUUGGGAUUCUGCUCGCCUUCUCGUGGCCGAGCAGAUCCUGGCACGCUUGGCUUCUGUCUCGCCAUAAAACAGGCUUUGAGACUUUGGUGAGCCUUUGCGUGCCUUUGAUUCUUCAAGGAUUGGGAUUCUGCUCGCCUUCUCGUGGCCGAGCAGAUCCUGGCACGCUUGGCUUCUGUCUCGCCAUAAAACAGGCUUUGAGACUUUGGUGAGCCUUUGCGUGCCUUUGAUUACUUCAAAGAUUGGGAUUCUGCUCGCCUUCUCGUGGUCGAGCAGAUCCUGGCACGCUUGGCUUCUGUCUCGCCAUAAAACAGGCUUUGAGACUUUGGUGAGCCUUUGCGUGCCUUUGAUUCUUCAAGAUUGGGAUUCUGCUCGCCUUCUCGUGGCCGAGCAGAUCCUGGCACGCUUGGCUUCUGUCUCGCCAUAAAACAGGCUUUGAGACUUUGGUGAGCCUUUGCGUGCCUUUGAUUCUUCAAGGAUUGGGAUUCUGCUCGCCUUCUCGUGGCGAGCAGAUCCUGGCACGCUUGGCUUCUGUCUCGCCAUAAAACAGGCUUUGAGACUUUGGUGAGCCUUUGCGUGCCUUUGAUUCUUCAAGGAUUGGGAUUCUGCUCGCCUUCUCGUGGCCGAGCAGAUCCUGGCACGCUUGGCUUCUGUCUCGCCAUAAAACAGGCUUUGAGACUUUGGUGAGCCUUUGCGUGCCUUUGAUUCUUCAAGGAUUGGGAUUCUGCUCGCCUUCUCGUGGCCGAGCAGAUCCUGGCACGCUUGGCUUCUGUCUCGCCAUAAAACAGGCUUUGAGACUUUGGUGAGCCUUUGCGUGCCUUUGAUUCUUCAAGGAUUGGGAUUCUGCUCGCCUUCUCGUGGCCGAGCAGAUCCUGGCACGCUUGGCUUCUGUCUCGCCAUAAAACAGGCUUUGAGACUUUGGUGAGCCUUUGCGUGCCUUUGAUUCUUCAAGGAUUGGGAUUCUGCUCGCCUUCUCGUGGCCGAGCAGAUCCUGGCACGCUUGGCUUCUGUCUCGCCAUAAAACAGGCUUUGAGACUUUGGUGAGCCUUUGCGUGCCUUUGAUUCUUCAAGGAUUGGGAUUCUGCUCGCCUUCUCGUGGCCGAGCAGAUCCUGGCACGCUUGGCUUCUGUCUCGCCAUAAAACAGGCUUUGAGACUUUGGUGAGCCUUUGCAUGCCUUUGGUAAUUUCUUCGAAACUUGGGAUUCUGCUCGCCUUCUCGUGGUCGAGCAGAUCCUGGCACGCGUGGCUUCUGUCUCGCCAUAAAACAGGCUUUGAGACUUUGGUGAGCCUUUGCGUGCCUUUGAUUCUUCAAGGAUUGGGAUUCUGCUCGCCUUCUCGUGGCCGAGCAGAUCCUGGCACGCUUGGCUUCUGUCUCGCCAUAAAACAGGCUUUGAGACUUUGGUGAGCCUUUGCAUGCCUUUGAUUCUUCAAGGAUUGGGAUUCUGCUCGCCUUCUCGUGGCCGAGCAGAUCCUGGCACGCUUGGCUUCUGUCUCGCCAUAAAACAGGCUUUGAGACUUUGGGGAGCCUUUGCGUGCCUUUGAUUCUUCAAGAAUUGGGAUUCUGCUCGCCUUCUCGUGGCCGAGCAGAUCCUGGCACGCUUGGCUUCUGUCUCGCCAUAAAACAGGCUUUGAGACUUUGGUGAGCCUUUGCGUGCCUUUGAUUCUUCAAGGAUUGGGAUUCUGCUCGCUUUCUCGUGGCCGAGCAGAUCCUGGCACGCUUGGCUUCUGUCUCGCCAUAAAACAGGCUUUGAGACUUUGGUGAGCCUUUGCGUGCCUUUGAUUCUUCAAGGAUUGGGAUUCUGCUCGCCUUCUCGUGGCCGAGCAGAUCCUGGCACGCUUGGCUUCUGUCUCGCCAUAAAACAGGCUUUGAGACUUUGGUGAGCCUUUGCGUGCCUUUGAUUCUUCAAGGAUUGGGAUUCUGCUCGCCUUCUCGUGGCCGAGCAGAUCCUGGCACGCUUGGCUUCUGUCUCGACAUAAAACAGGCUUUGAGACUUUGGUGAAUCUUUGCGUGCCUUUGAUUCUUCAAGGAUUGGGAUUCUGCUCGCCUUCUCGUGGCCGAGCAGAUCCUGGCACGCUUGGCUUCUGUCUCGCCAUAAAACAGGCUUUGAGACUUUGGUGAGCCUUUGCAUGCCUUUGGUAAUUUCUUCAAAACUUGGGAUUCUGCUCGCCUUCUCGUGGUCGAGCAGAUCCUGGCACGCGUGGCUUCUGUCUCGCCAUAAAACAGGCUUUGAGACUUUGGUGAGCCUUUGCGUGCCUUUGAUUCUUCAAGGAUUGGGAUUCUGCUCGCCUUCUCGUGGCCGAGCAGAUCCUGGCACGCUUGGCUUCUGUCUCGCCAUAAAACAGGCUUUGAGACUUUGGUGAGCCUUUGCAUGCCUUUGAUUCUUCAAGGAUUGGGAUUCUGCUCGCCUUCUCGUGGCCGAGCAGAUCCUGGCACGCUUGGCUUCUGUCUCGCCAUAAAACAGGCUUUGAGACUUUGAUGAGCCUUUGCGUGCCUUUGUAGUAAACUUUGACUGGUUUCUUAACUCUAGCCUAGCUCUCUUUUCUUAAAUCAUUCUCAUAUUGAGUAACUUUCAAGAAAUCAAGUUAACUAAGUUAAACAGUCAGCCCUAAUAUAAGCACAAUUAGUUGAAUGAAUAUAAGGCAUCCUCAUAUCACAUAGUAGGAUUUAGAGAAAUAAUUAAAUUUUCAUGAGAAAAUUGUUUGUAAAUAAAAAUUUAACUUCUGACCUGUUCUGAUUUCUGCAAACGUCUGCCUUCAUUGUGCUCUCAUUUAAGGGUUUUGCUACCUUGUUUAAGCACGCUCAUCCAUUUAUGUACUGUAACAUUCUGAUUUGCUUCGACUAGAUGAAAAUUGAUAGAAACAAAAAUUUGGCUUCUCGUACCGGUCCCCACAGACGGCGCCAAAUGUUGAUGCCGAAAUUCGGAUGAGUUGAUCGAAUCUCAGAUCCCUGCAUCAGCAUUGAAUUUGUUUGGUGGGAAGCUGAUGAUUAGUUAGCACCAUGAGCAGAUUUUCUAUGAGCAGAUGUUCUGUGAGCAGAUCAGAUGUUCACCUCGUUCUACGACCAGGGUCUCUGCUCGAUCAACUUCACCACGACCAGGAUCUCUCCUCGUAAAGCUUCUUCUCCAGAGGUUCCUGCGCACACAGACAAGUCAGAGUACGCCGGUUGUUUUCCCGGCGCAAACCCUCCGACGCUCAAGUCAGAUAUGAAGGUUCGGGGAACGCUUGCCACAGAUCUUAUGGCUUUUGUGUAGUUUUCUUUAGAAUUGCUUUUAUCUCUCUUCUAAUCUCAAAAUUGCUAACCCUUUUACCUUCGUUGGCUACCUUUUUAUAGGCUUCCUCUCAAUCCCAGUUUUCCGCAGUCUAUGCCGUUAUCCCACGUUCUCCUUCAAUUUUCAUCCCUCCUUUUUCGGGUAGUGGCCUUUAAAUGCUUUUAAAUGCUACAUCAUGGGAAACGUGGGGUAUCGCAUCUCUCGUAACGGUUCUGGGAAGAAUGUAAACGCCAUAAUUCUGUGGGAUCGUGUUCCCGCUUUUCCAGGAGAUGGGUAUCAGCUCGGGAUACACCUUUUGUCAGUAUCCGUCUCUGAUCGGUUCAUGUUGCCCUCUGCUCUGCUCGUACAGUUACACUUGGCUGAGGUGAUUCAUGCCGGGGGUGAUUCAUGCCGAGGUGAAAACAGUACUAUGGCCGACCUGGUAUCAUUAUUGGCUCAACAAAAGUUGUACCUGAUCUCUCUAUCCUAAAUGCUUUGAUUCGAAGUCAGUUGAUGUUUUUGGCUAGGCUGAUCUGAAGCAUCUCAAUAGGCUAUAGAUAUUGCGAGUUGUAAGCUUUUGGAAGAAGUGAAGAUUGACUUUGUUGGGAAAGCACAAUGAACCCAUGGUUUUCACAGCCUUAUGUCACGGAAGUUGUCUAAAUACUGCACGGGUUGCUGCGCAAAGUAACCAUCCUAUGACAUUGAGCCAUGUUGAAAUAUCAUUUUGCUGUAAACUGAGGGAUUUGACAUAGCUUGCUUUUGCUCCAGACCUUCUUGUUGUUUCCAGAAAAUGUUGCCAUGAUAUAGAGGAAAUACUCGGUGUUGGAAAAUUAGGUGAAGAGAUGACGUCAAAUCUGGAACCCCCUGCAAAACUCCAAGGUUACGUUUGGCAUAUAGGAUUGGAUUAAAUUGGGUUCUAUUUAUAUUUUUAUGUUUGGUACAGUUCCGGAUUGAACCAUAUUAGAUUAUAUUUAAAUAAUAUUGAAUAGUAUUUAAGUUGGUAUUUUAAUAUAAAUAUCAAUUAUCCAUGAAAUUUUAUAAUCAUAAUUAAAAUAAAUUUAAAAAGCAAUUACUAGGAAAAUUAAAUAUAUUGCAAAAAGUUAUUGGGUAGUCAUAAUAUAAUAAGCAAAUAAAAUUAAAUAAAACAAAUUAAAUAUUUAAUUAUUUUUAUCAAAUAUUUAAAAAUAUUAUAUAAAAUCAAUUCAUUAAUGGUAUUAUUAAUUUUCAUGAUUAUUUUUAAUAUUAUAUUAGUGAUUAUUAAAUUUAAUACAAUCAAAUAAUGUAAUAAAUAAUUACACGUUUAAUUUUAUCGAUUAAUUAUUAAAUAUACAAGUAAUGAAAAUUUAAUCUCAGGAGUUGGUAGACGCAAAAGUACUAAUUUAAUUAGAUCAUAGAUAAUAAAUAAAAUAAAUUUUAAGUAAAUCAUAAUAAAAAAAUUAAUUAAUUGAUUCAAUCAAUCAAUAUUAGGUGUAAAUAAAAAAAGAGUAACGAUAUAUCCACAAACUCUUACACAAACUCAUGUGUCAUGAUAAGAUUGAUUGAAUUAAAUAUCACUUGGCCCACAUAAUUUAUUUUUAUUAUUUUAUAUUUUCAUUCAACCAAUGAAUUAACGCCACAUCAGUUUGUACAAGAUAUGUUUGUACAGGAAUUUGUGGCUGUAUCAUCACUCAUAAAAAAAAGAUACAAAUAAACCUCUCAUAAAUGGACAACUUUUAUCUUUAAUCUUAUCCCAACUAAACACAUGUGUAAAUUAGGAUUAUUAAUCCCAUGAUUUUAGGAUUAAAUUCAAAUUUAUUCCCCCUUAAUCCAAUCCAACUAAACUUGUCAAACAUGGGAUAAAAGUUUAAUUCUAAAAGCAUCACUAAAAGGCUCUUCAAAUAAGAUUUUAUUACUUAUUUGAAGAGCCAUAUCAAUAUUUAACGCUCCAAAAGACACUUCAGUUAAGAUUCUUCAAACAAUAGAUGAUUCUCUCUUUUCAAAUUUCGAGAGUUGAUUUCUCCCUCUUCAAUUUGUAUUUUAUUAUUUUUCAUUGGAGAAAGAGAGAGAAGUGCUUUAAUUGCUAUUGACUUUUUCCUUAAAAAAAUAAUUAUUUGAUUAAAAUAAUAUUAAUUUAUUUCUAUUUAAAGAGUCUUUUAAAGAAUAAUAUAUUUUUUUAUUUUUUUUAUUUAUCACAUAGGUAAAUAAAUAAAUAUUUAAAAAAUAAAAUUAAUAGAGACUUUUGGAGAUACUCUAAAAUUAGUCCAAUCCCAUACUUAAUCCUAGCAUCCAAAUAUAGCCCAAGUUGUUUGCUUAAAGAAGCUACCAAAUUUGAAGAGCGUUUACGGGAAGGCCCUGCGUUUCCCAGAUGUAUGCAGAAUUUUUGUAUCUAAAUGGCCAGAACUUAAGAAGCUGACGCUGGAUUUUGAAAGGGCGGGCCAAGGUAAAAUUCUUAUCAAGGGAAAGGAAAAUCGGUGGAAACAACUUCAAUGGGAGGAUCAAGCAACUCAGGAUGCAUUGCUUCUGUUUUUCAAAUCAACUGACAAGUGAUUGAAGGGGGCAUCAUCAGCCUGGAUGGGGAGAUCCUGGAGCAGAUCAGCAGGGUUUGAAUCUGCAUCAUCAACAUCAUCAGGAUCUCUAUUUCUAUUGCUGGUCGUAAUGCCUGCCGACUGUUGCUUGAAAAAGUGAUUAAGUGAGCCAGUUUUUUGUUUAUUAAAUUUUGUCUUAAUUGGCGUCCAAUAGAAAUUUACAAGAAUUACUUUUCUGUUCAUGCAAUCGGCGUCUGAACGCGGCUGAUCGGUCACCGGUGUUGGCGUUUACUGUGAUUAGACAAAUUGUAGGACUUCAAAAAUAACUUCUAUAGGGGUAAUUUCGAUUUCACAUAAUUAAUUUUAUUUACAAUAUUUUAUUCCUGCAAGGUCAACUGAGAUUCUUUCCACCGGGCACACCCUUCAUGUUCUUUUAUUUUCUGUCUUUUAUUAGCCGUUGGGUUUUACUACUCUUAUAUCCAACGGCUUGCCACAACAAGACAAAUGAGGUGGUACCUUCCAACUGCUGAAAGGUGGUUUUGGCCCCGAGUGAAACAGGGGAUGCACUUACUAUUAAGGACAGUUGGUGGCCAGCUAAUGCAUUCAUUUUAUGUCCUUUCGUCUUUUUGAAUUAUUGAAGACAAGGGGCUCCUCGCUUUUACUGUAGGUAAGAUCCAGAUAAUCUCGAUUAUCAAAAUAAUUAUUUUAAAAUACCUUAAUUAUUUUUUUUUUUAUGUUGCGUUUAUUAAACUAGAAUAAAAAUGAGUUGAAAUCGGAAUGAGUAGGAACAAGAAUGAAAAUGAAAAUAAUGAAUGGGAAUCAAAAUAAGUUGUUUACUUGAACUAUAGAAAUCAAAAUCGUAAUGAGUUGAGUUACCAUUAAUGUGUUUAUUUUGUCUUGGAAUCAGAAUCGAAACAAAUUAGAUUGUAACAAAUUACUAAAAAGUACUUAAUGGAUUAUUGUUAUAAUUAUUAUUAUUAUUAAUUAAUUAAUUGUACAAAAUUUUAAUUAAUUAUAAUAACUAUAAUAAAAUUAUUAUAAAAAUAUAUUAACUAAUAAUAUUAAUAUAAAUUACUUAAUUAAAAUAAUAUAUUAAUUGUGAUUAUUUAUUCAAAAAAUAUAAUUAUUAAUAAUUAUUUUUAAUAAUAUAUUAAUUCAUAGUAAUAAUUAUAUAUAUAUAUAUAUAUUUAUUUAAUUGUAUUAAUUUUAUUUAUUUAUUAUUAAUAAUAAAUGAAUUAAUUAUUAUAAUUAUUGUUAAUAAUUAUUAUAAUAGUAUAUUAAUUAAUUAAUUACAAUAAUAAUAUAUUAAUUAAUGUGAUAUUUAUUUAGGAACAAUAAUUAUUAAUAUAUUAUUGUUAAUAAUAUAUUAAUUAUUGUGAUUAUUUAUUCAAGAACUAUAAUUUUUAAUAAUUAUAGUUAAUAAUUUAUUUAUUUAUUUAUUUAUUUAUUAAUCAUAAUAUAUUAAUUAAUUAAUUAUAAUAUUAUAUUAAUUAAUUAUAAAAGAGGAUAAAGUGGAUAUUUUUAAUUUUGGGAAGGGCAAAAUAGUUAAUCCUAGGAAUGAGAGACUCUUUCUCACCUCUGCAUGGGAAUCAAUCUCUCAUUCUCUAUUCUCAAAUAGUAGUAGACCCCAUCAUUUCGAUUCUAAUUCUUACUCCAUAUUUGUGAAGUAAACAUCAUCAAUCAUUCUGAUUCUGAAUUUUUGUGAAUGGAGAGAUGCCGGAGCAGAUCAGCAGGGUUUGAAUAUGACCUUUGGCGCUUGCUUUUUUUUGUGAUUUUUUUUUUUCAUUUUUUCCUUCUUGUCAUUUUAUCAUUUCUUUGGCUUUGUCUCUAUUGCGGGUGUUAUUGCAUGCUUACUGUUGCUUGACAAAGUUUGCUAGCUUUUCCUUUUGUUUAUUAAAUUUUUUAUGGUCACAAAGAAUUACUUGUUCUAUUUGAGAGUGAUAUGAAUCAAUUUUUCAAUUAUAUAUUUUGUGGUCAAUGUGAAUUCAAUUUCAUUUGUCUCCCGCAAUUAUGAAAAAAUUACAGUCAUAAUAUGGAAAAGUACACCGGCAAAAACUUUGUAAAAGCUUCGGAGUGAUACGGGGAAUUCACUUACUACUAAGGACAAUUGGUGGCAAGCUAUUCCAUUCAUUUUAUGUCCAUCCAUCUAUUUAGUUAUUGAAGAUAAGUGGUCCAUUUGUAAAUUUCAGAUUGUCUCUCUCUCCCUCUUGAAAUAACAAUAUUUAAUAUAUCUCUUAAAUUAUUAUAAAUUUUAAUUUACUCUCGAUUUAAAAUGGAGCAUGUCGAUAAAUUUUUUUUCUUCUUAAUAAAAUUGACGUAAGUUGUGUUUACAGUAGUUUGAAGUUUGAAAUAUUUUAAAGAUUAUUAUUCUAUAAGGGAGUAAUAUGAAAUGAAAUUUACUUUUCAUGUGUGAACUGAAAAAGGACGAAGCAAGUGUCCCUACUUUUAUUUUAUUUCAAGGAGGAGUCAUCUCACAUACUUAAGCUCUUAACAUUACAUUUUUUUUUGUUACAUUUUUUUUUUAAUUUUUUUUUUUACACAUGCGUGUGGGUUGCUUAUCUGUAAGCUCCUUAAUAUAUAUUUAACACAAAUCAUGAAAAAGAUGGGAUUAUAUCAAGAUGAUCAAAGCAUGUAAAAAAAGAAAAAAGAAAAAAAAAUUAAGAAGUAAGACACUGAAAAUGGAGAAGAGACGGAAGCAAAAGAUAUUCCAAAACAAAGCAAUAACAAAGCAAUCUAUCCCCUUUCGAGGGCAGACUCAACAGGUUUAAAAAAGUACAUGCUUUGGAUUGGUAGUUGCAAUCAAGGGAAAAUAAAUAGGAUCCAAUGAAAUUUAAAUCUUGGAGAAAAUAAAUAAUCAUGCAGAUUUUCAAGAUUUUAAUAAGGGAUACUAAUAUCUUAUUUUGAUUAAUAACAUUCUUUCACUGUGUUAACUCAAAAAAAAUAUUAUAAUGCUUUACAAUAAAUACAAAUGUCCUAUUAAAUGAAUAUAUAAAAAAUUUAGAAUAUUUAGAAUAUUAUAUAAAAUAAUUUUAAUAUAAUGCGUGAGAUAUAUUUUAUUAAUUUAAAAUGUCAUUUUACCUAAAAAAUAUGAUAAAUUAAUAAUUACAUGUUUGAAGUUAUUUCAAAUAUUAAAAAAAUUUAAUAUUAUUAGUCUUUUAGAUAGAUUAAAUUAUUUUUUAAAGAGAUAGAUUAAAUUAUUUUAAAAUACCUUAAUUGUUUUUACUUUAAACAUUACCGGCCUUUCUUUUAUUUUAUUGCAAAUUAAUGCUAACAAGAAAAAGCUAGAUCAUAUUCCGCAAAAGCAAAAGUGACAAACACAACCAGCUGGAAUCUUUUAUAAAACUACAAAUUAAAAUGGAUUUUUUUUUUGAUAAAUUACACAUGAAAGUGGAUUCUUUUGAAUAUAAGUGGGGUAGGCUCUUUUAUUUUAUUUUUGAAUAUUGUAUAACGGGACUGUAGACUCUUUUAUUAAACUACAAAUUGUAUAGUCUUUUUAAAAUUGUUAUGAAUUAGUGGCCCCUACAAUCCUCAACAAUUGUACCAAUAUUCACAAGUUGGUGGCCCCUACAAUUCUGUUCCGAUAAUUUAACUGUGCAAGUCCUCAUUCACAAUCUUCCAGGUCAUGCUCUCAAUAAUUGUUUUUUUUUUUUUUUUUUUUUUUUUUUUUCUGCAUUCCCUUUCAUGCUCUUAAUAAUUGAAGAGCAUACUUUUCAUUUUCAAAUGUGGAGCCGCAUCUAAUGUCGCUAAUUUAAUUUGGGAUUAAAUUAGGGGACCAUUAUAUUGCAGUGUGCACUAAUUUUUGUGUUUAUCUAAACUCUUUAAGUUUAAGACAUAUUAUGGCAUAAAUAAGAAUAUAACAAUAACAAAAGAGUUAGAAAGUGUAGAGAAGAUCUUGCAGAAAUAUAAAUAAUAUCUAUUUUAAAAUAAUUUUUAAUAUUUUAUGAUCCAUUAGAUAUAUUUUAUUAUAUUAAAAUAAAUUUUAUAAUAAAUAAAAACAUCCUAUUAAAAUGAAUAUAUAGAAAAUUUAGAGUAUUUUAAGUAUUAUAUAAAAUAAUUUUAAUAAAAUAUGUGAGAUAUUCAUAGUUUAUUAAUUUAAAAUACCAUUUUAAAAUUAAAGAUUUAUUUAUGAUAAAUUAAUAAUUAUAUUUUUGAAAUUACUUCAAAUAUUAAAAAAUUAAUAUUACUAAUCUAUUAGAUAGAUUAAAUUAUAUAUAUUAUUUUCUAUUUAUUAAAAAAUUAAAAUUAUUUUUAAUUACUAUUCAAAAAAUAUAAUGAUAAAAAAAAAUCUUAACAUCUUUAUUAAAAAUUUAAAAAUUUACAUGAUCAAUUCUCUAAAUAUUUAGGGUAUAUGUGAACAUCGGUGGAGAAGCUUUAUUUAAUAUUAUUGAUUUAAAUAAUAUGUCAAUUAAAAAUGCGCGGAGAAGAAAUUUCGGUGGGUAUUUUAGUCUUUUCAGCAAUUAUCAUGAUCAGAUCAGCCUUUAGCUUGAAACGUCGGUCAGAAAAGUUUUAAAAUUAAUGCUAACAAGAAAAAGCUAGGUCAUAUUCCACAAAAGCAAAAGUGACAAAACAACCAGCUGGUUUUUUUUACUAAACUACAAAUUAAAAGUGGAUUCUUUUGAAUACAAGUGGGACAGACGAUUAGGCUCUUUUUAUUAAACGCAAGUAAAAAGUAGUCGAAUAGUCUUUUUUCAAAUUAUUGUUUUAUUAUUUUUCCUUCAAAAGUUAGUGUGGCUCAUGUUUGCAGGUGCGAAUGUCAGAUCACAUGCGAUGGUGCUUUUUUCAAUCGUUGCUUGGAUUGCUUUCUUGGAAAAGCAGCAUACAUACGUAACCUCCAAGAUAAUCUUGAUGCCUUGGAGACUGAAUUGGGAAAUCUGAUCGCUAGAAAGAACGAUGUGAUGAGGAGGGUUGUCGAUGCUGAACGGCAACAAAUGAGAAGGCUGGACGGAGUGCAAGUGUGGGUUUCGAGGGUGGAUUCUGUUAAAACUGAAGCUGAUCAAUUUAUAAGAGACGGCUCUCGAGAAAUUGAAAAAUUAUGUGUUGGAGGCUACUGUUCCAAGAAUUGCAUGUCAAGCUACAAGUUCGGGAAAAAAGUGGCUAAAAAGCUACGGGAUGUGCGGACUUUAAUCAGUGAAGGAGUUUUUGAGGUGGUGGCUGACAGAGCUCCAGAGUCUGUAGCAGAUGAAAGACCUACUGAGCGAACAGUAGUAGGCUUGCAAUCACAACUUGAACAAGUCUGGAGAUGUCUUGUAGAAGAAUCAGCGGGAAUCAUUGGCCUAUAUGGCAUGGGCGGUGUUGGUAAAACUACACUACUGACCCAUAUCAACAAUAAAUUUCUCGAGAGUCCAACCAACUUUGAUUGUGUGAUUUGGGUUGUAGUUUCAAAAGACCUGCGACUCGAAAAAAUUCAAGAAGAUAUUGGGAAAAAGAUAGGUUUGGUUGGUGAUUCAUGGAAGAGUAAAAGUGUAGAGGAGAAAGCUGUCGACAUCUUCCGGAGUUUAAGAGAGAAGAGAUUUGUAUUGUUGUUAGAUGAUAUAUGGGAGCGGGUUGAUUUAACAAAGGUGGGCGUUCCACUUCCCGGACCAAAAAAUACUACCUCAAAAGUCGUAUUCACAACCCGUUUCAUCAAUGUUUGUGGUACCAUGGAAGUUGACAGGAAGUUUCAAUUAGCAUGCUUAUCAAAAAAGGAUGCUUGGGAACUGUUUCGAGAAAAAGUUGGGGAAGAAACUCUUCAGAGUCAUCAUGAUAUCGAUGAGCUAGCCCAAAUUGUGGUCAAAGAGUGUGGUGGUUUGCCGCUCGCACUUAUUACUAUUGGUCGAGCUAUGGCCUACAGAAAGAAAGCGGAGCAGUGGAGUCGUCCAAUUGAAGAGUUAAGGAGAUCAGCUUCAGAGUUUGCAGGUUUGGGAAAAAAAGUGUAUCCUCUUUUAAAAUUCAGCUAUGAUAGUUUACAGAAUGAUAGGGUUAGAUCUUGUUUCUUGUACUGUUGUUUAUAUCCUGAAGAUUAUGGCAUUCUUAAAUGGGACUUGAUUGAUUGUUGGUUUGGCGAGGGAUUUUUUGGGGAAUCUGACAGGUUUGGUGCAGAAAACCAAGGAUAUGACAUUUUGGACACUCUUGUUCGUGCAUGUUUAUUAGAAGAGGUGGAAGAUGAUGAAGUUAAAAUGCAUGACGUUAUUCGUGAUAUGGCUCUAUGGAUAACUUGUGAAAUUGAGAAGGAGAAGAGAAACUUUUUGGUUCGUGCAGGUGCUGGAUUAAAAGAGGUACCGGGUGUUAAAGGAUGGGAAAAUGUGAGAAGAUUGUCAUUGAUGCAAAACCAAAUUGAAACUCUGUCAGAGGUUCCCACAUGCCCUCAUCUCCUCACUUUAUUUCUUGACUUUAAUCAGGAGUUGGAGAUGAUCGCGGAUGGCUUCUUCCAACUUAUGCCUUCUCUCAAAGUUUUGAAGAUGUCAAACUGUUCGAAUUUGAAAUUACCUGUUGGGAUGUCAGAGUUGGGUUCAUCACUAGAACUUCUCGAUAUUUCAGAAAACAGCAUAACAGAGUUACCGGAAGAGUUAAAGAAGUUGGCAAAUCUGAAAUGUUUGAAUUUGGGGUGGACAAGGGAGUUAAAUAAAAUUCCACGGCAACUAAUAUCAAAUUCUUCAAGGUUACGUGUGUUGAGAAUGUUCGCUACUGGCCGGUUCAAUUUUCAUGAAGCACCAGAAAACAGCGUUUUAUUUGGUGGGGGUGAAGUUUUGAUACAGGAAUUGCUCGGUUUGAAAUAUUUAGAGGUAUUGGAGUUGACCUUGGGAAGUUAUCAUGCUCUCCAAAUUCUUUUGAGCUCAAAUAAGUUAAAAAGUUGUAUUCGAUCUCUUUUCCUCGAGUUGACCGGAGAUACAGCGUCAAUUAUUGACGCUACGGCUUUCGCAGAUCUAAACCACCUCAAUGAAUUAUGGAUUGAUAAUGGUAUUGAGUUGGAAGAGUUGAAGAUUGAUUAUACGGAGAUAGUACGAAAAAGGCGGGAACCUUUUGUUUUCCGCAGCCUUCACUGUGUUACUAUGAUUUCGUGCCGUAAAUUGAAAGAUUUGACAUUCCUCGUUUUUGCUUCAAACCUCAAGUCUCUUCGGCUACGCAAUUGCUAUGCUAUGGAAGAAAUAAUCAGCGUCGGAAAAUUUGCUGAGACUCCUGAGAUGAUGGGACGUAUAAGCCCUUUUGAAAAUCUCCAAAUGCUUGAUUUACAAGGUUUGCCACAUUUGAAGAGCAUCUUCUGGAAGCCAUUGCCUUUCACUCAUCUGAAAGAAAUGGAGGUACUUAGGUGCGAUCGGCUUGAAAAGCUUCCACUCGAUUCCAACAGUGCAAAGGAGCGCAAAUUUGUUAUUCGUGGAGAAGAAGACUGGUGGAACCGACUUCAAUGGGAGGAUGAAGCCACUCAAAUUGCUUUUCGUUCCUGUUUUAAAAGUGAUGCUUUAUUUAUAUCUUAUUCGUGAAAAGUGAUUUAAUUUCCUGCCAAAAGACGAACGAGAAGAACAUUAGAGUCAAACUAAUGCUCACAUAAAUUUCCCAUAAGAAUAUAUAAUUAGACUGGAAUGCACACCUCUAGAUUGAACAGAAUUAAAGCUGAGAAGAUAUUGAGUAUAGUAGCCCUCUUUACAGAAAAUGACACGAAAGUUAAUUUAGAAAGAUAUAUUCUUGAUUAAUCCAUUUUCUGAAGUUUUUAUUUUGUAUGGUCAAUUAUACCUUCAUACUAAAAAUUUCUGAAGUUAUAAAUUAGUGCAACUUGACAAUUUUUACUGAUGAUAUCUUCUAUUUUUCCUUUUUUUUUUUUUUUUCACUUUCAUAGACUGGCAGCGGAUCCUGCGGCACCAAUUUGAGAGAAUAUACUGACACUACUUCGAACAGCAAGCAGAAUAUGUCUACGGCAAAGGCAAUGCAGUCCUCAUUUUGGCUUGAGAUGCAGUAAUCAUCGAAGAGAGUUUCCUUGUGAAACUGGGCAACACAUUGAAUCCCUUCGCCACUGAGAAGGUUGUGGAGGAAGUAAGCUUUCUCUCCAGUGAGGAAGAGGUGGCAUAUACCUUCCCCAUUUUGUCGAGGGCAGGUAGGAAUCUUUUUUCUAAGAGAUUUACUUCGUUCUCUGUAAGAAAUGCUUUGAACUUCAUCCCUCUGUCUCUAUCCUCACUUAUCAGGAAAUAAGUUGAAAGCACUAUGAAGAGAGAGAGAGAGAGAGAGAGAGAGAGAGAGAGAGAGAAUUAAGAUAUAGAGACAAGAAAAAUAUUAGACGUUGAUCUUACAAACUAAUACUUCAAGCAGUAUCCUAGAAAGCUAAAAACUGCAAGAUGGCUUGAAAUUUGAAAAGAGCACGUGCUUUUCCUCCUUAACUUGAGAAAAUGUUUAAUAUAGUGCACCUUACAGAAGCAUUUAAGCAAUUAGAACUUUGCACAAAAACAUCAAGAAGACUAAACAAGUCAGAUGCAGUGCAUUUGUCCAAGCACAAAUUGCAUUUUGUCCUCAACUUUAAUAUUUAUUGAUGAGAAUCAAUACAGGUCCCUCAUUUGUUAUAGAAAGCUUUCUUUCUUGUAGUCUCACCAGUUAAUUCACAGGUCUAUAAUCAUCUUGCAAAGUUAAGGGCAUUUCUUUCGAUCUAAAGUCUUUGCAUCACCACCUCAUCACACGCCAAGCCAAUAUUCCAUUUACCUCUACAACAAAAAGUUUUAAUUAAACAAUCCUAAUGCACGCAGCCAAAUAAAAUGCAGUAAGAAUAUUCAACUUAAAAAUCUGAAAGCCAACUUGGUGAAUUGCCUCCUUAGGUGAAGUUCCAUGCUUUACUAUAGUUGACAGAACUCAGCAAAAGCUUCCAUACAACAGAUUUUGAAAAUGAUGAUGCCAACAGAUACUUAUUCAAUCCAUUGAAACUCCAAAGGUUCAUUGUUCAUAGAAGUUUACAGAGUUUUGGUCAUCAAAUAGCUCAGACCUAAUCCCAAACAAAAAACGAGUGAAAAUUAGAUCACGAGCAGCUAAUUGUAAAUUCUAACUUAACUCUUCAUCUCCUUUGUAAACAAGAAACAAAAUGGAGACACGCAAAAUGAAUAUGGAGAAAAUUUGAACUCAAAUGAAAUGAGGGCACAAAAGCAAACAAAUGGCAUGCACCAAAAAACCAAGCCUCAAUCAAAAACUAAUUAACCAUUAAGAAAAAAAUUGCCCAGAGAAUGAACUCCAAAUUCAGGAGUCAAGCAAGAACCUUUCAUUAUUUCAGAAGCUCCUGUACAAAUUAAUAAGUUAUGCUCUUUGGAAGCAAACCUAAAUUCCAAGAGAAACAGAACCCAAAAAAAUUUGCAAUUAUACGCAAAGGAAGUGAAGCACAGGAUUCUAUCACACAUAGGAAUUGUAUAACAAGAGAUCGAUAUAUCGAAUUAGAAAACUCAAUUCGAAUUUGUGUCAAAAAUCAAAAUUAGAAGAUUUCACAUUUCGAGAGGAACAAGCAACAGAUGAAGUUCAAAAUUUCAGCCAUAACAUGCUAAAAAUGCUGCACUUAACGGUUCAUUUUCAUGGAUUUUCUCGGGAAACAAACAGAAAAUUACGGUUUAGAGAGUUGACUGACCUUUUGGCUUUUGAAAUUGAGAAGAUCGCACGCCAAAUUGGAAGAGGGAAAGUGAAAGUGCGAGUUUUAAUAUGGGUAUUAGAUAAGGAAAUUUUAUUAGGUUGCGAGGGUAAAAAAGGAAAGAGAUAUCAUUGUUUUAUUAUCGAUAAUUAUUAAAUUUUUUUCCAAAAAAAAAACAGGCAAGGAUAUUUUAUUGUCAUUUGCAACCUUUAAUUUUUUUAAAUGCUAUUAGAAACACAAGACAACAAAGAAAUACUUAUUUUUUUCUAAAACUAAAAUCAACUGUUUAGGGCCCGUUUGGUAUUGUUUCUAAAUUUAUAUUUUCUGACAAUAAAAAUGAAAAUGAAAAUGAUGUUUUGCAGUUGCUGUAUUUUAAAUUUAAGUAUACGUUUGGUAUCAUUUUCUAUAUCCUAUAUUUUAAAAUUAAAAAUAAUAAUAUGUGUUUGGUAAACACAUUUGAAAAUAAUAAAAACAGAGAAUAUGCGUUUGGUAAUACUUUUUUUAAAAAGAGUUUUUACUAGUAUUUACGUCAUAUUUAUAGUUAUAAAAUAAUUAUUUAGCUAAUACAUACACAAAUACAACAUAAUAAUUUAAACAAAAUUAUUAUAAAAAAAUUACAUGAUAAUAAAGUUUUAGAAUUAGCAUUAAUUAAAAAAAAGUUUUACAUUGUCAUUAUUUUUACACCAUAAUUAAGAUAUAUAUUACAACACAUGAUUUAAACAAAAUAAUUAUAAAAAAAUUACAUGAUAGGCAUUAUGCAUUACGCAUGUAAUCAUGCCACAUAAAAGCUGCAAUUCUAUCUCUUAUAGCAUUCAUCUUUGCGACACUUGAAGGAGAUAAAUCAAUAUUAGUAAGUGACCUACUAGUGUCUCCUUCUUCGUUGGUAACCAAAUCUUGCACAUCAAAGUCUCCAAAUAACCUAUCACAGGCAAUAAAUUCAAAUUGUGAAUCCCAUCUAAAGCAAUAAAUUGAAAUUACAGAUUGUUUGAUUGGAUUGAAUCCUAUCCUGGGCAAAGCUUGAAAAAACUUUAUUUCUCUCUAGUAACAAAAGUCCUAUUUGCCUAAUGCAUUUUCUCUGUAAAAAAAAAAAAAAUUGGAGUGACAUGCAAUAAAUUCAACUUGUGCAUCAUCAACAAAAUGGAAUUUGGAGUAAAAUCAACAUCAUGGCAAUGACAAUCGUGAACAAUAUCAUCUUUACAUGCUAUUAAAAACAAUUAAAAUCACUCAAAUAAUUUCUGAAAUUUUUAUUAAAUUCUCAGGUUUUUUUUUUUCAUUCUAAAUGUCAUAUAUACAAAUUCAUUACUGUCCAAAAACAUCCUACUUUAAGAAAUAUUUAAAAGUUAAUUAAGUAAAAAAUCUUGUAAAUUAUAAUGUCUUUUUUUUUUUUCGUUUUAAAUUGGUUUCCAAAGAAUGAUGUCUAUGCUUACAGAAGCAAAACAUGCCAAACAGCAGCAGCGACAUUUUGUGAAUUGUUUUUAACUUAAACAAAACAAAUACCGGCAAGUGACAGAUCCGAGAGAGCAACAGCAGCUGGCGUGAAGACGAGCAGCAACGGCUGAGCAGAGCAACAGCGGAAACAGAGCAGCAGCGAAGACGAGCAGCAGCGGAGCAGAGCAGCAGCAGAAACAGAGUAGCGGCGGCUAUGGCGGAAACACAGCAACGACAGUGGUUGAGAGUGCAGAUUUGCUGAGGAAAGGGAGAGAGUGCAGAUUUAUUGCAACUGAAUCAAGAAGGCUGCGGGGGAAAGGGGAAGAGAGAGAGGCAAUGAAGAGAUAAGGAGGAGAGAGUGGAUCGGGAGAAAUAAAGAGAGAGAAAGAUGUUGGAUGAAGAUAAGGGGAGGGAGAGAGUGCAGAUUUGCUGCAACUGGAUGAAGAAAGUUGGGGGGAAGAGAGAGCGGCAGUGAAGAGAUAAGGAGGAGGUCACGAUUUUUCUUUUGUUUUUUAAUUCAUUUUUAGGUUUAGGUGGCGUUUGUUUUUUUGUCUGAAAUCUGAAUAGACUUGAAUUAGUCUGAAUUCUGAAUAGGUCUGAAUGUCUGAAUCUGAAUAAUAUGUUUGUUUUUUCGUCUGAAUCUUGAAAAAUAAGUAUUAAGUUGUUUGUUUUUUUCAACUUAAAAAGCUGAAAAUAUAUACUUUUACAUUUGUAUCCUUAUUAAAUUUGAAUGUCAAAUAAAUAAUAUAUUAAAUACCACAAUAUUUUAACAUUUAUAAGUAAAACUAUAUUCAAGUGAAUACAUAAUUAUUUUAGAAUUUUAAUAUAUAAAAUACCAUAAAUUUCAAAUUUUAUCGUAUAUAAUAUAAGAAAGAAAAAACAGGGAUAUUUUUAUGUGGGGUAGAUAUCUAUGGGUGAGUUUUGGGAUAGACAUGAAAAAUAAAUUAUAAAACAUGGAUAUUUUUGACAUUAGCAAGUAAUUGACUUAAUUUAGAUUUCUCCAUUAAGUAAAAAGCCAAAAAAAUUAGCUUAUUUUAUUAAGUCAAAAUUAUUUAAAAAUUCUCAUUAAGUUAUAAAAACAAACAACUCUAAUUAACUUAAUUAAUUAAGUUAAGUCACUUUAAGUCAUUAAGUUAAAAAACAAACGCAACCUUAGUCUGUAAAAUUUGGAGAACAUGUUUAACUUGUUUUCAGUUGUAUAGUUAUAAUAAUGAAUCCGAAUUUUGUGUUUUGUAAUUUGUUUUGUGAAAAAAAUCCACCAAACAUGUUUUAUGUGUGUAUUAUAAAAAUGAAAACGCAAAUAUGGCUUGAAAAACGGUACCAAACGGGCCCUUAACUUCUUAUUUCAUAAUCCAACUCCAUUACUAAGUUAAAAAAAAUUGUUUUAAAAUUACUUGAGUCAUAUCCAAUAGACCAACAAAGUAAUCGUUUUUAUUUUUAUUGAUUUUUGCAGGAAAUUAGUGGCUUAAAAAUACUGAAAGCUAUUGUAAAAAUCUUUAUUAUCAACCUCAUUGUUUUUUUUUUUUUUUGGGGAAGAGAAUUCAAUUUUUUUUUUUAAUGAAUAUCGCUGUUUCGUUUGAGUUGGAUGUGAAUUCAAAUUCAUUUGAGUUGGAUGUGAAUUCAAAUUCAAAUAUUCUUUGUUUUUCAAUUCUGAACUCGAUUUCUUUUUCUCAAGAAUGUUAUGUAGAAAUGAUUUUUACUAAAUCAUUUUUGAUGAAUUGUUUAAAUUAAACAAUUGGAAUAAGAAUUGUAACGAUUUAUCAUAAGCGCGCUAAUAUGAUAACUUGUUUUACGAAAGAUUAAUUAAUCAAUUAAUAUUAAAUUAUAUAUUAGUCAAUUAUAUAUGUGUUACAUUUGUCAUGGUUUGUGCGUGAUACUACAUAAUUUCUAAAAGAAUAUAGUAAAAACACGUUAAAAUGUUAUUUUAAUGAAUAAAAUUUUAUAAUUUUAUUAAUUAGGUGACACAAUAAUAAAUGGAUUUCUGUAAGAAUUGAGUUUCUUGAGAUAAUUAUUACAUAAGGAGAAGUUUAGUUGGUUCAAUUUUGACAUGUUAAGAAGAGCAUCACAGCACAGAAAACACAAAUUGCCACUUCCACUAAUAAAAGAUACCUGUUUGAAAAGUAAUUAUAAACUAUCUUCUUUGUGUUAUUUCUCAAAACUUUUGUGGCACAAAUGUUAUUUCCAUUGACAACAGUACGAAAUACCACCCCUUUCACUUGAGCAGGAGCAAAGCAAAGGUAUGAUGAGCUAUCUCUGUAUAAUUGAAACGCCAUUACUAAACGAUUCUUGAUGAUGGGAGCCACCGUGCCAGCUUUGUCGCUGAUUUGGUAUUAUUCUUAACUUGCAGAUAGUUGUGGAUAUGAUAUGCAAAAGGUAAGGACUAUAUCUUCUUGAUGGAGGCCUCUGAUUUUUUCCCUUCUAUGUAAUUUAGUAAAUCGCAUUUUCCUUUGUGAUUGAUAUAUCAUACCAAAGUCAAGUCUUAAAUACUGCUGUCAUAUGUUAAGGUUCAACUUCCAUUUUGAUUAACGUCCAUCUGCUGCUGCUUCCAAAAGUGAGAAUGAGAUACUUUGGUUAAUUUCAGUAGUUGAACCCAAUAGAGUACUUUAUUUAGAUCUUCAUGGUUCAAAGGCCUGAAAAAACUUGCCGGUAUUUGGAAAAUGACAUUCUGUGCUUUUAUUUAGACUUAUUAUUUAAGUGAUAAAAACUCCCGUAACCUGCUGUCAAGAAAAUUUCAGAUUGUUAAAAGACAACAUUUUGUUUCGGCCAAAAAUGUUUGUUUCGAUUAAAGACUUGAACCAUUUUCAUUUAACCUUGAUUGUGAUGCUUUACAUUAUGCAUGUUCCUCUCAAUCAAUAAAAGUUGAGGUCAUGAUUUUAUAUUUCUAUUUUGUAACUUGAAAUAAUUGGUCUGCCUGUUUCUGUAGCUUGAUAACAUGAAUUUUUCCUUCUGAAGUUAAUUUGAUCAAUAAAGUAAUUCUUCGGAGAUGAUAUGCCCAUUCUAUAGUCAUUUUCUUAGCUAACAUGUUUUUUCUUCACUCUUCAGAGCAUGUCUAAACUAAUUGAUCGCUCAGCGGAGACUUUGGGUGAGAAGACAAAAUUUCUUAGUAAAUCCUCUGAAAAGGUAUGCAUAAUUCUCGAGUAUUAAAUAACCAUUGGUCAUAAUUUUUGUUCUUUUUUUGGAGAUCGUUAAAAGUGGUUGAUGACCUAUUUUUUACUAUCAUAGAGGGAUCAUGAAUUCCUUUUCUUUUCUGUGGCUCGGCAACACUUUCGGGCCAAACUAAGGAAAUCUAUUUUAGGUAAUGUAAAAACCAGUUGUAGGAUGUAAUAGUUUAUUAUGCCCUGACAAUAACUUUUUGUAUAAUUGUCAGUUUAAUGAAUACAAGAGGAACUCUGUUGGCAAAUUCAUCCAUGAUAGAAUAUAGAUGCUAAAAUUAUUUAUGCAUACCAGUUGCCUUAACUAAUUUUUCUCAACACUGGUAUUGAACAGGAAAAUGAAUAUGCAAUUUGUAUAUUGUGCCAUUGUGGAGAAUUUGGAUAUUCUUAUUUAAGUAUCAAGGAGAGUAUUUGCCUCAUCUUUAAACAAUGAAUCUUUGAGAAAUGAGGAGUGGGUGAUUGGCAGUGUCUUCAUGUAAAUGUUCAUUUAUUUGUAUUUUGAACUAUUACGAGAAUCUUUGUGUGCCAAAUUAGUAAUACAAAUGUUCAGAUGAUUUUUCCUGUUGAUCAUGCGCGUGUAUCUGCACACAACCAUUGUGUACCACUUUAUUCUGAUGCGCAAAUAUCUGUAGUUUAGAAGAAAAGAAAUAAUAAUCAUAUAUUAUUGCUUGGUUCAUGAUUAUUAAACGAUUAUGGCUUUAGAAAAUCCACAAAUCCUUUGUGUUCAUAUAUGAAUGUGCAAAGUUUGCUAUAUCUUAGAUUACCUUCUUCCAAGAUAACAAGUUCAUAUAUUUUUUUUAAUCCUUUUUCAUCACAGUUGAAUUUCAAGUGUAAGUUUUGUUAUUAAUAGCUGGUGUCCUGUUAUUAUGAUUUCAUAAACAGUGAGCGGAUAUGUGCUCUACUUUUGGAGGGCCUCCACAUGAAAGAAAAUUGCAACAAUUGAAUUCUUCUGGAGGUUAUGGUAUUUAAUUUAUUUUCUCAGCUUGUUGAAAGACUAAUAUAUUUCCUUCAGUACGCACGGCGUGGUGGGAAGGGUUUUUAUUGAAAGAAUUAUGAUAUUUCUUAGACUUUGUUUUGGAAGGGGGUGGAGGGAUUUCUCAUCCAUAUAUGGUUACUUGAUUAGCUUUUGACUGUAUUGUCUCCGUCGUGCAAAGGAAAAUCCAAAUACUAACGAAGGGGAAUUGCUUAGGCACCCAAAAGACAGAAAUGAAUUACAGAAGGAAGUUUUUGCUGCUUUAUUUAGUGCUGCUGAGAAAUCUGAUGGAUUUCCUGAAAUUACGGUGAAGACGGAGUGGAGGUCCAACGCAUUAGGAAAGGUGGUGAGUGAACCGCCGGAGGAAUUAGUACCAGAAUACAAGGCUAAUGUGGUGCACUUGCAGCAAGAUGACCAGACCUGUAUGUGCUCUUAUAUUAACUAUAUUGUUGGAUUUGUGAGUGUGUACAUUUUUGUGUGUAUACUCACUUUUGUAUUUAUGCAUAUUAACGUGUGUAGGAUUCUUGAUUUCUGCCACUUACUGGAGAACUAGUGGAAAGCUUUAUACUGAUAUAUGUGCUAUAACUAAUGGAAACUACGAUAUGAAUAUUUUCUCUCACCUGGAGAACUGUAUAACAGAUAUAAUUUGUGGCUCUGGAAUACUGAAGAUUCUGCAAUAACUAAUGGAAAAUAUGAUAUGAAUAUUUUUUCUCACCUGGAGAACUUUGUAACAGAUACAUUUUGUGGCUCUGGAAUGUCUAAAGAAUGCUUCAGUUUAGAUCAAAUAUCUUUUAGUUAGAAAAGAUAAAAUUCUCUGAAUCUGAAAGACUGAAACAUUUUGCAUAUUUUGUGAAAGGGUAGUAUCUGUAGAUACUAGCUCAUGCAUUGAGGUAAUAUCAGUGUUAAAGAAAAACAACAAUAAUUUAUUAUACAAAAUUAGGUUCACUUGCUUUAAAUGCUGGUCUGAUCAACCAUAUCAACCUGUAAUGGUUCUGCAGAAAUAUAUAUACGGGGAGAAACUAGCUAAAUUUUCCUUUCACUUAUGGGUUUGGUCUUUUUUUCCCCUAUUUUUCAGCUUUCCUUCUCCUGAAGUAUGUUAACAAUUGCAGAUAAUGACGAAGAGGACCGCUUCCAGGCUCUUUGUAGAGCUGUGAUGGAAUAUAGGGGCACAAUGAAGGAAUAUUGUAAGGCUGUAGGUACUUUCUCUCUUGUCAUUUAUGUUUUCUCACACAUUUUGUAUAUGCCCUGAACAUGCAGCUUUGUAUGUGUCAAUUGCCUUUUACAUUUUAAAAGCCAUAAAGUAAGAAUACAGUUCCUUGUCAGGCUAUUGAUGCGUUCGCUCAGAAGGGUCAUGUUCAAGCAGGAAAACUUCUAGAACAUGUAAGGUUUCCAUCUACAGCCAUCCAUUGACAGUGUCAAAGUAUUUGGCUGCAGCUUCUAGAAGCUACAUCUAGAAGCUUUGAUGCAGCAAAUGUUGAAGGCACCGCCAAGGAGAAAAAGAAGGAAGAAUGAAGAAGAUGUUGCAGAAGUUGAUCUUGACAAAUGAUGGUUGGAACGCCAAAAUGGAAGAAAGAAAAAAGGUUGGAACACGGCUUUGAAGAAGCCACGAGAAGAAUAAAGAAAAUAUUAAAAUAAUAGCUAAUUUUGGCUAUAUAAAGGAAGCUCCCCUUUUUUUGGUUUGUGUAUCCAAUCCUCAGUUUCUCUUCUUCAUUCAGAGAGUGUUUCUUUGGGGUGUAUUUGGGGAUUAGGUGAGAGAAAAUUAUUUCUGAAAGAGUGGUUGUAAUAAUUUUCCACAUAGUGAAUAUUUUUUCUCUGGUUGUCUUUUUGACAACGGCCGUGGUUUUUCUCCAUAUUUGGAGUUUUCCACGUAAAUCUUGUGUUGUGGGAUUGAUAUUAUUUUUCAUUUAAUUUUUCUUGUUAAUUUGUUAAUUGAAAAAUUGCUUGGAGAGAUCCUGGGAGGAAGCUCAAUUUCCUAACAGUGGUAUCAGAGCCAUUGAUUGAAGUUUUUUGGUGUCGGGGCACUGCUCACGUAUACGGUACUGUUUACGUAUACGGUACUAUUCACGUGAAGCAGUGGGAGCCAAUCCAAACAGUUCGUGGUGAAGAGUAAAAGCUUAUCUGCAAAGCAAAUAUGUCAGGAUUGAAAUUUUCAAGUCCGGUGAAAUUUGAAAUAGAAAAAUUCGAUGGGAGAAUUAACUUUGGCUCGUGGCAAGUUCAAGUCAAAGAUGUGUUGAUUCAAUCUGGGUUACACAAGGCAUUGAAAGGGAAGCCAUCCCCUGCUUCCAGUAGUGGCUCUGGAAAAGCUAGUAUAAGUGAUGAAGAUUGGGAAGAAUUAGAUGAUCGAGCUGCAAGUGCCAUACGACUAUGUCUAGCAAAGAAUGUUCUUGCAAAUGUAGGAAAAAUUCCUACAGCGAAAGAACUUUGGGAGAAGCUAGAAAAGUUGUAUCAGACAAAGAGCAUCUCAAAUCGAUUGUACCUGAAGGAGCGAUUUCACACACUGCGAAUGGCUGAAGGUACAAAAAUUUCUGAUCACCUCAGUGUUCUCAAUGGUAUUGUGUCAGAACUAGAAGCCAUUGGAGUUAAAAUUGAAGAUGAGGACAAGGCGCUUAGGUUACUAUGGUCACUUCCAACUUCCUACAAACACUUGUUACCUACUUUGAUGUACGGGAAGGAGACAGUAGAUCUUGAAGAAGUUACUAGUACUUUACUCUCAGAAGAAAGAAGACUGAAUGGUGAAAGUACUAAAACUACAGAUGUCUCGGCUUUGGCAGUUGUAGGGAAUUGGCAGAAAGAUAAAUCUAAGAAGAAAGGAGUCUGCUGGGGGUGUGGACAAUCGGGGCACUUAAAAAGAGAUUGUCAUAGUAGAAAUAGAGUAGGAUCGGCAAGUGGCUCCAGAUUAGAUAUUGAUAGUAUUGCUAGUGGUAAGUCUCUCAUCAUCGUGGGAGACGAUGAUCCCUUAUAAAAUGGAUGAUGAUGACAUCCUCAUGGUAUACCGCUAGUACCAUGAAAGGGGAUAUGUUACUACUAGCGGGUCCACAAGAUUUACACACAAGGCAUGGUUGGCAUUGAUGCAGGGUGUGUGGUGGAAUUUAUGUCGAUGGCUGACAAACUUCCAGGAAGACCAACAUGGAAGUUGCACCAUAAAUUUCAGCAAGAUAUUUCGACAUGUGCCGAUGUAAAAUUCUUAGAAUUGUUAAUUAAUUCUAAGUGGUAUACUCUUUAUGGUGGAGUAUGAUAAUUCUCUAUGGUGAGGAUUAUGACUAAGGUGAAAAUAGUAAGGUUAGUGUGGAGAUUGAUUGAUUCUCAAUCAAAACUCCAAGUGGGAGAAUGUCAAAGUAUUUGGCUGCAGCUUCUAGAAGCUACAUCUAGAAGCUUUGAUGCAGCAAAUGUUGAAGGCACCGCCAAGGAGAAAAAGAAGGAAGAAUGAAGAAGAUGUUGCAGAAGUUGAUCUUGACAAAUGAUGGUUGGAACGCCAAAAUGGAAGAAAGAAAAAGGUUGGAACACGGCUUUGAAGAAGCCACGAGAAGAAUAAAGAAAAUAUUAAAAUAAUAGCCAAUUUUGGCUAUAUAAAGGAAGCUCCCCUUUUUUUGGUUUGUGUAUCCAAUCCUCAGUUUCUCUUCUUCAUUCAGAGAGUGUUUCUUUGGGGUGUAUUUGAGGAUUAGGUGAGAGAAAAUUAUUUCUGAAAGAGUGGUUAUAAUAAUUUUCCACAUAGUGAAUAUUUUUUCUCUGGUUGUCUUUUUGACAACGGCCGUGGUUUUUCUCCAGAUUUAGAGUUUUCCACGUAAAUUUUGUGUUGUGGGAUUGAUAUUAUUUUUCAUUUAAUUUUUCUUGUUAAUUUGUUAAUUGACAAAUUGCUUGGAGAGAUCCUGGGAGGAAGCUCAAUUUCCUAACAGACAGCAGAUACAUUUUCAUUGAGCAGACACUGUUAGCAUUCAAGAUGCUGGCAGAUUCACUUGAUUCUUAUUAGUUUGUUUAGUGGCAAAGCAUAUAACCUGUAUUUCAAAGCCAAGUUGUGCUAUUGAUUAUGUUAACUUUAUUGUUAACCUAAAGUGAUAUGGAGGACAUAAUCAAUGUAGGAAAAUUAGGUGAAGAGACGAUGUCAACUCUUGAACCUCUUACAAAGCUCCAAGUUCUUUACUUGAAGAAGCUGCCAAAUUUGAAGAGCGUCUACUGGAAGGCAUUUCCAUUCCCAGAUGUAUGCAGAAUUUUUGUAUUAAUGCCCAGUUCUUAAGAACCUGCCACUGGAUUUUCAAGGGACGGGCCAAGGUAAAAUUCUUAUCAAGGGAAAGGAAGAUUGGUGGAAAGAACUUCAAUGGGAGGAUCAAGCAACUCAGAAUGCAUUGCUUCCAUUUUUCAAAUCAACUGACAAGUGAUUGAAGGGGGCAUCAUCAACAUCAUCAACAGAGAUGGAGAGAUUCUGGAGCAGAUCAGCAGGGUUUGUAUAUGAUCUUUGGUGGUUGCUUUCUUUUGUGAUUUUUUUUUUCUUCCUGUCAUUUUAUCAUUUCUUUGUCUCUUUUUCUAUUGCUGAUGUUAGUGUAUGCUUACUGUUGCUUGACAAAGUUUGCUUGCUUCUUGUUUAUUAAAUUUUUUAUGGUCACAAAAUAUUACUUGUUCUAUUUGAGAGUGAUGUGAAUCAAUUUUCAAUUAUAUAUUUUGUGGUCAAUGUGAAUUCAAUUUCAUUUGUCUCCUGCAAUUAUGAGAAAAUUGCAGAGUCAUAAUAUGGAAAAGAACACCAGCAAAAACUUUGUAAAAGCUUCGGAGUGAAACAGGGAAUUCACUUACUACUAAGAACAAUUGAUGGCGAGCUAUUCCAUUCAUUUUAUGUCCAUCCAUCUAUUUAAUUAUUAAAGAUAAGUGGUCCAUUUAUAAAUUUUAGAUUUUCUCUCUUUGAAAAUAACAAUAUGUAAAAUAUCUCUUAAAUUAUUAUAAAUUUUAAUUUACUCUCGAUUUAAAACGGAACAUGCUGAUGAAAUUUUUUUCUUCUUACUAAAAUUGAAAUAAAUUGUGUUUGCAGUAGUUUGAAAUAUUUUAAAGAUUAUUAUUUUAUAAGGGAGUAAUAUGAAAUGAAAUUUACUUUUCAUGCGUGAAAUGUUGAAAAAGGACAAAGGAAGUGUCCCUGCUUUUAUUUUAUUUCAAAGUGGAGUCAUCUCACAUACUUUAGCUCUAACAUUACAAUUUUUCAGGUUACAUUUUUAUUUAUUUAUUUUCUUUUUUACACAUGCAUGUGGGUUACUUUUCCGUAAGCUCCUUUAUAUAUAUUGAACCCUACGAAGAAUGUUAUGGAAGAGCAAAUGAUAUUUCUGAUAGACUCUAUUUGAUUAUGUAGCCUGAAUGGAUGUCUUGUUGAAAGAUAUUUCAGUGCAUUAGUUCAUCCUUGUCUCUCAAUGUGUUUUUAAUGGUUUUUCCAAUUGUUUAUUAUUAUAGAUUGAUUGUAAAUUGAUAUGAAUUUAAUGUUGAAAUGUUUUCUCUUUAGUGGAAUGAAUUUAAAAGUGCAAAAGAUUAUUGCACACGGAGAAAUAAACAUAUAUGCUUUAUAACUUUAGCAAUCGAUUCUUUUACAGCUGGAAACAGAGAUGAUGAUUAUCAUAAGGAUGAAGAAAAGGACAAAAAUUGUCAAUGAUUAACGAAAUCUCUAUGCAAAUUGAUUUUAGCAGGAAAAAAGUGAGCUAAAUGAUGGAGACGAUUAGUGGUAAUAUUUCAUAGAGUUCCUUCCAAUCUUCUCAUGAAUCCCCUUUUUGAGUUAUAUUUAUUUUAUUUUUAAAAUAUCUUUUUUCUCUUUUACUACACUUCUAAUUUUUCAUUUUUUUUUAUUGUUAAACUCAAAGUAGUAUUGUGAUAUUUUUUAUUUAUUUUGCAAUCUUAUUAUUACUCUACACUUAAGUUAAAAAGUUUUAUAGGUGAUGAAUUUUUGAAUGUUAAUCAUUAGCUUAAAUUUCACAUAUUUUACAUUAUAAUUUGAAAUUUAGUACCAAAAUAUUUAAUCAAUAAGAAUUAUGAAAAGAUUAAUAGAUUAUUCUAAAUUUAUACAACUUAUUUUAGUUAGAUCAGAAGUAGCAGGUUAAAAAAAGAAAAGAUUGGUUAUGAAAUUUGUUGGAAAAAAAUCUAUGUGUGUUUAAUUUUUAUUCGUUGUUAACUCUAAUUAAAUAGGUUAAAUAAUUUUGUUAUUUUUUACUUAUCAAAAAAUUUAAGAUCAAUAUUUUUAGUUACCAUUUGAAGGAUAUUAUGACAAAAACAAAAUUUUCAUGUCUUUGUUAAAAAUUUGGGGGUUUGUAUAACUAUUUUUUCAAAUGUUAGGGGCAUAACUGUCUUUUUACUCUUAUAUAUAUGAACCAUGGUGGUGAAAAAGCGUGAUUUAAUGUUAUUUAUUUAAAUAAUAUCUCAAUUAAAAAUGUAAGCAGAAGAAAUUUUGGUGGGUAUUUUAGUCUUCUAACGAUUAUCAUGAUUAGGCCCUGGUCUUGAAACGUUGGUCAGAAAAAUUUUAAAAUGCGUUCAUUGUCUUUACUUUAAAAACGUUAUUUUAUUUUAUUUUAUUACAAAUUAAUGCCAACAAGAAAAAGCAAGAUCUAAUAUUCCACAAAAGGAAAUCGUAAUAUUCCAUAAAAGCAAAUAACCAGCUGGAUUCUUUUAUUGAACUACAAAUUAAAGUGGAAUCUUUUAUUAAACAACAAAUUAAAGUUCAAAUAUUUAAAUAGUAGUGCGUUAGACGAUUAGGCUCUCUUAUUAAAGGCAAGUAUAAAGUAGUCAAGAAUCGAACAUCUCUAUUGUCUAGUCUUUUUUUUUUAAUUCUUCUUUUAUUAUUUUUCAGAAUAGGUUUUGGUGAUUACUAUUGGGUUAUUAUUCAGAGUUAUUGUUAUCUUCCGGGGCAGUUUCUGUUAAUCGAAAUCGUUAAUUAAAAUUUUAGAACUCUUAUGGGAAGAAUGUUUUUCUGUUAUCUUUUUUAUAUUCUAAUUUCAACUGUAAGGAGUCGUUUUAGAAUUUGGGUCUGGAAUCGAAUUUCAAUGCAUGAAUUAAUAUUUUUAAAAAAAAUUACUACACGCAGUUUAGGUUACAAACUAUUUUUUGCAAAGUUGACUAUGAAAUUGGAGAAAUUAAGUAAUUUAUAAUGUUUGCAAAGGAAGAGACUAACAUACUUCCAAUUACACUAUCUCUCUAUUAUCAUAAUAUUAAGACUAAAGUAACUUUAAAUAAAUUUUAUUUGAAAAGUUAUAUCAAAUGCAGUCUAAUUUUAUUAACUUGAAGAGUUAAUAAUUAUAGAAAUUAUUGUUCUAACUUAAUUAGUACAAGUGGUAUAAAGGUUAAGUGUGCACUAAAUCUGUUUAAAUUUUUUCCAGAAUAACUAACAGAGGUCAUUACUAGAAUUAUAAUUACUAGUCUAUUAGAUAGAAAAAAUUAUUUAUAUUGUUUUAUAUUUAUUAAAAAAUUUUAAAGUCAAUCUUUUUAAUUACUAUUUAAAAAAUAUUAUAAUUAAAAAAAUUUAAUGUCUUUAUUAAAAAUUUAAAAAUUUACAUGACCGUUCUAUAAAUAUUUAAAGUGUAACUGUCAUUUUCUCAUAUAUAUAUAUAUAAAUCACGGUGGUGAAGCUUUAUUUAAUAUUAAUGAUUUAAAUAAUAAUAUCUCAAUUAAAAAUGUACAGAGAAUAAAUUUCGGUGGGUAUAUUAGUCUUUUACAAUUAUCAUGAUUAGCCCUUCCUCUUGUAACGUAGGUCAGAAAAGUUUUAAAAUGCCUUGAUUUCAAUUUCUGCUUUAUAUUUUUCCCCGUAUAAUGGGGAGAGGUCAUUACUAAAAUUUCUCUUCCACAGCAAUUACAGCAGCUUCAGUUAAUCAAACUCAAAUCAAUUUUCUUUCUUAACAAAAUUCCAAAGAUGUGUAGCAUUUUUCAGAUCACAUGCGAUGGUGCUCUUUUCAAUCGUUGCUUGGAUUGCUUUCUCGGAAAAGCAGCAUACAUAAGCAACCUCCAAGAUAAUCUUGAUGCCUUGGACACUGAACUGGGAAGACUAAUCGCAGCAAAGAACGAUGUGAUGAUGAGGGUUGUCAAUGCUGAACGGCAACAAAUGAGAAGGCUGGACGGAGUGCAAGUGUGGGUUUCGAGGGUGGAUGCUGUUAAAACUGGAGCCGAUGAAUUGAUGAGGCACAGCUCUCAAGAAAUUGACAAAUUAUGUGUUGGAGGCUACUGUUCCAAGAACUGCAGGUCAAGCUACAAGUUCGGAAAACAAGUGGCUAAAAAGCUACAAGAUGUGAAGACUUUAAUCGCCGAGGGAGUUUUUGAGGCGGUGGCCACUGAGGUGGUGCCCGAGAGAGCUCCGGAACCUGUAGCAGAUAAAAGACCCAUUGAGCCAACAAUAGUAGGCUUGCAAUCACAGCUUGAAGAAGUUUGGAGAUGUCUUGUAGAAGAAUCAGUGGGAAUCAUUGGCCUAUAUGGUAUGGGCGGUGUUGGUAAAACCACACUAUUGACCCAUAUCAACAAUAAAUUUCUUGAGAGUCCCACAAACUUUGAUUGUGUGAUUUGGGUCGUAGUUUCAAAAGACCUGCGACUUGAAAAAAUUCAAGAAGAUAUUGGGAAGAAGAUAGGUCUAUCUGAUGAUUCAUGGAAGAAUAAAAGUUUUGAAGAGAAAGCUGUGGACAUCCUGCUGAGAUUAGGAGAGAAGAGAUUUGUAUUGUUGUUAGAUGAUUUAUGGGAGCGGGUUGAUUUAACAAAAGUGGGCGUUCCACUUCCCAGCGCACAAAAUACUACCUCAAAAGUCGUAUUCACAACCCGUUCCAUUGGUGUUUGUGGCAGCAUGAGAGCUAGGCCGGUUAAAGUGGCAUGCCUAUCAGAAAAGCAAGCUUGGGAACUGUUCCGCGAAAAUGUUGGGGAAGAAACUCUUGAGAGUGAUCAUGAGAUCGUUGAGCUAGCCCAAACUGUGGCCAAAGAGUGUGGUGGUUUGCCACUCGCACUUAUUACUAUUGGUCGAGCUAUGGCCUACAGAAAGAAAGCGGAGCAGUGGAGACGUGCAAUUGAAGAGUUAAGAAGAUCAGCUUCAGAGUUUGCAGGUUUGGGAAAAGAGGUGUAUCCUCUUUUAAAGUUUAGCUAUGAUAGUUUGCAGAAUGAUACAAUUAGAUCUUGUUUCUUGUAUUGUUGUUUAUAUCCUGAAGAUUAUGGCAUUCUUAAAUGGGACUUAAUUGAUUGUUGGAUUGGUGAGGGAUUUUUGGGGGAAUCUGACAGGUUUGGUGCAGAAAACCAAGGAUAUGACAUUUUGGACACUCUUGUUCGUGCAUGUUUAUUAGAAGAGGUGGAAGAUGAUAAAGUAAAAAUGCAUGAUGUUAUUCGUGAUAUGGCUCUAUGGAUAGCUUGUGAAAUUGAGAAGGAGAAGAGAAACUUUUUGGUUUGUGCAGGUGCUGGAUUAAAAGAGGCACCGGAUGUUAAAGGAUGGGAAAAUGUGAGAAGAUUGUCAUUGAUGCAAAACCAAAUUAAAACUCUGUCAGAGGUUCCUACAUGCCCUCAUCUCCAUACUCUAUUUCUUGACUUUAAUAAGGAGUUGGAGAUGAUCGCGGAUGGCUUCUUCCAAUUUAUGCCUUCUCUCAAAGUUUUGAAGAUGUCAAACUGCUGGAAUUUUCAAUUACCUGUUGGGAUGUCAGAGUUGGGUUCAUCACUAGAACUUCUUGAUAUUUCACAUACCCGAAUACAAGAGUUACCAGAAGAGUUAAAGUUGUUGGUAAAUCUGAAAUGUUUGAAUUUGAGGGGUACAGGCCAGUUAAAUAAAAUUCCACGGCAACUAAUAUCAAAAUUUUCAAGGUUACUUGUGUUGAGAAUGUUGGGUACUGGCCAGUUCAAUUUUCAUGAAGCACCAGAAGACAGCAUUUUAUUUGGUGGGGGCGAAGUUUUGAUACAGGAAUUGCUCGGUUUGAAAUAUUUAGAGGUAUUGGAGUUGACCUUGGGAAGUUAUCAUGCUCUCCAAAUUCUUUUGAACUCAAAUAAGUUAAAAAGUUGUAUUCGAUCCCUUUACCUCGAGUUGUUCACAGAUACAACGUCGAUUAUUGAUGCUACGGCUUUCGCAGAUCUAAACCACCUCAAUAAAUUAUAUAUUUAUAAAGGUUUUGAGUUGGAAGAAAUGAAGAUUGAUUAUAUGGAGAUAGUACGAAAAAGGCGGGAACCUUUUGUUUUCCACGGCCUUCACCGUGUUACUAUGGUUUUAUGCCAUAAAUUGAAAGAUGUGACAUUCCUCGUUUUUGCUCCAAACCUCAAGUCUCUUUUGCUAGUCGAUUGCUAUGCUAUGGAAGAAAUAAUCAGCGUCGGAAAAAUUUCUGAGACUCCUGAGAUGAUGGGACAUAUAAGCCCUUUUGAAAAUCUCCAAAUGCUUGAUUUGUCACGUUUGCCACAUUUGAAGAGCAUCUUCUGGAACCCAUUGCCUUUCACUCAUCUGAAAGAAAUGGCGGUACUUAUGUGCGAUCAGCUUAGAAAGCUUCCACUCGAUUCCAACAGUGCAAAGGAGCGUAAAUUUGUUAUUCGUGGAUACACAGAGUGGUGGAACCGACUUCAAUGGGAGGAUGAAGCCACUCAAAUUGCUUUUCGUUCCUGUUUCCAACCUCGUCCCUGAGCGGUGGUCGCAAAUUUUGAUUUCUGGUGAGUGCGUUCGUCUUUUAAAAGAAGAAUUUAAAAGAAAUUUAUUCUUGUCGUUUUCUUCUCUGUUUUUAUUUCAGUUUGUUUCUCUCUCUCUCUCUCUCUCUGUUUGUCUUCCGUAAAUCACAAUUAAAUGUUGAAUUAAUGGAAUUAAUGCUUCAUAAAUUUGCCGGCACUGCCGUUACUUUACUUUUUGCUGUCAAAUUUUGCCCUUUUUAUUUUUUAACAAGUUGAUACUUUAUUUAUAUCUUCUUAGCGAUUUAAUUUCCUGUCAAAAGACGAACGAGAAGAACAUAUGACUUAAACCAAUGCUCGAAUAAACUUGCUGUAAAAAGAUAUAAUCUCACUGAAAUGCACACGCCUAGAAUGAAUAGAAUUAAAAUAGGGAAAAUAUUAAGUAUAUUAGCCCUCUUUACCGAAAAUCAAAUGACAAUAAAUUUUUUGAAGUUUUGAUUUUCUAUGGUCAAUUCCACCUUUUGCAAUUUCUUCUGUUCUAACAAAAACCAAUUUCUAUGUUCAAGCAUUUUCGUUUGGAUAUUAAUAAUUCUCCACCGAAAGAGUGAACUCUUGGAUGCUGCUGCUCAAGGGAUCUCUAAUCAAUAGCCCGAAGGGCGCCGAGACCUGACCGGACCUACGCCCAAGUUUGGUCUUAAAGCCUGGGCUUGAGCCUGGCAAUUAAAUUAAAACAUUAAUUGAUUUCUUGAUUGAAUUGUCGUGUAAUUGAUUUAUGGGGGAUGACACAUCAACAUACUUGAAAAUACACUAAUCUCAGCAUCAUCGGUUAGUAACUUUUAGAUUUAUGGGUAAUCAAUAGUUAAGAUUAGUUGUCAUUAAUACUAAAUAAUUUUUACUUUUUUUGUCUCUUCUAGAGGAUCUUCUAGAAAAAUGCAUCCACAAGUAAAUUUAAUACUUUACAUAAUAAACAAAGCCUAAAUGUUAAAUUUAAGAAACUGCAUUGCAUUUCAGUUGAAGCUGACUUUAAUAUUUAGGGUAGAAAAAUAAUUAAUUUUAUUUUUUGAAAUGUCCAUAUUCAGAGCAAAUUUCAAAAAGACUCAAUAAUUUCUCAUAAAUUUCAAUUAAAAAUAUUCAAUUUGUUGUUUCAGUUCUUUUAUUUUUUAUUUUUUCCAACAUGAAAGCGACUUAAUGUUACUAAAUUGGUUUUAUGGUCUUUGGAUUUUCAUGACCCAAUAAUUGGAACAAAACAAUUUUCUCAAGCGCUCUCCCGCAACAUUUUAUAAUUGAAGCCGCGGCCCCGCCCGUGGUUCCAAACUUUAUCUUUCUCCCGCUCUUUAAAUUAAUGCGAGCAGCCUCCGUCCUUGACUAGUUGACUGCUUUUGUUCUUUUUUAUUAAUUAAUUAAUUAAUUAAUUAAUUCAGCCGCCCCCCUUUCUUGUCCCAAUGUCUUCUACUUUCGGUUUCCUUUUAUUAUCUCUUUAUUUUUAAAAUAUGCUUAUAGUAAUAAUAAAAUAUAAAAAUUAAAAUUAAAAUUAACAUAUUAAAAUAUAAUUUAUCAGAAAAUUAAGAUAGAGAAAUAUUAUAAGCACAUCAAUCAAAAAGUGAAAAAAAAAAUUUUAAUUUGCAUUAAAUAUAAACUUUCAGUGUUAAUCAAUUUUCUAAAUAACUGAAAUUAUUUUAAAAUAAAAAUAAAUUAUUCUUCCAAGAAAAAAAAUUACACCCACUCACUGGACUGGCUGUCAAGAGUCGCUUUAGGACUGAAGUUGGUAACUUUUGCAAGCAGUCUGAACUUGAAUGGCAGCAACCCACGCUUUCAGAUUUAUGGUUAAUCAAUAGCUGAGAGUUGUUAUCGCUAAGUGCAUCCGUUGCUAAUGUUUUUAAUGUUUUUUUCUCUCUCCUACAGCAUCUUCUAGGAAAGUGCAUCCGUUGCUAAAAUUUAGUAUUGUAAAUAAUAAACCAAGAAUAAAUAUUAAAUCUAAGAAACUGUAUUGCAUUUAAUAUUUAAGGGAGAAAAAGAAUUAUAGUGUCUUUAUUAAUCAGUAAUGAGAAAAGACUAGAGUAAUAAUAAAUUGUAUUGCUAUUAAUGUGUUUAUUUUAUUUUGUACUCAAAAUGAAUUAUUUUAAAUUAUUGAAAUACCUUUAUUGUUAUUCUAAUUAUUAUUAUUAUUAUUAUUAUUCAAUAUUUAUUAUAAUAUUUUAUUAUUAUUAUUAUUAUUAUUCAAUAUUUAUUAUAAUAUUUUUCAUAUUACUAAAAAGUAAUAAUAAUAAUGAUAAUAUUGGAAUUGUUGUUUUUUUAUAUUAUUAUUAUUAUUAUUCAAAACACUUCUUGUCAGCUCAUUCAUACGUGAAGACCAAAACCAAAUCUCUUCUUCUCCUUCUUUUCUUAUAGUGCAGGAUGUGUGUGCUCGGACUUCUCUCUCAUUCUUUUUUCUUUUUAGAUUUUGAAAACCUAAAAAAAAGAGUGUAGGAGUUUUUAUUUUCUUAAAACAAGACUUUUUGAAUUAUCCAAUUGAGUUAAAUUCUGUGGCAACUGGUAUUUACAUUUCUUGUUUAUUUCGCAAGUUAUUAUUGCCUAAUGCUAUGUCAACUCUAACAUUCGCAAUUUUUUUUUUGGUCCUCUUUUAACACCAAACAUUAGUGUAGGUUAAGUAACAUAAUCAGUACUGGGACAAUUUGAAAUCCCUUUGUGGCAGUGACAAUGAGAUCUCAUUUUAACCGAUAAAGUCUUUUGACUCUGUCAACUCAAAAAAAUAGAUUCAAAUGUUUUGUAAUAAAUAAAAAUAUAAUAUUAAAAUAAAUGUGACAAUAUAUAUUUUAAAUAAUUUCAAUACAAAAAACAUUUGAAUGUUUUAUAAUUUAUUAGACAUAUUUUAUUAUAUUAAUAUAAAUUUUCUAAGAAAUAUGGACAUAAUAUUAAAAUAAAUUUAUGAAAAAUUUAAAUUAUUUUGAAUGUAAAAACAUUUUAAUGUUUUAUAAUUUAUUAGACAUAUUUUAUUAUAUUAAUAUAAAUUUUCUAAGAAAUAUGGACAUAAUAUUAAAAUAAAUUUAUGAAAAUUUAAAUCAUUUUGAAUGUAAAAUAAUUUUAAUGUUUUAUAAUUUAUUAGACAUAUUUUAUUAUAUUAAUAUAAAUUUUCUAAGAAAUAUGGACAUAAUAUUAAAAUAAAUUUAUGAAAAUUUAAAUUAUUUUGAAUGUAAAAUAAUAUUAAUAUUAUUAAUCCAUUAGGUAUUAAUUAUAAAAAUUAUUUAACCCAAAGAUUUUUUAUAUCCUUACAAUAAAUAUAAAUAUAUUAUUUACAUUUAAAAAUUUAAAAAUUUAAAAAUAUUUAAAUAAUAUUAAUCUACAAUUAUAUUUUCAUUUAUUAUAAAUAUUUAAAGUCAAAUCUUUUGCACUUCUAUUUUAUUACAAUUAUGGCGCACAAAGAAAGAGCCAUAUAUGAUUUAUAGCGUUAGAAAUUGGUUUAUUUUAAAGCUGGAAACAGAGAGGAUGAUUAGUAUAAGGAUAAAAGAAAAAGGGAUAAAGAAUAUUAAUGAUUAACAAAAUCUCUCUGCAAAUUGAUUGCAGUAGAAAAAAAGUGAGCUGAACAAUCUAGACAUUUAGUGGUAGAGUGAUAUUUCAUUUGUAGCAAAGUACAUCUCAAGGUUAAGGGAAAAGACUUAAGAUCUCGCUUUUGAUUAUAAUACUUUUUUUUAAAGAAAAAAAUUAAUUUUAAUAUUUUAUAAUAAAUAAAAAUAUAAUCUUAAAAUAAAUAUAAUAGUACAUAUUUUAAAAUAAUCUCAUUAUUUAAAAUUGUUUUAAUAUUUUGUAAUUUGCCAGAAAAAUUUUAUUAUUUUCAAGUAAAUUUUAUAAUAAAUACAAACACACUAUUAAGAUAAAUAUAUGAAAAAAUUAAAGUAUUUUGAAUAUUAUACAAAAUAAUUUUAAUAUUGUUAAUAGUGAGAUAAUUCUAUUAAUUUAAAAUGCUACUUAACCUUAAGAUUUAUUUAUGAUAAAUUAAUAAUUACAUUUUUAAAUUAUUUCAAAUAUUAAAAAUAUUUUAAUAUUACUUAUCUAUUAGAUAGACUAAAUUAUUUAAAUUAUUUUGUAUAAAUUAAUUACUAUUUAAAGGAUAUUAUGAUAAAAAGAUCUUAGUGUUUUUAUUAAAAAUUUAAAAUUUACAUGACUAUUUCUUUAAAUAUUUAGGGCAUAUAUGAACCACGGAGGAGAAAAGCUUUAUUUAAUAUUUUAGAAUAGUUUUUGAUCAGUACAAUUGGGUCCUUAUUCAGAAUUAUUGUUCUCUUCCGCAACAGUUUUUGUUUAUCAAAGUCAUCAAUUAAAAUUUUAGAAUUCUUAUCAUCAGAAGUAGUCGUUUUAGAAGUUGGGUCUUGGAUCAAAUUUCUACGAGUGCAUGAAUUAACAAUAAAAAAAUUUCAUUACACACGGUUUAAGCUACAAAACUACUAUUUGCACAGUUGACUAUAAAACUUACCUCCAAUUACACUAAACCUCUCUAUUUGGUAACGUUGAGACUAAAUUAAUUUUAUUAGCAUGAAAAGAUAAUAGAAAUAUAAUUAUAAAUACUAUUGUUGUUAAUCAAUUAGUACAUGUGAUAUAAAGGUUAAAUGUGCACUAUAUUUAAUAAUUAAUUAGUGGAGCAUGUUAAACAAAAUGUUAAUGUAUAUUUAUAUAGUGUUAGGAAUAUGCAAAGUCAAGUCCUCAAUUUGCAUUAUCCUGUAUAGAAUAUUACUCUAAAAAUGUUUUACUAUAAUUGGCUUAGAACAUUUGUAAAGAAAAUAAUAAUAAAAUAAUAAAUAACAUACACCGUCACAUAGCAUCUAGACAAUGAUAGAAAAUUAUUAAAGAGAGUGCAAACAAUUAAUUAGAGAUUUUUAUGAUGACUUUUAAUAUUCAUGAUAAUAACAAAUAAAUACAUGUAUCACUUUUUUAAAAUAUUAAAUUUGACGUGCUCCAUUAAUAAAUUAUUAUUGUAAUUCAGACUCUAUCUAUAUAUCCUUGCACUAAGAAUAAUUAAGGUGGCGUUUGUUUUUUUAACUUAAUGACUUAAAGUGACUUAACUUAAUUAAUUAAGUUAAUUAGAGGUGUUUGUUUUAUAACUUAAUGAGACUUUUUAGAUAAUUUUGACUUAAUAAAAUAAGCUAAUUUUUUUGACUUUUUACUUAAUGGAGAAAUCUGAAUUAAGUCAAUUACUUGCUAAUGUCAAAAAUAUCCUUGUUUUAUAAUUUAUUUUUCAUGUCUAUCCCAAAACUCACCCAUAGAUAUUUACCCCACAUAAAAAUAUCCCUGUUUUUUUCUUUCUUAUAUUAUAUACGAUAAAAUUUGAAAUUUAUAGUAUUUUAUAUAUUAAAAUUCUAAAAUAAUUAUGUAUUCACUUGAAUAUAGUUUUACUUAUAAAUGUUAAAAUAUGAUGGUAUUUAAUAUAUUAUUUAUUUGACAUUCAAAUUUAAUAAGGAUACAAAUGUAAAAGUACAUAUUUUCAGCUUUUUAAGUUGAAAAAAAACAACUUAAUACUUAUUUUCUGAGAUUCAGACGAAAAAAUAAACAUAUUAUUCAGAUUCAGACAUUCAGACCUAUUCAGAAUUCAAACUAAUUCAAAUCUAUUUAAAUUUUAGACAAAAAAAUAAACGCCACCUAAAUCAUAAUAAAAAUUUUCAUAACUACAUCUCGUUUCUUCCUCAUAAUAAUAAUUAGAUUGGUUCGAAUAUUAUAACAGAUUUAGUGUAUAGCCACAUCCAAUUUAAAUAUUGACCCAAUUGGGAUGGUCCCCAAAAAAAAAGAUUCGUUAAAGGAUAAUUCUAAUUAUUUUCACUUCUCAAACGUUAGUGGGACGUUUCUAUUAGCGCACUCGUAAGCCAAGUUGUCAAAUAUUUAUAUUAAACUACAAUUGCUGACAAGAAAAAUCAAGAUCGUGUUGCGCAAGUGGGUCCCGAAUAGGACGUGCCUAAAUCUCUCGUAAGCCAAGUUGUCAAAUGUUUAUAUUAAACUAACAAUUGCUGACUAGAAAAAUCAAGAUCGUAUUAAAAGUGGGUCCCGAAUAGAACGAGACUAAAUCUUUUUAAGAAUAUUAUCAUUUUAUUGAUAUACCAUGUCAGUAUUAAAAUUUAUUAAAAAAUAUAUUUUAUUAUUAAAAUUUUAUAUUGUUAUCAAUUCACUAUCAUAUUAUUUCGUUAAGAAAAAAUUAAUAUUUAACGAAAAUUGAGAUAAAAAUUAAUUUUUGUUCUCUGUCUUUAUUUAUUUAUUUAUUUAUUUGGAUCUUCUGCAAAUCACAAUCAAAUGUUGAAUUAUAAAUUUGCCGGCAUUCCUUUUUUUGUUUUUUUUGGGCCGGGGGUGGUGUUGAAUUGAUGCUCUGAUUUUUGACUUUUUGUUGUCAAAUUUUACUCUGUUUUUUCAAAUUGAUGCUAGAAUAUUUGAAUCAAAUUAAUGCUCUAGUAAAUUUGUCCAGUUGCCGUAAAAAGAUAUAAUUACACUGAAAUGCACACCUAUGGAAUGAAUAGAAUUAAACAGAGAAAACAUUAAGUAUAAUAGCUGUCUUCACAGAAAAUCAUAUGAAAAUAAAUUUUUGAAGUUUUUGUUUUUCCGUGGUCAAUCAUACCCUUUAUAAUUUCUUCUGUUCUAACUACAAUAAAAUUUUUGGUCCAAGGAUUUUUAUUAGGGGUAUUAAUAAGAGUCCACCAAAAGAGUGAACACUUGGAUGCUGCUUGAAGGGUCUCUAAUCAAUAGCUGGAAGCAAUUGAGAAGGCGGUUGCUACUGUGAAUUCAAAUGUAAAAUAUUUGCUAUUCUUCGAUUUGGUUCAUGAUUUCGUAUGAAUAUCGUUGUUCCGUUGAGUUGCAUGCGAAUUCAAAUGCAAAAUAUUCUUCGAUUUUCAAUUUUGAAAUCAAAUUUUUUUUCCUUCUCAAGCAUGUUAUGCAGAAACGAUUUUUACUAAAUCAUUUUUGACAAACUAUUUAAAUUAAACCACUGGAAUAAGAAUUGUAAGGAUUUAUCGUAAGCUUACUAAUACGAUAAUUCUGAAACUAUCACCUUUUUUUUUUUUUUUGAUUUGUUGCAGGGAAACCCAAAUUUUGUAUUUUGUCAGUUUCAUCUGAUAUGGAAUUUAUUUCCUCCCUAAAGAUUUAUCAAACUGCUUCUCUUCCGUGCUUCAAAUAUCUUUAUGCAAUUACGAUCUCAUAGGAAAAGAGAGUUUGGGUUGUAUUUAUUAUAGUAUUUAUUUUUUAUUUUUUGUUAAAAGAAAUUUAUUUUAAAAUAGUUUAUAGCAACAGUUUUUAUUGAACAAUAAUGAGGAAGGAUUAUUAUAGGUUCAAAUAGUUGUUAGAACAUUAUAAAAAAGUCCAUUUACUAUCAAAUGUUUUAAAUUGGUGCAACCUGAUAGUUGUCUCAUAUAAUUUUUUUAGGGUAAAAACUCGUUUAAUUCCUAUAUUUUAAGAUUAGUACUCAUUUAGUCCUUAUAUUUUUAAAAAUGUCUCAAAACAUUCAUACCCUUAAAUUAUUAACAUCUCUGCUGUUACUUUUUAUUUCUUUUGACUUAUUUUUACAAUAUUGCUCUCUUACAAUAAUGUUUCUUUUUAUAAAAUUAAUAAAAAAAAAUUAAAUUAUCAAUUUAACCCCAAAAAUAAAAUAAAAAUAAAAAGAAUAAAUAUUAAUUUUUGUGAAAGCUUACAUGUGUCCAAAAUAAAUUUUAUUGUAAAAAUAAUUAAAUUGCCUUUUUUUUGGACAUUAGUAAUAAAAAAAUUAAUAUAUUAAUUCCUCAGCAGUGUGUUACAAAAAGUAAAAUAUAUUAAUUUUGUUUUUAUUUUAGACAAUGAGAUAGAGAAAAGUACAAGAUAAAGGAAAGGACUUCAAAACUCACUGUUCAUCAUAAUGCCCUUUGUCUUUAAAAAAAAAAUCAUUCUAAUAUUUUAUAACACAUAAAAUAUAAUCCUAAGAUAAAUAUAAUAAUACAUAUUUUUAACUAAUCUCGAUAUUUAAAAUAUGUUUUAAUAUUUUAUAAUCUAUCAGACAUAUUUUAUUAUAUUAAAGUAAAAUUUAUAAUAAAUACAAACAUAUUAUUAAAAUAAAUAUAUAAAAAAUAUUUAUUUUUUAUAUGUUUACACUGAGGACUCUCUUUAAUUCAUUUAUUUUCUCUCUCUCCAAACAGGUACUGUCUUCAGAUAGCAAUGCUAUGAUAGUAAUCCAAUUCUCUUCUCCCCCACCUGAGCGAGAUUUGAAUUUGAAUCCCUUGUUUUUCACCCACUCUGUUUUUUUUCACGCAAGAUUUGACAAUUUGAGUUAAAAAAUAUGGUCCAAAACUUGAACACGUAUCUUUUAAUUGUAAUAAAAGUUCUUUAAGCUUUGGAGAUGGCAUAUAUAUGGCUGGAAGUGUCCUUUUCUUUGACCUAGAGGCAGCACCAAGCUAUCCAGCAUCAUCAUUUUUCAAGUGGGUCUUAAAUGCCUAGAAACGUUGGUGUUUCUUGAUUUAAAGAUGACACAUGCUAUAAGUGUGAAUGGUUUGGCUAAGCCUAAAUUUAAAGUCUACUCAAGUCGCAUUCAGGAUCAUGGAAAUUGGAAAGGGAGAGAUGAUAGCAAGAUUUAUAAUAAACAAUUAACUUGGGUCCUCAGUGUACAAAGCAAAUGCCACGCAAGCGAUAGCCGGCCCGGCCCAGAAAACCCAGUGGCCAUCCCAGAGAUGGCCUCCUCUAACGAGUGCUGGGCCCAAACAUCUUGCCGGGUUGAACCCAGCUCCGGCAUAGCCCUUUUGAGCAGUAACAGUUGUCGAGACAAAAACCAGAAGACCCAACACUGUUCCAAUGACAAUGCAUACGGUAACUCUGCCAAGAGCCUUGGCUUGUCUGGAGUCAAAAGCCAUCCACACAGAAGCAAAAAGGAACACAAACGAGCAAAUUAUCUCAAGCCAAAGGGCCUGCCUAGUCCCCAAGCCGAUCUCAAUAGGCCCAUCUGGCCCAGGUACCACAACAUUCAGGCUGCAGCCUCCAAGUUGUCAAAUAUUUAUAUUAAACUACAAUUGCUGACUAGAAAAAUCAAGAUCGUAUUACAAGUGGGUCCCGAAUUGGACGUGCCUAAAUCUUUUUAUAAUUUUCCCAGUGUAGCGGACACAGGUCAUUACUAAAUUUCUCUUCCACACGCCACAGCAGCUUCGGUUAAUCAAACUCAAUCAAUUUUCUUGGCUUCUCCGCUUAUCAAUAUUACAAGGUAUGGGUAGCAUUUUUCAAAUCACAUGCGCUGGUACUAUUUUCAAUCGUUGCUUAGAUUGCUUUCUUGGAAAAGCAGCAUACAUAAGUAACCUCCAAUUUAAUCUCGUUGCCUUGGAGACUGAACUAAGGAAACUAAUCGCAGCAAAGAACGAUGUGAUGACGGCGGUUGUCAAUGCUGAACGGCAACAAAUGAGAAGGCUGGACCAAGUGCAAGUGUGGGUUUCGAGGGCGGAUGCUGUUAAAACUGUUGAAAAAUUAUGUCUUAGAGGGUUCUGUUCCAGGAACUGCACGUCAAGCUACAAGUUCGGAAAACAAGUGGCUAAAAAGCUACGAGCUGUGGAGACUUUAAUCGCCGAAGGAGUUUUUGAGGCGGUGGCUACGGAGGUGGUGCCUGAGAGAGCUCCAGAGCCUGUAGCAGAUGAAAGACCUACCGGGCGAACAGUAGUAGGCUUGCAAUCACAACUUGAACAAGUCUGGAGAUGUCUUGCAGAAGAAUCAGCGGGAAUCAUUGGCCUAUAUGGUAUGGGCGGUGUUGGUAAAACUACACUAUUGACCCAUAUCAACAAUAAAUUUCUCGAGAGUCCAACCAACUUGAUUGUGUGAUUUGGGUAGUAGUUUCAAAAGACAUGCGACUUGAAAAAAUUCAAGAAGAUAUUGGGAAAAAGAUAGGUUUGGUUAGUGAUUCAUGGAAGAGUAGAAGUGUAGAGGAGAAAGCUCUCGACAUCUUCCGGAGUUUAAGAGAGAAGAGAAUUGUAUUGCUGUUAGAUGAUAAAUGGGAGCGGGUUGAUUUAACAAAAGUGGGCGUUCCACUUCCCGGACCACAAAAUACUACCCCAAAAGUCGUAUUCACAACCCGUUUGAUCGAUGUUUGUGGUAGCAUGGAAGCUGACAGGAAGUUCAAAGUAGCAUGCUUAUCAGAAAAGGCUGUUUCGAAAAAAAGUUGGGGAAGAAACUCUUGGAAGUCAUCAUGAUAUCGUUGAGCUAGCCCAAACUGUGGCCAAAGAGUGUGGUGGUUUGCCACUCGCACUUAUUACUAUCGGUCGAGCUAUGGCCUACAAAAAGACAGCCGAAGAGUGGAGAUACGCAGUUGAAGUUCUAAGAAGAUCAGCUUCGGAAUUUGCUGGUUUGGGAAAAGAGGUGUAUCCUCUUUUAAAGUUUAGCUAUGAUAGUUUGCAGAAUAAGACGAUUAGAUCUUGUUUCUUAUAUUGUUGUUUAUAUCCUGAAGAUUAUGGCAUUCGUAAAUGGGACUUGAUUGACUGUUGGAUUGGUGAGGGAUUCUUAGAGGAAUCUGACAGGUUUGGUGCAGAAAACCAAGGAUACUACAUUGUGGGCACUCUUGUUCAUGCGUGUUUACUAGAAGAGCUAGAAGAUGAUAAAGUAAAAAUGCAUGACGUUGUUCGUGAUAUGGCUCUAUCUAUAGCUUGUGAAAUUGAGAAGGAGAAGAGAAACUUUUUGGUUUGUGCAGGUGCGGGACUAAAGGAGGCACCUGAUGUUAAAAGAUGGGAAAAUGUGAGAAGAUUGUCAUUGAUGCAAAACCAAAUUGAAACUCUGUCAGAGGUUCCUGCAUGCCCUCAUCUCCAUACUCUAUUUCUUGCCUCUAAUAAUAGUUUGCAGAGGAUCACCGCUGGUUUCUUCCAAUUUAUGCCUUCUCUCAAAGUUUUCAAGAUGUCAAACUUCUGGAAUUUAAUUUUGGAAUUACCUCAAUGAAUUAUUGAUUUUUAAAGGUUUUUGAUGGUUGUCGAAGCCAACAAAAAUAAAUACAUACUCUAAAUAAAUUGUGUAUAGUGAUUGAGCAGGGUCAUGUCCACAGAGAUCGGUAAUUAUUUAAAUCCUUUUAAAACGUAAAACAUAAAAUGGGGGUUUUGUUGACAAUAAUAAAAAUCAAAUUAAAAUAAUAAGAAUGCAAAUUAAAGUUGUAAUUCAAAUUGGAGAAAGCUCUGGUUGAAGGAAUUAAUUCAACUUGAUUCGACUACUGAUCAUUGAUUCAAAUAUAGAUUAUUAUUACUUAUGAAUAGACCAGUUAUAGCUACCGAGAUCCUCUAAUAGCCAAUCUCUCCUUAACUAGUCGAUAACUAAGGUACGACCGUUGGCUAUUUCCCUAAUCAAUAGACAACCCUAGAUACGAUCAUAUGAUUUAAUCAAUUGACAGCCUGAAAGACCAGAGAGACCCAAAUCCUAAUCAACACAUAUGAUGAUUCAUUUAAAUUAGAUUGUUUAUUCUCAUAACACAACUCACUGCUAUGUUAUUUGUCACAAACAUUAAAAUCUUCAUACGAUGAAUCCUUUAAUUAACAAUAGAUUAAGUUGAUAAUUAAAUAGUGGCCAAUUACCUAAUUAACAAACAUAAUCAUGAAACUAAUUCAGAGAAUAAACAAAUACCCAAAGAGUAAUAAAACAAUUAAAGCAUAAGAAAGAUCUCACAGUAGUGAUGAAUCAAAGCUUCAUUAUCCUUCAACCAAAAAAAUAAGUUUAGUUCUUCAUAGAGAGAAGAUAAAAAUUAGAUGUAGGGUUUCUUUCUUUUACUCCAAUUCCAAAAUUCUCUUUUUCACAAUAGAUUCCUCCUUAAAUACCCUCUCUCUCUCUCUCUUCUCUUUUAGAGUUCUAUUUAAAAUAAAAUAAUAAUAUUUGAAAUAUUAAAUUCUUAAUUACAAAAAUAACAAAAAAUACAAAACACGUUAAACUCAAAACUGCAGGUUCGCAGUUGACAGCACGCGCCCACGCCUUAUCAACAAAGUUCUUCUGCCGCUCAUAAUUUCUCCAAGAGAACAAUCAUCCUUAAACAUCAUCUUGUAACUCAAUUUUAUCACUAAUCAAUAGAAUUGCACCUACAAAAGUAAAACACAAGUAAAUCACUAUUAUUAAGUGCAAAACAUCGAUAUUAAGAGAAGUAAACAAUGCAAAACUAGUGCAUAAAUUGCACUCUAACAAAUUCCCCCACACCAAGAUGAUGCUUGUCCUCAAGCAUAUAACUCAAGAUAAAUCUCAAAUCUCCACUCAAUUCUCAUCUCAACUUAUCCAAAAACAAUUUUAAGCAAGCAUACCUUAAGAAAUUAAGUCGAUCAACAUUCGAGAGACAAGGAUUUUAAAGCAUAGAAUUUCAUAAGAUAGAAUAAGAACAUUCAACCACUAAGAAGAUCCAUUCAAAAUUCAAGUGCAACAAGAUUUAAUAGCCCUCUCAAUAACUUCACUCCAUGCACUCAAAGUGUUUAGGGUGUCAUUUAUUCACUCAAAUCAAAUCAAAGAAUGCUAUUACCAUAAGCUUGCUCAUAUAUCACAUUUCAAUCCACAAAACAUGAAUAAAAUGCAAAAAUCUAAGGGUCUUAAAAGGGUUGUAAUGGGGUUAAAUAGGUUAAAUGAAAAAGAAAGGUUUACGAAAGAAAAAGAGAUCAAAAUGAGAAGAAUGAACUCAUUGAAUGAACUUAUGAUAUCAAAAUGCUUAUUUCUACUCAAGUCACCAAGAAUGUAAACUUUUUUUUUUCGAUUUUUCUUUUUUUCUUUUUUUUUUCCCUUUUUUUUUCUUUUUCCUUCUUUUUUGUUUUUUGUUUUUUUUUUAAUCAAACAAAAGAAACGAACCUUGCACAAUUUAAUUCAAGCAUAAUGCUUGUUGAUCUAAUUGAGAAACUUUAAUACAAGGUAGAAAAAGCAACAAAAUAUAUCCACACAAUGAGUCCAAAAAUCUCCUUAAAUUGAGGCUCAAAAAAAAGAAAAAUGGUUAAGUAGACGAAGAGAAUUAGAUGGGUAAUGGUUAAGGUUCAAACAAAGGUAGCAAAUAAAGGUCUUCGGGUAGAGAAAAAGGAAAAUGCGAGAAUAGAAAAAUGGUAAAUGGUUUGCCCUUAUCAUUUUAAUGCAUAAAAUCCCGAAAUGUGGCUUCAACAUGCAUAACAAAGCAAGUUCUAGAAUAAACAAACUAGGAUUGAUAUUCACAUAACAAAAAUAAUUAGAGCAAAGUGGUUGAUCAUAGGCUCAAAUCCUCACAAAGUUGGUAAAUUUGCCAUCAAAUCAUGUACACUCUUCAAAUGAAUCAAUCAUCAAUAGUGGUGUAGAAUGAGAAGAAGGUAUGAGUGAGAAAUAAAAGGAAAAGUAAAAAGGAUAAUAAGCGAGAAAGAUGUAUGUAGUAAAAAAAAAUGAAAGAUAAAAUGUGAGUGAUGAAAGAGUAUGAUAGAGAAAAAAAAAUAGAUGUAAAUAAUUUGAGAUAGAUGGGAAAAAAGUAGUGAGAGAGAAAGGAAAAGAAAAUUAAUAAUAUAUGAAGCAUGCUAACUCCAAAAUCAUUUAAGGAUGAGUAGAGUGAAAAUAGAUGAGCAGAGUGAAAAUAAUAAUUCCAGACAUCAAUAAUAGUGAAAAUAGAUGAGCAGAGUGAAAAUAAUAAUUCCAGACAUCAAUAAUGCAAAAAUCCCUCCCCCACACCAAGAACUUACAUUGUCCCCAAUGUAAGAUAAUCAAAGCUCACAUAAAAAUUAAAGCGUAAGGAUAAAAGAUUGAAGGCAAAAAAAAAAAAAAAAAAAAAAACUUCCCUGAAUUGUGAGCUUUGAUCCACAUAACGUCUAUGAGCUUGGCGGAAAUGGUGGGGUAAAUCCCACACUCUCGAAGUAUACGGCCAAAUUCUGCUCCAUCUUGUUCAGCUUGUGCUCCAUUUUCUCUAACUGAAUGCUCAAAGGUGGUGCGGAUGUAGAAGGAAUAGUUGGCGGGGCAGCAGUGCCGUCGUCAAACUCGUCAUCAGAGGUAGCACCACUCCUAGCAUAAAGCUUCUUCGGAGGUUGAGUGGGUCCUGGUUCAGUAAACUGAAAUCUCCCCUCCUUGAAUUCGACCACACCUGUUCUUUCAAACACAGACAUAUCCAAAAAUUCCUUUUUGCAAGCAGGAUGCAAAUCAUUAUUGUCGAGAUCAAGCACACAUAGGUUUAUACCUAACAGAGUAAUGUAUGGACCAAGCAAUAAAGUCCUAUACCGUUUAAGCACACUUUGAAAUUGAUCCGCUAACCAAAAACCUAAAUUAGGCCUCACAUCAUUUAACAUGCACCAGAUAAAAUAAAAUUCAGUUUUAGAGAAAAUUCCUGAAUGAUCUUUCUUGCCUAAAAAAUUAAAUAUUAAGAAUCGAUGCACACAUUUCAAAACAGGAUCACGUAAGAAAGAACUCUUUGAUUUACUCGGGUCAUAGGCAUUGUGAUCAACAGAUAAAUUACGCCAAAGACCAUAAGUCUCAAAAUUUUCGCUAAAGUCACAAGUUGUUCCUAAAUAUUCAUCACUAGUAGAAUAAUCAUCAUCAAUGAAUCCUAAAGUUAGGUUAAAAUCCGUGAUAGAGUGUGAAAAAUUUCGUCCCGUUAACCUAAACUUAAUGACAUCCGGGGUAUGCAAAGUAAAAUCAUUCGGCAUAGUAAAUUGAAAAGUAGCAUAAAACUCCCUAAUCAACUCAACAUAACCCAAGCAAUCAACAUCAACAAACUUACGCAACCCAAUCUUAUCUAUCAAAGAAUCAAAAUUAUUCUUAACAUUCAAUUUUUCAAGAGUCGGGUAAUGAAUAUACUUAGCUGGAAGUAUUUUACGCGUGGAAAUAUCUUUGUACCUCUCUUUCUCUUGUUGAGUCGCGAAUGCGAGGCACCCUCCGAGAUUGGAUUCCGCAAGUGGCAAAACACUCAUGCCUUUUCCAUGCUUUGAUCUUUGUCUCACGGCUUGGCGUGAAUCUGAAAUUAUGUUCCAUGGAACCGUAGUGGGAGCGGCAAUCUUAGAUUUCUUUGCGACGGGUGUCUUUUUCGAUGACUUGGAAGUAGAUGCUUUCCUCUUCGGCAUUGUUACAAUAAUUGCACUCACGGAUUUCGAUUUACCCGGCUGGAAUACAGGGUGUAGGCUGGUUGCGUUGCGUUGUUGCUCGGCUGGAGCUUGCUGAGCGGCUUGGGGCUGGUUGCGAACUGCUGGUUGCGUGCGGUUGCUGUUUGCAUGGAUGUGUUGCGCGCGAGAGCUGGUUCGCGUUGCUGGUUCGUUGCACUACGGGACUAUUGCGCGCGAGAGCUGCUUCGCGUUUUUGCGGCUGCUUCGUGGGCUGUUGGUGCUGCGAGACACGAAAUGGUGGUGCUGCGCGGGCGGGGUGGUGCUCGAUACUGGUGCUGCGCGCUCGGGGUGGUGUGUUUUCCGGCGGGCUAGUGUGCUGCUGGUGUGCUGCAAGCGGCUGGAGAAGAAAACAAGUUCUGGAAAAUUAGAGAUUUUGUGAACAGUAAAUUUUUUUUUUGAACAGUGAUUUUUUUGAAUUUUUUUAAUAAAUAAAUAUAUAAAUAUAUAAAAGAAAGAACAAAAGAAAAUCUCUUUUUUUUUUAAUAAAUAAAUAGAAAAAAAAUAAUUUUUUUUUUGUAGUGAUGAAUCACUUUGAGACACCAAAAAUUUUAGAAGUACUUUUUUAAUAAGCACGUGGGCACGCCUUAAAACUAUUUUACUUUAAAAAUUACAAAAGUACUUUUUUAAUAAGCACGUGGGCACGCCUUAUCAAAAAUUUUCUUCUGACCAAAAUAAGCAAACACAUUAAAUUUUUUUUUUUGAAUCAAAACUAAAAGAAGAUAAAACAAAAACCAAAAUAAACAAAUCAUUUGGGUUGCCUCCCAAAAAGCGCCUUUGUUUUAUGUCUUUGGCUAGACACAUUUAUGUAUCAAUCUCCAUAAUUGGGACUCUCGAGAGCCACAUCCUCCACAAUAUUCACCGAAAAACCUUCAUAAAAAGAUUUUAAGCGAUGGCCAUUAACCUUAAAACCUUUGUCAGAGGUCGGACUCCGAAUCUCAACUGCACCAUGAGGAAAAACAUUAGUAACAAUAAAAGGUCCAACCCAGCAAGAACGUAAUUUACCUGGAAAAAGUUUAAGCUUAGAAUGAAAAAGAAGAACUUUUUGACCAACAGAGAACUCCUUUCUCAAAAUCAUUCUAUCAUGAAAUGUCUUCGUCUUUUCCUUGUAAAAAACUUCCUGCGCUAUAGGGUUAAUAACAUCCACAGAAAAUACCGAAUGUUCCUCACUAGGAUAUUUCAUGGCAUCAUUCAUAUUGAAUUCUAUAACCUCUCCAUCAAACUCCAUAGUGAGAGUCCCUUUAUGUACAUCCAUUUUAGUCCUAGCAGUCUUAAGAAAAGGUCUUCCUAGCAAAAUUGGGACAGAAUUAGAGGAGUUAUCCUCUUCCAUAUCAAGUACAUAAAAAUCAGCAGGAAAAACUAACUCAUUAACUUGUACUAAGACAUCUUCUAAUACCCCAUCAGGAUAUGCAUUAGACCUAUCAGCUAGUUGAAUUAUCAUGCCAGUUUCUUUUAAUGGGCCAACAUUCAAAGAUGAAUAAAUGGAACGAGGCAUGACAUUAAUAGAAGCUCCUAGAUCUAGCAUAGCCUUUUCAGCUCUGACAUUACCAAUUUUGCAAGGGAUAGUAAACAUACCUGGAUCCUUGCACUUAGGAGGUAGUUUCUUUUGAAGAACUGCUGAAACAUUCUCCCCCAUGUGAACUUUUUCAUCUCCUCUUAAUUUUCUCUUAGAGGUGCACAGUUCCUUAAGGACUUUAGCAUACUGAGGUAUUUGUUUUAUAGCAUCUAAUAAAGGAAUAUUUACCUCAACCUUGCGAAAUGUCUCAAGGAUGUCUUUCUCUUGUUCCUCCUUCUUGGAUUUUGCAAACCGGCUUGGAAAAGGAGGAGGUAGCACAAUAGGUAGGGGUUUCGCUCUGGUGGGUUCCGCAUCUUGAGAUUUAGGCAUCAAUUCAUUCUUCUCAAGCUCAUCUUCUACAUGCUUUGUCACUUUCUUACUAGGCUCUUGCAACUCCUUCCCACUUCUAAGGAUGACAGCACUAACGUUUUGCUUUGGAUUCACCUCAGAUUGUGAAGGCAAUCUCCCUAAUGAUUGAGACUCCAGAUGGCUCACUAUAGUCGCCAAUUGACUCAUUUGAUCCUCCAAAUUCUGAAUACUUGCUGUAGUUGCCUGCUGAAAUUGUUGAGUGUUAGUCGCAAGUGAUUUAACAAUUUCUUCAAGAGAUAUACUUGACUUGGAGUUUGACUGUGGAGGUUCUGGUUGUCUUGGGGGAUACUGUUGUGGGAAUCCUGACGGGCUAACUCCAUAGCUGAAGUUGGGGUAAUCCUUCCAUCCCGGAUUGUAUGUUUGUGCAUAAGGAUCAUACCUCCUCUGAGGCAUGCCUGGAAAUCCUCCAACUGCAUUGGCUUGUUCAACGAGUUCUUCUUGAAGUGUAGGACACAUAUCAGUUGAAUGACCCAUAUUGUAACAAAUGCCACAAGUCUUCACCUCAUUCACCUUCCUUGGAGUGGGAUCUUGCCUGCUGCCAAAUUGUUAUGCAUUGGCAGCCAUAUUAGAGAUCAACUCCCUUGCUUGAGUAGGGGUCUUGUUCACCAACACACCUCCACUAGCAGCAUCUAUCAUACUCCUCAUAUCCAUCAAUGACAGUCCUUCGUAAAAAUAUUGAAUAAGAAGUUGAUCAGAAAUCUGAUGCUGAGGACAGCUGGCACACAAUUGUUUGAAUCGCUCUCAAUACUCAUACAAAGUCUCCCCAAGAAGUUGUCUGAUCCCACAAAUGUCUUUUCUGAUGUUAGCAGCUCUUGAAGCAGGAAAGUACUUCUCGAGGAACUGCUUCUUCAAACCAUUCCACGUUGUAAUUGAUCCAGGAGGCAAGUAGUACAACCAGUCUUUAGCUAGUCCAUCUAAAGAGAAAGGAAAAGCACGCAGCUUAAUCUGCUCUUCAGUCACGCCUUGUGGUCUCAUACUUGAACACACAGCAUGAAACUCCUUAAGAUGUUUAUGAGGAUCUUCACCUGCAAAACCAUGAAACUUGGGUAACAAAUAAAUGAGACCAGACUUUAAUUCAAAAUUUGCCUCUAAGUCUAUAAUUCAAAAUUUGCCUCUAAGUCUACAUAUUGAAUGCAGAGUGGUUGUUGAUUCAAGUCUGGUUCAGCUAACUCUCUAAGAGUGCUUUCUGUAGGUGCAGCUCUAUCCAUCACUUGUUCUUCCGAAUCGCUAGAUGAUUCAACUAAAUCAGGCACCGUAUCUGUUUCAGAAAGCAAAGGUGACGAGGAUCGUUGCUUAGCUCGCUUCGUCUGCUGUCUCAGCUGGCGAGCCGUCUUCUCAAUUUCAGGAUCAAACGAAAGUGUACCUGUAUGAGAAAAACGAACCAUACACCAAGUAAAACGUAAAAAGGAUUAAAUAAAUGACACCAAUCCCCGGCAACGACGCCAAAAUUUGAUGGUUGUCAAAGCCAACAAAAAUAAAUGCCUACUCUAAAUAAAUUAUGUAUAGUGAUUGAGCAGGGUCGUGUCCACAGAGAUCGGUAAUUAUUUAAAUCAUUUUAAAACGUAAAACAUAAAAUGGGGAUUUUGUUGACAAUAAUAAAAAUCAAAUUAAAAUAACAAGAAUGCAAAUUAAAGUUGCAAUUCAAAUUGGAGAAAGCUCUGGUUGAAGGAAUUAAUUCAGCUUGAUUCGAUUACUGAUCAUUGAUUCAAAUAUAGAUUAUUAUUACUUAUGAAUAGACCAGUUAUAGCUACUGAGACCCUCUAAUAGCCAAUCUCUCCUUAACUAGUCGAUAACCAAGGUACGACCGUUGGCUAUUUCCCUAAUCAAUAGACAACCCUAGAUACGAUCAUAGGAUUUAAUCAAUUGACAGUCUGAAAGACCAGAGAGGCCCAAAUCCUAAUCAACACAUAUGAUGAUUCAUUUAAAUUAGAUUGUUUAUUCUCAUAACACAACUCACUGCUAUGUUAUUUGUCACAAACAUUAAAAUCUUCAUACGAUGAAUCCUUUAAUUAACAAUAGAUUAAGUUGAUAAUUAAAUAGUGGCCAAUUACCUAAUUAACAAACAUAAUCAUGAAACUAAUUCAGAGAAUAAACAAAUACCCAAAGAGUAAUAAAACAAUUAAAGCAUAAGAAAGAUCUCACAGUAGUGAUGAAUCAAAGCUUCAUUAUCCUUCAACCAGAAAAAUAAGUUUAGUUCUUCAUAGAGAGAAGAUAAAAAUUAGAUAUAGGGUUUCUUUCUUUUACUCCAAUUCCAAAAUUCUAUUUUUUACAAUAGAUUCCUCCUUAAGUACCCUCUCUCUCUUCUCUUUUAGAGUUCUAUUUAAAAUAAAAUACUAAUAUCUGAAAUAUUAAAUUCGUAAUUACAAAAAUAAUCAAAAAUACAAAACACGUUAAACUCAAAACUGCAGGUUCGCAGUUGACAGCACGCGCCCACGCCUUAUCAACAAAGUUCUUCUGCCGCUCAUAAUUUCUCCAAGAGAACAAUCAUCCUUAAACAUCAUCUUGUAACUCAAUUUUAUCACUAAUCAAUAGAAUUGCACCUACAAAAGUAAAACACAAGUAAAUCACUAUUAUUAAGUGCAAAACAUCGAUAUUAAGAAAAGUAAACAAUGCAAAACUAGUGCAUAAAUUGCACUCUCACAGUUUUGAGUUGGAAGAAUUGAAGAUUAAUUAUACAGAGAUAGUACGAAAAAGGCGGGAACCUUUUGUUUUCCGCAGCCUUCACUGUGUUACCAUAGAUUCGUGCCUUAAAUUGAAAGAUUUGACAUUCCUCGUUUUUGCUCCAAACCUCAAGUCUCUUUCUUGCCGUGCUAUGGAAGAAAUAAUCUGCGUUGGAAAAUUUGCUGAGGUUCCUGAGAUGAUGGGACAUAUAAGCCGUUUUGAAAAUCUCCGAAGUCUUCGUUUGUCACAUUUGCCAAAUUUGAAGAGCAUCUACUGGAAGCCAUUGCCUUUCACUCAUCUCAAAGAAAUGACGGUACAUGGGUGUAAUCAGCUUAAAAAGCUUCCACUCGAUUCCAACAGUGCAAAAGAGCGUAAAUUUGUUAUUCGUGGACAAGCAGACUGGUGGAACCGACUUCAAUGGGAGGAUGAAGCCACUCAAAUUGCUUUUAGUUCCUGUUUCCAACCUUAACUUGAUUUCUGGUUAGUGCCGUUUCCUUAACUUUUACAUAUAUUCUCGUCGUUUGCUUCGUUCAAAAUACUAGGUCUUUUGUUCUCUGUUUUUAUUUCGCCAAUUUUUUUUUUUUGUCUUCUGCAAAUGACGGACAAAUGUUGAACUAAAAGGAAUUAAUGCUUUAUAACUUUGCCGGCAUUGCUUUCUUCUUUUUCUUUUUUGUUUUUUUGGGGCGAGGGGGGAUCGAAUUGAUGCUCUGGUUUUUGACUUUUUGUUGUCAAAUUUUACUCUGUUUUUUUCAAAUUGAUGCUUGAAUAUUUGAAUCAAAUUAAUGCUCACGUAAAUUUGUUCAGUUGCCGUAAAAGGAUAUAAGAAAUACACAACUCUAGAAUGAAUAGAAUUAAACAGAGAAAAUAUUGAGUAUAUUAGCCGUCUUCACAUAAAAUCAUAUGAAAAAUAAAUUUUGAAGUUUUGAUUUUCUAUGGUUAAUCAUACCCUUUAUAAUUUCUUCUGUUCUAACUACAAUAAAAUUUUUAGUUCAAGGAUUUUUAUUAGGGGUAUUAAUAAUAGUCCACCAAAAGAGUGAACAGUUGGAUGCUGCCCUAAGGGUCUCCAAUCAAUAGCUGGAAGCAAUUGAGAAGGCGGUCGUUACUGUGUACAAAGCCAUGCAGUAUUUGCUAUUCAUCUUAGUAAUUAUGAAGCUUUGGUAAAAUUUUCAAACAAAGUUGACAUGUUAUUUUGAGAUUUGGUUCAUGAUUUUGUAUGAAUAUCGUUGUUCCAUUGAGUUGUAUAUGAAUUCAAAUGUAAAAUAUUCUUUGGUUUUCAAUUUUGAAUUCAAUUUCAUUUUCUUAAGCAUGUUGUGCAGAAAUGAUUUCUACUAAAUCAUUUUUGAUAAACUAUUUAAAUUAAACAACUGGGAUAAGAACUGUAAGGAUUUAUCGUAAGCAGACUAAUAUGAUAAUUCUGAAACUAUCAUUUUUUUUUUCAAUUUGUUGCAGGGAAAGCCAAAUUUUGUGUUUUUCAGUUUUAUCUGAUAUGGAAUUUAUUUCCUCUACACUAGCUACCUAAAGAUUUAUCAAAUUGCUUCUCUUCCCUGCUUCAAAUUAAUAUCUUUAUGCAACUACAAUCUCAUAGGAAAAGACAGUUUGGGUUGUAUUUAUUAUAGUUGUUUUUUUCGUUAAGAGCAAUUUAUUUUAAAAUCGUUUAGUAGUAACAGUUUUUAUUGAAUAAUAAUGGGGAAGGAUUAUUAUAAGUUCAAAUAGUUGUUAGAACAUUAUAAAAAAUUCAUUUACUAUCAAAUGUUUUAAAUUGGUGCAACAUGAUAAUUGUCCCACAUAAUUUUUAGUAAUAUAUAUGGCCCAUAAAUUUAAUAUGAAUAAAUGAGUUUCGAUAGUUAAAUUUGACACGAUUAUUAAAUAAGUUAUAUCCAUGUCAAUUCGACUUAAAAUCUGGUCAAAUUUAGAUUUAGAGUUUAUAACAUGAUAACUUGUUUUAUGACAUGAUUUACUAAUCAAUUAAUAUUAAAUUAUAUUUUAGCCAAUCAGAUAUGUGGUACAUUUGUCAAAUUUUAAAAAUUAUUUAUUUAUAUAUGAAAUAAAUUUGACUAGACUGUGUGUAGGUAAUAGUGCAUAAUUUCUAAAAAAAUGUAAUAAUAACACGUUAAAAUGUUAUUUUUAUGAAGAAAAAUUGAAAUUUUAUUAAAUAGGCGACACAAUAAUAAAUGGGGUGAGAUUAUUUACACUUUAAGAAUUACUUUGAACAUUAUUUUAUUUUAUAAAUUUUAUAUUACAAAAACACCCAUAGUUUAAUUUACCAUUAAGAACAAUUUUGUGCGAUUAAAUAAAAUACAUUACUCUUUACCCUUUCACUACAUCGACAUAAAUCCUAAUUUUUAUGUUUCUAAUUUCUUUGAUAUGCUUAUUGAAGUCCACAUUAUAAUCAAUUUUAAACUAUUAUACCACUUAAAUACAUUUUAGAAUGAGAAGUUUGGUUUUCUUCAUGGUCUGCCUUGCUGAUGCUGUUCUUGAAACUAUCGAACUUAAUAAUUUUAUGGCCAAAAUGAUAUAUGUUGAACCAGCUUUUACAUCGAAUUCUACCACCAUAAAAAAUCAUACUUGUAAUAUCUCAAGGUUCCAAUUUAUCAAAAGUUAAUAUUUCAUAUUUGUUAGUUCCUAACAGUCACAAGAGCGUACAAGCCAAUUUUUGUAGCUCCUUUUUCUGCAGUAGAUUCAAGUAUAUUAUUAUCAAGCAUUUUUGUUACACCCUUAAUUCCUUAUCAUCAUCCCUUCAUUCAGAGCAACUAAACAGAGGUCAAUGUCAUUAUGUUAGAGUUACGAGGAAGAGUACUGCCAAAAAAGUUCUUUGUAUGGGAUUUAAUUUUCUGGGUUUGUAGUGAUGAACAAAUUGAGGGUUGUUUUGGUAUUUUCAAGAGUGUAUUGAGUGAAAAUUAUUUUUAAAAAAUUUAACAAAUGAGUGUAAUGAGUAAAAAAGUGUUUAAAGUAUUUUUUAGAGUACAAAUAGCUCCAUCUUAAUAAAUGAGUUCUUGUAAAAAUUGAGAUUAUUGAUAUAAUUAUUAAAUAGGUUGGAUUGAAAUUAGUUUAAUUUUGACAAGAUAAUAAGACGACGCGACACAAAUACAACCAACCAGUCAACCCCAAUUGCAACCUUUUACUAAUAAAAGAUACCUGUUUGAAAAGUAAUUAUAAGCUAUCUUCUUUGUGUUAUUUCUCUAAAAAUUUGCGGCACAAAUGUUAUUUCCAUGGAGAAAAGUACGAAAUACCCGCUUUCACUUCAGCAGAAGCAAAGCAAAGCUAUGAGCCAUCUCUGUAUAAUUGAAACGCCAUUGCUAAACGGUUCUUGAUGAUGGGUGCCACCGUGCCAGCGUUGUCGCUGAUUUGCAUGAUUUAUUAGUUGUUCAGAUGGCGGAUUUUGUACUCUCACUUUCAUUUCAUUCUUGAGAGCCACGUACAAUACUAGGUGGCAUUGAAGUUGCCCCAGUGGUUAGUUUUCUGAUUUUUUUUAAUUCAAAUUUUUAUGUUUUAGAAAAAUGUAAGAAAAAUGUAGAAAUGUUGACAGCUACAAUUUUGAAACUUUGCCUAAAAUUAUUAUCGUUACUUAUUGUUUCUUAGCUAAAGAGAAAUCCUAGAAACAUGAAAUUAUUAUUCUAUGCUUGUUUUAAUAUUAUACAUUAGCAGGUUAAUUAAAAAUUAGACGUGAAUACAACAAGAGAUAAGUGGAGAGAAUUUGGUAGUCGACUGCAUUUAGAAUUUAAUUUUUCUUUUAGCUGCCGAUCAUUAAAUUUUAUAUUUCAGAAAAUUAUACCUAGAAUAUUUCAAGGAUAUACUACGAAGAUUAUGAAGGUUUGAUUACAUGUCACUAUCAAUUGCCUCAAUCAUUUGUAGUAAAUUAAUUAAUCAUUUUGCUGCAAAUGAUUUCCUAUUAAAAAAUUCAAGUCAGAGCUGAAUUGCACAGUAGUUAGUCGUACUUGCAAUUCAAAUUAAGUAUUGUAUUUUCUGCCUGAUUUGGUUGAUUCAACUAUGUGCAUUUGCAUAAUGGAGAUGCUUAUGAACGUUGUAGUAUAGAAAUCGAAACGUCUUGUCUUUUGCUAAGCCCAGAAGCAAAGUUCUUUGUAUUAUACUCAUCAGUUUUCUUCGUUCUCUUCGUUGAAAUUUUAUCCAAACAGCGGUUUCUUCGAAUUUUUGCCUUCUCUUACAUUUUUAAAUCUAUCAAAGAACGGUUACCUGAGAAGAUUGCCAUCAGGUAUUUCGAAAUUGAUUUCAAUACAAUACCUUAAUCUAUCAGAUGCUCCCGUCACUCAGUUGCCAAAAGUGACAAAAGCCUUAGUAAAUUUUUAGAGUAAAAGCUCAUUUUAGUCAUUGUAUUUUAAAAUUAAUAUCUAUUUAGUCCUUAUAUUUUGAAAAAUACCUUGAAACAUCCAUGCCGUUAAAGUAUUGAUACCCUUACCGUUACUUUUUAUUUAUUUUGGCUUAUUUUUACAAUAUUACCCUUUAAUAAUAUUUUUUUGUUUGGACAUUAAUAAAAAUAAAAUAAUUAAAUUACCAAUUUAAUCCUAAAAAAUAAAAAUAAAAAUUUAUAUUAAUUUUUAAUUGUCAAAAAUUGUAUGCAAACUACCAAGUGUGCAAACGGUGCUUGCAAAAAAAUUAAUAUAAUUUUUUUUUAAUUUUUAGGGUUAAAUUAGUAAUUUAAUUAUUUUCUUUUUAUUAAUGUCCAAAAAAUUAGUAAUUUAAUUAUUUUCUUUUUAUUAAUGUCCAAAAAUUAUUAUAAAAGGGUAAUAUUGUAAAAGUAAGCUAAAAGAAAUGAAAAGUAACGGUAGGGGUAUCAAUACUUUAACGGUAGGGAUGUUUCAAAGAGUAAAUGGACACUAAUAUUAAAAUACAAGGACUAAAUAUGUUUUUACCCUAAAUCUUUAAGUGUUUGAAUUGGAGUACAUAAAUUAUCUCUCUACAAUUCAAAAACAACAGAUUUGUUACUUUUCAACGCUACAGGUUCCGCGAAUAUUCAGUUGUGGUUAUCUUGUUGAAACACCAGAAAAUAGCGUUCUAUUUGGUGGUAAUGAAUUCUUGGUUGGGGAGUUACUUAGUUUAAAACAUUUAAAUGUAUUAAGCAUCGCCUUAAAAGGUUUUUCUACCGUCCAAAAACUUAUGAGCUCCCAAAAGUUUCAAAGUUGUACAAAAUGUUUGGAGCUUAUAGACAGUGAUGAUUCAAAGUCGUUUGCCUUGGCAGAGUUGAAGCAUCUUGAAAAACUAGGUAUUUCAAAUUGUGGAAAUUUGGAAGAGUUUAAGUUCUGCUGUGUCGAAGUUGGAAAAGCUCGAGAAGAUUUUUGUUUGAACAGCCUUCACCAAGUUAAGAUAAAGGCUUGUCAUAAAUUGAGGGAAGUGACAUGGCUUGUGUUUGUACCAAAUCUCAAGGUUAUUCAGAUAGAAAAAUGUAUGGAGAUGGAAGCUGUUGGGAAAGAGACUACCACAAGCAGCUACAAAUUAAGCGAAUAUAAAAUUCUUUCCCUCUUUGUGUGAUUAAAAUAGGAUGUGUACUACAAACAAAUAAGCAGAAAAAUAAACCAAUAAAUCCAAAGCAAAAACCAAUCACAAGAGACACCGAUUUUUACGUGGAAAAUCUAAAUUGGGAAAAAUUACGGGAUAGUAGUCUGAUAUAAACUUCCACUAUAUUAAUGAGAUUACAACACAAAUUCUUCUCCAGAUAACACUAGAGGCUAACAAUAUUAAAAUUCUCAACAAUCUUGGUUUACAAUAAUAGAUCUAAAAUCUAUUUCUUCAAUAAGUGAGUAUCUCAAAUAAUAGCUACUGAGAGAAUAAAAUACAGAUCAACACCAGUAGAAAUAUAGAGGGCAAUGUCAGGAACUUACCCUCCAAAUUUAGGAGUAAUUAGAGCUAAAAUUACCUUUUGAUUGUUGAAUUAAAGAUUGAAAACCCAAAAAAAAAAAUCUCUUUCUCUCGCAGUGUCUUCUCACUUUCGCGAAAUGGCUACAGCUCUCGCGAUUCUUCACUUAUUUCCUUAGUUAAUUUCAUCCAAUUCCAAAAUUUUACAAUAAUUACACAUCAAGCAAAUUAUUUUGGACUUUAAACUUUUUGGUCCACUGAAGUGAGAUGGACCCUACAAAUCUCCCCCUCCAUCUCAUCUUAGGGGCACCACCAAGCCCGCUCUCUGCUUACAGCUUUCCAGCUUGUCCUUGGGUAAUGACUUUGUCUCAAGCUGCAACUGUUUCUACUCAAGCACGUCUUGUAUCCAAUGAUACUUCAUAUCAAUAUGCUUCGAUUUCAAAUGAUAUGUUGAAUUCUUUGCCAAGUGGAUGACACUUUGACUGUCACAGUACACAACAUAACUAUCUUGAUUAACACCUAGUUCUUGUAGAAAAUUCUUCAUCCACAAGGUUUCUUUGUAACUUUCGGUCAUUGCAAUAUACUCUGCUUCUGUAGUAGACAAAGCAACACACUGCUAAAGUCUGGACUGCCAUGAAACUGCUCCCCCUACAAAGGUGAGCAAAUAUCCUGAUAGGGACUUUCUAGAAUCAACAUCUCCUGCCAUAUCUGCAUCCGUAUCUACUUGUAAUAUAGGUUUGUCACCACCAAAACAUAAACAUGCCUUGGAAGUGCCUCUGAGAUAUAUGACAAUCUACUUUACUGUUGACCAGUGUUUUUUACCCGGAUUAGAGGGAAACCAGUUGACUACCAACUGUUGAAGCGUACCUCAAACUACCAACUGUUGAAGCAUAAGGAACUCUUCUUAUCUCUUGCUUCUCUUUCUCACUUGUGGGACAAUGCUCGAAACUAAGCUUGAAAUGACCUGCAAGUGGAAAAUAAACAUAUUUUGCUUUGUCCAUAUUAAAUCUUUUAAGAACCUUUUCAACAUAUGCUUCCUGAGAUAACCAUAAAUUCCCAGUUUUUCUGUCACGAGAAAUCUUCAUGCCAAGAAUUUGUUUCGCCGAUCCCAAGUCCUUCAUUGCAAAAGACUUGCUAAGCUCUCUCUUCAAAUUGUCAAUCUUACUAGUAUCCUUGCCAACAAUCAACAUGUCAUCCACAUAAAGUAAAAGAAUAAUAAAAUCAUUAUCACUAAACUUUUUCACAAACAUACAAUGAUCACACAUUGUCUUGCAAAAGCCAUGAUUCUCCAUAAAAGAAUCAAACUUCUUAUACCACUGUCGUGGUGCCUGUUUCAGCCCAUAUAAAGUUUUUUUCAAUUUGCACACAAGUUCUUCUUUACUUUUGACACUGAACCCUUCAGGUUGUUCUAUGUAUAUUUCCUCCUCUGAGUCAUCGUGUAAGAAAGUAGUCUUUACAUCGAACUGUUCAAUUUCCAAAUCCAAGCUAACUGCUAAUCCCAGAGGUGCUUGCUCCACUGGUUCUGCUGGACCAUUAUUAUUAUCCUCUCCAGCUCCCCUAUGAUCAACAUGAACAACAUGUGGAGAAACCGAAGUUGGAAUAAUAGGAAUCUCUGGAGAUGGUUGAGACUUAUCGUUUUUUUUUCAUCACCAACUAUUUAAUCUUUAAGAAACACAACAUCUCUACUUCUGAUUAGUUUUCUUGCCACUGGAUCCCAUAAUCUGUACCCAAAUUCUUCAUGUCCAUAGCUUAAGAAAAUACAUUUCUUGGCUUUAUCAUCAAGCUUCGAUUUCUCAUCUUUAGGGAUAUGAACAUACACUCUGCACUCAAACACCCUCAAGUGUUUAUAAGAAACAUCUUUCCCAAUCCAAACUCUUUUAGGUACAUCGUCAUCUAAUGGAGCUUAAGGAGAAAGGCUAAUCAAAUCAACUACAGUACGCAUAGCCUUCGCUCAGAAGGAUUUAUGAAGCUUGGCCUCAGAAAACAUACAUCUGACUAUCUUUUCAAUUGUUCUGUUCAUCAUUUCUUCAACACCACUCUGCUGAGGGGUUUUUGGUACAGUUUUCUUAAGUCUGAUUCCAUGAGAUCUGCAAUACUGCUCAAAUGGUCCUCUAUACCCACCAUCAUUUUCUGCCCUGACACAUUUCAAUUUUUUUCUUGUCCCUCUCUCAACAUAAGCAUAAAAGAAUUUAAACAUAUUAAGCACGAAAGAAUUUAAACAUAUCAAGCACUUAAUCUUUAGAUUUUAAAGCAAAAAGUCCAUACUUUUCUAGAACAAUCAUCAAUAAAAGUCACAAAAUAAAGUGCACCUCCUAUUGAUCUAUUUUGCAUCAUGCAAAUAUCAAUGUGAAUCAAAUCAAGGAUUUGUGAUUUCUAGAUGGAGAAAAGCUUUUAAAAGUUACUUUAUGUGUCUUUCUAGCUAAACACUAAACACAAGUCUUGAGGGACAUACCUACAAAGCUGGGUAGAAAUCCUUUUUUGGCAAGAGUUUCUAACCCUUUCUCACCAAUGUGACCAAGCCUUUUAUGCCAUGUCUCAAUGUCAGAAUUGUUUACAGCCACAUUCAUAUAUUCUUUCUUGAUUUUGGCUUCUAUUACGUAGAGGGUGUUCAUUUUCUUUUCUUUAGCCAACACUAGAGAGCCUUUGGUGAGCUUUCAUUUUCCUUCACCAAAUUAGUUAGUAUAACUAUCAUCAUCAAUUUUUCUUGUGGAGAUCAAAUUAAGACGAAUAUCUAGUACAUGCAAGUUUGCCUGUGGAGAUCAAAUUAAGGCGAAUAUCUAGUACAUGUCUGACAUCUUUAAGGAGUAGCUUACAGCCAACACUGGUUUUCAAGCAAAUAUCUCUUAUGCCCACAAUCUUGGAUGCCCCCUCAUUUCCCAUCCGAACAUGGUCAUAAUCACCAUUAACAUAGGAUGUGAAGUAAUCACGAUGUGCAGUAACCACGAUGUGCAGUAACAUGAAACGAAGCACCUGAAUCAAUCACCCAAUUACUGGUAUGGCAAGUGAGAUUUAUAGAGCUAUCAUUCUAAGCAAUGCCCAUAUCACCAUUAAUUACGACUGCAACAUUCUCUUUGUCGUUUUUCUGACCAUCGCCUUUUUCUUUCGCAUGUUCUCUUUUCCACAAUCUACACUACCUUUUUACAUGGCCCAUUUUCUGACAAUGAAAGCACUUAGCUUCUCCUAUGGGACUUAGAUCUUCCUCCAGGGUUAUCAUUAUUCUGAUGACGGAAAUUUCUGCUUUGACUUCUCCCCCGUCUUUCUUGGUUUUCUGAAACAAGUGUAGCUGACUCAGAGGGAACUACUUUAGCAUUCUUUCUUCGAGAUUCUUCAUUCCGCAGUCUAUCUGUAACCAUAUCCAAGUUUAAUUUACCAUUCGAUGCCGAAUUAUUCACUGACACCACUAAUGUCUCCCAACUAUCAGGUAAAGAACUAAGCAACAACAAUGCUUGUAACUCGUCAUCUAGAAUAAUCUUCAUAGUAGUCAACUGAUCAACCAAACCCUGAAACUCACUAGUGUGUUCAGUUAUACUGUGGCCUUUUUUAUAUUUCAAGUUAACAAGCUUUUUCAUCAGAUUGACUUUAUUUUGUGUUGUUGGCUGCUCAUAAAUUAUUUCUAAUUUUCUCCAAAGAACAUCAGCCUUGGAUUCCUUCGCGACAUGAUGGUACACACUCUGAUCAAUCCAUGACCUAAUAGUGCCCACGACUUUCUGGUUCAAUUGAGCCCAUUUCUUAUCAUCUAUAUCAGCAGGUUUAACUUCAUCACCUUCAAUAGGUUCAUGUAAGUCUUUCAUGUAGAGCAAAUAUUCCAUUCUAGACUUCCAAAUAUCAUAAUUCCACGACUCAAUUUAAUCAUGAACACCAAAGACUCCUCUAUUUCAACCACACAAGUAAUAAAACUCUUUCCCUCUUUGUGUGAUUAAAAUAGGAUGUGCACCAUAAACAAAUAAGCAGAAAAAUAAACCAAUAAAUUCAAAGCAAAAAUCAAUCACAAGAGACACUGAUUUUAACGUGGAAAAUUCAAAUCGGGAAAAACCACGGGACAAUAGUCUGAUAUAAACUUCCACUAUAUUAAUGGGAUUACAGUACAAAUUCUUCUCCAGAUAACACUAGAGGCUAACAACAUCAAGAUUUUCAACAAUCUUGGCUUACAAUAAUAGAUCUAAAAUAUAUUUCUUCAAUAAGUGAGUAUCUCCAAUAACAGCUAAUGAGAGAAUAAAAUACAGAUCAACACCAGUAGAAAUGUAGAGGGCGAUGUCAGGAACUUACCCUCCAAAUUUGGGAGAAAUCAAAGCUAAAAUUAUUUUUCGAUCGUUGAAUCAAAGAUUGAAAACCCAAAGAAAAAUAAUAUCUCUUUCUCUCGCAACGUCUUCUCACUUUCGCGAAAUGGGUACAGCUCUCGCGAUUAUUCACUUAUUUCCUUUAUAUAUUUUUUUGGUUAAUUUCAUCCAAGUCCAAAAUUUUGCAAUAAUUACACAUCAAGCAAAUUAUUUUGGACUUUGGGCUUUUGGUCUACCGAAGUGAGAUGUACCCUACAGAAGCAAUAAUCAGUGCAAGAAAAUUGGGUGAAGUUCAAGAGAUGAUGGCAGAUCUAAACCCUUUUGUAAAACUCCAAUAUAUUGGCCUCUGAAUUCUACCAAAAUUAAAAAAGCGUCUAUUGGAAUGUGUUGCCCUCUCCACAUGUCAGGAAAAUUUUUGUAUCUGAAUGCCCAAUUCUCAUUAGGGGAGAGGAACACUGGUGGAAUGAGCUGCAAUGGGAGGAUGAAGCAACCUAUAAUGCUUUUCUUCCUUGUUUUGGAUCCAUUUGACGGGCAUCAACAUGGAUUAAUAUUUUGCAGCGGACCAAUUUGAAUAAAACUUACGGUAAGUGCUUUUCCAUUUAUUGCAUAUUUAUAUCUAAUUUUUGUUUUCCUUUAUGGUUAAAUUUUGCCCUGUAUAUGUUGUUGUACGGUGACAUUCUUGAAUCAAUUAUUAACUUUUUUAAUUCUCGUCUCACAACCACCCUUCUGAUCAUGAGGAUAUGCCGAUAUCAAAGAGUCGUAAUUUGGGAUACAAAUGUAAGAAUUAGGCAGAUGACAUGUUGUUUCAAAGCUUUCGAAGAAGGACUAAAUAUGUAUUGAAAGCCUCCAAUUUUGCGACUGAUUUUUUUUUAAUUUGUUAUUUUUAUGGGUGGCAAAAAUACCCGUCCGAUCUGGACCCGGCCGAUUUGGGCCGGGUACGGGGUAUGAAGCCGGGUUGGUCUUGAGCAUCACUUGAAACUUGGAACUUGGAUUUUAUUAAAAAAUAUUAUAAAUAUAUAUUAUUUUAAAUAUUUAUAUUUAUUAGACUCAUCUAUUACAUAUAUGUAAAAUUUUAAACAUUUAAAGUUUAUAUUUUCAUGUCUAAUUUCAUUGAAAUAAAUUUAAAAAUUAUAAAAUUACCAAUAUAUAUAUAUAUAUAAUAUUAAAAAAGUAUAAAAUCUGAGUACUCAGAUUAAAACCCGGUUCAAGUGUCUAAAAAAUACAUGUGGACCGAGUCCGAACAUUGCGAUACCCAGACCCAAACUUGGGUUUUGCCAACCCUAGUCUUUUAAAUUGCUUGAUUGUUAGUUGUCGUAAUGUAAUGUUUUAGUAUAGAAAAAUGAUAGCCAAGACAACAAUAAGAGGGCACAUUGUGCAUGCACAAUAGUGGAUAAUUUCGGCAUUCCGAAUCCAAUUAGGGUGGAUAACCUUUUAUUAGUAUUAACCUUCUCUCGUACUCGAGUAAUGUAAAAUAUGCUUAGAAGCUGUGGAUCCCCCUUUAUAAGUGUUAGGCUUCUGCCAAACUCGAUUGAUGUGGGAUGCCUUUAUAGGCAUCAAGUUUUCUCCCAUACACUUUACGUUAAAAAUAAUAAUGAUAAAAUAAAUCCAUUUUAAAAUAGACUCAUUUUUCUUUUCUAUAUAAACAAACUCAUUCUUCAAAUCAGUUGUGGGUAGAAGGAGCUGAGUAGAGAAGAACUGGGCCCCUUUCGUUCCCCUAAAAACCUCACCAAACCUCUCUUGUAAGCUUCUCAGUGUCCCUCUCAAUAUUUCUUAUGAUCUCAUUUUUGAUUGAAUCACUUCUUUUGCGUGCUGCAUUUUUGUGUGUCGUAUUUAGGUUUAUCUUAUCUGGAAUCCUAUUGUGAUUGAUGGAACAAGUAAUCAAUUUUUAGUUUAUUUGGAAUGGAACUAUGGUUUAUUUGGAAUGGAACUAUCUGGGUGUAACGGAUUAAAUUAUGACAUUGGGGAGAAGGCACUAAGGGGUUUGCUUGACACAUUUGGUUUUGUGUUUACUCUGAAAGAAAUAGCUUUUGCUUAUCGCAAUGCAGUGCGAAAUCCCGAUUUGGGUGGUGAAUUUCUCUAUCCCAAUUAGGCUGGUGAAUUUCUCUGUGACAAAUAGGCAAACACCUCAACCUCUUCUAUCCAUCUUCUACUAGUGAGGCAAGGGAUAAAAAGUCUUCAAAAUCAUCAAAUAGUAACAUCUUCGAGAAUUCAUUUUAUGCAAAUGGAAAAUCUAGACCUUCUAAGACAAAAUGGCGUCCAGUAUCAGGAGGUACCGUUUCAAGUUUUCUUGGUAAAAAUUAUGUAAACCUGCACAGCCAGCUAACGGCACUUUUCUAGUUUUCUGGCAUCAAAACCAUUGAAGUCGUAUCCAAAGGAGUUUCCCAUGUCUGCACUUUGUGGAGAAGAAACUAAACAAAAACAAUCAAAGGAUGACCAUUUGCAGAAGGAUGCGGAAGAUUUUCUGUUUAAAUUGCUAGGAGAAGUGUUCCAGCUGAAUAGGGAUGUGAUUCGGGAAGUUCCAGUAAUGUCUUAAAUAUGUUGAUGCCAAUUUAAUACAUAUUGUCAUUUUCGAUGUUCUUUCUUUCUUUAUCUUCUUUUCUUCUUCUUCUUAUUCUUUUUCUUUUCGUGUGCAUGUGAUCACUAAUUUGUUAUUAUACUUAACUUGCAGGUAGUUGUGGAUAUGAUAUGCAAAAGGUAAGGACCGUAUCUUCCUGAUAGAGGCCUCUGCUUUUUCCCUUUUAUGUAAUUUAGUAAAUCUCAUCUCCCUUUGUGAUUGUUAUAUCAUAUCAAAGUCAAGUCUUAAAUACUACUGUCAUAUGUUAAGGUUCAACUUGCAUUUUGAUUAACAUCCAUUUGCUGCCGCUUCCAAAAGUGAGAAUGAGAUACUUCGGUUAAUUUCAGUAGUUCAACCCAAUAGAGUACUUUAUCUAGAUCUUCAUGGUUCAAAGGCCUGAAAAAACUUGCCCGUGAUUGUAAAAUGAUAUUCUGUGCUUUUAAUGCAUAGAGGGAACAGGGUGUCAAAGGAAUUAGCAGAUUCUAUGGCAGAUUCUAUGCCUAUACAGCUGUAACAAUUAUCUUUAUGAUUGUAAAUCUUAUAUGUUUUCCUUAUUUAGGAUAUACUAGCUGUAGGCUAUUUUAGAUAGUUAUGUAUAUGAUAGUUUAGCUAUGUUUAGGGCUAAACAUAAGCUUGUAUUCAUAGUAUAUAAAGGGAAUUCUCCUCCAAGAGAAAGCAUAACUUUUGCUCAAAAUUCUCUGAGUUUAUCAUGGUAUCAGAGCCUCAGUUCUGAAUUCUCUUCUUCCUAGUUCAUUCCCUUGUUUUUAGUUAUUCUUUUUUUUAUCAAGUUAUCUCAGCCUCAUGUCUUCAGACAAGUAUGAUGCUUUUUUUAUCCGUUUUAAUGGCACAAAGUACUCAGCCUGGGCAUUCCAUUUCGAGAUAUUUGUCAAAGGCAAAGAUCUAUGGGGACAAGUUGAUGGCAGAAAACCUGCCCCUGACAAAGAGAUAAACCAAGAUGGGCACGCCAAGUGGGAAGUCAAGGAUGCUCAAAUCAUGGCAUGGAUUCUAGGAUCUGUGGAAUCCAACUUCAUCUUGAAUCUUCGACCCUUCAAGACUGCAGCAGGAAUGUGGAAUCAUCUAAAGAAACUCUACAGUCACACCAACACUGCUCGUCGAUUUCAGCUUGAACAUGAGCUAGCCAAUCUCCAACAAGGCAGUCUCUCUAUUUCUGAUUUAUCUCCAACAAGGUAGUCUCUCUAUUUCUGAUUUUUAUUCUAUCUUCAUGAUUCUUUGGGCUGAAUAUACUAAUAUAAUCUAUGCUACCUUACCUCCCGAAGGUCUUAGUUCUAUUCAAUCUGUACAUGAAACUACUAAGAGGGAUCAGUUUAUGAUGAAACUGAGAUAUGAAUUUGAAAGCACUAGGUCCAAUCUUAUGAACCGAGAAUCUGUCCCUUCUUUGGAUACAUGCCUCAAUGACUUAUUUCGUGAGGAGCAACGACUUCUUACUCAAAACACCAUGGAACAAAAAAAAUCCACUUCUGUUCCUAUGGCUUAUGCAGCUCAAGGCAAGCUAAAAGGUAGGGACAUAAGUACAGUUCAAUGUUUUUGUUGCAAAGGAUUUGGACAUUACGCUUCAAAUUGUUCAAAAAAAUUCUGCAACUACUGCAAAAAAGAUGGACAUAUCAUUAAGGAAUUCCUUACUCGACCCCCCAAGAAAUCUGAAACAAUAUAUGCUACCUCAGUUGGUUCUUCUAGUGCUGGUAGUUCUGUGGAUACAGCACAUUCAACCCAAAGUGCUCCUGCUCCUGUUCAAUCUGUGACCCCAGAAAUAAUUCAACAAAUGAUCAUUACUGCAUUCUCCUCAUUAGGACUCUCAGGUAAAUCACCCACUACAUCUCCUUUGUACUUUGAUUCUGGGGCUUCCCAUCACAUGACAAACAAUGCUAAAUUCUUCACCAAUGUAAGUAAAUACCUUGGAAAUCUAAAAAUUCAUACAGCUGAUGGCAACUCUUUACCUAUCACAACCACUAGUGAUGUUUCUUCUUCUAUAACCAAUGUCUUUGUCUCUCCUGGUCUUACCACUAAUCUUGUUUCAGUCGGUCAGUUAGUUGACAAUAAUUGUAAAGUAGAAUUCUCUAAAUCUGGUUGUGUUGUGCAGGAUCAGUAGUCAAGGAAGAUGAUUGCCAGGGGGCCUAAAAUAGGACGUCUUUUCCCUCUCCAAUUUGCUAAGUCUCCAUGUUUCUCUUUGCCUGUCAUCACUUGCAAUUUUGCUAAUGUUAAUUAUCGAUCAUGGCAUAAACGUCUAGGACACCCAAACUCUAAUGUACUUUAUGCUUUGCUAAAUUCUAGUUUACUUGGGAAUAAAAGAUCACCAUCCCUUAGUGUUGUUCAAUUUGAUUGCAAUUCUUGCAAGCUUGGAAAAAGUAAAAUUCUGCCAUUUCCCACUCACACACCGAAUGUUGUCCAGCCUUUUGAUUUGAUACAUAGUGAUGUGUGGGGUAUGGUGCCUGUUACUAGGGAUGGCAAGAUAAUCCGGACCCGGACCGGACCCGCACGAACCCGGAUGAUCCGGACCGGGUUGAACCCGCACCGGAUGUAUAUUUUAUCCGGAUCCAGUUUUAAUUUUCUUAAACUCGGACUUAUCCGGGUUCGGUUCCGGGUUCACCUGAACUCGGAUUUUCGAAACCCGGACCCGAAUUUUUUGUUUUAAAUAUUAUUUAAUUAAUUUUUUAAAUUAUUAUUUAUAAGUAUAAAAGCAAAAAAAAAAUGAGAAACAAAACAAACCCUACAUUUCCUACGGCAGUCGCUUCCUCAUGUUCAUUCCCCAGAAUUCAGCAAAUAAAUUCAAAAUCAACGUGGCCUCGAUUCUUUCGACUGAGCAAUCAAAGAAUUGGUUAAAGCUGAUUGAAAACAUUGAUUUGACUGUACCUCUUUGAUUGCUUAUUCUUCUCAUGUCUUUGACCUUCUCGAAAUCAAAUGAGUUUUUUUAUUAGCCCAAGUCCUAUCGUUGAAGUUUAGCUCAUAUCCUGGUGAAGAAGAGGUCCUAGGUUUGGUUCGAAGAUUUCUCUCUCUCAGUAGUCGGUUCAUCAUCAUCCAUCAAUCAUCAGCAUCACAACAUCGCGACGGUGGCCGCACUUUUCUGCAAGUUUCAAUUUCUACCUUAUGUGUUAAAAUUAGAUUUAUUCUGAGAUUUGGGCUCAAGGAAUCAUGUGGCUUUCUUUGUUUCUUUAAUUUUCCCAUCUUCCUCAUCCUCCACUAUCUUCGCAAGAUCCCAUGAGUUCUAUUUGUUUCUGCAAUUACCAAAGAGUCAAAAUUGGCAUGCUUGAAUUUUUUUUUUAUUUUAGGCAUAUAUUCGGGUUUAAAACCCGCAUUCCGGAAACCCGGACUUUUCCGGGUUCAACCAGGACCGGACCUGGAGCUAAAAAAAUCCAGGUUAUAUGCAGGUCCGCUAAUUAAAAUUGAUCAUCCGGGUCCGGAACCGGAAAGACUAAACCCGGACCCGGACCCGGAUUUUGCCAUCCCUACCUGUUACAUCUCAUGCUAAUUACAAGUACUUUGUCACUUUUAUUGAUGACUAUAGUCGCUUCACAUGGAUUUAUUUUCUACAUUCUAAAGAUGAAGUGUUCUCUGUUUUCAAGCUUUUUCAUGCACAUAUUCAGACCCAAUUUUCUACUAAUAUCAAAAUUCUUUGCUCUGAUAAUGGGGGUGAGUAUAUGUCUCAUUUAUUUCAAGAAUUUUUGCACACCAAUGGUAUAAUUUCUCAAAGAUCUUGUCCUUCAACCCCCCAACAAAAUGGGGUGGCUGAAAGAAAGAACCAUCACCUUCUCGAUGUUGUCCGCACUCUUCUAUUAGAGUCAUUUGUACCCUCUCGUUUUUGGUGUGAAGCUCUCUCCACUGCUAUCUAUCUCAUCAACAGAUUGUCCUCUCCUUCCUUGAACCAUGUCUCCCAUUUCUUUCGGUUAUUUGGCCAUACACCAAAUUACUCCCAUCUCCAUACCUUCGGUUGUGUGUGCUAUGUUCAUCUUCCUCCACAUGAGCGUACAAAACUCACAGCCCAAGCUGUGAAAUGUGCUUUUCUAGGAUAUUCUAUGCACCAAAAAUGUUUUCUUUGUUAUGAUCUAAAUUUGCAUCAUAUAAGGGUUUCUCAAAAUGUGAUUUUCUUUGAAAAUCAGUAUUUCUUUUCCGCACACCACGACGAUUCUUCCCCUUCAUUUUCUGUUUUGCUAAAGUUUACUAACCCUUCUGCAGAUUCUGUACCUUCUAAACCUAUCAUAGUCUAUCAGCGACGCAAGAAUUCAGUACCUCUCGGGCCCCCUCCAGCAACUUCCCUAAAUGCUGAUCCAGUUCCAGCAACUGCACCUGAACCUUUCAAACACAGUACUCGGGUUCGUAGACCACCAGAUAGGUAUGGUUUCACCUCUCCAUUAUCUUUGACAACCACUUUGUCUUCUAUUCCUAUUCCUUUAUCAUAUAAACAGGCAAUGAAGCAUGAAUUUUGGCGAAAAGCUAUUGAAUCAGAACUUCUUGCACUUGAAGAAAACCAAACUUGGGAUAUUGUUUCAUGUCCUCCAUCCGUGAAACCCCUUAGUAGUAAGUUAGUGUUUUCUAUCAAGCUGCUUUUUGAUGGAUCCAUAGAUCGUUACAAGGUUCGGUUGGUGGUUCUUGGCAACAAGCAAGAAUAUGGCCUAGACUACGAUGAGACCUUCGCGCCGGUAGCCAAAAUGACCACUGUUCGAACAAUAUUAGCCCUUGCUGCAUCACAAUCAUGUUCUUUACAUCAAAUGGAUGUAAAGAACGCUUUCCUACAUGGUGAUCUCAAAGAGGAAAUUUACAUGAAACUUCCCCACGGUAUGACUACUUCCUCUCCUAAUGAUGUUUGCAAACUAAAACGUUCGUUGUAUGGGUUGAAACAGGCACCGCGAGUAUGGUUUGAGAGUUUAGAUCAACUCUUUUCGGUUUUUAAUUCACUCAAAGUUAGUAUGACUCCUCCCUUUUUUUCCAACAGACAUCUAAAGCCAUCGUUGUUCUCCUUGUUUAUGUGGACGACAUCGUUAUCACUGGUUCUGAUAUGGAGGCAAUUUCUAAACUUCAGAAUUUGUUGCACUCCACUUUUCACAUGAAAGACCUCGGUCAACUCACCUAUUUUUUGGGGUUAGAGGUACAUAAUCUGCCUCAAGGUAUCUUCUUGAAUCAGCACAAGUAUAUUCAGGAUUUAAUUCAAUUAGCUGGACUUAUGGACAAAAAUUCUGUUGACACCCCAAUAGAACUUAAUGUGAAAUAUCGAUGAGACGAAGGGGAACUACUUCAAGAUCCUACUUAUUUAUCUAACUAUCACCCGCCCAGACAUCUCUUAUGCUGUCCACAUCGUUAGCAAGUUCAUGCAAGCCCCUCGACAUCUCCACCUAUCCGCAGUCCGCCGCAUCAUUAGAUAUAUUCUUGGCACUCCUAGCUGCAGUUUAUUCUUCCCUACUGGUUCUUCACUCCAACUACAAGCCUACAGUGACGCAGAUUGGACUGGCUGCCCGGGCACGAGAAAAUCUACUAUGGGAUGGUGCAUGUUUCUUGGUGAUGCCCUUAUCUCUUGGAAAUGCAAAAAGCAAGACUCAGUCUCCAAAUCAUCCACUGAGGCAGAAUACCGCGCCAUGUCUGCAGUCUGCUCCGAGAUCAUUUGGUUGCGUGGUCUCUUAACAGAGCUUGGUUUCUCACAACAUCAACCUACUCCCCUACAUGCUGACAACACAAGUGCCAUCCAAAUUGCAGCCAACCCUGUCUACCACGAGCGCACGAAACACAUAGAGGUUGACUGCCACUCUAUUCGAGAGGCCUAUGACCGCCAAGUUAUCACCCUCCCGCAUAUCUCCACUACUCUACAGAUUACAGAUAUCUUCACCAAAUCCAUGACAUGUCAGCGACAUAACGUUCCUGUUAGCAAAUUGAUGCUUGUAGAUUUACCAGCAUCAAUUUGAGGGGGGAUGUCAAAGGAAUUAGCAGAUUCUAUGGCAAAUUCUAUGCCUGUACAACUGUAACAAUUAUCUUUAUGAUUGUAAAUCUUAUAUGUUUUCCUUAUUUAGGAUAUACUAGUUGUAGGCUAUUUUAGAUAGUUAUGUAUAUGGUAGUUUAGCUAUGUUUAGGGCUAAACAUAAGCUUGUAUUCAUAGUAUAUAAAGGGAAUUCUCCUCCAAGAGAAAGCAUAACUUUUGCUCAAAAUUCUCUGAGUUUAUCACAGGGAAGUAUAGCUUUGGAAAAGGCCGGAUCAAUAACUAUGGAGAGAUUUAUAAGUGAUAAAAAUUCCCGUAACCCGCAGUCAAGAAAAUUUCACAUAGUUAAAGACGCCAUUUUGUUUCAGCCAAAAAUGUUUGUUUCGAUUAAAGACUUGAACCAUUUUCAUUUAACCUGAUUGUGAUGCUUUAUGUUAUGUAUGUUCCUCUCAAUCAAGAAAAGUUGAGGUUCAUGAUUUUAUAUUUCCAUCUUGUAACUUGAAAUAAUAACUGGUCUGCUUGUUUUUGUAGCUUGAUAACAUGAAUUUUCCUUCUCAAGUUAAUUUGAUCAAUAAAGUAAUUCUUCAAAGAAAAUAUGCCCAUUCUAUAAUCAUUUUCUUAGCUAAUAUGUUUUUUUUUCUUUACUCUUCAGAGUGUGUCGAAACUAAUUGAUUGCUCAGUAGAGACUUUGGGUGACAAGACAAAAUUUCAUGGUAAAUCCCCUGAAAAGGUAUGCAUAAUUCCUGAAUAUUAAAUAACCAAUGGUCAUAGUUUUUGUAUACGACUCUUUUUGUGGAGAUCGUUAAAAGUGGUUGAUGAUCCAUUUGUAAUUUCAUUGAGGGAUCAUCAAUUCCUUUUCUUUUCUGUGGCUAGGCAUCACUUUCGUGCCAAAGUAAGGAAAUCUAUUUUAGGUAAUGUAAAAAACAAUGGUAGGAUGUAAUAGCUUAUUAUGCACUGACAAUAACUUUUUGUAUAAUUGUCAGUUUAAGGAAUACAAGAGGAACUCUGUUGACAAAUUCAUCCAAGAUAGAUGCUAAAAUUAUUUAUGCAUGCCAGUUGCCUUAACUAAUUUUUCUUAACACUUGUAUUGAACAGGAAAUGAGUAUGCAAUUUGUGUACGUGCCAUUGUGGAGAAUUUGGAUAUUCUUAUUUAAGUAAGAAGAAGAGUUUGCCUCAUCUUUAAACAAUGAAUCUUUGAGAAAUGAGGAGUGGGUGAUUGAAAGUGUCUUCAUGUAAAUGUUCAUUUACUUUUAUUUUGAACUAUUAUGAGAAUCUUUUAUAUGCCAAAUUAGUAAUACAAAUGUUCAGAUGAUUUUUCCUGUUGAUCACGCGUUUGUGUCUGCAGACAACCAUUGUAUAUCACUUUAUUCUGAUGUGCAAUUAUGUAUAGAUUAGAAGAAAAGAAAUAAUAAUCUUAUAUUAUUGUUUGGUUCAUGAUUAUUAAACGAUUAUGGCUUCAAAAAAUCUACAAAUUCCUUCUGUUCAUAUAUGAAUGUGCCAAGUUUUCUAUAUCUUAGAUUGCCUUCUUCCAAGAUAACAAGUUCAUAUGUUUUUUAAUCCUCUUCAAUCACAGUUGAAUUUUAAGUGUUAAGAUUUGUUAUUAAUACCUGGUUCCCUGUUAUUAUGAUUUUUAUUAUGAUUUCAUAAACAGUGUAUGGACAUGUGCUCUACGUUUGAAGGGCCUCCACGUGAAAGAAAAUUGCAACAAUUGAAUUCUUCCGGAGGGUAUGGCAUUUAAUUUAUUUUCUCAACUUCUUGUAAGACUAAUAUAUUUCCUUCAGUAGGCAGGGCAUGGUGGGACGGGCUUUUAUUGAAAGAAUUCUGAUAUUUCUUAGACUUUGUUUUGGAAGGGGGGUGGAGGGAUUUCUCAUCCAUAUAUGGUUACUUGAUUAGCUUUUGACUGUAUUGCCUCAGUCGUGCAAAGGAAGAUCCAAAUACUAAUGAACGAGAAUUGCUUAGAGACCCAAAAGACAGAAAUGAACUACAGAAGGAAGUUUUUGCUGCUUUAUUUAGUGUUCCUGAGAACUCUGAUGAAGAUGGAGUGGAGGUCCAAAGCAUUAAGAAAGGUGGUGAGUGAACCGCCAGAGGAAUUGGUACCAGAAUACAAAGCUAAUGUGGUGCACUUGCAGCAAGAUAACCAGACUAGUAUGUGCUCUUAUAUUAACUAUAUUGACUGGAUUUGUGAGCAUGUUCAUUUUUGUGUGUAUAAUCACUUUUGUAUUUAUGCAUAUUAAUGUUAGUAGGAUUCUUGAUUUCCUCCACUUACUGGAGAACUAGUGGAAAGCUUUAUAGUGAAAUAUCUGCAAUAACUAAUGGAAACUAUGAUUUGAAUAUUUUCUCUCACCUGGAGAGCUUUGCAACAGAUGUACUUUGUGGCUAUGGAAUACUAGAGAUUCUGCAAUAACUAAUGGAAACUCUGAUAUGAAUAUUUUCUCUCACCUGCAGAACUUUGUAACAGAUACACUUUAUGGCUCUGGAAUGUCUAAAGAUUUUUGUCUGCUUCAGUUAGAUAAAAUAUCUUUUAGUUACCUACAUUAUGGAAAAGAUAGAGUUCUCUGAAUCUGAAAGACUGAAACAUUUUGCAUAUUUCGUGAAAGGGAAAUAUCUGUAGAUACUAGUUCAUGCAUUGAGGUAACAUCAAUGUUAAAGAAAAACGGCAAUAACUUAUUAUAUAGAAUUAGGUUCACUUGCUUUAAAUGCUGGUCUGGUCAACCAUAUCAACCUGUAAGUGUAUCUGCAGAAAUAUAUAUGGGGGGACAAACUAGCUAAAUUUUCCUCUCAUUUCUGGCUUUGGUCAUUUGUUCCCCUUAUUUUUCAGCUUUCCUUCUCCUGAAGUAUGUUAACAAUUGCAGAUAAUGACUAAGAGGACAGCUUGCAGGCUCUUCGUAGAGCUGUGAUGGAAUAUAGGGGCACAAUGAAGGAACAUUGUAAAGCUGUAGGUUCUUUUUCUCCUGUCAUUUAUGUUUUCUCACACAUUUUUUAUAUGCUCCAAGCAUGCAAGUUUGUAUGUGUCUUUGCCUUUUAAGUUUUAAAAACCAUAAAGUAAGAAUACAGUUCCUCGUCAGGCUAUUGAUGCAUUCACUCAGGGGAAUCAUGUUCGAGCAGGAAAACUUCUAGAACAGGCAAGGUUUUCCAUCUACAGCCAUCUAUUGACAACAGAUACAUUUUCAUUCAGCAAACACUGUUAGCAUUCAAGAUACUGGCAGAUUCACUUGAUUCUUAUCAGUUUGUUUAGUAGCAAAGCAUAUAACCUGUAUUUCAAAGCCAAGUUGUGCUAUUGAUUAUGUUAACUUUAUUGUUCACAUAAAGUGAUAUGGAGGAAAUAAUCAUUGUAGGAAAAUUAGGUGAAGAGGUGAUGUCAAAUCUUGAACCUGUUACAAAACUCCAAGUUCUUUACUUGAAGAAGCUACCAAAUUUGAACAGGGUCCACUGGAAGGCCUUGCCAUUCCCUGAUGCAUGCAGAAUUUUUGUAUUUAAAUGCCCAGAGCUUAAGAAGCUGCCACCGGAUCUUGAAAGGGCAGGCCAAGGUAAAAUUCUUAUCAAGGGAAAGGAAGAUUGGUGGAAACAACUUCAAUCGGAGGAUCAAGUAACUCAGAAUGCAUUGCUUCCAUUUUUAAAAUCAACUGACAAGUGAUUGAAGGGGGCAUCAUCAACAUCAUCAACAUGGAUGGAGAGAUUCAGGAGCAGAUCAGCAGGGUUUAUUACGACCUGUGGUGGUUGCUUUUUUGUGACUUGUUCCCUUUCAUUUUUUCACUUCCUGUCAUAUUAUCAUUUCUUUGUCUCUGUUUCUAUUGCUGAUGUUGCUGCAUGCUUGCAGCCCUUGACAAAGUUAGCUAGUUUUUUUGUUUCUUAAAUUUUGUAUGUUCGGGACUGUCACAAAGUACUACUUGUUCUAAAUGGGGGUGAUCCGGUGAUGUGAAUCAACUUUUCAAAUAUAUAUUCUGUGGUAAUUGUGAAUUCAAUUUCAUUUGUCUCCUGCAAAUUAUGAAGAAAGUGCAGAGUUACAAUAUGGAAAAGUUCACUGGCAAACACUUUGUAAAAGCUUCGGAGUGAAACAGGGAAUGCACUGGCAACUAAGGACAAAUUGGUGGCCAGCUAAUGCAUUCAUUUUAUGUACAUUCCUCUUUUUAAUUAUUGAAGAUAAGUGGUUCGUUGCUUUUGUUGUAGAUAAAAUUCAGACGACCUCAAUUGUGAGAUGACAAUAUUUAAAAUAUCUCUUAAAUUAUUAUAAACUUUAAUUUAUCUUAAUUUUAUUUAAAAGAUAAAAGAAAAAUGUGGUAUAUGGAUAAGAUUUUUUUUAUCUUCUUAAUAAAAUGAAAUAAAUUAAAAUUUAUAAUAAUUUAUAAUAUUUUAAAAAUUAUUAUUUCAUAAGAGAUUAAUAUGAAAUUAAUCCUUUUUACUUUUUGAAUGUGAAAGGACAGGAAAAGAGAAGCAAGUGUCACUGCUUUUUAUUUUAUUUGAAAUCGGAGUUAUCCCAUAUACUUUACUACUUUAGCUCUAACAUUACAAUGUUUUUAGGCUACACUUUUAUUUUUCUUUUUCCCCCUUUUUUUAUACAUGCAUGUGGAUUACUUUCCUCUAAACUCCUUAAUAUUUAAGACAAAUCAUAAAAGCGAUUGAAGUAUAACCAGAUGAUCAAAACAUUUAACCCAAAAAAAAAAAAGAAAUAAAACAUUGAAAAUGGAGAUGUUGAUUAAUUUAGAAGAGAUGCAAGUAAAAGAUAUUCCCAAAAAAAAGAAAAAAAGAAAAAAGCAACGUUAGUUCAUCCAUGUCUGUCAAUGCGUUUUUUAUGGUUUUUUUUUCCAGUUGUUUGUUGUAAUAGAUUGAUUGUAAAUUGAUAUGAACUUGAUGUUGUAAUAUGUUUGCUUUUGUGGAAUUAAAUUUGAAUAUUCAAGAUUAUUCAAGUCUUAUUUAGUAUGUGUUCGGUUGUGUUGUCGAUAAUUUUACAUUCUAAUAAGUUUUCACCUAAAAUAUUAGCAUGAGUAGUAGUCCUUAAACCUUUGGUCAAAAUUAUUGUUGUUGUUUCUUUUAGAGGAAAUUUUUUUAUUAAAGCCUCGUUAACACUAUUCCUUAUUAAGAUUAUAAGUUAGUGUCGGUGCAGGAUUUGCAGCGACAAAUCUUGUCUAGCCACGUGUCAAAGUACAAAUAAAUCAAGGGAAAGCACAUGACAUGGAUUAGGAUCCAAUAAAAUUUAAAUCCCAAGGAAAAGGACAACUGUAUCCUAAAGUUUCAAUAAGAGAUACUGAGAUAUCUUUUGACUAAUGUUAUUUUUUGGCUUUAUUAAUAAAAAGAUCCAAUAGUUUAUAACAAAUAAAAAUAUAGUAUUAAGCUAAAUGUGAUAAUUUACACAUUUUACAUAAUUUCAAUAAAAAUUUUUUUAAUGUUUUACAAUCUAUCAGACAUAUUUUAUUAAAUUAAUAAGAAUUUUCUUAUAAAUAGCAACAUAAUAUUAAAAUAAAUUUAUAAAGAUUUAAAUGUAAAAUAAUUUUAGUAUAAUUAAUACGUGGGAUAUAUUUUGUAAAUUAUAAAAUUACUUAACCCAAUGAUUUUUAAAAAUCUUUAAAAUAAAUAAAAAUAAAUUAUUCACAUUUUGAUGUAAAAUAUUUAAAACAUUUUUAUACAUUAGUCCACAAUUAUUUAUGUUAUAUUUGUAUUUAUUAGAAAUUUUGAAAGUCAAAUAUUUUUCACCUCUAUCUUACUAGAAUUAUUGCACACAGAGAAAGAGCAAUAUAUGCUUUAUAGCUUGAAAAUCGAUUUGUUUUAUAGCUGGGAACAGAGAUGAUCAUUAUUAUAAGGAUUAAAAAAAAGAUAAAGAAUAUUAAUGAUUAGCGAAAUCUUUAUGGAAAUUGAAUUUAGUAAGAAAAAAUUGUGCUGAUUUUAGUGGUAUAGUAAUAUUUUAUAUAGAGAAAAAUAAAAGCUGCACCUCAAGGUUAAGGGAAAUGGUCAAAACUCUUUUUUAAUCAUAAUACCCUUUUUCCUAGAUAAUUUAAAAAUUUUACUCUAAUAUUUUAUAAUAAAUAAAAACAUAUAAUCCUAAAAUAAAUAAAAUAAUAUAUAUUUUAAAAUAAUCUCAAUAUUUAAAAUAUAUUUUAACAUUUUAUAAUCUAUCAGAUAUAUUUUAUUAUAUUAAAGUAAAUUUUAUCAUAAAUACAAAACAUACUAUUAAAAUAGAUAUAAAAAUUUUAAAGUAUUUUGAAUAUUAUAUAAAAUAACUUUAAUAUUGUUAAUGCGUGAGAUGCAUUUUAUUAACUAUUAGAUAGACUAAACUAUUUAUUUUAUUUUCUAUUUAUUAUAAAAUUUCAAAGUUAAUCUUUUUAACUACUAUUCAAAAGAUAUUAUGAUAAAAAUAAAAUUUUUCUGUUUUUAUUAAAAAUUUAGAAUUUACAUCUAUUUUUUCAAAUAUUCGGGGUGUAACUGUUUUUUCCCUUUUUUAUAAACGAACGGUGGUGAGAAAGCUUGAGUUAACGUUAUUUAUUUAAAUAAAAUCUCAGUUAAAAAUGUACAGAGAAGAAAUUUCUGUUGGUAUUUUAGUCUUUUACCAAUUAUCAUGAUUAGGCCUUGGCCUUGAAACAUUAAUUGUUUCAGUUUUAGCGCUAGUGGCGUUGAAAGUUGUCAAGAAAAAGCAAGGCCAUAUUCCACAAAAGCAAAAGUAACGUAGGCUCUUUUAUUAAAGGCAAAGUAUAGUCAAGAAUCGAAUAUCCUGUCGUCUACUCUUUUUUAAAUUCUUCUUUUAUUAUCUUUUAGAACAGUUUUAGGUAAUUACAAUCAUUAUUCAGAGUUAUUGUUAUCUACUGGGGCAGUCUCUGUUCAUCGAAGUCGUUGCCUUUUUUUAUGGAUCAGUUCCAGUGGUAAGCAGUAAUUUUCUUAGAACUCCGAUCUUUAAUUCGAGUUUCUGUGUGAAUUAAUAAUAAAAAAUUUUCAUUACACGCAAUUUAAGCUACGAAUUACUUUUUGCAAAGUUGAAUAUGAAAUUGGGGGAGAAAUUCAGUAAUUUAGAAUGUUGGUAAAAAUUGACGAACAUAUCUCCAAUUACAGUAAAACCUCUCUACAGUCAUAACAUUAUAACAAAAUUAAUUUUAAACCUAUGUUGAGGUAAUAUAGGUUUAGUUACAAAAUCAUUGUUUUAAUAUGGUUAGUGUCAAGUGAUAUAAAGGUUAAGUAUGCAGUACAUUGAUAAUUAAAUAAUGAAGCGUGUCAAAUCUAAUGUAUAUAUAUUAAUGAUAUAGAUAGACAUAGUUUUAAAAAACUAAUUAAUGUAUAUUUAUGUAGUUUUAUGAAUAUGGAAAGUCAAGCCUACACUUUACAUUAUCCUUAAUUUUUUCUCUCAGUUAAAUUCUACAAAUAUUGUACAAUGAUUGGGCAAGAACUCUAAAUUAAGAAUAAAUUAUUGUCACACAUAAUUUUAGAAAAUAUUUUAUUUUGUCUUAAACCUGUAAUGUAAGUAAAUAUAUAUAUAUAUAUAUAUAUAUAUAUAUGGGUCCGCCUAAGUUACAUUUAACGUAGCUUACGACUGUCAUGUAAAAUAUCAUGUAGACUCUUAUACUCGUUAUUAUUUAUAAUUUAUUUAUAAGUAUUAUAAAUUUUUUACAUUGUAAAAUUUCAUUUAGUCCCUUACCAUCUAUUUUAUUUUAUUGAAACCCUUAGAAUACCAACUCGCCCUCUAUAAUUUUAAAUUCUCAAAAUUCCCUCUAUUUAAUUGAAAAUUAUAAUUAUUAUUAAAUGAAUUAUAAUUAUAAUAAUUAUUUUAUUAUAAUUAUAAUUUUAAAAUGGAUGAUGAUGAUGAUGAUGAUGAUGAUGAUGAUUAUUAUUAUUAGCAACAAGAAGAAUAAAAAGUAUUAUAAUUAAUUAAUCUAUUAACAAUAAUUAAUAAUAAUUUUUUAGUUAAAUUGUUAAUAAUAAUUAACAAUAAUAAUUAUUAAUAAUUAAUAUUUUUGAAUAAUAAUAAUAACAAUAACAAUAAUUAAAAUACAAAAUAAUAAUUAUGAUAAAAAUUAUUAAGAAUUUUAUAGUAAUUUGUUACAAUUUAACUGAUUUUAAUUUUGAUUCUAAGACAAGGUAAGCACAUAAAUCGUAAUACAACUCAUUUUAAUUACGAUUCUUACAGUUCAAGUAAACAAAAUUAUUCUGAUUCCAAUUUUUCAUUUUAAUUCUAACUAUUCUGAUUCUAACUCAUUAUAUUUCUAUCUAAUUUCGAUCCUUAUUUAGUAAAUGCAAUAUAAAAUUCAUAAUAGUUAUGAAUAAAUUGUGAAUAAUAUAGAGUGGUUUACAAUUUUAUAGUGCAUUAACUAAAGAUGAAUCGAAAUUAUUUGGAAACAUAAUGAGUUAGAAUCGGAAUAGCUAGAAUCAAAAUAAGAAAUUGGAAUUAGAAUAAUUAUCUACUUGAACUGUAGGAAUUGUAAUUAGAAUAAGUUGUAUUACCGUUUAUGUGUUUACUUUGUCUUAAAAUUAAAAUUAGACUGAGUUAAAUUGUUAAAAAUUACAAAUAAAAUCCUUAAUUAAUUUUUAUUAUAAUUAUUAUUUUGUAUUUUAAUUAUCGUUAUUAUUAUUCAAAAAUUAAUUAAUUAUUAUUUUUAUUAUUAGCAAUUGAACUAAAAAAUUAUUAUUAAUUAUUGCUAAUAGAUUAAUUAAUUAUAAUAUUUUUAUUCUUAUUAAUAAUAAUAAUAAUGAUAAUCAUCCAUUUUAAAAUUAUAAUUAUAUAUAUAUAUUUAUAAUCCAUUUAAUAAUAAUUAUAUUUUUAAUUCAAUGGAGGGUAUAUUUAGAAUUUAAAAUAAUAGAGGGCGAAUUGGUACUCUAAGAGUUUUAAUGAAAUAAAACAUAGGAUAAGAGACUAAAUAAAAUUUUAUAAUACAAAAAAAUUUAUAAUACUUAUAAAUAAAUUAUGAAUAAUUAGGAGUAUAAGGGGCUAUAAGAUAUUUGACAGGGCAGCCGUAAGUUACGUUAAAUGUAACUUAGGCGGACCCUAUAUAUAUGUGUGUGUGUGUGUGUGUGUGCAUAUUUUGCAACGUAUAGAUAAUUGUUAGUAUAUGGAGACAAGUCUUUUAAGGUAGGACCUAGAAAAAUUUAUAACUUACUACACUGGGGAGUUUUUAUUCCUUUUUAUAAUUGCUCAUAUUGAUACGUUCUUACACAAAAUAUUACCAUUGACAUAUUUUACUACAAUUAGUUUAGAACAUUUGUUAGGAAAAAAAAAAGAAAAGAAAACAUUCCUUGGAUGUAGCUCUCCUGACUAUUUAAAUCUUUUAAGGAAAAAAAGAAAAAAGAAAAACUGACACAUUCAAAUCUUGAAGCAAUUACAUUAAAACCUCUCCAUAAUGAUAGGAAUAAUCUCCAUUUAGAAAUAAAAAAAUUUGUUCGCAAUUUAGGCAGAGUUAUUAAUAAGAAUAAAAUCCUCAUUGUAAUAAGUUAUAUUUAUUAUGGAUCCCAUCCUAAGGAACUUGUCUCUAUAUAGUAAUAAUUAUUUGCAUAUUAUAAAUAUAUAUGUUGCAUUAGAUAAAAUGAACUUGUCUCCACAUACUACUUAGACAAUGAGAGAAAGUUAUUAAAGAGAACACAAAUAUUUAGAGAUUUUUAAGAUUACUUUGCAUAUUUAUAACAAUAAUACAUUAAUAUAUGUAUUAGUUUUUUGAUAUAUUAGAUUUGACUUGCUCUAUUAAUAAAUUAUUAAUACGAUGCAUACUUCAUCUCUAUAUCCUUGCAAUAAAAGUAACUAAGAUAUAACAAUAAUUAUUAAUACGAUGCGUACUUCAUCUCUAAAUCCUUGCAAUAAGAGUAAUUAAGUUAUAACGAUAAUUUUUGUAACUACAUGCUUAUUAGGUUUUAACUACAUAAUAAUAAAUUAGUUUCGUCCUAAUAUUAUAAUUAUGUAGAGUUGUAGUGUAUAGACACACCCAAUUUAAAUAGUAAAUCAAAUAAAAUUGUCCCCACAAAAAAGAAAAAAGGGGUAAAGGAUUGUUAUUUCUUCAAACAUCAGGAGCACGUUUGUGCAAGUGCGAUGCCUUUCUUUUGAAGGCAACGUCAGUGGGUACCCAAUAGGACGUGUGUAAAUCUUUCCAAAAUUUCUCCGGUAUAACGGACAGAGAUCAUUACUUUUCUCUUCCAUAGACCACAGCAGCUUCAGUUAAUCAGACUCAAUCAAUUUUCUUGGUUUCUUCGCUUAUCAAAAUUCCAAAAUAUGGGAAGCAUAUUUCAAAUCACAUGCGAUGGUGCUUUUUUCAAUCGUUGCUUGGAUUGCUUUCUUGGAAAAGUAGCAAACACAAGUAAGCUCCAAGAUAACCUUGUUGCCUUGGAGACUGAUUUGGGAAAACUAAUCGCAGCAAAGAACGAUGUGAUGAUGAGGGUUGUCAAUGCUGAACGGCAACAACUGAGAACGCUGGACCAAGUGCAAGUGUGGCUUUCGAGGGUGGAAGCUGUUGAAACUGAAGCUGAUGAAUUGAAAAGACACGGGUCUCAAGAAAUUGACAAAUUAUGUGUUGGAGGCUACUGUUCCAAGAACUGCGCGUCAAGUUACAAGUUCGGGAAACAAGUGGCUAAAAAGCUACGGGAUGUGCAGACUUUAAUCGACGAAGGAGUUUUUGCGGCGGUGGCUACUGAGGUGGUGCCUGAGAGAGCUCCAGAACCUGUAGCAGAUGAAAGACCCACUGAGCCAACAAUAGUAGGCUUGCAAUCACAACUUGAACAAGUUUGGAGAUGUCUUGUAGAAGAAUCAGUGGGAAUCAUUGGCCUAUAUGGUAUGGGCGGUGUUGGUAAAACUACACUAUUGACCCAUAUCAACAAUAAAUUUCUUGAGAGUCCAACCAGUUUUGAUUGUGUGAUUUGGGCCGUAGUUUCAAAGGACUUGCGACUCGAAAAAAUUCAAGAAGAUAUUGGGAAAAAGAUCGGUUUGGUUGAUGAUUCAUGGAAGAGUAAAAGUGUAGAGGAGAAAGCUCUCGACAUCUUCCGGAGUUUAAGAGAGAAGAGAAUUGUAUUGUUGUUAGAUGAUAUAUGGGAGCGGGUUGAUUUAACAAAAGUGGGCAUUCCACUUUCCGGACCAAAAAAUACUACUUCAAAAGUCGUAUUCACAACCCGUUUCGUCGAUGUUUGUGGUAGCAUGGAAGCUGACAAGAAGUUCCAAGUGGCAUGCUUAUCAGAAGAGCAUGCUUGGGAGCUAUUUCGAAAAAAAGUUGGGGAAGAAACUCUUGAGAGUGAUCAUGAUAUCGUUGAGCUAGCCCAAACUGUGGCCAAAGAGUGUGGUGGUUUGCCACUCGCACUUAUUACUAUUGGUCGAGCUAUGGCCUUCAAAAAGACAGCCGAGGAGUGGAGUCAUGCAAUUGAUGUGCUAAGAACAUCAGCUUCCGAGUUUGCAGGUUUGGGAGAAAAGGUAUAUCGUCUUUUAAAGUUUAGCUAUGAUAGUUUGCAGAAUGAGACGAUUAGAUCUUGUUUCUUAUAUUGUUGUUUAUAUCCCGAGGAUUAUGGCAUUCUUAAAUGGGACUUGAUUGAUUGUUGGAUUGGUGAGGGAUUCUUAGAGGAAUCUGACAGGUUCAGUGCAGAAAACCAAGGAUACUACAUUGUGGGCACUCUUGUUCAUGCAUGUUUAUUGGAAGAGUUAGAAGAUGAUAAAGUAAAAAUGCAUGACGUUGUUCGUGAUAUGGCUCGAUGGAUAGCUUGUGAAAUUGAGAAGGAGAAGAGAAAAUUUUUGGUUUGUGCAGGUGCUGGAGUAGGAGCGGUAUCAGAUGUUGAAGGAUGGGAAAAUGUGAGAAGAUUGUCGUUGAUGCAAAACCAAAUUGAAAUUCUGUCAGAGGUUCCCACAUGCCCUCAUCUCCUCACUUUAUUUCUUGACUUUAAUUAUAAAUUGGAGAUGAUCACCGAUGGCUUCUUCCAAUGUAUGCCUUCUCUCAAAGUUUUGAAGAUGUCAAACUGUGGGCAUGUCAAAGUUUUGAAAUUACCUUUUGGGAUGUCAAAGCUGGGUUCACUACAACUUCUUGAUAUUUCACAUACCGGCAUAAGAGAGUUACCAGAAGAGUUAAAGUUGUUGGUAAAUCUGAAAUGUUUGAAUUUGAGGUGGACACAUAUGUUAAAUAAAAUUCCACGGCAGCUAAUAUCAGAUUCUUCAUGGUUACGUGUGUUGAGAAUGUUCGCUAUUGGCUUUGAAAAUUCUAAAGAACCAUCAGAAGACAGCGUUUUAAUUGGUGGGGGUGAAGUUUUAGUAGAUGAAUUGCUCGGUUUGAAAUAUUUAGAGGUAUUGGAGUUGACCUUGCGAAGUUAUGAUGCUCUCCAAUUUUUUUUGAGCUCAAAUAAGUUAAAAAGUUGUAUUCGAUCUCUUUUCCUCAAUAAGCUGGGAGACACAAAGUCGAUUCAUGCUACGGCUUUCGCAGAUCUAAAGCAUCUCAAUGAACUAUGCAUUCGUUCGGCAGUGGAGUUGGAAGAAUUGAAGGUUGAUUAUACAGAGAUUGCGCCAAAAAGGUCGGAACCUUUUGUUUUCCGCAGCCUUCACCGUGUUACUAUGGAGCGGUGCCAUAAAUUGAAAGAUUUGACAUUCCUCGUUUUUGCUCCAAGCCUCAAGUCUCUUUCGCUAUACGGUUGCAAUGCUAUGGAAGAAAUAAUCAGCGUUGGAAAAUUUGAUGAGACUCCUGAGGUGAUGGGACAUAUAAGCCCUUUUGGAAAUCUCCAAACGCUUUAUUUAACUGAUUUGCCAGAGUUGAAAAGCAUCUACUGGAAGCCAUUGCCUUUCACUCAUCUCAAAGAAAUGACGGUACAUGGGUGUAAUCAGCUUAAAAAGCUUCCACUCGAUUCCAACAGUGCAACAGAGCGUAAAUUUGUUAUUCGUGGAUACACACUCUGGUGGAACCGUCUUCAAUGGGAGGAUGAAGCCACUCAAAUUGCUUUUCAUUCCUGUUUCCAAUCUCAUGAAAUAUAAAUUCCUGAGCGGUGGUUGCAAAAUUUGAUUUCUAGUGAGUGCUUUUUUCUUAAACUCUUACAUAUAUUCUCGUCGUUUGCUUCGUGCAACAGACUAGGUUUUUAUUUCAGAUUCGUUUUUUGUCUCCUGCAAAUCACAAUUAAAUGUUGAAUUAUAUGGAGUCAAUGCUUUAGAAAAUUUUCAAGGCACUGCCAUUUCCUUUUUCUUUUUUCUUUUUUUUUUUUGGGUCGAAUUGAUGCUCUGUCUUUUUACUUUUUGUUGGCAAAUUUUGCUCUGUUUUUUCAAGUUGAUGCUUGAAUAGCUGAAUUCAAUUAAUGCUCACAUAAAUUUGUUUAGUUGCCGUAAAAGGAUAUAAUUAGACUGAAGUACACACUUCUAGAAUGAAUACAAAAUGUUAAAGUAUACUAGCCCUCUUUACAGAAAAUCAAAUGAAAAUCAAUUUUUUGGGGCUUUGAUUUUCUAUGGUCUAUUAUAUACUCUUUUUAAUAUCUUCUGUUCUAACUAUAACCAAAUCCUUUGUUCAAGGAUUUUUAUUUGGGGUAUUGAUAACUGUCCACCAAAAGAGUGAACACUUGGAUGCUGCUCAAGGAUCUCUAAUCAAUAGCUGGAAGCAACUGAGAAGGCGGUCGCUACUGUUUACAAAGCGAAUCAGUAUUUGCCAUUCAUCUUAAUAAUUAUGAAGCUUUGGUAAAAUUUUCAAACAAAGUUGAACAUGUUGUUUUGAGAUUUGGUUCAUGAUUUUGGAUGAAUAUCGUUGUUCCGUUUGAGUUGGAUGUGAAUUCAAAAUCUAUAUAUUCUUUGGUUUUCAAUUCUGAACUCAAUUUCUUUUUCUCAAGCAUGUUAUGCAGAAAUGAAUUUUACUAAAUCAUUUUUGAUGAAUUGUUCAAAUUAAACAAUUGGAAUAAGAAUUGUAAAGGUUUAUCAUAAGCAUGCUAAUAUGAUAAGUUGUUUUAUGAACGAUUAAUUAAUUAAUCAAUUAAUAUUAAAGAAUAUAUUAGGCAAUUAGAUAUGCGUUACAUGUCAUGUUUAAAAACUAUUUAUUUAUAUUUCAAACAAAUUUGACUGGAUGUUGUGUAGGUAAUACUCAUAAUUAAUUUCAAAACAAAAAAAGUAAUAAAAACACGUUAAAUUUUGUUUUUAUGAAGAAAAAUUUAAAAUUUUGUUAAAUAGGUGAAAAUAAUAAAUGGAUUCGUGUAUGGUUUGAGAUUCUUGACAUAAUUAUGAAAUAAGCCGGAUUCGACUUAGUUCAAUUUUGACGCGAUAAGAAGACGACACCACACAAACACACGAUAAGAACCGGUACCUGAGAAGAUUGCCAUCAGGAAUUUUGAAAUUGAUUUCACUACAAUACCUUAAUCUUUCAGAUACUCCCAUCACUGAGCUGCCAGAGGAGCUAAAAGCCUUGGUAAGUCUUAAGUGUUUGAACUGUACACAAAUUAUCUCUCUACAAUUCAAAAACAACUGAUUUGUUACUUUUCAAUGCUACAUGUUCUGCGAAUAUUGAGUUGUGGUUAUCUUGUUGAAAGAUCAGAAAAUAGAGUUCUAUUUGGUGGUAGUGAAUUGUUGGUUGGGGAGUUGCUUAGUUUAAAACGUUUAAAUGUAUUAAGCAUCACCUUACAAGGUUUUUCUGCUGUCCAAAAACUUACGAGCUCUCAAAAGUUUCAAAGCUGUACAAAAUGUUUGGAGCUUAUAGACUGUGAUGAUUCAAAGUCUUUUGCCUUGGCAGAGUUGAAGCAUCUCGAAAAACUAGUUUUUCGAAUUGUGGAAGAGUUUAAGUUCUGCUGUGUUGAAGUUGGAAAAGCUCAAGAAUGUUUUCGUUUGAACAGCUUUCACCGAGUUAAUAUAAAGGCUUGUCAUAAAUUGAGGGACGUGACAUGGCUUGUAUUUGCUCCAAAUCAUACGGUUAUUCAAAUAGAAAAAUGUAUGCAGAUGGAAGUAAUAAUCAGCGCAAGGAAAUUGGGUGAAGUUCCAGAGAUGAUGGCAGAUCUAAACCCUUUUGCAAAACUCCAAUAUCUUCGCCUGCGAGUUCUACCAAAAUUAAAAAGCGUCUAUUGGAAUGAGUCACCCUUUCCGCAUGUCAGGGAAAUUAUUGUAUCUGAAUGCCCAAUUCUCAAGAAGCUUUCACUCGGUUUUAACAAUGCAAAGGAAUCUAAAAUUGUCAUUUAUUACAUGUUUAUAUCUAACUUUUGUUCUCCUUUAUGGUUAAAUUUUACUAUAUAUAUGUUGUUAUACGGUGACAUUCUCGCAUCAAUUAUUAGCUUUUUAAUUCUCUUCUCGUAUUAAUUGCCCUUCUGAUCAUGUAGGAUAUGCCGAUGUCAAAGAGUAGUAAAUUGGGAUACAAAUGUAAGAAUUAGCCAGAUGACAUGUUGUUUUGAAGCUUUCGAAGGACUAAUUAUGUCAUUCAAAGCAUCCAAUUUCGCUACUUUUUUUUUUUUUUCAUUUGUUGCUUUUUCUAUUUUUAGAUAGCUUGAUUGUCAGUUGUCGUAAUGUAAUGUUUUAGUAUAGAAAAAUGAUAUUCGGCCAAGACAUCGAUAGGAGGGCACAUUGUGCAUGCAUACUCGUGGAUGAUUUUGGCAUGCCGAAUCCAAUUAGUGUGAAUAACCCUUUAUAAACAUCAGGCUUCUCUCAUACCAGAUAGAGGUGGCAAAAAUACCCGCUCGGUCCGGAUCCAGACCAUACCCGGGCGUUGUGGGUCGGGUAUUACUUAAUCUGGGUAUAAAGUCGAGUCGGUCUUGGGCAUCACUUGAUAAACCCGGAACCCAGAUUUUAUUAAAAAAAUAUUAUAAAAUAUAUAUUAUUUUAAAUAUUUAUAUUUAUUUGACUCAUUUAUUAUACAUAUAUAAAGUUUUAAACACGUAAAGUUUAUAUUUUCAUGUCAAAUUUUAUUAAAAUAAAUUUAACACUUAUAAAAUUACCUAAAAAUAAAAAAUAUAUAUACAUAUAAUAUUAAAAAAUAUACAAUUCGGGUACCCAGAUUAUCUGGCCCGGACUCAGACCCAGACCAAUUGCAUCCAAGCAGGAUCCAGUCAUUGCAAUAAUCGGACCUGGCCUGGGGUUUCGCCAUCUCCAAUACCAGAGCAAUGUAGAAUAUGUUUAUAAACUGUGAAUUACCCUUUAUAAGUAUUAGGCUUCUUUUAUACUCGAGCGAUGUGGAAUACCUUUAUAAGCAUUAAGCUUCUCCCAUACACUUUAUGUUAAAAAUAAUAAUAAUAAAAUAAAUCCAUUUUAAAAUAGGCUUUUUUUUUUCUUUUUCUAUAUAAACAAAAUGCAUUCUUCAAAUCAAUAGUGGGUGGAAGAAGUGAGUAGAGAAGAACUAGGCCCCUUUCAUUCCCCUAAAACCUCACCGAAACCUCUCUUGUGAACUUCUCAGAUUCUCUCUCAAUAUUUCUUAUGAUCUCGUUUUUGAUAGAAUCACUUCUUUUGCAUGCUGCAUUUUGUGAGUUGUUUUUGGGUAAUAUCUUAUCUGGAAUGCUGUUAUGAUCAAUAGAACAAGUAAUCAAUUUUUGGUUCGACGGAAGUCGAUUUAUUUAUUUACUAUUAUUUUUAUUUGAAAUUUUGUACAAUUGUGUUUCAUUCAUUUCUUUUCUUCUUUUUAUUUUUUUAUUUAUUAUGUAGAAUUGUGUUUCAUUUGAUAUUGAUCAUACUGUAGAUAACUAUGUGAUUGUAGCUGGGGAUUUUAAGUUUUGUGAAUUCAAGAAACUGUCAAAAUGCUAGUGAAAUUGGGACCUUUAUUCAUAAGCUUGUGGUUUUGAAAAGUAGCCCGGUUCAACUGAUGAAGUUCCUUUUUGGGAUUCUUUUUUUUCUAGGCUGCAAUUCGGAUAUGUACGUGAUAGACAAUCUUUUGUGGGUUUAGCAUAUCUUCUUCGAUUUUAUCUUUUAUUCCCCAAUUUUACAGCUACACACCAUGAAUGCUGGGUGAUUGUACAGAAAAUUUGUGUUAGAACAAAAGCAUUGUGAAGGAGUUUCUGUGCUAUAAGUUAUUGGCUUCAGUUUUAUUGGCAUUAAUUGGGUAGAUUAUGUGUUACAGUGAUUCAAUUUGUGAUCCACACUUUAAUUUUCUCUUUUCCCCAAUUAUUUAUGUCAAAUUCAAAUCCAGAAGCAUGUGCUGAUUUUUUUUUUUUUGUGUUAAUCUGUGAAGUUUAUUUGGAAAGGAUGUAUCUGGGUCUAAUGGAUUAAAUUAUGACAUUGAGGAAAAGGCACUAAAGGUUUUGCUUGACACAUUUGGUCUGUGUUUACUCUGCAAUAAAUAGCUUCGCUUAUCGGAAAUCCCGAUUUGGCUGGUGAAUUUCUCAGUGACAGACAGGCAAACACCUAAACCGCUUCUAUCCAUUUUUCUGCUGGUGAGGUAAGGGGUAAAAAGUCUUCAAAAUCAUCAAAUAGUAACAUCUCUCAGAAUUCAUUUUAGAAAAAUGGAAAAUCUAGACCUGCUAGGACAAAAUGGCGUCCAGUAUCAGGAGGUACCGUUUCAAGUUUUCUUGGUAAAGAAUAUAAUAAACCUGCGCAACCAGCUAAUGGCACUUUUCUGGCAUCAAAGCCAUUGAAGUUGGAUCUAAAGGAGUUUUCCCAUGCCUGCACUGUGCAGAGAAGAAACUAAACCAAAACAAUCAAAGAAUGACCAUUUGCAGAAGGAUACGGAAGAUUUUCUAUUUAAAUUGUUAGUAGAAGGGUCCCAGCUGAACAGGGAUGUGAUUCAGGAGGUUCUCGGUAAUGUCUUAAAUAUACUGAUGCCAAUUUAAUACAUAUUGUCCUUUUCAAUGUUCUUUCUUUCUUUUUUUUUUCCCUUCUUCUUCUUUUUUCUUUUUGUGUGCAUGUGAUCACUGAUUUGGUAUUACGCUUAAGUUGCAGAUAGUUGUGGAUUUGAUAUGCAAAAGGUAAGGACUAUAUCUUCCUGAUGUAGGCCUCUGCUUUUUCCCCUUCUAUGUAAUUUAGUAAAUCGCAUCUUCCUUUGUGAUUGUUAUAUCAUAUCAAAGUCAAGUCUUAAAUACUGCUGUCAUAUGUUAAGGUUCAACUUGUAUUUUGAUUAACAUCCAUUUGCUGCUGCUUCCAAAAGUGAGAAUGAGAUACUUUGGUUAAUUUCAGUGGUUGAACCCAAUAGAGAACUUUAUUUAGAUCUUCAUGGUUCAAAGGCCUGAAAAAACUUCCUGUAAUUGUAAAAUGACAUUCUGUGCUUUUUAUGCAAUAGGGAACAGGGAAGUAGAGCUUUGGAAAAGCCUGGAUUGAUAACUAUGGAGAGACUUAUUAUUUAAGUGAUGAAAAAUUCCCAUCACCCGCGGUCAAGAAAAUUUCAGAUAGUUAAAGACUCCAUUUUGCUUCAGCCAAAAAUGUUUGUUGCAAUGAAAGACUUGAACCAUUUUCAUUGAACCUGAUUGUGAUCCUUUACGUUAUGCAUGUUCCUCUCAAUCAAGAAAAGUUGAGGUCAUGAUUCUAUAUUUCUAUAUUGUAACUUGAAAUAAUAAUUGGUCUACUUGUUUCUGUAUCUUGAUAAGAUGAAUUUUCCUUCUCAAGUUAAUUUGAUCAAUAAAGUAAUUCUUCAAAGAAAAUAUGCCCAUUCUAUAAUCAUUUUCUUAGCUAAGAUGUUUUUUCUUCACUCUUCAGAGCAUGUCAAAACUAAUUGAUCGCUUGGCAGAUACUUUGGGUGAGAAGACAAAAUUUCUUGGUAAAUCCUCGGAAAAGGUAUGCAUAAUUCCCGAGUAUUAAAUAACCAAUAGUCAUAAUUUUUGUACAUGACUCUUUUUUCUCUUUUUUGUGGAGAUCAUUAAAAUUGGUUGAUGAUCCAUUUUGUAAUAUCAUAGAGGGAUCAUCAAUUCCUUCUCUUUUCUGUGGCUAGGCAACACUUUCUGGCCAAAGUAAGAAAAUCUAUUUUAGGUAAUGUGAAAACCAACGGUAGGAUGUAAUAGUUUAUUAUGCACUGACAAUAACUUUUUGUAUGAUUGGCAGUUUAAUGAAUACAAGAGGAACUUUGUUGACAAAUUCAUCCAAGAUAGAUGCUAAAAUUAUUUAUGCAUGCCAGUUGCCUUAACUAAUUUUUCUUAACACUUGUAUUGAACAGGAAAAUGAAUAAGCAAUCUGUAUAUUGUGCCAUUGUGGAGUAUUUGGAUAUUCUGAUUUAAGUAACAAGGAGAAUACUUGUCUCAUCUUUAAACAAUGAAUCUUUGAGAAAUGAGGAGUGGGGGAUUGGAAGUGUCUUCAUGUAAAUGUUCAUUUAUUUGUAUUUUGAACUAUUAUGAGAAUCUUAUAUGCCAAAUCAGUAAUACAAAUGUUCAGAUGAUUUUUGCUGUUGAUCAUGCAUUUGUGUCUGCACACAACCAUUGUAUAUCACUUUAUUCUGAUGUGCAGGUAUGUGUAGCUUAGAAGAAACAGAAUAAUAAUCAUCUAUUAUUGCUUGGUUCAUGAUUAUUAAACGAUUAUGGCUUUAAAAAGUCUACAAAUUCCUUCUGUUCAUAUAUGAAUGUGCCAAGUUUGCUAUAUCUUAGAUUAUCUUCUUCCAAGAUAACAAGUUCAUAUUCUUUUUAAUCUUUUUCCAUCACAGUUGACUUUUAGGUGUUAAGAUUUGUUAUUAGUCCCCUGUUAUUAUGAUUUCAUAAACAGUGUACGGAUAUGUGCUCUAACUUUGGAGGACCUCCACGUGAAAGAAAAUUGCAACAAUUGAAUUCUUCCGGAGGGUAUGGUCUUUAAUUUAUUUUCUCAACUUCUCGUAAGAUUAAUAUAUUUCAUUCAGUAGGCACAGCAUGGGGGAAGGGUUUUUAUUGAAAGAAUUCUGAUAUUUCUUAGACUUCGUUUUGGAAUGGGGUGGAGGGAUUUCUCAUCCAUGUAUGGUUACUUGAUUAGCUUUUGACUGUAUUUCCUCAGUCAUGUAAAGGAAGAUCCAAAUACCAACGAAGGAAAAUUGCCUAGACACCCGAAAGACAGAAAUGAGCUACAGAAGCAAGUUUUAGCUACUUUAUUUAGUGCUCCUGAGAAAUCUGAUGGAGACCGAAUGGAGGUCCAAAGCACUGGGAGAGGUAGUGAGUGAACCGCCGGAGGAGUUGGCACCGGAAUGCAAGGCUAAUGUGGUGCACUUGCAGCAAGAUAACCAAACCGGUAUGUGCUCUUAUUUUAACUAUACUGACUGGAUUUGUGAGUGUGUGCAUUUUUUUGUGUAUACUCUUGUAUUUAUGCAUAUUAAUGUGUGUAGGAAUUUCUGCCACUUACUGGAGAACUAGUGGAAAGCUUUAUACCGAUAUAUCUGCAAUAACUAAUUGGAAACUAUGAUAUUAAUAUUUUCUCUCACCUGAGGAACUGUGUAACAGAUAUACUUUGUGGCUCUGGAAUACUAGAGAUUCUGCAAUAACUAAUGGAAACUAUGAUAUGAAUAUUUUAUCUCAACUGGAGAACUUUGUAACUUGUAGCUCUGGAAUGUCUAAGGAAUUUUGUCUGCUUCAGUUAGAUCAAAUAUCUUUUAGUUGCAUACAUUAUAGAAAAAGAUAAAGUUCUCUGAAUCUGAAAGACUGAAACAUUUUGUAUAUUUUGUGAAAGGGAAAUAUCUGUAUAUACUAGUUCAUGCAUUGAGGUAACAUCAAUGUUAAAGAAAAACAGCAAUAAGUUAUUAUGUGGAACAAGGUUCACUUGCUUUAAAUGCUGGUCUGGUCAACCAUAUGAACCUGUAAGUUCUGCAGAAAUAUAUAUAUGGGGAGAAACUAGCUAAAUUUUCCGUUCAUUGAUGGCUUUGGUCAUUUUUUUCCCCUUAUUUUUCAGCUUUCCUUCUCCUGAAGUAUGUCAACAACUGCAGAUAAUGAUGAAGAGGACAGCUUGCAGGCUCUUCUUAGAGCCAUGAUGGAAUAUAGGGGCACAAUGAAGGAACAUUGCAAAGCUGUAGGUUCUUUUUCUCCUGUCAUUUAUGUUUUCUCACACAUUUUUUAUAUGCUCCAAGCAUGCAAUUUUGUAUGUGUCAACUGCUUCCUAAGUUUUAAAAACCAUAAUGUAAGAAUACAGUUCUUUGUCAGGUUAUUGAUGCAUUUGCUCAGGGGGAUCAUGUUCGAGCAGGAAAACUUCUAGAGCUGACAAGGUUUUCCAUCUACAGCCAUCUAUUGACAACAGAUACAUUUUCAUUCAGCAAACACUGUUAGCAUUCAAGAUACUGGCAGAUUCACUUGAUUCUUAUUAGUUUGUUUAGUAGCAAAGCAUAUAACCUGUAUUUCAAAGCCAAGUUGUGCUAUUGAUUAUGUUAACUUUAUUGUUCACAUAAAGUGAUAUGGAGGAAAUAAUCAAUGUAGGAAAAUUAGGUGAAGAGAUGAUGUCACAUCUUGAACCUCUUACAAAGCUCCAAGUUCUUUACUUGAAGAAGCCGCCAAAUUUGAAGAGCGUCUACUGGAAGGCAUUUCCAUUCCCAGAUGUAUGCAGAAUUUUUGUAUUAAUGCCCAGUUCUUAAGAAGCUGCCACUGGACUUUCAAAGGCGGGCCAAGGUAAAAUUCUUAUCGAGGGAAAGGAAGAUUGGUGGAAACAACUUCAAUCGGAGGAUCAAGUAACUCAGAAUGCAUUGCUUCCAUUUUUAAAAUCAACUGACAAGUGAUUGAAGGGGGCAUCAUCAACAUCAUCAACAUGGAUGGAGAGAUUCAGGAGCAGAUCAGCAGGGUUUAGUACGACCUGUGGUGGUUUCUUUUUUGUGACUUUUUUCCCUUUCAUUUUUUCACUUCCUGUCAUAUUAUCAUUUCUGUCUCUGUUUCUAUUGCUGGUGUUGCUGCAUGCUUGCUGUCCUUGACAAAG